UGCAACGGUUCACUAGCGAAGACGCUCCUGAGGUACUCGAGGGAACCUCGGACAAAGACCGCUUCAUUAUUGUAGAAGUUUGGAAACAUUCGGACUUCCUUUACAGAAAUUAUAUUCUGAGUGGUCGGUCUCCAAGACGACCUCUACAAUGUUUAUAGUGGAACCAAGACAUCAAAGGAACUGUGGGGGCACUUGAACGAAAAUAUAAGAUGGAGGACGCGGGAAUUAAGAAAUUCCUUGUUACACCGUUUCUGGACUUCAAAAUGAUAAAUAGCAAAUCUGUUGUCUCUCAAGUACAGGAGUUGCAAGGCAUCAUACAUGAUCUCCUAGCAGAAGGUAAAUCUUUGAAAAAUAGCUUAGUUGAACAAAUUAAAAAUGUUCUUAAUACUUACAUAAACUAUUUUGUAGGUUUAAUUGUGAAUAACGCUUCCCAAGUAGCAACGAUAGUUGAGAAGCUACCACCUUUGUGAAAAGACUUCAAAAACUACUUAAAACAUAAACGCAAGGAGAUGACUGUUGAAGAUCUUAUUGUCCGACUUCGUAUUGAAGAGGAUAAUAAAGUUGUUGAAUGAAGGUCAAAGGGGAAUUCUACAAUGAAUGGAGCGCAUAUUGUAGAAGAUGACCAAAACAAUUCCAAGAAAAGGAAGAAAGCUGAACAAGGAAGCAAUCAACCCAAGAAAAAGUUCAAAGAAAAAUGCUUCAACUGUGGCAAGAUUGGCCACAAGUCCACAUAUUAUCGUGCCCCAAAGAAAGGCAAGAAGAAGGAUUAAGCAAAUAUGAUUGAAUCCAACAAAGAAUGCGAUGAUCUGUGUGCUAUGUUCUCAGAAUAGAACUUGACGGGGAAUCCUCACGAAUGGUGGAUGGAUUCUGGUGCCACCCGCCAUGUAUGUGCCAACAAGGAGUUGUUUUCGUCAUUUGUACCGACUCAAGCAGAAGAAAUGAUCUACAUGGCUAACUCCGCUACUGUUAAGGUGGACGAAAUAGGAAAAAAUUGCUUAAAGAUGACUUCCGGCAAGGUCUUGACACUGAACAAUGUAUUAUAUGUUUCGGAGUUAUGUAGGAACUUAAUUUCUGUUUCACUCCUAGAUAAGGACGGAUUCAAAUGUGUAAUCGUUUCUGAAAAAAUUGUAAUUAGCAAAGGAGAAAUGUAUGUAGGAAAAGACUAUCUGACCGAAGGCCUUUAUAAGAUGAAUGUAAUUACUGCUGAAAUAAAUAAAAGUUCGAAUUCUUCUUAUUUACUUGAGUCUUAUGAUUUAUGGCAUGAACGUUUAGGCCAUGUUAAUUACAAAACGUUACAAAAACUGAUUAACUUAAAAGUUUUGCCAAACUUUGAGUGCAAUAAAUCAAAGUGUCAAACGUGUGUGGAAUCGAAGUAUGCAAACCAUCCUUAUAAGUCCAUUGAAAGGAAUUCCAAUCCCUUAGACUUAAUAUACACUGACAUUUGUGAUAUGAAGUCAACACCAUCACGUGGUGAAAAAAAGUAUUUCAUAACUUUUAUUAACGAUUGCACUGGAUAUUGUUAUGUCUACUUGCUAAAUAGUAAGGAUGAAGCAAUUGAUGCGUUUAGGCAAUAUAAAACUGAAGUUGAAAAUCAAUUAGACAAAAAUAUCAAAAUGAUAAGAAGUGAUAGGGGUGGAGAAUAUGAAUCUCCCUUUGCGCAAAUAUGUGUAGAUAAUGGAAUAAUCCAUCAAACUACGGCCCCAUAUUCACCUCAAUCUAAUGGAAUUGCGGAAAGAAAAAAUCAAACUUUGAAGAAAAUGAUGAAUGCCUUACUUAUAAGUUCUGGUUUACCACAAAACUUAUGGGGGGAGGCUAUCCUAAUAUUUCAAAGUGUGGGGGUGUCUAGCGAAGGUGCAAGUUCCUAUACCUAAAAGGGUUAAGAUAGGACCUAAAAUGGUGGACUGCGUGUUCAUAGGAUAUGUUAAAAGUAGUAAAGCAUGUCGAUUUUUGGUCCAUAAAUCCAAACAUCCGGAUAUUAAUGAAAAUAUGAUAAUUGAAUCAGAUAAUGCUGAAUUCUUUGAAAAUAUUUACCCGUAUAAACUUACACAUGAACAGUCUAGUGGAGGAUCUAAACGAGUUCGAGAUGAACCAAGUGAGAAUGUACAUAAUGAAAAAAAUCUAAGACGUAGCACACGUCAAAGAACGUCAACUUCAUUUGGAUCGAAUUUUGUAACAUUUCUCUUAGAAAAUGAGCCUCAAAUAUUUAAAGAAGCGAUGUCGUCGUCAGACUAAUCCUUUUGGAAAAAGGCGGUUAAUAGUGAGAUAGAUUCAAUCUUAAGCAGCCAUACAUGGGAAUUGGUUGACCUUCCUCCCAAAAAUAAAUCGUUAGGUUCUAAAUGGAUCUUCAAACGGAAAAUGAAGGUGGAUGGUACUAUUGAAAAAUACAAGACAAGACUUGUAGUAAAAGGCUUCAAACAGAAGAAAGGCCUUGAUUACUUUGAUACAUACUCGCCAGUAACAAGGAUAACCUCGAUUCGAAUGUUAAUUGCCUUGGCGGCAGUAUAUGAUUUUCAAAUCCAUCAAAUGAAUGUGAAAACCGCUUUUCUAAAUGGAGAAUUAGAGGAACAAAUAUACAUGGAGCAACCUGAGGGUUUUGUGGUUCCAGGAAAAGAAAAUAAGGUGUGUAGACUUAUUAAGUCGUUGUAUGGACUAAAGCAAGCAUCUAAACAAUGGCAUGCGAAUUUUGACCAAACCAUGUUGGCAAACGGGUUCAAAAUAUAUGAAUGUGAUAAAUGUGUAUAUAUUAAAGACACUCCAAAUCACGAAGUCAUUGUUUGAUUAUAUGUGGAUGAUAUGUUGAUCAUCAGCAAAGAAAUUUCCGACAUAAAUGCAACAAAACGAAUGCUCGAGAGCAAGUUUGAUAUGAAAGACCUUGAAGUUGCAGAUGUGAUCUUAGGUAUAAGAAUCCAUCGAACUCCACAAGGGUUGGCAUUGUCACAGUCUCAUUAUAUCGAAAAGGUACUUGACAAGUUCAAGUAUAUGGAAUUCAGUAUUGCCAAGACUCUAUUGGAUGCGAGCUUUGCACUUCAAAAGAAUGAAGGUGAAAGUGACUCGCAAUUGGAGUACGCAAGAGUAUUGGGAUGUUUAAUGUAUAUAAUGAACUGUACACAACCAUACAUAGCAUGCGCUAUCAGUAAAUUGAGUCGGUACACGAGUAAUCCCAACAAAACUCAUUGGAUGGCAAUGAAAAGAGUUUUGGGGUAUCUUAAAUACACUCAAAACUAUGCUUUGCAUUAUAAUAAAUAUCCUGCGGUACUUGAAGGAUAUAGUGAUGCAAAUUGAAUCACCGGAUCAAACGAAGUAAAAAAUUCACAAGUGGAUAUGUAUUUACUAUCGGUGGAGGAGCAGUUUCUUGGAAAUCAUCCAAACAGACUUGUAUUGCUCGCUCUACAAUGAAAUCUGAAUAUAUCACAUUAGAUAAAGUCGAUAAAGAAGCAGAAUAGGUUUGGAAUUUCUCGAAAGAUAUUCCGUAUUGGCCCAAGCCAGUGGCACCAGUAUGUAUACACUGUGAUAGCCAAGUGGCAAUAGGUAGGGCAGGGAGCAUGACGUACAACGGUAAAUCUUGUCACAUACGACGGAGAUAUAAUACCGUUAGGGAACUUCUUUCUAGGGGAAUUAUCACUAUUGACUAUGUAAACUCAAAGGAUAAUGUGUCGGAUCCACUUACAAAAGGCCUAUCUAGAGAAGGAGUGGAAAGAACAUCCAAGGGAAUGGGUUUAAGGCCUAGGACGAGUCAGCAUGACGGUAACUCUACCUAGCAGACUGGAGAUCCCAAGAGUUAGGUUCAAGGAGAUCAAACAAAGUUGUGUCUGACAGGUUCGACAUUGUCAAUUACGCAACCCAUUCUCAUGAUGUAGACAAUGCAUAGUAAACUAGGAUAAGAUUUAAGGUGAAAAUUCUUUUAAUGAUUAUCUAAAUUUGGCUUAUUUGACCAAAUAGUUUAAUCUAUAGGAUUGAACGUUUAGAAAUCACCAAUGCAAGGGUGAAGUGGAAGCCGCUUCAAAGAGAAUGUUAGUAAAGUCCUAUUCUCUAAGCUCUCAUGAAAUCGGGACAUGUUCAUGUCUGAAAAGAACAAAACCAUGAGAACCAUAAACGUUAAAAGGAUGGUUGUGUGACAUGUAUUGUCUAGGUAUACAUUAAAGCUCGACGGUUCAAAGAUAUCAAAUCUACCGAUUGACCGAGUGCAUCCGAUGCAUGUUCACUAUGGAAAGUUCAAAGGAAAACCCACUUAUCCAUAUGCAAUCAGUCUUUACUUGAUGAUCACAUACUUGUCCGUAAAAAUUUUACGAAAAAUAGCCAUUCCCUAUUCAUAUGGGGGAUUUUUGGGUUCAUAGUAUAUGAAAGAAAUGCGAAUGGAAAAAUGAAGAAUAAAAUGGUUGAGGUGAAGGAGACACUAAAAUGGAAAGUGUACUCCCAAAUUAGAAAGUUUACUCUUUCUCCCACACUGGUGGAAGAAGAGAACUUGAAAGUAUUUAUAAUCAAGAACACUUGCUUCACAUGGCAAGUGAGGCAAGAAAUAAUAGAUGCCUCGCACCGUCGUCGUCGUUCGCUCAGCUCAGCUUCGGCUUCGGCUUCGGCUUCGGAUUUGGAUUUGGAUUUGAAUUUGGCAAAUGAUCGAUCGAUGAGAUAUAUCUUUUUGGACAAACUUUAUUUGAAUUCCAAAGAAUGCCAAGGAAAAAUGCAGUAAAAAUUUUUCUGCAGUUUCGGACCUCCAUUUAUAUAUACAUGCAGUAAUAGUUGCACUAUUUCAAGUGAACUGAUGCAUUGUUUUCGAACUAGUGCUUCAGAAAUGAUACAUUGUUCUGAACUGAGGCUACAGAAGGUUGCAAUAGUUCAAAAUAAUGCUUCAGAAAGAUGUAAUCCUUCAAUGAAGUGACACACUGACUCAUGAAAUGAGAUGACUGUUUAGGAAAAGAUGCAAUCUUUGAUGAACAAACAUGAACUUACAGCAAAGGUAUAACCUUUGGCGUGAACCAUUGCCUCUUUUUAGAAGAGGCAUAUUGUGGUUAUAUAAACCUGAUUUCUUCCCCAGGUUUAGUACGAAAAUUUUCAGAUUAAAAAACUCUCUUCUUGUCUCAAAAAAAUAUUCUGUGUGAUCACUCAAAACGUUUUGUGAGUUUGAAGAUAUUCCAACCGUUUGAGGUACCACUACUGUUGGUCUGUUAGCCAUUUUAUCCUGGGAGGAAAAAUUUCACAACCUCGGGUACAGUGAGAGGGAUUAUUUCCUUAACGAAAAUCCGUGAAUUCGGACGACUUCGCUAUUUUCUGUUUUAUCUUAAUUUCUACAAAAUAAAAUACACCUCUUGGAAAGGUCAUUUUGAUCUUGUGUUGAGGGUAUUUGAUAUACUUCAUUGUGUUCUUAUUUAUACUUGAACUCAAGUUGAAGUUGGUGUUGUAAUAUACAGAUUCUGUGUACCCAAAGUACGAACGAUAGAUAACAAUGCUUGUCUAUCUAGAAAGUAUUUUGAUGCAGAUAAAUUAGGAACUACUUUUGAUAUGAUAAUUAUGAUGCUGCUACAAGUCGUGGGAUGUGAACAGGAGGUUUUAAGUUCAAGUCGUGAAAAUAGCCUCUUGCAGAAAUGUAAGGUGAGGUUGCGUAUAAUAAACCCUUAUGGCGCAGUUCUUCUCUAAAACCCGUGCAUAGCAAGAGCUUCAUUGCAUCGGAUUGGCCUUUUAAUACUCCCUCCGUUUCAAAAAGAAUAACCUACUUUGACUUGACACAAAGUUUAAGAAAAUAAAGAAGACUUUUGAAUUUGUGACCUUAAAUUAAAGUUGUGUCAAAUGUACCAAAAUGCCCUUUAAUCUUGUGGCCCUAAAUAUGCCAUGUGGAAAGUUGAAAUUAAAAUAUUGUCAAAAAAGGAAAAAGGUUAUUCUUUUUUAAAUGGAUUAAAAAAAAAUAGGUCAUUCUUUUUUAAACGGAGGCAGUAGCACUUUUUAUGGUGCCUCUACGAGCACCACCUUUUGUAAUGAUGCAUAUUAACUAUUUAUAAUGUUUUUCCCUUUGAAACAAAAGAAAGUUAAUCGACAAAGUUGUCACACGCCAUUUAUGAUUUUGCAUGAUUGUUAAUUACUCACUUUUUCCGGUUCAAUAAUAUUGACGUGUACACUCCUUAAGAAUUAAUAAAUAUUAAAUAGAAUAAUACUUUUAUUAUAUUAUUCUUUUAAUUUAAUAAAUUUAAUGUGUUAAAAAAUGCAUUUGAGAAAUGUCUAUAACUAAUAAUAAGAGCAAAUUAGGAACUUAAUGAUAGUAAGUUUUCUCUUAAUUUUUUCAAAUUCCCAAAUUAAAAAUGAUCAUCUAUUUCUAAUGGUGGACAAGUUAUAUAAAAAUGGACGGAGGGAUAUUUUGUUGUCUAAGUUAGUUCCUAAUUUAAAAAGAACUAAAUAUCCAAAACACAUCUAAACUAUUUAUCAGCAUUAGUGAAAUACAGAGAAAUGGGUAUAGCAAGUAAGAGUUAAAAUCACAGAAAUGUGGUUCUAGAUGAAAAUUGUAGUAGUUAUAAAUUAUAAUACGAAACAUUUAUAAAAUAGGCACGAGGUUUUGUUAGAAUAGCAAGGAUAAAUAUUUUUGUGGGACAAUAAUGUCCUUUUUUUACCUAUCAAAUACUGCUAGAUUCUAGUAAUCAUUCCUUGAAUUCCGCAUAUAAUAAAAAUUUUAGUCCACUAAACUUUUCUUUUAUCAAAGACUACAAAUUAAAUCCUCAUUAGGUACUACUAGUAUGUCUAACUUGAAUACAAGUAAAAGCCAUAAAAUAACACUAACCGUGUCAAGGGAACCGUUCUCUUUCCUUCCCCUCUCCCUUCUCCCUAGUCUCAAGUUUCCAUCCACCAUGGAUGAAACUCUAACACUCCCUCUGUUACCAAAUCCACCGAGAAACAACCCUUCCAGAGAAAUUCUCAUGGAAGAUCCUAUCCCCUCGUAUAAAGAUGUUGCCGCAGGAAAAUUAAACUCCCUCAAUCAACCAGGACUGCCGAGGCCUGAUCUGGGAACAAAAGAAAGAUCUGAAGCCAAGGGGAUCCUAUUAUCCAAAGAAGACAAGCUACGUCUCUAUACUCCUUGGAUUCACUCAAUUAUCAUCAAGCCAAUAAAAGGAAACUUCAAUUUCCAAUACCUAAAAAGAAAGCUCGACGAUCUGUGGCAACUUUCAGAACCCCUUUGUCUCAUAGAUCUUAGAUUGAGAUUCUACACAGCCAAAAUCACCACCUUGGAAAGCCAAUCACGCAUUCUCCAGGGUAGACCAUGGUUUAUAGCAGGCAGUUACCUAUCGGUAAGAAGGUGGGAAUCAAAUUUUGUACCAAGUUACUCAAAGAUCGAUUCUACGUCGAUCUGGAUCAGGCUCCCACACCUUCCCACAGAACUCUAUGACGCUGCUAUACUUCAUAGAAUCGGCUCAGAAAUUGGAACCCUGCUAAAGGUCGAUGCAUGCACCUCAGCGGCUCUGAGAGGCAGAUACGUUAGAAUAUGUGUCCAACUUUUCCUGGAUGAACCGGUGACGCCUACCAUCACUAUAAAUUAUCACGAACAACUCUUUUACGGGGGAGAGGGCUUUCUCUGCAAAAAUUAUGGCAAAUUGGGGCACACGAUGAGUGGUUGUUCCUUUCCCCUGUACAAUCUCAAAUCGGCUGAAGCUACUACAAGCAAAGAUGGGGACUUUACAAAUACCCCAAUUGAAUCCAAGCUACCAUCGGAAGGGAACCCAUCAGAAUGGAAAACAGUAACCUUUGCCAAGAAAAAGAAACAAGGAACAAAAGCCCAACCCCACACGAAGGGAUUGAACACCGGAAAAACAAAAGCCCAGGCGACGGCUCCAGGUAAGUGCCCUAACCCUACGCUGAGCGGGUCAGCUAGGCCCACCAUCUUUUCUUCCACCUCCCUUAGGCUGAACCACGAACAUCCCUCAAAACCCAAUACGGGUACCAAAAGGAACAUGGGCCAAGUGUCUAACCAGGCCCAAUCAGCUCCCAGCCCUAAAGGGAAAGAAAAAACAGCUGGCAUGCAGAGGACCAAUUCUAGUGCCCCAAUUGGGCCACUUGGGAUAGCCCACAAGGCCCAACUCCUUUUUGAUUACCCCUCAAAUUUAAUUGCCCCUCUCUUCUAAACAUAGAUACUAAAAUGAAAAAGGACCAUCUCAGUGGGUCCCUAAAGCUGAGCUGGACAUAAGCAAUGAUAAGCCUACUGGCAUGACAACGGGAAGCUCUUGCACUUCCCCUUGUGAUUUGAUGGAAGGUAGCCUCAGUUCAAACACAGCAUUAAAUGCUAGUGGUCUUCCCAAACGCCAAACUCCUUAGGUUUCCUCAGACACUUCUCACCACCCCUUAUAUAUGGAGGAAUGCACGAAUAAGAGCAUUCUAGAAAUAACCAUGGACAACCACAAUUCCAACAUAACUAUCAGAACGGUCCCUCUAGCAUCGGAUCACCAACCAACCUCAUGGCUGAAAAUUUGUCUAACUAACCAGACAGUCCCAAUUCACCUGAAUGGGAGGGAAGAAAAAUCACCAUACUCAUCCAAGACCCUCAAUAUUUGGCUCAACUGGCAAUGGCUAGUUUGAACCAGGGGUUACAAACUUAUGGACCCAAUGUCUGGAUGGCCACACUAUUCCAAGUAAUCAACUCCCCUUUCCAAGAGGAGCUAAGCACAGAGUCCCUCUCCAGUAUUAUGAACGAAAUAAGCCUGAGCCACCCCUUUUUUCCAGCUCCCAACCCUGCUCUGAUGCUCCUGGGACCAUCCUUUGCCCCACCAUCGGAGGCACCCCAAGUUAUCCCACCUUUUUCUUUUGUGCCCUCAAUCUCUCACACCUAACGCUGGAGAGGAUGGAGAGUGUAAACACCCUCGAGGCACUAAAAUAAUCCGCUAAAGAGUUGGAAGAAUUCCUGUCACUGCUAAGAGUAUCAAGAACAGAGGUUCUAAACAUGGUCGAACCCCUAACUCUCGACUUCUUAGAUCCAGUCCAAGAGAAAGUGACCAUCCUGAUCCCACUAGGGCUAGGAAAACUGGGAGUAAGUUCACAUAUAGUGAACAGCCCGACGAAUGAAACUCCCAGGGUCACCUUGACCCCCUUAAAUAAGAAGAGGAAGGCCUCAACUUUAUCUCUCACCUCCAACCCCUAGGGGAAGGACAAAGUGAAUGUGACACAGCAUCCCUAUCCCCUGUACUCCAAAAUGAAGAACUGUAUAAUAUGGAAUGUUAGAGGAGCCAAAAAUACUGAGUUCAGGAAGCAUUGCAAGACAAUGAUCAACAUCCAUAACCCUUGCAUCCUUGCCCUUUUGGAAACCAAGAUGUCUAACCAUCAGGAUCUUUGUGAGGACGUGGGUUUUCAUAGCUACAUCUAAUCUGAAGCUUCUGAUAACUCAGGAGGUCUAGUCAUCAUGUAGAGGGAUGACUCCAUCUUCAUCUCCAUUGUCUCCAUCACUACUCAGUCUAUCAAUGCCCAAGUCAAGGUUAGUUCUCCUCCUGUAUCCUGGUUCAUUAGAAUUAUCUAUGCUAGUACAGACCUUAGCUCUAGGAUUAACCUUUGGGAGAAGUUAGAAAUCUUCUCUGACACAUAUAUUACCCCUGAAGGUAAGAGUUAGUUAGUUGGAGCGGAUUUCAAUGAAGUGCUUAGAGCCUCGAAGAAAUUUGGAGGCUCAAAAGUUAACUUCAAUAGAAUUAACAUGUUCAUGAAUUGCCUCAAUUACUGUAACCUUAUUGAUCUAGGCUUUAAAGGGAGUAAAUACACCUGGUCUAACAUGAGAUAUAGAAAUAGACAGGGGCUCAUUCUAGAAAGACUAGACAGAUGCCUUGUAAAUGAUUAAUAAAUCCACUCCUACCCUGAAGCCAUCAUCACUCACCUCUCCAAAACCCACUCUGACCAUUCCCCCUAUUCUAAACUUUGGCACCACUUCUGCCAUUGAGAAUAAGUCUUUCAGAGUGGAAUCUAUUUGGUUAAGUCACCAGGACUUCCCCAUCCCCAUUAGAGAUUCCUUCCAUAACUGUACUUGCAUUACCUCAGCCACUUCUGACUUUGAAAACAAGGCUCGAUCUUGGAAUAAACACAUUUUUGGGGAUAUUUUCAAAAAGAAAAAGCACUUGCUUGCAAGGUUGGCUAGUAUCCAGAUAUCCCCAAACUAUACUAAUAGUCACUUUCUCCAAGGGCUAGAACAAACCCUCCUGAAGGACUCUAAUAAUAUUCUCGACUUGGAGUCUGAAUUCUGGAAAUUAAAAUCAAGAAUUUCCUGGCUCAUCCAGGGUGAUUCAAAUACUAGAUUUUUUCACACCUCCACCCUGAACAGAAGGAGGAGAAAUAGAAUUAAUUCCAUAAUAAAUGAGAGUGGGUCCUGGCACUAUCACCAAAAAGAUAUUGAGUCUACUGUCUCCAAUUACUAUUCUAAACUCUACACCACUGAGCACACCCUGGGGUAUUCCAAGACUCAAUCGAAUACCUCCUCUGAGGGAUCCAUCAACUCCUCUGUACAUGACUUACUCCAGGUUGUCCAUUUUCCGGAGGAGGUCAAGAAAGCAGUUUUCUCCUUCAAUCUUGACAAAGCCCCUACCCCUGAUAGGGUCCAUCCGUUCAUGUACCAAAAGUUUUAGGACACUCUAGGCCCCCUCAUUGUUAGAUUUUGUCAGGAUACCUUCACCUCCUAUUCAGUGGAUCCUAGAGUGAACUCCACUUACCUGUGUCUAAUCCCCAAGUGUAGAAAUACCACCACCCUCACAAACUUCAGACCUAUUGGUUUAUGCAACACUCAGCAUAAGAUUAUUACCAAAAUCAUUGCCACUAGGAUCAAGCCCUUGCUGGCAAAUAUCAUUGGCCCUACUCAAGCCAGUUUCUUGGCAGGAAGAAAAGCCUCUGACAAUGCCAGCAUUGUCCAAGAAUAUGUUAUUCAUCUCUCAAAAAUGAAGGGCAAGAAGACUAACAUGAUUCUGAAAAUUGAUUUAGAGAAAGCCUUUGAUAGGAUUGAAUGGUCUUUUAUUAGACAGGCCCUCCUCUACUUUAACUUUCCCACUAGCCUCACCAAUCUGAUCCUCUCUUGUAUCUCAACUUUCUCCAUAUCCAUUCUGGUUAAUGGGGGGAAAACUUCCCCUUUUAACCCCUCUAGAGGCAUUAGACAGGGGGACCCUAUGUCACCCUACCUUUUCAUUUUGUGCAUGGAACUUCUUUCCAGAAAAAUCAACUAUAAGGUUGACACUUGGAAUUGGAUCCCCUUAUCCAUCUCUAGAAUUGGGCCUUCCAUCUCUCACCUUUUCUUUGCUGAUGACCUUACUCUGUUUGCCAAGGCAAACUCUCAAAGCUGUCACACCAUUAACAGAACUCUUCAUAAUUUCAGCUCCCAUUCAGGCCAAAGAGUUAACUAUAGUAAAUCCAAGGUUAUCUUCUCCAAGAAUUAUUCCCAAGAUACCCAGGAUAACCUAUCCUCUCUCCUAGAUAUCCAAUCUUCUACAAACUUUGGUAAAUAUUUAUUCUUUCCCAUUUUCCACAAGAAGCUUGUUAGGUCUGAUUUUCAAUUCCUCAUUUACAACUUCAAGAGCAAGCUUGCCGGCUGGAAGGCAAAAUUUCUUAACAUGUCUGGUCGGUUCACCCUUGCUAAAUCCACCCCUGCCAGCAUCCCUAACCACAUUAUGCAGUACAUCCAUCUCCUUACUUUCCGACAUAAAAUUAUUGACAAAACCCAAAGAAACUUUAUUUGGGGCACCACUGAGCUGAGGAAAAAAAUUCACUUUAUUAAGUGGGACACCAUCACUCUUACCAAAAAGGUGGAGGGCUGGAUAUACAUAAGGCUGAUAUUAAGAAUGCUGCCCUCCUCUGUGGACUGGGUUGGAGAAUGUAUUCCAACCCUAACACCUUAUGGGCUAGUACCCCAAUUGCUAAGUAUGGUAACAGGGGAAAAAAUCUUUACAAUAUUUCUAGGACUUGGUGCAGCAUUAUCAAGAGCUGGAAUAUAUGUAGGAAUGCUCUACAUUGGGCCAUUAAAGAUGGUACCAAAGUGGAUGGAUAGAUGGAUUCCUGGGAUGCCUCCCUUAGCCACUAUCAUCCAUGGUCCCAAUACCAACCCUCCUAACCCAGUUCUGGUUAAAGAUGUUUGGAAGAAGAGAAGAUGGGAUUUUCUCACUUUACCCUUCGAUAUCCCUCCUAACAUUGUUAACUUUAUCAAAAAUUCUUUCAUCCCCAGCUCCCACCUUACCAGGGAUACCCCAUGUGGGUGAUGAGGGGUAAUGAAACCUUCUCUUGUAAGAGUGCCUACCUACACAUUGCUAACAAGAAUAAAACCUCUCAAACAUCUAACAACUCUUUCAAUUGGAUAUGGAACCUGAACAUUCCCAAUAAAAUUAAAACAUUUAUGUGGCUCAUCCAGCAUAACUCUCUCCCUACAAACACUAACCUUUACAAUAGGGGCAUCAACAUUAACCCCUCUUGUCAUAAGUACAACAGCACCCAGGAAGACCAAUCCCAUAUCUUCUUUUCUUGAUCCAUGGCCAAAUCCCUAUGGGCUCAACUUAUUCAAAAGUACAGAGGUAACAUUGAACUCUACCCCAAUAUGUUUGACCCCAACAAUUGGCCUAACACUUGGGAAAGACCUAACAACCUCUACUUUGACACCACCACUCCUUGGAACAUCUUGUUACCCUUUUGUCUUUGGCAUCUCUGGAAGGUUAGGAAUGCCAACUCUUUAGAAAAUGCCAAGUCCCAACCUUGUUUCAGCAUUCCUCAUGCUGAGUAUAUAGAAUACCACCUUUUAGGAAAUGAUAAAGCAAACCACCCCAGCACUGUCAUCAAUCUAAGAUGGCUCCCCCUUACUCCAGUACUUUCAAACUCAACACUGAUGGAUCUUAUGUUGGGAAUCCAAGAAAAGAGAAAAUUGGAGGUGUCAUCCGGAAUAGCAAAGGUGAUUGGAUUAUGGGCUUUAGCAAAAGCUUUAGCCAUGAAACCAACAACCUCAUGGAGCUAAUGGCCUUAAGAUAAGGCCUAAAUUUAGCUCUUCACGAUAACAUCAAACCUUUAACUGUAGAGGUAGACUUAAUGGAAGUUUUAAAUAUGCUUCAUCAUGGUAACCCUCUCUAUGAUUCAAUUAUUAAUGCUUGCAGAUCUUUACUAGAGAGCUUAGAGAAUCCUCCAGUCCAGCACAUCUAUAGGGAGCAGAACAGGGUAGCAGACAUGCUGGCUAAGCAGGGAUCGAAAAAGGACCUUUUUGACAGGCUACAUGUCUAUACGACUCCGCUAGCUAGUGUAGGCAUAGUUUUUUGGGAAGACUUAGAAGGAAAAAUUCUCUCUCAUUCUGUAAAUGCUCAACAUGUAGUGAACCAAAGCAGCUUUAUUUUUGCGCCUGGAUAGGCACCUAUACAAACUCUUUUAAUUAUCAAUGCAUCUUUUUUAACUUACAAAACAAAAUGUCAUAAAAUAGGAGGCAGGAGGGUGAUAUGUGUAAAUCUUACUCAUAUCUAGUGAAAAGUAAAAAAUCAGUUUUUUUAUAGACUUUCGGCUCAAGUAAAUCAUUUCAAAAUAGGUUAUUGAAAAGUAAACAAAGUAUAAAUAAUAAAAAACGCUUAUGUCAUUUUUUUGUCAGUUUUAUAGCUAAAUUAUGAGUUUGCUGCUUUGUGUUUACUAUUUGCUCUAUCACAAACUAUUUAUAAAAUUCAAAAUAUUGGAUUCAAUUAGUGUGAAUGAAAAAUGAAGGGAAAGUCUUGGAGGAAAAGUGUACUCACUUAAUGAUAGUGAGGCAAGAAUCAAGAGGUGUCUCGCGCCGUCGUCGUCGUCGUUGUCGCUCAGCUUUGAAUUCGGAUUCGGCAAAUGAUUGAUAAGAUUAAUUUUUUAGACAAAAUUUAUUUGAAACUUGAAAAAAUAGGUGAAAUUUAUUAAUCCAAAAAUCCAAAGAAAAACGAAAAAUAUUUUUUUUCCAUAAAAGGUCAUACCCUUUGAGGAAAUGACACACUGUUUCGGAAAAGGAGUGACUGUUCGGUCAGAUGUAACUGUUUAGAAAAAAAACUGUUUUGGAAUGGACAGACAUGACUGUUCCGAAGCAAUACACCUUUCCGAUAAACCAUUGUUUCCUUUCCGAAGGGGCACUUGAUGGCUAUAAAUACCUGCAUAUUUUUCACAGAUAUGUACGAAAAUUUAAGAAUUGAAAAACACUCUUCUACUUCUGAAAAUUCUUUGUGAUCAUCUGUCGUUUAGUGUGUUCGAAGAAUCUGAACGUUUGAGGUACCGCCACAUUCAUAUUGUGUGUCAUUUUAUCUUAAGAGGAAAAAUUCUGCAACCUCAGAUACUUGAGGAGAAUUAAUUCCUUAAGAAUACUCAGUGAAAUCGAAGGACUUGGUUCUAUUUAUUCUUCAUCUUAUUUCCUUAAAUAAAAUACUUCUUUGAUAGUUCAUGUUGAACUUAUGUUGAAGGUGUUAAAUUUCAGUGGUGUUCUUGAAACUAAAUGUCUUGAACAAAAAUUGAAAUGUAGUGUAUAAACAUAUAGAUUGCGUAUCCGAAACAACACAAAACACGCCUCUAAUUAGUUGACUAGACCAAGUGUUUGAAUACAAUCGCCAAAAGAUUAGUGACAAUUUAAUUUUCUCAUCAAAUUUUGUCCUCACGACAACUGUCUCGUAAAUUUAGAGACGUGUUUUAAUAAAUAGUUCAGGUAGAUAAUAGUCUAGAGGCUUGAAUAUAAUCGUCAAAAGGUAUGUGAGAACUUAAUUUGUCCUUAACUUUUCGUUCACAUGACAGUUGACUCGUUAAUUUCAAUGCAUAUUAAUAAAAAAUAAAAAAUAUUCAGAUAGAAAAUUCGAGAAAAAAAAAAACUUCAACUAUGAUUUUUUUUUUCUCCUUAUUUCUUUAAAUUGGGACCUAGUUGUAUUUAGCUAGGGAGCUACUACUUACCCACUUAAUCCAUUGGAGAAAAUUGGGAUUCAAUGAAUUGCAUUCCUCCACCCACCAACUUUUAUUUAGCUAAAUACCUUAAAGGGAUCAUUUGGUAGAAUGUAUACGAAUAAUGUAAAAUAUGGUGUGUUAGUAGUGCUUGUAUUAGUAAUGCUUGUGUUACCUGUGCUUGCAUUAAUUAUGCUUGUAUUUUUCUUAUGCAGUGUUUGGUUUGAUGUAUUAGAAAUAACAAUAAUUAAAUAAUUUCUAAAAAAAAAUUUUUUUUACAAAAGAUAUCCUUCAUAUAUAUGUUGGAAAGGAUGUAAAUUUUUUUUAAGGAUAAUAGUGUUUUUUAAUCAUAUUAAUGCAUGUAUUUGAUCCAUUGCAUUGCUAAUCCCAUGAAUUUUGAGGUAUUAGUAAUACACACAUCAAUACACAAUAGAGUGUAUAACUAAAAAUGUAAAAGUAUACCAAAUAAGAUGUUAGUAAUAUACAUUAAACUAAUGCAUUCAUUAGUUUUCUAAUACACUCUAUCAAACGACCCCUAAUUCUGUUUCUAAUAAAGCUUCUAUCUUGACUAUGGAAGUCUUCUUAUGAAAGAAUAAAAUAUUGUAAAAAGAAAAGGUUGAAAAUAAGGUUGUUCCAUAUUUUAGGUGAAAAAUGGACCCCACAUAUUUGAGAAAGCAAGGUUGUUCCAUAUUUUAGGUAAAAAAUGGACCCCACAUAUUUGAGAAAGAAUUAUUUUUAAAUAAAGCAUCUAGUAUUCGUUUAAAAUUAUGACCAAAUUUACUACGGUACAUUCUAAUUUCAUGAGAUUUUGUUAUUCUUAAACUAAAUUUUUGCGUAUUUUUAUCAUUCUUUUAAAUCACGUGAUGUCUUUUGUCAAUCUUUUUAGCUGACGUGAUAUCUUUGACGUGACUUCAUUUUAUAUAAUAAAGAUAUCACGUCAGCAUAAAAGGGUGACAGGAAUAUAUUAAAAUUGAAUUCAGACGUAAUAAUAGAGUUCCAUAAAAUUAAAGUGUGUCGUAACAAUUUUGAAUUCGAGAAUAUUGGAUGCUUAUCUCAAUUAUUUACGAAGACUUAAACCUAAUUUUAAAUAUAAAAAUCCAACUAGGUCAGUCAACAAAAGGUUCUUUUUCGUCAACUUAUUAUAUUAUAUAAUUUCUUAUGAAUUAUUUAUUUAUGCUAAAUCGAUUAAGGUUCAUUUAAAUAUUAUAUAAUUUUAAAAUUAUUAAGAAAGUGUUCAUUUGAAGAUUUUUCAAAUUUUAAACUUUUUACUUCUACUCUAUGAGCUAUCUACUAUAACCCCCAAUAUUAAUAACCCAAGUUAUUUUUAUGUUUGGAGUGUUAAACUAAACUUAAAGUGUGUGCAUGCAUCAGAACGAGUAAUCUUAAUUGGUAAAGUCAUUGACAUACGAUCAAAGGUUAUAAGUUCAAUUCGGGAAAACAAUUUCUUGUAAAAAUAUAAGAAGAGAUUGUGUACAAUAGACCCUUGUACUCUUACUUCUUCCCAACAUCUUUGCAUAGGGAGAAUUUUAAUACAUUAAGCUGCCCAUUUUUAUGUGCAUGCAUCGAAAUAUCCUUUAAAUUUUAUAAUAUCAAAUUAAUAAAUUAGGUGAAAUAUUAAAAUGAAAGAUUUACUAAGUACUAAAUGUAAACAAUAACAUUGUUUUUCUAAUAAACUUUUUUAAAAAGUAAAAAAAUUAAAUUGAAACAAAAAGAGUAGUGGUGGUGUAGUACUACUAUAUCAUGUGCAUUCAAAUUUACAGUACACUUUAAACUUUGGAAAAAGAGAGAAAAAGGGUCCCCUUAGUGGAAUCUCUAGUCUUUAACAAAACCAUGGGCCAUAUGCUCUUGUUUGGAUGGUUAUCAUAAUAAUGUUUAGACAAAUUAUAUUUAUUUUUAUUAUUACGUAAUAUCAUAUAAUACUCCCAAUUUAACAAUUAAUCUAUAAAAUAAAAAAGUAAGAUAUGACCUAGAGCUAUAAUACAAAGGAUAAAUAUGAUUAUUAAUUAGAUGUUCUCUUUGUUCACUAUACGAAAAAUAAAUAUUUCAAUUUUAUGUUUGUAAAACUAAGAAAUAAUUAAUUAUCUAGCCUCAAAUUUGCCCUCAUGUUAAUAGUCCUUUUUCAAUGUAUUUUUGCCAAAACAAUGAACAUCUUAUAUUCAAAUUGUGAUGUAGUAAAAUUGACAUCUUACUUAUCGAGUGUAAGAAGUUAAUAUGGACAUUAAAAAUAGACCGACAGGUAAUAUACAACGACCAAAAAAAAAAAAAAAGAAAAGCAAAUCAAACAAUCAUUCUAGAUUGUCCAUUACAUAAAAUGAAACUUUUUACCGUUAGGAAACAAUAUAUUUAAUAAUAUAAUAACAUUUAAGCAAAAAUUUGUAUUUAUUAAACUAACAAUACCAUACAAUAAUUGGCAACAACCAUCCAAACGACCCCUUAGUGUGAUCUCCCAUUUUAUAAAAACCAGUCCCACAGACAUAGAGACUAAAAAUCAUAGCCCCAAAAAAAAAAAGAAAGAAAAAUUUGAAUACAUCAAUGGACAACAUAGAGAGCAUAGCAAAAGCUGCAAUGGAGAAAAUGAAAGAGAUGAACAUGGUGGAAAACACAAAGGAGAUCAUCAACCAAUCAACUCCAUUUGUAACCAAAUUCAUGAAGAUCUCAUCUGACUGGUUAUUCGAAAAUACAAAAGUGAUCAUCGUAAAAUCAUGCAACUGGCUAACAAAAACAGCUCCACAAGUGAUAUACACUGGAAAAAAUUUGAUUGAAAAAGCUCCAAUAUCAUAUACAAUUUCAAUAGGUGUUGUGUUGUUUUUGUUCUUACGUUGGUGUUGUGGAGGUCGAGGUAGUGGAGGAAAUGGUAAGAUGAUGAAAGCUCCAGGAAGGAAUAAUAUUAGGAUACAUAGAAGUAAGUUUGAAAGCAGUCCUAAAGCUUAUUUUCGCGAUCUACGAUCCAAAAAAUAGGCUUUUGUGAUCUGAUCUUUCUCAGAUGUUAUGUAUGUCACGAGCUUAGUGCAUCUUACUUCCCUUUUUUUAAGUGUUACAUAUGUUAUUUACUGGUUAGGGAAUAUAAUAUGCUUCGGAUCAGGAGUUUUUUCAUCUUUAUUUUCAAGUUUGACUAUGAAAUUUCUGAUUAUUAGGGAGUAAGUAAUAUCGAUAUAUGUAUAUGUUUUGUGAAGUAGGUACUUUGGUUGUGUAUUGCAGUACGUUUGAAUAAUAUUUUCUGUUUUAUUGCCGAUAUAUACAAUAGUUCUUGUAUGUAUGUGUUUCGGUUUCGUAUAAUGUUAUGUGAAUUGCAAAAGGAACUCCAGUAUAGAGAUUACUGAUUAUUUUUUGUUGUUGCACAAAAGAACAUCAUGGUAUUUGUUUGAGUAGAGUUCGACUACGGGGAUGAUUAUACGACUUAGUAAUUUUGGUUCAAAAUCUUAUAAAAAUAUAGUUCCCAUGGUUUUCCCAUCAAGUCAAAUUUCUACUCAUCUAAGAUGAACAUGUCAGUUAGUUCAGGGAACAAACAUUAAUAGUAUAUCGUUGGUUUUGUGUUGUAUUUACUUCCAUAUUUUCUCCUUCUUUACUUCUAUAUUUUCUUAGUUGCUCUUAUAUUCAUUACUUGAGUCGAUUGUCUUCCAAAAAUGACCUUUCUACCUCUUUAAGGUAGCUGUAAGGUCUCCAUAUACUUCACUUUUGCGACUAAAUAUUUAUUUUAACAUCAUGGUAUUUAUUGUGUGGAAUUUCAUCCAAUAGCAGCUUUAUAGCUAAAGUUGUCACUUUAAUGCUUCGGCUUAACCAUGAAAGUCUUGUGUCUAUUUGAAAUAAGGAAAAAAAAUGAAAAAGUGAAAGCAAUUGAAAGAAAACUUGAGGCAAACUUAACCUAUAAGUUAACUUAUUAGGGUCAUUUGAUAAGUCAAAAGUAGGAUAAGGUGAAGUAUUACAUGGUUAAAUUUGCUAUUAAAUUUAUAUCAUAUUUGGUUUAUGAUAUUAAUUUAUACCAUUCAAAUCUAGUUUUGGAAUAUUUCCUCUUAUCUCAUUUAACAUGUGAUUAUUUUAUACCAUUCCCAUAUGAUGUAAAUUAAUUUAGAGAUUAUAAUCUCGUGCGCAAUUUCAGAAUAAUUUAAUCUACAUAUCAAAUGAUCCCUAUAGUACUCUUUUAGUCCCGUCGAUUUUAACCGUCUCUUAACUUUUUCCACUCCUAUUAAAAAAUAAUUAAUAUAUAUAUAUUAUAAUUUAUAGGAUAAAAGGUCUAAUAUAUCCCUUUUACCAUGCGAAAAAAAUAGUACUCCCUUCGUUUCGGAAUAAGUGAAUCGUUGGGAUAUUUAUUGGUGUUUCAAAAUAGGUGAAUCAUUGAAUUUUUUUUUCAAAUUUACCCUUAUGAUUUGACAACCAAUUAAUUUUGAAAAGAUAUUAUAAGGUCAACUUUUUUUUUUUUGGUAAAAAUGGAAACUUUUGUUAAAGUUAUGUCUUUAAUAUUUUUUUCUUAAAUCUGUGUGUUAAAAUUCAAUAAUUCAUUUAUUAUAAAACGGAAGGAGUAAUAAUUUUACUCUUCCUUAUAUGUUAGAUUCAAAAAUAUUUUUUAACCGUUAUCUAAAUGGCUCAAAUAAAUCCCUUUCUGUUGCUGUCCAAAGUGAACGCCUACGGACUGACAUUUUGAUUAAAGACCAUUAUGGAAAAGCUAUUGCUUGUGUGAGUUUACCUAGCCAAUAAUUAAUGUUGUUGGAUCAAAGUUAGGUAGAGUAUAGUUAUGAGAAUUAAUAUCAAACCUUGAGAUAUUGUUUAUGACCAGUUAGUACUAUUGCUCCUCCUAAUUUUCAAAUGAAAAGUCUACCAAAGCUAAAAAGAAAAGGUCCAUUAGUUUCUUCCAAGAAAGUGUACUGAGAGACUUAAGCGGAACGUCUAUCAAAAACAAUUUCUUAUUUGAAGAUCACGUUUAAUAUAUUAUUGUUGUUAUCGUUAUUGCAGUAGAUAGAGAGAUGGGAUUCGAAAGAGGCGAAUUGAAAGUAGCAGAGAAGAUGAAAUCAAUAGAAGAAAUAUUGAAGAAGUGGAUGGAAUCACCAGAAUUAGGCUAUACAAUUACAAUUGGAUUGGUUUUGAUUGUGUUCUUUUCCCUAAUAUGUCGUUGCUGCUGCAGAGGGAAUUAUAGGAGAAAUAUUCAGAUGAAGAAAGUUCCACGUCGUAGGAAAUAUAAUUGAAGGCUUAAUGCAGAGGCGUGGCCAGAAUUUCUGCCGAGGGAUUCAAAGUUUGAAGAAAAACUAGUCGAAGGAGGUCCAACAUCUACAAUAUAUAUCUAAAAAUUAUUUAGUCAUGUAUUAAUAGUAUAAUGUUCUGCUAAAGGAAAUUCGAACGAACCGUUCUAAUGAAUUCGAUAUCUAAACUUGAUGGUUGAGUUUGAUCUUUUUAAGAUUUUUAGCAGUGAAUGUGUUGUGCUUCUCAUGCUAAUGAAUACCACAAGCUUGUAACAAUAUUCUUUGUUAUGUUAUACUAUAUAUUUGUAGAAAUUACAAGCCAGAUUGCAGUUCUUUCUGAAUUUCUGCUUGUCAUUGUUCGUAGGGGUGGACAUGGUAUGAUAUUUGAAAUUUUUGUACGAUUAUUUUUGUUGGGUUUUAUAUUGGAUUUGUUGUUGUUGUAUUUUUGUUGGAUUGGAAAUCAAGAGCGUGUCAUUUGAAAGCUAAUAGUUGCAAAUCAUGAAGACUAUAAAUUAGAUGACACAUAAAACUAUACUAAAAAAAUAUAUUAUUGAAAAUAGCAAAAUUUUGGUUGAAAAUAUAAAAUCUAAUGUUGUGUGAUCGACUAUCUUGAUUUGGUAUUUUAAAUUUUUGAAAUUGAAAAAUUAUUACUGAAUUUAAGAGAUUCAUUAAUCACACAUUAAUAGAUAUGACGUUAAUUGCGUUCUACAUUAAUGAAAAAUUGCGUUAUUUCCUUAAAUAUCGUUAAGGAAGUUAGUUCUGCUACAUAACAUACUUAUGUAUAUCAAUAUUUAGUUAUGCAUAUGAAUAAUUAAAAUUCGGGAGAGAGAAAAUUUAUUGAAAAGAUUGGAAGAGAGGUUAAUUAAGCUUUAAACUAUCGAAGUUUGUGUUAUUUACCCUUAAAAUAUUUGUUUAAUUUAGUUUUUUAUAUAUAUAUAUAAUCAAUAGUAGAAUAUUACUCUUUCCGUCCCAAAUUAUCCGUCUCAAAUUGAGAUGACACAUUGACUAAGAAAAAUAAUUAAUAACAUGUCUAGUUUAUCAUAGUAACCCUAUUAAAUGGUGUUUACAUUUUAAUUUGAAGAAAAAGUAACUAAUGCAAAAAGUAAAACAUGAACAAAAAAAUUGUUUCUUCUUGAUUAAUGAAAAAAGACAAGUAAAAUGAAAAAUCAAAUUAAGAAAUUUGGGAUGGAUAAUUUGGAACAGAGGGAGUAUUACUUCUCCGUUUCAAAAUAGUUGGCCCUGAUAAAAAUAUUAUUUCAAUUUAGGUGUCCUUUAUGAAAUCAAGAGAAUUUUAUUAUUAUAUUCUUUCAAGUUUAUCUUUAUUAUUAUAUGUCUACAUAAAGUGUAUAUACUCAUAUUUAUACUUUCAAAACAUAAUUAAUAUAACUAAUCAAUAUAUAUAUAUAUAUAUAUAAAGAAGAAACAAAACAAGGAUGGUGUGAUACCUCUCUAUGACCACCAUUUCUAUUUAUCUUUUUUCUUUUUUUAAAAAAAAUAUUUUUCUCUUGUAUUUCUCUCAAAAAAUGUUGUUGAACAUUAAAAUUAAAACCACUCUAUCGAUUAUUCAAUAAUUAUCCACAGUUAAAAGUUGUUUGAAGUAGUCACAGCUUCAAUUAUACACUCAAAAGUUGCACCUCUUUAGUGUUUCGGUUAAAAGCUCAACCAUCACACCAAUUCAUUGAUCUUUUUAUUUAUAAGAUCCCAUCCAUUAACAAAAUGCUUGGCCACUACGUAAACUAAUUUUCUAAAUCACUGAAUGGAUAUGAAUAGUACUCUCUAAAUCACUUUCUUUAUUUUCAUUGUUUAUUUAGUAAAAUCGAUUAAUAUUAUCUUCUUUCACUGUAAUAGAGAUUAGAGAGUCGAAGGAAAUUCUCUCUCCUUGGGAAAGUGAAUGGUUUAUCAUAUGACAGGAAAAAUGCAAACAAAAAUAUAAUUUCUUCUAUGUUAGAGGUGUUAUUCUUUAUUUUUCUUUGUUUUAUUUAUUUUUUUCUUCAUUAAAUCAACUUAUUGUAGCUUUUUUCUUAUCUUUUCCAACCUUUUAAUUAUUUUUGUUACUUUUUUAAAUUUUAAAAUUACCCGUGUUUAUCUUUCCUUGCUCACAAAAGAGCACGAAUACGAAUAUCAACUUCAUCUUAGCAACCUAAACAGACUGAGGAGAUUAUGAAAAUGUGAAACACCUAUUUACAAGGUAAAAAAAUUCUACCUUUUUUUUAGAUUAUCAAGUUUUCUAUGUUAUCUCUUUUAAAUUGUAACAGUUAUUUUUAAAAUUUUUCAGGAAGAUUUUAGGUGUAGUUGUUUGAAGAAUCAUCUUUUUAGAUUCAGUAGAUGCACAUAGGUUGAUUUGUAUUAAUAAUUUAGCUACAUAUGAAAAUGUUACUCAUUUGAUCCGCUGUCAUCCUACUUUUUUGUGUGUUAUGAAGCAUAGUGAAUGUAAUUAUUCAUUUCAACUAAAAGGAUUAUGAUAACAAGUUUCACUCUUAUUAUCCUCACACAAAAAAUAAAGAUGAAAUGUUAAUUUUAUGAUGUCAUUAUUUUUUCUUUUGCAUAUAUAUGCCUUGAUGGUGAAAUGGUAGAUACGCGAGACUCAAAAUAUCAUGCUAAAGAGCGUGGAGGUUUGAGUCCUCUUCAAGGCAUAAUAUUGAGAGUGCUCAUUGAAUGAGCGUUCUAAAUUGAAAUAAAUUCGGCAGCGAAUUGCGAAAUCUUGGUGAUCUUCUCUAUCUAAUGAAUGGGGAGUCCACUUUAAAAUCGUCCGCCCUGCACCCACCCCCGAGUAUAUGCUUCAACAGGAAUCACACAAGGGUAGAUUAGAAACCUCUGGUAAAAUGCCCGCCCAUAACCUAGAUAAACUACAUUACAUAGUUCAGGAAUUGACGACUUACCCAUUCAGUGACUUUGUUUUGAUCGAUGUCCUUUUUUAUUUGAAAUGUACUUAAAAAAUUUUCCAUUCCAUUUUUAAUUAUUUUGCAAAUGCAAUAAUGUAGGUUGUUUUUAUACGUCUAACAACAUAAGUAAGAAAAUAUCUCUUACGCUGUCAACUCAUUUAUUUACUUUUUUGUUCACUUUUUACUUCCCUCUCUAUUUUCAUCAUUGAUCUAUUUAUUCUUAUAAAUAAAAUCAAUGCAUAAUAAAUAAUAUAUUUAACAUCUUAUAAAUUAUAUAUUCAAAUUGUUAUAAUGCAUAUCUUUUCACCUUACUUAUAACUUCUAUUCUUAAAUAUUGUUCUUAACUCUGGGGUAUUUAAUUUUCACGAUUCUUAAAAAUUCUUAUUAAAAUUUUAAAAGUUUAUAGCAAAAACAAUGCAACACUAAAGACACAAUGAGUUCAAAAACUUCUUUUAAGAAAUCAAAGUUUGUAUUCGGUGUAACAAGUAUUCCUACAAAAAUAGAGGAAAUUAAAUAAAAAUUAAUAAUUUUUGUGUGAUACAAUGUAUUAUUAAUUUAGAAAUAUAAUUUCUGCGUGAAAUGCGAAUGAUUUUACUAGUUUAAUAAAAUAAACACUGAAUUAAUAUUUUCAAUGCGUCAACUCAACGCGAAACAAAGAAAUUAUAUAUAGUAUAUUCCUUUUUCCAAUACUACCCUUUCUUGUUUUUAAAUGAAUAAAAAAAUUAGAUCUUCAAAGUAUUGUACAAUCAAUCGCAUUGAUUCCCACAUCUUUUUAUGCUUUCAAUUUAACAAGUUUCCAAUCAAAUACAGGGGAAGCGAAAUGGACAUUCAACAAUAUCAAAGUGUUCUCCAUUACUCAACUUUUGUGCGGAAAGAAGAAAAAUAAUUGAAAAAGUGAACAUGAUUGCAGCAAAUAAUGUAAAAUACUAGUGCUAGGAACAGUAAACAAAGAUGAUGGAGAAAGUGAAGGAAGCUUUACUGAAGUUGCUAAAUUGUUGUGGGCAAGGGCUAGUUCAAGUGGUAAAAUUUGGUGGUCAAAUGGUAGUGGAACUGAUAACUUAUGGUGGACAAGGAGUAAUGGACGUAAUAUAUUUUGGUGCACAGGGAACAUGGAAGAUAGUAAGUAUCAGUAGUAGGCAAGUUCUACCAAAGCUGUUAAAUUUUGGUGGGCAGGUGCUACUGAAAAUGGUAACUUUUACUGGACAGCAACUGUUACCGACGGUGGUAAGUUUUGGUGGGCAACUGCUGCUCAAGGGGGUAAUUUUUGGUUGGUUAGUGAUACCGAAGCUGGUAAAUUUUGGUGGACAGCUGCUGCUGAAACUAUUAAGAUUUGGUGGACAAGGGAUACUGAAGCUAGUAGGCUUCGAUGGGAAGCUGCUAUCAUCAUUUCACAACUUUUUCGGGCAAGUGUCACCGACGAUUAAGAAUUUUGGUGGGCGAACGUUACAAGUGCUUGACAAUUUUAGUUGGCAAGUAAAGAGUUUAUUUGGGCAACUUGUGAGUUGGUUCGAGAGUAUGAAUCAAUUGUUUCAUGCUGCUUCACCCGAGAUCAUAGUUAUCGCGUUGUCUCUAGCACUCAUCCUAUACUGUUGCUACUGCCACGGUGUCUUACUGCUCAAGGUGAUUGAUCUCUUGACUGCUGAAUGUCUAAUGAAAGUUUAUCAUGUAUUGGUCGAACCAAGGUCUACUCCCAUAAUAGUUCUGAUAGCGUCAAUGCCGUAAUUGAUUACAUGUUCUCUAAUUUUGAUGCUUAAAUGUGCUUCUUAGUAGCCUAUAUCAGGUUGUAGAGAUUAACAGGCAGUUAAGUAGUAAUUUGAUGUUGAAAUAUAUGAAUGAACUCCCCGUAAAUUUCGUGUAAUUUCCUCCCUUUCUGUUCUCCACAAAAAAGAGAAGAAGAGCAACCUUGCUUCUAUUAUAUUUGAGAAGGCAGAGUAGUAAAAUGGCUAACAUAAUACUACCUGUUUGUUGGAUAGAAUUUAGUACUCAUUAUGAGGGAAUAUAGUGCACGUAGUCACUUGAAAAAUAUUACCUCUCAUUUCAAUAGUGGGAACUAUGGAUAGGAGUUGCCAAUGCUUUACCAUGCUUUGUUGGAAAAUGAUGGUGGGUAGAAGCUCUUAGGAGAAAUAUUGAAGAGGAAUAUGACUCAAAAAAAGAGAGAGGGGGUGGAUUACUUGUUGGGGAGAACAUGCCCAUGUGGCACUCAAGAGUGUGGUCUAAUGGUCAAUAAAGUGGACGAGAACCAUGAGGUCUCAGACCAAACGAAAACUCGAGGUGAUUUCUUCCCAUCUGUCCUUGUCCUAGUAUUGGUGGAUAAAGUUACCGGGUAUCUGUUGUGAAAUCGUAUAUCCUAGCCUUGGUGGAUAGAGUUAUCUGAUGCUUGCUGUUGGUGGACGGUGAUAGAUGUCCUGUGAAAUUAGUCGAGGUGCGGGCAAGCUGAUACCACAGUUAUUUCAACAAGCCCGUAAUACAACUAUUUGGAGUAGCUUUCGAUAGCUAUUGGGGUAGAUCACUUGUGUCAUUGGCAAGUGUUUACGAAAUUUUGGAAGAUGGUGAUCUGUUUUGAGGGAUCAGCUGGAAGAUGCUAAUCUUGAUGAUGGCUUUGUCGUUUUUUAAAAAGCGAAAAAGAAGUAGGACAGGUAAGUCCCUAACAAGCUGCGUGCUGUGUGUGGACAAUGUUUAAGGAGAGAAAUAGGGUGCUCUCGUCCCUAAUCCUAAAUUAUAGACAUUCUCUUCUUACGUAUAUUUUGAGCAUGCUUCAAGGGCAUUGGUCUAAAAGCAAGAGUAUAGCCAGUGAUGUGUGGUUUAGGUGCAUGUCAAAGGUAAUAUUCACGGGAAAGAGAAGGGUAUAGGGAUGGGUUCAUUAUCCAUCGAGUUUAUGUUAUGUAUCUUUGUUAAUGUGAAUAUAUCAGGUGAGCGUUAUGUUAUUGGCUAGAUUCCUGUUUUGGUUGAAGAUAUACUGUUAUCUGAUGUGCUUUUUACUUACUCAGGAAGAAGAAGCCAAGAAGUUGAAGGAGUUGCUGAAAAGAAAGGAGGCUGAAAGUAUCCGUUUAUCAGAAAUCGAGAAGAGGCAAAAACAACGUGUGGAGGAAAUGAGAGAAACACAAAAGAAGGUAUGACAACUUGGCUUCUUUUGUUGUCUAUUUCGCGGCUUUGUGCAGCCUCUUUAUCUCUAUAUUUCUUUGUAUCUUUCUCCAUGCCACUUAUGAUGCCUCGGUGUUAUAGCAUAUUUGGAUUUUACCUAGUGUAUGAACCAUCUGAUGAAUCUGUUUAGGACCUAGAGAAUACGAAGUUGAAAGAGCAGUUACGAACCGAAGUUGGAAAGGAACUUGAUAAGCUUGAAAUGGCAUGCCGUGAUAUGGCUUCAGUGUUGCGCGGAUUGGGAAUCAAUGUUGGUGAUGGCACUAGUCACGAGGUUUGUUUACACCCAGUCACUAAAUAUUUUCAAUUUUCGUAAUUUUGAAUUACCAGAAUUCUGAAAAUAAUUUCAGAGAACAUACUUUUGUGAAACAUUGGCAUUCUUAUUUUGCUUUCGCCCUGAUUUGGUGGUUGGUGGUCAUUUGAUCCUGUCGUUUCGCAUUCUGAUCUAUGUACCUGUUUUAUCUUUCUCGCAGUAUUGUCUCGUCUUAUUGUGUACAUUGGCUGUAGUAAUAAGUCUGUGUUGAGACUUGGCUCUCCAGAUUCGCGCCCAUAUUUCAGCAUGCCGCGUACUUAAGAUGAGCUAGUCUUCAGGAUAUGCAGCCACUCUUCUAAUUUCUUGUGUUUUCAAGUGCAAUUUUGGCAGUUAUACUUGAUUUUGUCUUACAAUAUUCUCAGUAUGACCGUCUCUUUCUUCUAAUUCUAUUUGUGAAGUGUUAGUAGCAGUUAGAAUGAUAGCACACGAGACAUUACUUAUAAUAAAUUCUUGUUUCAGGUGCGCGUUGCUUACAGAAAAGCCUUGAUGAAAUUUCACCCGGAUAAAACUUCCCAAUCUGAUAUACGACAUCAAGUUGAAGCUGAGGAGAAGUUUAAGCUUAUUUCUCGAAUGAAGGACAAAUACUUAACUUUAUGACUGUGACAUAAGAGAUAUAUGUAGUUUGUUCUCUGUAAAAAGAUUAUUAGGAUGGAAAUUUUUUGUAUAGGCCUUCAAUGCUCGAGCUUUUUUCACUAUGUGAAAAGUUGCACUCAAAAAUGGCCAUGGCCUGGGAGGCCCUUGUACUUGUCCCGGAUUGUCAUCCCGCCCCCUCCACUCCCUACUUUGCUAAUGGAAUACUUAAACCCUUUGAAACUUGACAUUUAAUGAUAAAUUUUGAUCAGUCCUUAGUUGCCAUGAGGUUCAAAGAAAGAAUUACAUGUUUUCUUCAGCUAACGGACUUAUCAGAGCAUUUCGUUAACAUGCAUAUAGGCAAACCUACUAGAAGAAACCCAAAGUUGGUAAAUAUUUGAAUAUUGGCUCUAUGUUAAGGUGCUUUGUUAUAUAUAUAUAUAUAAUUAUAGUGUGCGCCGUGCGCAUUAAUUUGUGUCCACUCAAUUAAUUCCAUGAGAUACCUAUCACUUCUCAUACCAUGUAAUUUUGUCCACUUAUUGACUAGGAAGAUGAGGCCUAGUGAUUUUGUCUAUGCUCUGAGAACUCAUGGUGCUAAUCAACCCACUUCAUUGAGUACUAAGACAAACCCUCGGUCUCCGGUGCUAACUGGUCUUACCAUUUUCAUUCAACACAUUGUGGAAUAUUGUUUCCCGAUGCUUAAACGUUAGGAGGUAAAAUGGAACUGACCCAAGUUUUAACCGCGACUACUGUACUCCUAGUGUCAAAAUAAGUUUUGAAGGCAAAUUUUAUCCUAUAUAGGAUUGAGUUACUCCCUAUACGUUCAUCUUUACUCAGAUUACCUUUGAAUAUAAUAAAUCGUAUUUAGUGCUAAGUGUUGAAUGGGUAGAAAUAAAUAAAUUAUUUAUUAAUUUUAUAAAUCGAACAGAUAUUGUUAAACAUUUUAAAAUAAAAUAGUGGACAAAUAAAAAUGUCGGAGAGAAUAGUUGUCUACAAGUGCAUAAAUGGCUGCAUGCAUAUAUAUUGUCGACUAAUCCUUCCACACUUGCCAAGUGACCAUAUAACAUUUCAUAUAUAUUAUAAAAAAAUCGUUUAGGCCACAAAAAUUUGGUCCAAGUUUGGUCAUAAUAGUAAAAAAAUAUAUUCAUACUAUAAAUUAGUAAUUGACUUUUAGACAUUUUUGCUUUUUUUUUUAUCCAAAAUUUAAAUUUUUAAGACUAUUUUAUUUACUACCAUUUCCCAAUAUAUUGAAGACUAUUCUAAUACAUGGGAAUGAACAAUUUAUGCAUUCUAUUUUAAUUAUUUAAUUUUUUUAAUUAAUAAUUGCAUAAUUAAAUAGUUGUCAAAUGUAGUAGUGUGUAAUUAAGAAAAUAAAAAUUAAUCAGUACAAAUUUAUUUAUUAGUUGUUCGUUACAUUUUUUUUUAACGUUUGAAGUAGUUUAAUUUUAGUUAAAUUUUAAUUACGUAUAGUUUAUACUUUUUACAUUUUUCGGGAAAUUUAAUUAAAUUGUUUAUUUAUUUUUUAUCAUGCUUGUUCAAUUUUAUGAUCUUUUUUAAUGAAUAUGAAAACUAGUGUAUGAAUAUAGAAUUUUAAUAAUAAAAUAUUUUGACAUGCUUAAAAUUUUGUUACUUUACAUUUUUUAUAGAUAUAUUUACUAAAAAAAUAAAUCAUAGUUAAAUGUAAAAAUUUAUUUUGCUAAAUAAUUUAGCAAUAAUUUUUUUUUUUGUAACAUUCGUAGAAAUAGAUGUGGCUAAAAUUUAUUUACCAUUUUUUCAUGGUCCAUGACUAAGAAUUUAUACUCAUUGCUAUGUAAUUUUAUUAUAUUGUAGACUGUAAUUAUAAAUAAAUAUUGUUUUAUAAGAAAUAUACAUAUAGUAAUUAAUUUUAUUCACGACAAAUAAUUUGUAUCUAUCUACAUAUAAUUAGCGAGAAUUUGUAAGAAAAAAAUUAGAUUAAGUAUAGUAAUUAAUAAAAUAAUUAGGCAUAAUAAUCUAUUUAUUCAGAUUAUAUUUGAAACUUAUAAAUAAGAUCCUGUAAAUUUGAAUUGAGCCAAAUAAAAACACCUCUAAUCAAAUGAUAAUUCUAUAAACACUUGAUUAGGAUGAAGCUUGAGUGAAAAAUAUUUUAUUUUGGUUUAAAUUUUUUAAAUUAUUUACUCAAAGUUAAUAUAAUCAUUUAUUUUUUUAAAAAUUAUACUUAAAACUUACAAGUUAUGAAAUUAGAAGCAUCAUUGACAACAUUAAUUAAACUAGCUUGAUAAAGAUAUCAUUUCGAUGAAACAAUUCUAAAGUAAAAUUUUUUAAAGUUAAUUUGUUUAAAUUUGUUAUAAUUAGUUAAUGAAAAAUAACUAAAUUUAAUCACUAAUCUAUUUAAGUAUAAAUUAUUGUACAAAUACACUCCUCUGAUAAUUAUGUUCAAUUAUUAGUCUUUGGUUCAAUUAAUUCUAAAUAAAUUUAUAAUAAUUACUAAUUAAUUUAGUUUAAUAGUAGACCAUAAAAUCAUUGUUAAGAUAUAUGAGGUUUGAGACUUCGAAUAAAAUAACAACUGCCAUAUCGAGACAAAACUUGAGUGAGGCAUAGUAAAAUUUUGUUUACAUUCGUUAUAAAUCACAAAUUGAAAGCAAUUAUAUUAUAACUAGUGGUAAUCACCGUGCUUCGCGCGGUUACAAACAACAUUAGUACAAAUUUAUUCUGAUAGAUGUUGUUUCAAAUUAUUAAAAUGCUAAUGAUUUAGUUUUAUUAUAUGUAUAUAUUAAUUAUUUUUAUAUUAUUGAUUAAAUUACAAAUCUUUACUUGUGUUUUAAGUAUUUUGUUAGAUAAUAGACUUUUUGUUUUUCUUUUUUCUUGUGUAUACCUAAACAACAUAAUAAUGGUAUAAAUAAUUACAGAAAUUUAUAGCAGAAAAAAUACAAAUUAAAAGGAAGAGCUAAAGUUUUGCUAUCAAUCUAAAAGACAUUUAUAAUCUACUUACCUAUAAAAGGAAAAGGGACCAAUAAAAUUGUGUCAAAGCACAGUAGGUCAACAUGCCUGCUUUGGCAUAAUUUCUUUGAUCCUUUUUAUUUCCUCCUUUUUUUUCUUUAUUUUAAUGUUUUUAUCUUAUUUUUUUUUAUAUAUACUGAUGAUUGAUUUUUCAUGAAGAAAAUGAAUGCUUGGAGUAGUAAAUAUUUAGACUUUUAAAGUGUAUAAUAAAAAAUGAAUAAGUGGAAUAAUAAAUUUUGAUAUAUGUAAGUUUGAAUAUAUUUAGGUUGUUACAAUAAUGAUAUAAAUAAUGAAGGAUUAAUAAUUAACAUAUUUAUUUUUGUACAAUAAUAAAUAAAGAAGUAAAUAGAAAUAUAUAAAAAAUUACCAAAAAAAUAAAUAAGAAAUAUGAAACAAAUCGAGGAACACCGAACAGUAUAUGGAUGACCCCAUAAUGACAAAGAACUUGACUCGUCUAAUGGAAGCAAAGAAAAUAAGUCUAGAUUUCCUAGAAAAUGAAAUUGAAAGUAAUCAAAAUGUGCAUGCUUCGUACUUUAUUGUAUUGGAUUUUACUAACGUCUAAUGUUGACUGAGGAAUUCCAAGAAAGUGCUGCUUAAGAAUUAGCAAGACGACUUUCAUUCUUUCUUCAAAUAUUCCUCUUUUCUCAAAAUCUAACAGAUGAACCCCAGGAUGACUUCCCAUCUUUAGCGUUGAUUUUUCUUAUCCAAAUAACAACCGAAGCCUCGAUCUUGUACUUGAGCUCUCUAAAAUUUUAUGUUCUGACGACAUGUCCAUAGUUGUGAAGAAGUAAUCUAGAUCAAAUUGUUCUUUGGUGAUGCUUUUGUAGAUCGAAUCUCCUCGGCUUGCUCUCCUAUUCUAAAUAUAGUAAAAGGAAAAUGUUAACUCAAGAUCACAAACCUGAAGUAAGUUAAAAGUGAGAUUCGUGAUUUUUUCCUUUUACAUACCUUUGGUAGGGAUUCUAUAUACCUUUCUGAAAUUGCUAUUUCUGACAAGACUUGAGAAUUUAUGUCAGUGACUGCUUUAUGAACUUAGUUUACUGAAUCCUUCUGAAGUCGCAGUCAUUUUAUCAUAGAAUCAAACAAGCCAUUAGGAAGAGCCUUAGGAGCAGGUAUCCACCAUUUGUCAUCUACAAUUCAGAUAAUUCUACAAUGACAUAAGGAAAAUGAAAACAAAAAAAAACUUCGUAUCUCUUACAAUAAGUAUCACAUCUAGCUUGCAUAGUGUUGGAAAGUUCAUUUGAAGACCGGACCUCUGCUUUGUUACCAUAACCUGGUAAAUAAAUGAACAUAUGAUUACUCUUGUUGUCUGGUAAAUAUACGCAAUACACAACAAAGAGAGAAAGAGAUAGGUACCUCCAAGUUUGUUCCACCUUUUGAUUUUUGUUUACAAGGAACAAAUUCAAUAAUGUGAUCGUGACAGAUAAAAGACAACCAAUUUCUUUUCUCCAUUUAUAAUGUAAUACAUAACUAAAACCAUUGACUAAAUGUUGAAUAGAGCAAUAAAACUCGCAUUACCUAAUGUGUAGCUGAAGAUUGAGCACCAAAUCAUAAUUCCUAUGUCCCCUGAUUAUUGGAGAUAUAUAUAAAUUAUACAAAAUGAUACAGGGUGGUUUUUCAAUUCUCCCAUUACCCUUGCCUUAAUUACAAAAAUCAUUAAUGAUAGUCAAUAAAGAGGGUAAAAUAAUAUUAACUUUUAAUAAGAAAAAUAUAAUGUGGCACAAUCAUAAAACGGUAAAUGCAAAAUUUUUUUUUUCAAUUCUCCCAUUACCCUUACCUUAAUUACAAAAAUCAUUAAUGAUAGUUAAUGGUAACCUUUUAAUAAGAAAAUAAGGAAAAUAUAAUAUGGCUUAAUUAGAAAAGAAAACGAUAAAUUUAAAAAUGAUUAGAAUAUGUAUAGAUUAGAAUAAUCAUUAAUGAUAGUUAAUAAAUAUGGUAAAAUGUUAUUAAUUUUUAAUUAGAAAAUAGGAAAAAAAUGAGAGAAAAUGCCCAAAAAAAAUGACAAAAAAGAUAAAUGAAAUGAUGACUUUAGAAGCAUGCCACAUCAGCAUUCCUAUAUCUUUCCUUUAUAUAUAUAUAUAUAGAGAGAGAGAGAUUACUUAUUUAAUUAAAUUAUAUUACAAAUUUACUAGUAAGACCUAUUAAGAUUGAAUCAAAUCAAAUUAUGUUAUAGUCACUUAUUUAUCUAAACCAUAUUUCAAAUACUAAUAAAAUUCGAUAAGAUUGAAUCAAAUCAAAUGAGUAACACAUUUAAUUAUCUUAUAUCGAUGGCGUUUGAUUUUAUAAUAAGGAUUAUUCAAUCACUAUAUAGAUGUGAUAUAAUAUCUCACUCUCAAAUGUAACCUUUUUAGUUUUUAGUGUUGCUACAACAAAUUUCUACUCAAGAUAAAAAAUAAUUAUUAGCUAUAAAAUUUUAUCAAAAAUCAUUUCGCCAUAACAAAUAGUUACGGAACUUGAAGCAAAAUUAUUUAGAACUUGAAAUAAAAAUACUUAUUUAGUUACAUUAUUUUUCUUGAGAUAAUUUAUUGUACCUAAAAAGUUAAUAUUAUUGUUGUAAUUUUAUUAUGACAGGGACAUGUCAAAAAAUACUUAUGCGAGAGAAUCCUUUUAGUGAAAAAGGAUAAGAGUGGAUUUCACUUUCAAGCAAUUAAUGAUUAAUAUAUGUAGUUUUUCUCUACUACUUUUACCCCUCGUAUGUCUUCUUUUUUAAAAAUUAUUACGAAAUUGAACCAAUAAUUUUGAUGAAUAAUUAAUUCUUAUUUUUAUUUUAUAAUUUGUUAAUAAUUAACUGAGUUAUGUGAAAAUUGUGGAACUAAACUAUGCGUGUUGUACGUGAAAAUUAAAAAGAAUUGAAAAUUGAAUAACUGAAAUCAAAGAUAGGUAAAAUUUAUUUGCUAUCACCUAACAUUGAUUCUAUCACAUAAAAAAUUGGCUUCAAUUUUGUUAAACAUAAACGUAAUUUAACUUUAAAAAUUAAUAUAUUCAUGACAUAAAAGUAUUCUACCUUAAAAAUUUAGUACACACAAAUUAUUUGACCACAAUUUUGUUUACUAUUUAGAAAAUAACAUAUUAAAGGGCAUAUCAAUAACAAAUGUCAAUAAUAAAUAAAAAUGCUUAAUCAAAGGACAUAUUAAUAACAAAUAUCAAUAAAUAGAACUUAAAUUUAUUAAUUAUUAUAUUUGUUAUUAAUAUGUCCUUUAAUUAAGCAAUUUUAUUAAUUAUUAUAUUUAAAUAAAUUUAAGUUCUAUUUAAAUAUAAUUUAAAAAUAUUUCAAUAUCGAUAGUCAAAAUUCAAAUACUUUAAACAUGGUAAACAUCGAUAUAUUAUAAAAAUUAUAUUUUAAUAGAAGUAUCGUAAAUCACAAUAAUUAAAAAUUUAAAUUAUUUUAAUGAUUGAUUAUCUAAAUUAUAUUCUUGUCACAUAAAUUGAGUACGUCUAGUAUCUAUAUAAAUGUGAAAUCAUUCUCUCUCUUUCUCUCUCUCUCUCUCUCUCUCUCUCUCUCUCUCUCUCUCUCUCUCUCUCUCUCUCUCUCUCUCUCUCUCUCUAUAUAUAUAUUUAUCUUUUUUCUCCUUUUUUUGGAGCUUUUAUUAUUUUAAAUUAAUAUAUUAUGUAUUAAAAAAAUGAAAAGCUACUUCACAAAAGACAUCUCUUAAAUUCUCUUAAACAUAUUUUAAUGUAUUUAUUGAAUUUCAUAAAUGUUAUAAUUUCAUGUGCGUUACAAUCUUUUCACCUCCCACAUAUUCUCAUAAAUUCACAUUGAAUCUUUAUUUAUAGAUAAUGGAUGAAUGCUCAAUUGUGUUUUUCAAUCUCUAAUUUUUUUUUUAUUUUUUUUUAGUUUUAGCAUGUGUCUAAUUUGUUUAAUUUUGUGUUAGUAAUUCCUGUUUUCAUUUUUAUUGUAUGAAAUUUGCAGAAAGUUUGUUAAUGCAGCAAAUAUUGAUAAUAUGGACAUAACAUCAUCUCUUUCUUUAAUAAGAUACAAGGUAUCCUACUUUUAUUUUAAACUUUGCAUUUUAAGCUCUAACUAUUCGUCUUAGAAUUAUAAUAAAGUUCAUAUUUUCAUGAGGAGAUCGAUGAAGUUUUUAAUAUUCUUUACAAUGUUUAUAUUUGAAGUUUUUGCAUUUUAAGCUCUAACUAUUUGUCUUAAAUUCUAAUGAAAUUCAUAUUUUCCUGAGAAGAUCGAUGAAGUUUUUAGUAGUCUUUACAAUGUUUAUAUUUUAAGUUCUAAGAUACAAGGUAUCCUACUUUUUAUUUUAAACUUUACAUUUCUCCUUUUUUUGAUAUUUUUUAUUUUUUCUUAUUUAUAAAUAAAAGAGUUAAUAAUAUUCUACAUUAUUUAUUGAGCAUUAUUAAUAAUUAUUAAUAAUUGGUGUAGUUAAGCUAAUGGAGAAUUGAAAAGCUCCAUUAUUUUUAAGUUUAUCCAUUAUGCCUUAAGAGUGGUUUAAAACUUUUUCCUCUCACACAUUUAAGAAGGACUGUUAAGUUUUUUUUUUUUUUUUUUUGUUAUUUAAAGAGAUUCAUCUUUCUCUUAUGCACCAAAUAAUGCUCCAUAUCUUAAGAUCUUUAUAUGCUAUUCCUACCACCAUCUUCAUACCUCAUUCAUGGUGACAAUUAUCUCUACAUUUUCCUCCUACAUUUUUUUCAUAUUAAGAUUUUCCUAUUUUUCAUAAGAAAUUAAACUUCUUCUUUUUGAAGUUUUUGUCCAUCAUUUUAAAGUUUGUCCAUCAUCAGUAAGAAGCAUGCGAGUUUCCAUCAUCAGUAAGAAGCAUUCACGCAUGAUGCUUAACACACCUUUGAUUCUGAAGAGUUUUAAAUCACUUUCAAGUUUGUUCAUUAGUGACAAGCAUUCUCGCACGAUUCUCAUAUACCUGUACUCAAAAGGAUGGGUGAGUUUGAUUUGAGUGUUCAUUAAUCCAACGGAUUUAUAUGUUUCGGAGUAUUGAGCGUAUUUUGAUCAACACAUAUUUUUUAGAUAUAGAGGGUGUUAAAUGGAGUUCCUUCGUAAGAUCAUUGCUUUUACGAAUGUAAUUACAAAAUAAUGUUUAUCUAAGAAAAUUGACUAACCUAAAAUGUUAGCUACUAAAUUUUAGAAGCUAUAUUAAUAUAUUAAUUAAAAACUUUCUUUGUCUUGUGUAAUAAAUAAUGUAGAUGUUAUAUGUAGAUGUUGUAGCAGUUUUUAUGAUUAGACUUGUAUUUUUUGUUUCUUUUGAGUCUUUUAGAAUGAUAACCUACAAAUUAUAUGUUCUUUCAUCAUUUUAUUUUUCAACUUCUUUUUGAUAUGAUAUAAGUUACAUUAUGUCAUUAUUAAAAGAAAUCUCUUAAAUUCUUAACAGUCUCACCUAAAUUCAAGAAAUCACUUAUUACCUUUGCUUUUUUUUAGUUGUGAAUUAAGUUUUGCACAAUCAAUAGUUAGGAGUGUAGUUUGACUAAUCUAAAUCUUUAUUAAUUCUUUAAUUUUGUCCCUCUGAACACUAAAAUAAUUAAUUUUUUAUUGAUUUUUAAAAUUGACAAGUAUUUAAAAACAUCUAUAUUUAAAAUAUACAAUAAUUAAAAAGAAACGGGAGAAAUGUCAUAUGAAAAAUUCUCUUUUCAUUUUAGACGUUACUUAAUUCACAAUUGGUGAAAAGAAUUAAAAACUCUUAGACAAAAAAAGUGAUAGACCAUAACAUUAUAUGAUAAUCUAUUUUAUUUUUGUUUAUUAAACAUUGUAGACACCUAAUUUUAUUCCUCCCGAAGUCCAAUUUUAUCCAUUUUUAGCUCACCUUAUCACGCACCCUCACCCAUGUAAUUAUUCCUCCAUAAAAUGACAAAAAUAAUAACCCUUAACUAAUUUUAUCUUAUUCUAACAACCUCUCCCUAUUAAAUUUUAACACCUCACAUACCCCACCUCACCACCUACCCCACCUAACCCCUACCCCUACAUACCCUUCCUCUCUCACGGGAUACGCAAAAAAAAGACUCACUGGAGGCCCACCACUAAGAAAAUGGGGGGAAUCAUCACAUAUAUACAGAGAAUUUACACGGGGGAACACAAUUCAGUUGGGGGCCAUUUUUUUCGAAUCUUGGACCGAAAUAAGUCAUUUUUUGAAUCAAUUCACCAAAGUAAUUUGUAUUUUGAAAAUUUUACAAAACUAGUAUAAACGUUGUUCCCAAUAACAUUUUAUGUUUUAAAAAGGUUAACGGCUCAAACGGAAUUGGCUUUAGACGUUAGAAUAUAAAACGUUACUCACAGUAACGUUUUGACAUAAAACGUUACUCUCGGUAACGUUUUGGACAUAAGAUGUUACCGCCAGUAACGUUUCUCUGUAGCUUUGCCACCCAAGAAUCUCUGUACAAAUCUGACAUUAAAUACGUUAUCACCAAUAACGUUUUAGCUGUAAAACGUUACUCCGAAUAACGAUUCUAUUAAAUCAACCCAACAACUUUUUUGAUCGAAAUUUUGCCUUGAAAUCGUAAUCACUAGUCACAUUUUUAGUUAAAAACAUUACUGUGAGUAACAUUUCUAGCGAAUCAAAUCACAGACCUGCAAAGUUUUAGGACAACAGAUUAUAUAAGUGACGAUAUGUAUAAAAUGUUCAAACACAUUUUUACAAUCCUAACCAAAGCUUUUGCUUAUGUGCUUUAUUCUAGAAGCGACAUUUACAAAGUUUUAAUAGGUAUGGCUAGCCAAUAUUUUGUAAUGCAUUAAAAUUAUUUUGAUGUUUUAAUAAUUAUAAUACAUAUCUUAUUUUUGUGUAUAGCAGAAAAAUGGCUAAUUUUGAAGAAAAUGUGAUGGUUGCUUUGUAUUGGCGUGGUGAAAUAAUUUCUGAAAUGAGCAGAUUUAGAUACAACGAAGGUGCUAGAAUGAUUGUUAGCAUGUCUAUUUCAACUAGCUACGUUGAACUAGUUGCAAUGUUGCAUGAAAAAAUGAGGACAAAUAGUGAAAAUAUUCAAAUGGAUAUUUCUGGAAAAUAUCUAUGCUCAUUUCAAGGUAACAUUACAAGGUUUAUUGAAUUUAAAAUAGAGAAUGACCAGUCUUUGCUACAAUUUCUUGUCAUUCCUAAAAAAUUUUCAAAUAAAAUUGAUAUAAAUCUUUUGGAGAUGUAUGUAAAGACUAGACCAACAAAUCAUGAUAAUCUAUUUCAAAUGAAUGGUCAGCAUGGUUAUCAUAUGAAUUUAGUAGCUCAAAAUUAUGGAUUUGCCAUGCUCAGUCAUCUCAUUUUGCAUAUACUGCAACCCCUAGUAUCCAUCAAUCACUUGAUGCAAGCCCUAACGAACAUGAGUAUCAAUCAUAUGAUGAAGGAUUAAGUAGUCAAGGACACAUUGAAAGUGUCCACAAACAAUAUGAGAUCAGGUGGGUGAUCUUUACUUUUUUUGAAACUAUAAGAAAUCUUAUGCAUCACUGCUUCACCAAUUCAUUAUUUUUUUUUCCACAGAGAAGAUGAGGAUAACUUUGAUUUNNNNNNNNNNNNNNNNNNNNNNNNNNNNNNNNNNNNNNNNNNNNNNNNNNNNNNNNNNNNNNNNNNNNNNNUGACGAUGGCAAAAAAGAUUUAAAAAAAGAAAUGUGUUUUAGCAGCAAAGAUAGAUUGAAACGGGCUGUGACAAUUUGGAGUUUGCGCAAAAAUAAAGAAUUCAUAGUUGUAACAUCAAGCAAGAAACUAUGAAUUGUCAGAUGCAGGUUUCACGAAUCAUUAGGUUGUCGAUUGUUUCUUCGAGGCCGAAAGAUUGGAGGUAGCCUUUGGAAGAUAUGAAAGUAUUUUGAUAAUCAUAGAUGUGAGACUGAAGGGCUUACUACAGGUCACGCUAACCUAGAUACCAAUUUAAUUGCAUCUUUGUUUCUAAAUCAAAUAUGUAAAAAUCCCAAAUUGUUGGUAGUAGAUGUCAUUUCUAAGGUUCAUGAGAUAUUUGGUCAUCAAGUAACAUAUAGGAAAGCGUGGCUUAGACAUCAACGAGCAUUUAAAUUAGUGUAUGGUGAUUUUCGGAAAUCAUUUAGUGAGCUUCCUAAGUUUUUUGCAGCUUUUCAAUACUUUAACCAUGGAAAAAUUGUAGAAUGGAAACACGAAGAGUCAAUGAGUUCUUUAGAGGUAAAAACGUUUAAAUUUGUAUUUUGGGCUUUCAAGCCAUGAAUUAAUGGAUUCCGAACUUGUCGUCCAGUUAUUUCAGUAGAUGGAACCCAUUUGUAUGGUAAAUAUGAGAUAAAAUUAUUAUUUGCUGUUGGAAUUGAUGGAAAUGAUAACAUUCUUCCUCUAGCAUUUGCUAUUGUUGACAGGGAAUCGAAAGAGGCAUAAUAAAGGAUAGAAGAUGUAUGUAUUAUCUAUGAUAGGGCAAAAGGAAUCUUAGCUAGUUUAUCGGAGUUGUGACAAUUCCAGGAGCCUCGGGCCUUUCAUCGAUUUUGUGUAAGACAUCUUAAGAGUAACUUUCAAUCUUAUUUUCCAAAUAGGAAUCUCAGUGAUCUGAUGUGGAAUGCUACAUCGGCUCAUCAAGUAAGGAAGUUCGAAGCUUUGAUGUGGGAAAUCAGGGAAGAAAAUUAAGAAGCAUAUGAUUAUCUCAUGCAAUUUUCAUUGGACAAAUGGACGAUUAGCCAUGAUUAUGGAAAAAGAUGGGAAGUGUUGACAACAAAUCUUUCAGAGUCUUUCAACGGUCUUCUAAAGAAAGCUCAAGGAUUGCCUGUCACUGCCAUGGUGAGACUUUCAUUGGAGUAAAUAAUUGAACGGUAUACCCGUAGAUCUCAAAUAGCGCACCAACUUGUAGAGCAAAAGGAAUUAUGGACAAGCAGGUUCAAAGUAAAGUAGGAGAAGAACUACAAAUGUUCAAAAAGACACUUUGUUUUUGAUUGGAAUAUAUCCACUGGGACAUAUGAGGUUAGAUCUAUUCAAGUUGAUGGUACUGGUGGUAAUCCUCAUCGUGUUUCACUAAAUGAUAAAAAAUGUGAUUGUGGAAAAUGGGCUAAUUUGCACUUUCCGUGUUCACAUGUCAUGAAGGUUACUGAAAGAAUGGGAGGGCUAGCUAGAAAUUUUGUUAGCGAGCAUUUCACAACAGAGAAUUAUGUUGCUACAUAUUCCGGGUCAUUCUCACCGGUUGGGCACGAGGCAUAUUGGUCAUCUCCAAGUUUUAUAAUGAGAAGUAAUGAAUUCUAUCGUCGUCCUAAUCGACAAAGGACAACUAGAGUACCUAAUGAGAUGGAUCGUGGUCCUGCAGUAUAUGGGCGAGCUUGCGGGUUGUAUAGACAGACUGGACAUGAUAGGCGCCUAUGUCCAACUCGUAAUCAAACUUAAGUGGGUACUCUUAAAAUUUCUAACCGUUUUAAGUCUAAUGAAUUCUGUUUUGUGGAUUAUUUCUAAGUCUAAUAAUUGUUUCAUGAAUUAAUUGAGUAGAAAUCUUGUACCAACAUUCCAGCUAGCAUUUGUAGCAUUAGUACUUAAGACAUAAGAGUUGUUGGUGUUUUAUGUGAAAUGAUUUCCGAUAGAGUUUGCAACUCUUUUCUAUCUUUCAAAUGUCAUCUGUGAGUAUUAUGUUUCAUCUUAUAAAAGAACUUCAUUCCAGCUAGCAUUUGUAGCUAUGCUUCGGUUUUUAGUAGUAGUAUCAUGAUUCAUAGCCGGUCAAUAUAAUUUCUAGUAGCAAUUGUACGUUGCUUUGUACUGUGUGUUUUUUCUGCUUACAAACGCACCUAAAGACAAAUCAAAUAACUUUCUAACACUUUCCUUCUGCUUCCUUAGCAACCAAACGUACCCAAGAAAAAUGGCUAGAAUAUUGUAGGCUAGAAUAUUGUAAGGCACGUCAAGAACUCAAUCUUUGAAAUUCCAUAAGUUGUAUAGUCUUCUAUGAAAUUCCAUAAGAAAAAAGGACACUCUUUAGUUUACAGUGAAAACAGUGCAAUUCCUUACUGCUACAGGCUGGAGAAUUUUCAGCCGCAGCUUUUAAAGCAUCCUCUGAAUUCAAUCGUGCUAACGUCCAUGGGCUAAUCUUCACAACAACUGGAUUCUUUUUCUUAAUUUGUUCUUAUGCUGUUGACCUUUUACCAAGUGAACUGACUGAUACGGUGUCAGGAGGAACUACAUCAUACUGCAGGGAAACACGAAAAGAUUAAAUAAAAGUUAGUAAAUUAACCUUUUUCUAUGCACUUAUACAAAAACAUUAAAGCAUAAACUUUCCAGCUCAAGAGGUAUACUUGAUACUACACAAUCCCUCUUAUCCAUGCCAUACUGUUCUUGAUCCUCUUAACUAUAAUUAGACCAUAUGAAGUUAUACCGAAUACAACCAGAUAAUCCCUUAAUGGUUGUAACAGCCAUACCAAAGAAUCAACUCAAGAGGAACUGUUCAAGAUUUGCUAAAAUAUCCUAUAUCUUUUGGCAACAUAAGAGACCUACCAAGCUCAAGAUUAAACAUAGUUUCUGUAAUACCCCAAAAAAUUUUCUUCGUAAAGAAUUCGUGAGAAAAGUAUCGAGUUCUACGCUUUAGAGCGAUCCAUAAAUUUUCUGUGUAGUAUUUCUAAGACGUUGACCUACCAUUGUGUAUAUUAUUGAAUAAGAUUUCCAACUAUAUUUAUAUCAUCUAAAACGGACACUCGAGCGAUGAGUUACGACCAUUCCGAUCGAACUGUGAACAGUAAAAUAUGCAGGAAAUUAAAAUUACUGCAGGCAGGCGAAUUUUAGGGUCAACUUCAAACGAUCAUAAAUCCAUGUACAUAAUGAUCUGGGUGAUAUACUAUAUAUCAAUGGAAAUAUCUGCGAGUUCUCUUUCUAAUGAAAUUGGUUUCAUCCAAUUUGACUAGCGGAGAAAAAAGUUAUAGUCAAUCUAGUUCAGCGCCUAUCAAAAGCGAAUUUUUGGAUCAACUUCAAACGACCAUAACUCCUUGUACAUAAUGAUCUGAGUGAGCUACUAUAUAUCAACGGAAAUCUCUAAGAUUCCUCUUUCUAAUUAAAUUGCUUUCAUCCAAUUUGGCUAUCGGAGUAAAACGUUAUGGUCGAUCUACUACAGCCUAUCAAAACAGUCCACCAAUGAUUGAAUGAAUAAACUUUGAUUUAUAUGAUUAUCUCAAUGUUUUCAUGAUAUGAUUUAAUAGUUAUCAUUGCGAAUUACACACUUUUAUCACGAGGUGGUAUUUUGAAUAAUUUUGGAACGUAUGUCGAGAUGAUAUUUUGGAAUAAUAUUUUGAGAUAUGUGUGUAUUUUGGAAUAACGUUACUACUUUUAUGGUCCGUUAAGUUUUUACUCCGUUACUUUUGACCCUUAUAUAUUUUUAAUAAAAUAAUAGGGUAAAAAGUUACUGACAACUACGUAUAUACUAGUUUCAUAAAUUUUUUAUAAAGCAUAUUAUUUUGGUCAAUUGCUUCAUAAAAUGGUUUAUUUGAGUCAAAAAUUCCAAAAGUAACAGAGUAAAAAUUUAACGGACCAUAAAACGUUACUAGUAGUAACGUUUUAUGGAUAAGUCGUGACUGCCAUUCUUUUUUUUUUUGUUUUAAAAGCAAAUAAAAAUGAGACUUAAAGUAUUUUCAAGUGUAGCCGUUUCCCUAAUUUUGAAAGAAAUCCCCAAUUCUCUUCUCUCCCUCUCGUCUCUGUCUCUCAUAUCUCGUCUCUCGUCUAUCGUCUAUGGCUUCUUACUUUGUUUUUUUAGCAAUUUCAAUCAUCUGUGGUUGAUUCAAUUGAUAGUGCAAUCUCUUUCAUCGAAGUAAUUAAUCAUUCGUGUUUCAGAUUUAGAAACCCUAGCCUCAAGUUUUGGUAUGAAUAUACUCUCUGUUCUCCUUGCCUCAACUUGACUCUCUAUUUUAAAAUUUAUAUUUCUCGAAUUUUAUUCAACUAUGCUCAAAAUUAUGAACAAUUAUUUGUAGACAAAGAAAUGGGAUAUUUUUUGAAGGAGAAAGAAUUAUCUGUAGACUUUGUUAGAGAAUAGUUUUUCCUUUAUGGCUGGUUAAUUUGUUUAUUAUAGUGAAAAUAUUUACUUAUGUAUAGGUACCUUUUUUAUGGCUGGUAGUAGUUCAUACAAGUUGGAUCCUGGGCCACUUGAACCGUCUGUAUUAACUGAACAACUCACUUAUAGGUUACGGGAUAUAUGGGAUGGAAGUGUUGAUAUGGUUCUUAAUACGAGAAAGAGUGAUGGAGGUUUUUAGAAGCUCGCAGAAAAAUAUCCUAUCCAUCCACGAGUUUUAGAAGUGAUUAGAUUAUCUGGAUUGUAUGGUGUUUAUAGAUGUAAUAGGUCUGCUAUCGAUCGUAGUUUGAUCACUUCAUUAGUUGAGCAGUGGCGUCCUAAAACACAUACUUUACACUUUAGAACAGGUGAAACAACUAUCACCUUGCAAGAUGUCGAGGUGUUGUAUGGAUUACCCGUGAAUGGUGCUCCGGUACUUGGUACUGAGACGACGAGAACUAUUAGAGAUUGGUAAAACAUUUGUCAAAGAUUAUUAGAUUUUUUUCCAUCUCUUCAGAACUUUAAAAAUAGUUUCCUCAAGGUCUCCACGCUUAAAACACACCUGCUAAGUGAGCCAUAAUUGUCAGACAUGUCAACCCAAGAAAUAGUCAAUCAGAAGGCUAGGUGUUACAUAUUUUGGAUAAUUGCGGGUAUGAUGAUGGCAGAUACAUCUGGUGCUUAUUUGAAGCUUAUGUACCUGCCUAUGCUCGAGGAUGUCAAUGCAAUUGGGUAUUAUAGUUGGGGUAGUGCAACUUUAGCGUACUUGUAUCGUGUAUAUAUAUAUAUAUAUAUCAGGUUUGGGCAGGGGAGAGGAUCACUGUCCUUUGGCCACAGAUAGUAGGAAAAAGAGGUACAAGAAAUAUUUUUACUGGUUUACCUAGGGGUCCAUAUGCUACUAGAUGGUUUUCACACUUUAGUUGGAAUAACACUUCUAAGCAUGUGCUGAAAGUUUAUAGGGAUGCACUUGACUCUAUGACAGAAGAUCAUUACAAAAUCUGUUCAAACAUCAAAAUAAUUUGAAUGCAUUACAAAAUAUUGGCUAGCCAUACCUAUUAAAACUUUGUAAAUUUCAUUUCUAGAAUAAAGCACAUAAGCAAAAGCUUUGGUUAGAAUUGUAAAAAUGUGUUUGAACAUUCUAUACAUACCGUCACUUGUAUAAUCUGUUGUCCUAAAACUUUGCAGGUCUGUGAUUUGAUUCGCUAGAAACGUUACUCACAGUAACAUUUUUAACUAAAAAUGUGACUAGUGAUUAUGAUUUCAAGGCAAAAUUUCGAUCAAAAAAGUUGCUGGGUUGAUUUGAUAGAAUCGUUAUUUGGAAUAACGUUUUACAGCUAAAGCGUUAUUGGUGAUAAUGUAUUUAAUGUCAGAUUUGUACAGAGAUUCUUGGGUGGCAGAGCUACAGAGAAACGUUACUGGCGGUAAUGUCUUAUGUCUAAAACAUUAUCGAGAGUAACGUUUUAUGUCAAAACGUUACUGUGAGUAACGUUUUAUAUACUAAUGUCUAACGCCAAUUCCGUUUGAGCCGUUAACCUUUUUAAAACAUAAAACAUUAUUGGGAACAACGUUUAUACUAGUUUUGUAAAAUUUUUAAAAAACAAAUUACUUUGGUGAAUUAAUUCAAAAAAUAACCUAUUUCGGUCCAAGAUUCCAUUUUUUCCAUUUUCCAAAAAAAAAACGAGAACAGAGCACACACACAGAAGGGAGAAGGAGAGAGAACGCAUCAUUGUCUUGCUCGUUUUCUUUUCCUUUUCGAAUCCACGAUCUAGGAGCACGAAAAAGAGGCCAUUUUUUCUUUUCUUUUCUUUCUGGCUGCGCACACAUACACACAGUAACAACCACACUCACUAAUACACGUAGAUCGGGAGAGAGAGGGAGAAAUCGAGAGAGAAAGAGGGAAAAAUGCACGGAGGAGAGAAACUCACGUACACCUAACCAGUUUCAUGAUUCACUCAUCGAUACAUUCACGCACACACCAGCCAAAGGGAGAAUCGGAAAAAGGGUACUGCUCCGGCGAAUUUUGCCUGAGAGCGAAUGAAAUCUGGUCCGUCUUCAUUGCUUCUCACCAUUGUCUGAGCUCUCCAAAGUUUUGGCGGUGCGAAACAGCGACUCCCAAUCCUUUUUUUCUCAGUUUCCCAUUGAACUCUAGCCAAAAAUAGUGAGCCAGCGAUCAGAGUGAUGCAAUACGAGCUGUUUCAGUCAAUUCCAACCAAAUUCCAUCUGACAACGAUCAAAAAAUAAAAAUGGAUCAGUUGGUUCAUUUGGGUUAAUUCGGAUUUGGGUUGGUUUUUUCGAGUUGCGGGUUCGACGUUGAGGUUCCAGUUAGGUCGAGGUUCCGUUGCUCCGUGAUUUUGAUCCAUCACUGCUUGUUUGGAAUAAAACCAACAAUUGAGGUCCAAUUCUAUAUCUUUUUAUCUCUCUUAUUUUGAAUUGUGUGAUUUUUGGUUGAGAUGAUUUUAUUCGUUGUUAUUUAAUUGUUAAUCUUGGUGUGAAGUAUGUUAAUCACAUAGUGAAUUUAGGGUUAAGUUGGAUUUUGGGGAAAAGAUUGAAAAUUGUUAAAAGUGAAUAUCGAUUUAUGUUGGUUCAGUUAUGAUGACUUGAUUCAGAAUCAACGUUGACUUUAUUAAGUUCAAUAGUAUCAUGUUUUAGGCUGUGAAUUGUUAGGCAAAUGGUAGGGGGUAGGAAAAUUUAGGAGUAACGAUUUGUUAAGUGUUUUGAAUAUGUGUGUGAAUGGUUCGUUCUAUUUUAUCGCACAAAAAAUUAAAAAAUGUACUCAUUCAGUCGGCGAAUGCCCCGAAGAUAUUUAUAUUUGUUCACCGGGCAAUGCCCCGACGUAUUAUGUUGGCGGAAGAUGAUCGUGAUGAAGGCCCGAGGUAUCGGGUAAAGCACGGGCGUAAUUAGGAUUAGUGUAGGUUAGAUAGGAUUUAUUUUCUCAUUUUUAUUUAUUUUGGACUGUAUAAUUGGACUGAACACUUUACUUUAGAUUUUGUUAUUUUGUUUUGUGUGUUUGUUUGAUUAUUUUACGUAUUUUUUGUGUGGUUUGUACAUUCGUAGUGUCAAAUUAGCCGAUACGCUCUACCAAGCGACCGUGGUCGAACCACGGUAUCGAGGGGUACCUAACACCUUCCCCUCGGUCAACAAAAUUUUUUAGAUGGAAUCUCUGUUCGCAAACCAGUUUAAAGAGUCAAAUCGUUUUGAAAAGGAUCUUUCAAAGGUGACUUGGCACACCGAAUUAUGUCAAGUGGCGGCUCUGAAUAAAAAAUGUAAAUAGUCCUUUUUCGAAAUAAAUUUUUAAUCUUUUGUCACUUUAAUAAUAAAAACCCUUUCAAAACUUAAAACGAAUAUUCUUUUCGGAGUUAAAAAAAGAGGUGUGACAACUCUGGCGACUUUGCUGGGGACUUUUCAUAAUUCGAGCUUAAUAUUUUUUUUGAGUUGUAUCGGCUUAGUUUGACAUUAUGAGUGUAUAGACAUUGUUUGUGUUAUUGUUUGUACUUAUUUUAUCAUUAUUGCAUGUUUACGUGCUCUUUGUUUACAAUUUAUUUUCUUAUGUGUUAUCGCUUUAUAUCUGGCAUCAUGUGCAUGACCCGAGUCAAUUCUUUCUGCAACAAGUCCGUAGUACACGCUGUGUACACGACCUCUAGUUAUGUCACAUUUAUUUUAGGAGGGGGAGUCGUCGGCUGGUAUGGAGUGGGUGGAAAGCUAAAGUAGCCACUAUCAAUCAUAUGUUCCCCCGAACAGCCUUGUUAGUGAACCCCAACGUAGGUCAACCUUUAGGUCAUGCUUAUUUGCAUCAUAUUAAAACCUAGUGGGACCCACAUGGUCCUUUGUAGGAAACUCACCUCUAAGGCAUCCCUACGUGCUAAAUGUUGCAUCUUUGAGGGUAACGAGGUCAUUUGACAGACUGAUUUGGGCAAAAACAUGUGUUAGAAGCAAAGUGUGUAGGCAAGAAAUUGUUGAAAAAAAAAAAGAAGAAAAAAGAGUGAAAAACAAAGAUUUGGUAGUUUUUAGGGCUCUUUAUGGCUUUUAUUUUUUUCACAAUUCAAAAAAAAAUAUUGUUUUUACUUUUUGCACUCAUUUCCCAAAAAAUAAAAAACAUUAAAAAAAAUUUUCUUUUAUUUCUUUAGUAAAUAUUCACAAUUCGAAGACUCCACAAAUAUUUUUUCCUUUCAAUAGGAGCUUUGUACAUUUUUAUAUAACGAAAAUAUCAAAAGAUUUUUUCUUCCAUAGUUGUUGGUGUUAGUUUCUAAUUAAAAACCCAAAAAAGAUUUUAUUUUUUAUCGUUUGUCUUUAGUCGCGUCUCUCAAUUCAGGGUUUAGUUUGUCAUUUAAUCCUUAAUUGUCCAAUCUGGACGAACUAUGCACCCCUGAUUCUCCUCUUUCGGGAUGUGAGAUACGUAGGCAACCUAUUGUUGGUUCAGAGAUCUUAUUCAAAAAUCCAAAAAGAUUUUCUUCACUCUUCUUUUAGAGUAGGUGUUUCAUAUAUAUUUUCAAGAGAAAAACUACAAAAAGAUUUUCCUUUAAUAGGUUCAAGUUUCAUUUUCGCAUGAAAUUCAAAAUGGAAAACCCAAAAAGAGUUUCUUUGGUAAACAUAAGUUUCAUUUUGUAUAGGGAUGUUAAGCCUAAAAAAAUGCAAAAAAAGAUUUUCGUCAAUUCUUUUGACAAUUUGUUAUUUUCUUUUCUUCUUAAAGUUUCAAGAAAAAAAGAAAAAAAAAGAAGACAAAGAGUUCAAUUGGCCAUUUUGGAACGACUUCACGAACUACGCACACCUGAUUUUCCUCUCUCUCGAGGGUGAGAUACGUAGGCACCCUUCUUGGGUUCGGUCUUUUCAAAAAAAAAGGGAGAGAGGUUUUGAAAAAAUAUUAAACUCUAACAUAUUUGUUGCCUCUUGUUCAUUUAGUUUAAGGUGGUUGGUUUGUGGCUUCCUGGCUGGUCCUCCAUAUCACACCAAAUCCAAGGAAGAGUUAGUUGUGUCCAACAAGGAUAUAGAGAGUGGCAUCAUGGAUGCAACAGGAAAUUGAGAGUUUAAAGGAAAAGAAUUUGAGACUAAGACAACAAAUGAUGGAAAUGUAUCAAGCUUGGGCCAGUGGGCUGCCUCCACCUUCGUUCCCCACUUUUAACCUUGCAAAUACCUUGAGCCUUCCACCAAAAUCGAAAAGUCAGUUGCCUUCUGUUGUUGAUGCACCACAGCAUGCCUCAAAAUUCUUUCCACGUCAAAUGCAUCUCAAUACUUCCACCACUCUUUCUUUAGCUCCUUAGUAUAAGUCUAACACAUUCACAGCACCACAUACCGUCUGUGCUUUUGUUGCUCAACCUUUUACUGAGGCUUUCACUUAGGCUAUCAAUCCAACAGUUGUGUUGUCCCAAUCUAUUAGUGGACCCAUGUUCAAGGCUCUUGAUGAUCAUUGUUGUACUCUUGAGCCUACAGCUAAGCUAAGUGGACCGCCAAAAUUUCUUAACAAGCAGCCUAGUAUGCUAGAAGAGCCCGAGAAAAUGGUUGGGAAAGUUAUUGGGACUUGUGGGAUAUAAAGAUGUUUCAUAUAAAAACUGGGGCAUGUUUUCAAGUGUUAACUUUCCUCCAAGCUUUGAGACAUCAAAAUUUGAGGAUCUUGGUGGACAGAAUGAUUCUGUGAAACAUUUGGGACGAUAUUACAAUCAAUUAAGAGAAACUGAAGGAAAGAAGAAAGAAAGUGCAACUAUUGUUAUGCCAGGGCCAAAGGAGAGUUUGAGAGGUCUAACUCACCAAUACUGUCAGCCUUAAUCCCGAGCUUACAUAUCAAAUUCACUUAUUCAUCUGCCACAAGGUUCCUCUUUUUAAAAUCCAAGGAGUUCCAUUCCACUUCCUCAAUGUCCUUUGAAUAAUGCACAAUUGUGUACCCAUCCGUCUUCUUAUCCACAAUGGCAUGCACCUGUCCCUCAACAUCGUCCUCAACCCCCACAAAUUUACCAAGGGACCUCUAAAUUCUAGUUUCAUCUGAGGCCAGAGUUCGUAAAGAGGAGGAAGAAAAAGGAUAAUUUCACUCAUAUUAGGGAGUCCUAUGCCAGUUUGUUCCAGAGAUUGAGACAUAGGGGCAUGAUUACUCCUCUUCUUGGGUAUACACCCAAUCCACAUUCAAGAAAUUUUGAUCUUAGUGUACGAUGUCCAUAUCAUUCUGAUGUUCAGGGUCACAGUAUUGAAGAUUGUCGGGCUUUGAAAAGAGAAAUUGAAAAAAUGAUUUAAGAUAGAUCAAAUAUGGGGUAGAACAUUGACAGUGAGGAAAGCUCUAGUCAUGCUGAUAUGCAAACCAGUGGCUAAGAUGUCAGGAUGAGCAAUUGAGAAGUCACCUCUCUCCCUCUUAGGAAGAGGUAUGGUAGUUUGUUUUGUUUUAUUUUAUUUUUUGUUAUCUGAAUUAUUUCAGGGUUGUAGUCCGGGCUUUAUCUUGUUUUUUUCCUUUUGUUGUUUAUGUUCAAACCGUUUCAAUCUUUUGUUUCAACUAAAUGAAGUGUCCCAUUUUCCUUUGUGUUUUAAAUAUGUGUUGUUUGUUUUUUUUCUUUACAUAGUACAUUUUAUGUUGACUCUAGUGAUAUGACAUGCUAGUGAAAUUUUCAGCCAGCUCUUAAAAUCCGGUUUAAGCAUGAGCAUUGAAUCAGAGGGUUAAAGUUAGAAAAAGAGAGUGUCUGAGAAAAUACAUAGAGUGCUGGGGCAUUUGGUGAUCAAUUUAAGGCCUUUUUGAAAAUUAAGGCUAUUAUUUUGUGAAUCGUGAGAAUAACUUGUUCAACAUUUGAAAAACAUGUCUCAAUCAGGUCAAAUAAUGGAUGUGUGAUCCUACAUCAAAAGGAAUAGAAAAAUUAGCUCCACGAAAGCAUGAGGAAUGUACAACAAAGAUGGAGUUUAUAGAAGUAGUGACACAGUCUCAGUUAAAAUUAGUGCUGUAAAAAAAUGUCACACAUGAUCUUCAUUUCUCACUUUCAUAUUGCAUAAUGUGUACUUGCAUUUUCAAGGAUUGAUAUGAUGAAGGCAUUUCGUUCUGCUAUCCAAACAUUGUGUCAUCCUUUGUUUACCUCAUUUGAGCAUUAGUUCUAUUUUCUUUCGUACCCAUCUUUUGGAAUCAGGAUAGAGUCUGCAACGUCUAAGAAAAAGUGUCAAAAAAAGGGGUAAAAAAAAAGAAGUUUCAAAAAAGAGACAAAAUGUUUCCAAAAAGAAAUAAAAAAAAAGAGUGUCAAUAAAAGAAAAAGAAUCAAAAGUCUAAAUCAUGCAAAACAAGCUGCCAGAACUACGCAUAACCUGAUUCUCCUCUCUCAAGGGUGAGAUAUGUAGGCUGCCCUACUUAGGGCUCGGUCCAACCAAAUAAAUAGUUUAGUGUCACCCGGUCAAAAGAAACUGGGGCAUGAUUUAAUCCUCAUUGUUUGAGUUGAUUUCAAAAGUUGUAAGUCCUAUCCCACUUUAGGUGUCGUUUGGGCCUUAUGCUAUCUUUUCUUUCUAACCCUAUCUAAAAUCCAAGUUACAACCAAAGAAAGACCUCCAGAUCAAUCUUUAAGAAUGUUAAGGCUAAGCAUGAAAUGAAUAUUAUGAUGCAUUUUGGGAACUACUUGUCUACCUUAGCAUAAGGAAUCAGGAGAGAAAUGAAAAUGAGAGAGUUUUAUCGGUAAAAACCCUCAUGGGCACCAUAAGACGAUGGUAAGUUGAGAGAGAUAAAAAUAAGAGAGUCUUAUCGGUGAAAACUCUCAUGGGCACCGUAAGACGACUGUGAGUGGAAAACCCUUACGGAUACCAUAGAGCAAUAGUGAGUUGGGGAAAAGAAAAUGAGAGAAGCUUAUUGGUGAAAACCCUUCAAGGUUGACUAGCCGAAUGAGGUCUUGAAUCCAAUUUACCUAAGAAAGUAACUCAAUUUCAAGACCGUUAACUUAACAACAAUUGGUGGAAGUUUGGAUGAAAUUAUCAAGCUGCUUAAUCCAAAAUUCAUGGCAUAAUCAUUAGUGUUGACUGUUAUUUUUAGAUUAUUUUUUUGUUUCUUUGUUUUAAAAGGGGACAUUUAUUGUCUUUUCUUUCUUCUCUUUAUUUUAAUUUUAUCUUUCUUGAGUCUGUUAUCAAAACAAAAGUUGUCACUCUUUUUUUUCAUUUCUUGUCUUUGAGUCAAGUCCGUGUCAAAACAAGUGAGAAAAGAUUUCAAAACUGGCUACCAACUUCUUUAAUUACACAAAUCAAGAUAAAAGCUAGCACAUGAAAGAGACAUGAUUGUGAGCCAAAAAAGGGCAUGCAGAAAGUUUUGUCAACAGAGAAGUCGGGGAACUCAUGAAAAUACCAAGGUUUAAAGGGUUUAUUUGAGAAACACAACAAAGCAGAAAUACUGUGUUUGUUUCAGAGUCAUUCUUAAUAAGCUGAGUUUGGGUCAAUGAUACAACAAGUCAAUGACAUAUGCUAAUGGUUGGAAGCAAAGGUAAAUGUGACAGGGGCAGGAGCAAUUGCCUCAAAAGCGAAAGCCACAAACUAGCCACCAUGUUUUUAAAAUCACAAUUUUUCUUUGUAUGUAACAGGAAUACAUGUUGCAUUCAGAUUAAGGAUUUCAGAGCCUAAACAUCAAAGGCCAUAAUUUCUCACCUCAACAAAUGUAAGAGGCAAGGUUACUGCACAGGUUUGGUAAUCAAAACCAUGGUAAAACUCAUAAUUCAAGAUCUCUAGGAGACACACUUCAUUGUUUUGAUAAUUCAAACAACAUUGGUAAGGAAACACACUUCCUUGAUUGGGUAAUUCGAAUUUUGCUUCUUAGGUAAUGCACUUCCUAACUUAAGUCUUGAUUCCUAGAAGAUGUACCUUUUAGUCGAGUCAGCUUUCUUUAAUUCCUAUAAGACGUCUUUUAGUCGAGUUAUUCCCUUUGACCCCUAGAAGACGUACCUUUUAGUGGAGUCAUCCCCCUUGAUCCCUAUAAGACGUCCCUUUUAGUCAAGUUAUUCCUUUGAUUCCUAUAAGACGUACCUAUUAGUCGAGUCAUCCUGUUGAUUCCUGUAAGACGUACCUUUUAGUAGAGUCAUUUCCUCUGAUUCCUAUAAGACGUACCUUUUAGUCGAGUCAUCCCUCUUUGAUUCCUAGAAGACGUACCUUUUAUUCGAGUCAUCUCCCUUGAUUCCUAUAAGACAUACUUUUUAGUCGAGUCAUCACCCUUGAUUCCUAUUAGAUGUACCUUUUAGUCGAGUCAUCACCUUUGAUUCCUAUAAUACGUACCUUUUAGUUGAGUCAUCUCCCUUGAUUCCUAUAAGAUGUACUUUUUAGUCGAGUCAUUCCCCCUUGAACCCUAGAAGACGUACCUUUUAGCCGAGUCGCUCCUUUGAUCCCUAUAAGACGUACCUUUUAGUCGAGUCAUUCCUCUUGAAACCUAGAAGACGUACUUUUUAGUCGAGUUAUCUCCUUUGAUUCCUAUAAGACGUACCUUUUAGUCAAGUCAUCACCCUUGAUUCCUGUUAGACGUACCUUUUAGUUGAGUCAUCACCUUUGAUUCCUAUAAGACGUACCUUUUAGUCGAGUCAUCUCUCUUGAUUCCUAUAAGACGUACCUUUUAGUCGAGUCAUUCUCCUUUGAUCCCUAGAAGAUGUACCUUUUAGUUGAGUUGCUCCUUUGAUUCCUAUAAGAGGUACCUUUUAGUCGAGUCAUUCCCCUUGACCCCUAGAAGACGUACCUUUUAGUUGAGUCAUCUCCCUUGAUUCCUAUAAGACGUACCUUUUAGUCGAGUCAUCACCCUUGAUUCCUAUUGGACUAAUUUUUUAGUCGAGUUAUCUCCUUUGAUUCCUAUAAGACGUACCUUUUAGUCGAGUUAUUCUCCUUGACCCCUAGAAGACGUACCUUUUAGUUGAGUCAAUUCCUUUGAUUCCUACCAGACGCACCUUAUAGUCAAGUCAUUCUCCUUGAUUCUUAUAAUGAUGUGACUUUCGCAAAAGUCCUUUGAUGAUAAACUGGGGCAAAAUUUAAUUCUUGUGUUGGAACUUCACUUUCCUGGCAUAUGAAAUCUCUUAAUAAUAAUUUUUAUUUGGGAUAAUUUUCUUUCUAGUUUUGAUGUGAUUUCAGGAGCCUUCCCGAAGCACAGGUCGAAUAAAUGGAAAAUCAAACAACAAGGUGAAGAAAAUAAAAGUUAAACUGAUUGAAAAAUAGCAAGUCAAGAGACCGUCUGCAGAACAGGGUGAAGAAAUUGGAAGCAUAGCAACAAGUUGAUAAAAUAGCAAGUCAAGAACCCGCUUGGAGAACAUGGUGUAGAAUUUGAAAGGCAAGCAACAAGUUGAAGACUUUCCCCAUUGUUCCUACCUGUUUCUGGGUGCAGGAACACUAACCGAAGAAGGUACGGGCAUAGAUGAUCGAUUCUGAAACUGCAAACGAUUUCCUCCUCUAGACCUAUUCUAACCAAAAUCAAACAUCUCUGUUCUAGCCUUCUUAUUUACUCUCUCUCUCUCCUUCAAUUUCUAUGCCUCAAUCUGCUGAGCAUGCAUCAUCAAUCUAGCAAGAUCCAUGUCUCCAAUAAGCAUGGCAGUCCUACACUCUAUAACUACCAACCCAGAUACACCGGUCACAAACUUACUCAUGUUUGACCUAGGGUUAGCCAUCUGAUCAAGGGCAUAUUUAGUCAACUAGUUGAACUUGAGGCAAUACUCCUUCACUGCCAUUGAGCCCUGCCUUAGGUUAAUGAACUCUUCUAUCUUAGCUUUACUCAUCUCACGUGGGAAUAACUUGUCUAAGAACGCAUCCUGAAACAUCUGCCAAGUCAUGUGAGCUGAAUUUUCCCCUUUACUUUUCUACCACAUUACUACACAAUCAUAUGCAACAUCCUUCGGCCUAUAGGACGCCAAUUCUAUACUCUCCUCUCCAGAAAUAUGCAUAAUUCGGGUGAUCUUCCUCACCUCAUCUAGAUAAAACUGUGGGUCCUCACCUGCCUUUGACUUAAAGAAUUUUGGUGGGUUCAUUCUCGUAAAAUCUUGAAUUUUAGCUGCGGCUAUGUCCCCGUCUUACUGAAAUAGGACUGCAGCCUGACGGUUUCCCUGACAUUAGCUGUCACAGCUUGGGCUGGUACCUGAAAGGCAGCUCGAAACUCUGUAUGUGACACAUUCUCAUUCAAAGGAUCUGUGGGCUGAGGUGACUGGUUAUUGUUUCUGCGCGCUCGACGAGGAGGCAUUUUCUGUCACAUGAAAGCACGAUGUAGACACCUAAUUUUAUUCCCCCGAAGUUGAAUUUUAUUCAUUUUUUGCUCAUCUUAUCACACACCCUCACCCAUUCUACAUUUUUUCCACAAGAAAACAAAAUACAAUAAACCCCAACAAAUUAAAUCUCCAAUCCCAAAAUAUUCUCUUAUCCUACCUAAUUAUUACUCCUCACCACCCCAUAACCCUACCCUGCCACAUCACCCCCUCCAUUUUUGAGAACUUGCAUCAAUACACGCUAGAGACCCAGCAACCAAAAGAAAAGGGGGCCCUUUCAGGAUAUAUACGCACAUACACACAAUAGGGAAAAGGGGGUAUUUUUCUUUUUCUUCCUCACAAUUCAUCACUCAACAGAGAAAACAACACUCACACUACCAGACCACAUUCUCACAUAUGGAUACCCAUUGAAGAAAACCAGAAGGAGAUCACGCAUACAGAAUUUCUAUUCCUCAAAAAAAGAGAGGCACAAAAACACACAUAUCUGUCAUCUUCUCCACAAUUUUUUUGAUGUAUUUGACUCUUGAGUUGUAUUAGUAGUUCUUACACUAUUGACACCUGAUUUUGGGCAUGAUUGGUAUUUUGGAUAAGUUCUUUUUGCAUUGUUAUGAUUAUUUAUAUAGUUCGGCUUCGUUCUAGAAGUCUUACCUUGAGAUAUUUCUGUCUUUUUUUUGUAUCAGUUUGGGUGAUAGACUUAUUUGUCAAGGUACACCGUGACAAGUUCCAUCAUGGCCCUCGUUUCUGGGUCGUGACAAAAAUUCAAAAUACUUUAUACAUGGUAGAUAUCGACAUAUUAUAAAAAUCAUUUUUUUCUUAUGUUUUGAUCUUAAACUCAAGAGAGUCAAACAUUAAUGUUGUUGUCUUACAUCAUUAUGUUAUUCCGAUUUUAUAAUUUCAAAUCAUAACUUAUAUUUAUAAUUAAUAUGAACUCUAAUUAAGUAACAUUACAUUUAAAUAAAAAUUAAAUUAUAUAUUUAAAUAUUUUUUAAAUAUAAUUUGAUAUCAAAAUUCAAACCACUUUAGACCUGAUAGAUAUUGACACGUUAUAGAAAUAAUGAAAACCAUAAAUUUCACAUGUGUCGACCCGAGUUAACAACAUCUCAAGAUGUCAAGAUGCAUUAAUGUUGUAGUGCACCUCUAUGUUACACUAAUUUAAUAACUUGUGAAUCAUUACUUAUAUUUGUUAUUAAUAUGUACUCUAAUUAAAUAAUUUUAUUAAUUAUUAUAUUUAAAUAUAUUUAAAUAAUUUUUUAAGUCUAAUUUGAAAAUAUUUCAAUACUGUCCGUCAAAAUUCAAAACACUUUAGAUAUAAUAAACAUUGACACAUUUUAAAAAAUUAUAUUGUUCAUAUUUAUUGACUCUAGCUAAUGUUUUAAAAAAUUGUGAUAAACUUUAGAAUUGAAUGACUUUUAUAUAUUAAUAAAUUAAUAAAUUUAUGCGAUCCGUUUAAAAUUAGUUCAUCAUUGAUGGACUUUUUCUAAAAAUAUUUUAAAGGAUUAUGAUCAAUAUAGUAAUUUUUAAAUAAUUAUGAUCAAGGUAGUAAUAAAACUAGUUUUAAAUUUUAAUUUUUUUUGAAAAAAAAAAAGAAGAAGACUAAAGUGAAGAUUGAGCAAGAAGGAUGAAAAUGCAAUGGGUGAAGUUAGGUGGGUUGAACAUACUAAAGUUAAUUAAAUAAUUUUCCUUCACAUUUAAUGAUAGUCAUAACUUAUCCCACAUAAAUUUUAGUUGUAUUUAAUAUUUAUAAUUUACUUCGUUUUUAUUUAAGGAAAAGGUUAGUAUGGUCUUUGUACAUUUAUGGUCAUAUUUGGCUAAAAAAUUAUGGCCAUUUAGCAGCUCCCUUAUUUAUAUAUGCAUAACUCAAAUCAGCUACUUCCUUCGUUCCUAAAUACUUAUCAUAUUUUUUGUUGGCACAGUUUUUAAGAAAAACAUUAACUAGCAAGAGGUUACAACAAGAACAACAACCCAGUAAAACUAGCAAGAGGUUAAUUUGACUAAAUUAUCCUUAUUUAUUACUCAUUUUUAUGUAAUAUUUGUCAUAUCCUAAAAUCAAGAUCGUGAUGGCACCUAUUCAACCCUCAGUGAUAGAUAAGCCAACAAUCCAAUCCCAAACACAUAUCUCAAAUGUAUAGAAGUGGAAGAAAAUAAGAACAUAAUAAAAUUCAAAUAAUCUCCAAAGUAGAUUAAUAAACUAGUGUUGACACCUAAUUUUUGCCUUCUGCAAUCCAAUUUAACUUCGAGUUUCUUCAAUUUUAAAAUAAAAUCACAAUAAUUAUUUUGCUCAAAUAAAUGCUGGUUAAAGUAUUUAUUCAAGGCAAUUUUAUCAUUUAAUUACGAUUAUAUAUUUUUUUAUAUUUUUUAUAUAUGAGAGUGUAUAAAUUUUGUUAUUUAAAUGAACAUUUUAUCAAAAUAAGAUUUUUUAUAGAUUAAACUUGAAAAUUAAUUCAAACGGAUAAAAUCUUGGUUUUAAAUAUAAUUUGCUCUCAAAAUAUUUUAUUUGGAGGAAUAUUUUUUGGAUUUUUUAUCAAAUUAAGAAACUCGAGGUUAAUUUGUUACUUGAUUCGUGCCAGAUUGCGAUUCAAUUAGCGAACGAAUUAAAUGUGACCUCAAUUGAAAUCAAAUUGGCCCCAAUUGUAAUGCAAUUGACCAAUAGAUAUUCAAUUUGUUUAUAAUUUAAAUAGGUCAUUUAAAUUGUAAUCAAAUCUUAAUCCCCAAAGUUACCAUUUCUUAAUUGAGAUUUUUUUAAUCCGAUUAAAUUUAAUUAGAGUUAUUUUUAAUCCAAUUAAAUUUAAUUAUGAAUAUGCUAAUCUAAUUAAAUUUAAUUAGGGUUAUUUAAUAACCCAAUUAAAUUUAAUUGGGGUUAUUAAAUAACCCCAAUUUCAAUCCUUUUCUUAUCUUUAAUCACGAAAACCCAACAAUAAUCAACCCAGCAGCCCAUUUAAUUUCAGCUUUUCUAGCCCACUACCCCUUUGCCUGACCCGGGCGCAAUUUAUCUUCUCUUCUAAAUCGGCAAGAACAAUCCUCCACCAAGUACAACUUCGGCCAAAUCGCAACAACCUCCUCCAUCGAUAAUCAGCUCCAAAUGACCCUAACCCGUAUUCCUCAAAAUCCUACGAGGCAUCUUCUCAACGCAGACCCGAGUUCCAACCUGCCUAUUUCUUUCGCGUCACAUGGCUCUCACGCGAGGAGGUAUGAAGAAAACUCGAGAACCCUCUAGAAACAUGCUUAGGUGUCCCCUUCUAACGGAUACCUCCAUGAAUCACGGAUUACUUAUACAAAUUCGUACAUAUUUGGCAAUUUUUCAUUGGGUCUGGGGGGGAAUUCAUUUAUCUCCAAUUCUAUUGGUCCACCAAAUCCAAAAAUUAGUAUGAAUUGAGACGAAAAUGGGCUGCGGAGGGAGAUUUUUGGAUUUAAAAUUCAAAAUAUCUUUUUUCAAAGCCGAAAAAGGACCCCUAAUUUGUCUUCUAUAUAUAGACCCCUUGGGUCACUAUUUUGGGGGAUUUUUUUGGGGAUUCUUGGCUCUAGGGUUCUAAGUUUGGAGCUGGAAAUUUUGAAGAAGUUUUUUUUGUGGGUUCGAAUGAUUCAAAAAUUGGGAGAUGGGGGAUUCAGAAAAAACUAAGGGAGAGAAAACUUUCUUUGAGGAAAAACUCAGUAAAAACUUUAAUUUUAUAGUAGGUUUUUGAAAUCGUCGAUUGAUCGGAACUCUAGAGAGGUCAAUUUUCAAUGGUGUUGGAAUCCGAUAUUAGCUCGAAAGUCUCGUUUUGCUGCCACGAAAUAGGUGACGCUCCGUUCCUUUUAUCUUUCGAAUGUUUUCUACUUCAUCUCCACUUCUGUAGCCGUAUGAAUGCUUUGUUACGAGUAUUGUGUGCUGGGAUUGUGUGCUGUAGAGGUUUUGUAAGACCAUAGGAUACGUUGGAUUAUUUAGUCUUUAAAACUUUCAAUUUCAAUCUCACUUGCUUGCCUCGAUUUUAUAACCAGUUAUCUGAUUUUGACAUCACUAAUUAUCUUCCAAUUUGCUACUUUGUAUUGUAUAUAGCUUCUAAGUUUGACUUACUGAGUUCGAUAGAGAUUCCUAUUUCAAUUUUUCGCUUUACCGGCUUGCUGAAUGUUUGUUUUGUUCGAAUAGCCACCCUUCUGUAUAGCUGGUGAUAUCACUAGCAAGACCACUUCUGCCAGUUUCUUUGGAUUCUCAAAUGUCAAAGAGAAUGACCAAAAUGUGUCCAACAAUGAAAGGUCUCUAAGAGAUCCAAUAAUCUCCUCGACGGCCAUUUCGUUUGAGUCUAUCGAAAUAAGGAGGAGAACAAAAGAUACCGUAUCUCAUUAGCUCCUUUCUUUAGUUUAUUAAUUGUGUUUCCUUUUUUUAGUAAAAUUUUGAAGAUUGAUUCCUUGCUUUGGAUUCAUUUCAAGCCAAUAGUCUUGUUUGUUUGAAGUCCAUGAAAGAAUAAAAUGGCUUUGUUGAAGAAUAUUAUACAUGAGAAUUGAUUUGGUCUUGUCGAUGUCCAAAAUCAUUGGUAUAUGUGUAUUCUCCCUCAAGGAUGGCUCGAUAUUUCUUUUAGUUAUUAAUUUCAAGGUCUAAAACUCUUGAGGUUUUGUAAGACCAUUGUUGGAGAAUAUCCAUAUUCGACUCUCAAGCCUGCUGUUUUGAAUAACGGAAAUUCGAGAGACUGCUUUGCACUGUCGCGACUUAUGUAGUUUGAGGUUUAUUUGGAGUAAGAGAGGAACUUCUGGGGGUUUUGUUUUUCUUGAAUUUUCUAUUAUCUAUUUUAAGGCAUUUGCUUGUAUAAUUUAACGCGACUCACGAGGUCUUUUUAAUUCGAUGAUAUUAAAAGAGACCUAGGAGUUUGCCAUAGAUCUGUGAUAAUAAUCCAGGGAAUCUCUAAAUAACCUUGGUUUACAUUCUUGCACUAUUUGGCAAGGAGAGGAGAACCUGUUCAAGGUUGUUAGCCUAAUUGAAUGAUAUUUGGAUUAGUGCAUAGAUUGUUUCCGCCACUUGGCUAGGUUUAAAGGACUUAUUCAACUGACCAUGGUUUUCAGAUUGCGUUUCCCCCCCCCCCCUUCUUUGGCUCUAUUUGUUUUCCUUUAGAGUGUGUCAUUAUUUCUGCCUCCAUGUUUCAUUCUCGCUUUUCCUUGCUUUCUUUUCUGGUUGGGGUUUUCUGCAAUAUGUGUGGAAGUAGGCUUCGGGUAGGGUAAAGUUUCUGCAUGGCUUAAUGAUUCUAUGUGAACAUAAAAGCUAGAUACGACUAAUAGAAUUAUCGCUUGCGUUUGAAUUAAUCUGAAUAAUUAUACAUUACUUGACUGAACAAUUAUGAUGGGUAUAGUAUGCUAUAACUUAGAGUUGAGUAGUUUAUGCUUCAUGUACAAUCCCAGAUUUUAAGAUUAACCUGUAUUCCAUCUGUCUAUUCGUAACUUCGAUGAUCGUUGAUGAUAUCUCUAAAAAAGGAUAGAUAGAACACUCUUAAAAUUUAAACCCCGAAACCUUUUCCCAGUGUUUUUUCCUGAAUGUGAUAAUGGGUGUUAAAUCCUCUUAUGUAUUCUGUGGGACCACCUUGAGCAUGAAGUAUAAUCUUUUUGAUUGCUAUUUAUGGUUUUUUAUGGUGAAUGAUCAGUUACACUAAGUUUAAAGAUCCAAUGUAGCGCCUUAACCCUUUUCUCUUUAUUUCGAUACAUGUUAAUUCAUUGGAGUCCAAAUAGAAUCUUUGCAUUCCCUAAUGGGCCAAUAAGGCCCAUCCAUUGAAUCGAGCUCGGAAGAGAGUAUAAUGUAGCAUAGCAUACGAAUGAGAGUCGUUGAAGGAAGAAUAAAGUAGAUCAGAGUUUCAUCUUUGAAGCAGCUAUGAGAUUCGAAAGUCUCAUUUAUUAUUUUGUCCAUUUACUUAUUGCCAUCUUUAUUUAUUUAUUUAUUUUCUUAUUUACGCAUUUGGGCCUCAAGCCAAAGUUGUACUUAAUACAGGUGAAGCGGGACUCGAGCUAAAGGCUCAAAAACAUAGAAUUAGGACAGGUGAAAAUGGGUCGACAACCCAACUAGAUUAGGACAGGGUCGACGGUUUGGGCUUAAAAGUCUAAAUCACUACUUCCCCGUUUUUCCCCUUUUCCUUUCAUUUACUUGUUUGCUUGUCUCUUUGUGAACCUAGUUAAAUCCCUAACUAAGUCGCUAAAAAACUGAUUUCGCGAAAACCUUUUCCUUAACCAAUUACUUUUUCAACAAACCGAUCUUCCAAAGUUAGUCAAAAGACGUUUUCAAACAGUCUAGAUAACCGCAAGUUAGCGGACGUUUUAGGUGCCUAACACCUUCCUAAAACGUUAAUAGGAACCACUUAAUCGGAAUCUUCAAAACUUAAAAUGAUUUUUCUAUUUUGAAUCGUUUGAAUUAACUCUCUAAAGGUUUCUUAAUUCCUUUUCAAAAUUAAGUGGCGACUCUCAAAAAGUCAAAAUUUCUACAAAACAGAAAUGGCGACUCUGGUGGGGAAUUUUUGAACUAGGUUCUAACCAAAUGUUUGAUUUCGUCUUUUGAUUAACUAUUUAUGUGUUUAUAUGUUUCGAUUCUAUAAAUAUUAAACUAUCGCAUCUCAUGGCAUAUUCCUGCAUUAUUUAAACUGUUUCGAGGUUUCGUGGAUGUCUCAUCCCCUGUUGUUCAAUUUCAAAAUGUGUUGGAAAUACGAACGACUUAUUAGCACAUGAGUCGUCUGACGCUGUUCAUAUUUUCAAACUCAAGUUGUCCGCUUGAGAACCAGUGUUCAAACCCACUCUAGACACCGAGGAUAGAACAAAACCAAAACCCUAUUUUAGGCAUGAGCCUAGGAUGACCCAAUACCCGAGCGGGGUAUUGGGCCCAUUAGAAAACCUGCCCUGCGUCUAUUGACCCUGAGUCAAUUACAGACGAAUCAUAUUUAUGUGUUGAAAAAAUACAUGCUUGUCUAAUUCAAUCUACUAUCCUUUGGGGUCGGGGGAAGGCUUAUCUUUGUCUGCUUUCAUAUAAGAUAUGGCUCAACUACAUUCCUAUGAAAAGUUCAAGAUGGUUACUAAACCUGAUAAUUUCUUGAAACUAUGGUGGGACAACAUGAGCGCAGAAGAGAAAAAGAUUGUAAGAACACACAUUAGGCAUCUUCCUUCUUUGAUCGAGAUAGACGCUUGGCCCGAAAUGAUCCAUGUAGUAACAACUUUUUGGGAUGAUCAGAAUAUGGUAUUUCGCUUUGGGGAUGUUGAAUUGACUCCUAUCAUUGAAGAGUUAUUGAUUUGUUACGAGAGUAUGGAAAUAUGUUUUAAGAGAAGGGAGAUGCCUGAUAAGAACAUUUUACUCCCGGUUAUGUGGGAUCGUCAAAAGAUCGAGGUAUUUUUAACUGACGACGACACCUGGCUAGGAGAACGUGAUGGAGCAAAUAUCACUUUUUGUGAGUUGUAUCGUUGGUUCGGAAGAUUCAAUGCUUUUCACAAAUUUGGGCAUAAAUAUGAGUCAAAAGCAAAAUGGAAGGAGACGAGAGCCUUUGCGUUUGCGGUAGGCCUACUUGGAACCAUGACGUUCCCACAAAGGGAUAAUGGCACAAUUCAUCCGAGGGUUGUCUCAGUGACCCAUGAACUCUUCUUUGGAAUGGAGUACAAUUCUAAAAAGGUAUUCCACAACUUAGCUCCCAUGAUUUUUGCCGACAUAUAUCAAGCUUUGGGAAGCGGUCAAAUCGAGAAUCAUUUCUUUCAAGGCUGUAACCUUAUAUUACAAUGGAGGAUGAUGAUGCAUUUGGUGAAAAAUCGUAGAAUGGCACGACCCGACCACAAAACAAGGUGGAAUCUGCUAGAAUCGCAUAUCAUGUGGUUGUUUUUACACAAAUUCAAAAGGGAAGCAUCUCAUGAAUUUUGGUUUAAGACUCUUGGAGAAUUAAGAGAUGAUGAUGUCCAAUGGUCCAUUAACUAUCUUCGUUCAGGGAAAUACAUUAUUCGAGGAGGCGAGUGGCCUUUUUUAGUGAUUUUGGGUCUCAGGGGAACCCAUCCCUACAAUCCUGGCAGAGUUCUUAGGCAAUUCGAGAUCAAGCAGGAGACGCCUCAAAUCGAUUCUAUGCUCAGAUUCUUCACCGAAUAUGAUGAAAGCGAGCCCCCGCUCAAAGACUACAUGAUAAAUGAAUGGAGAAGGAGAUGGUGGACAGAAGUCUCUUUCCGUAUAGGGUAUGAACCUGAAGUCAGCGAUACUUACAAGGAGUGGUUAAAAAAGAGCCUUCCUGGAGCAUUGAUUCCGGGGCCGAACGUGCCCACUCGGGUAGUGGAUGUAGAAUCCGAGCAUCAAAUCCGACUCCACAGGCUUCAGGAUAAGUUUCAGAAAAAUGAAAUCGCGUACCGACAGAUGUAUGUAGAAGAUGCUUUAACAAUACAUAUGUUGAGAGAAGAGUUAAAAAGAGCUAGGCAAAAGGCUGAUGAUGCUAGGCAGUGUUUAAUCAAUUUGGAUGAUAGCAUGGCCUCUUAACUCGAUAGUAUAGGAAAAAUGACUUACGACAGCAAGGCACAGUUAUGCGGGAGUCAUCUGAUCAUCAAUACGUAUCAAAUAUCACAGGAGGUGAACAAGGAAAAGAAGGAAAAGGCAGACGAAGGAGCCUCCGGUAGCUAGUUUUUCUAUUUCCCCUGCGCGGGAACUUAUUUUCUUUCAUAUUAUUUCCCUGUUUCCCUGAAGAUUGUAUCUCCCUUUUGUUAUCUUUUGUAGGCAUUUAUGCCGUUUUUCGUGUCUACAUAAGUUGGGGGAUAAUGGAUUGACUUUAAGAAAACAUAUAUUUUCUUCAAAAUCGUUAGGCCUGAACCCUUAGCUCAAGUAGGGCCACCCCAGUUAGGAUACGCAUUAUUAUAAUGUUGUGUAAUAUAAUUAUCUUAUGCGCUUAUGUGUGUUUCUUUGGAUCAAAGGCAAGUUUAUCCGCUAUACUCCUAUGGGUAAAUUUGGCUAUGACUCAAACAACUCUACGUGGUUAUUUUUUGUCAAAUAUUUUGCAUUACUCAUCACAUACGGAAACUAACACAUCUGCCUUUAAGUUGUUUUACUUUACAGAUAAUAGAAACUACUCCGUGUUGAUAUAAGAUGGCAGGACAUCCCUACUUCACCCAGUCAAAAGCGCACAAAAUCCCAUCCCCUGACCAUCUUUCAAUAAUGACCGAAAAUAAUGAAGAAAAUGCAUUGACCAUCAGGGAAAAUCUAAUCGCGAAAUAGAGUGAGAUGAUUGCGGAAUUUGCAAGAAAGCUUGAAAUGCUUCAGGAGGAAAUAAAUCGUACUCGAGAUUUGGCUCACCUGGCCAUCAAUGUUAAUGCUCCCGCUCUAGGAGGACACGGGACUCCACUCCAAAUCCCUUCCCUCAGUACGCCUAUUCUCGGGGAUCAUCCAAAUAACAUAUUGUCUGUCUUUGCCCUUCCACUUUUCCAAAAUACCAAUCUUGAAAAUAACCUAGAUGCCUACCAUCCACAAAAUCCAUCUCUAACACCACAAAACCCAUCUUCGAAUCCAUUCCCAAAUCCCCAGAACCCAUUUGCAAAUCAAAAAAAUUCAUGUCCAAAUCCACAAGAUUCACUACCAAAUCCACAAAAUCCAUCCCCGAAUCUUCUAUUGAAUCUAUCCCAGAAUCUACAAAAUUCGUUUCCAAAUUCGUAAAAUCCUUCUCAGAUGCCACCAAACUACUCGCAAAUUCCACAAAACCUUUUUAUAUUUCAAAACGUCCUCCCCACCUAUCAACCAACUUUCUUUCAUCCAAAAAAUCAAGAAUCCCUUCCAAAUCCCCCUCAUGCCAUCAUAUCCCCCGACAUCUAUAAUCCCCUUCCUAAUCUUGAGAUGGACCAUUAUGAAGAGAAGGAGAAAGAGUGGAGGACCGAGCAUGAAAUGAAGUUGCUAGCUAUGAAUGAAGAAAUCAUGAGGAUUAAAGAAUCUCAUGGAGCGAGGGACCACGAUUGUUUAGGGUACGAUGACUUAUGCGUUCACCGUGGUGUAGAUCUACCAGAAGGGUACAAGGUCCCCAAGUUUGAAAUGUUUGAGGGUGCCAGAAAUCCAAUGACCCAUCUGAGGAGGUACUGCGAGCAACUGGUGGGGAUCGGGAAAAAUGAGGCGUUACUGAUGCGCCUAUUCAGAUAAAGUUUAAGCGGUGAAGCCUUAGAGUGGUUCAUGUCUCAGCAGCCGAAAAUAUGGACUGGUUGGAAAGCAUUGGCCGAGGGUUUCCUCGACAGGUUCGCAUUCAACAUUGAAAUAGUCCCGGACCAGUAUUCACUAGAUCGAAUCAAAUAGAAGACUGAUGCGAGUUUUCGAGACUAUGCUUUUCAUUAGAGGAAGGAAGCUGCCAAAGUACAACUCCCCAUGUCCGAGGAAGAAAUGGUAUCUGUAUUCUCUCGCGCUCAAGAAGGAGAAUAUUAUACCAGGAUGGUGUCUGCUAUCAGGGUGACUUUUGUAGAUUUGGUAAAAAUAAGCGAAUCAUUGGAAGAAGGUAUUCAGACAAGAAAAAUUACCAAAACCCCGACAUCGUCCGGGACUGCCAUGUUCUCGAAGAAGAAAAAGGAAGAUGUAGGCACAACUUCUGCUAGUUCUGUUGCCAAAAAAAAAAAGAGGUUCAACUCUUGGAAUGCUUUCUCUUCUCCGUCAUGACCAGACCUUUAGCAUGUGUUCUACGCCCACCCCCAAUACCAAGCUCUACUUUCAAAUGUCCAACCUCAGUACCAAACUCCACUCCCAAAUAUCCAAUCUCAGUACCAAACUCCACUCCCAAAUAUACAAUCCUAAUACCAAGCUCCACAGCCAAAUAUCUUUCCCCAAUACCAAGUUCCACCUCCAAAUUAUCAGUCUCAUGUCCAAUCCACUCUUUUAAAUAACCAAACAAAUAUCCAAGCACCUCUAAAUUAUCAUCAAGUACCUCCUCCUGCAAACCAAAGCCACUAUAACCCCCCACGUCCAAACUACGAAAAAAAACCUCUCGGAAACUUCACACCACUAGCUGAAAGUCGCACUCAAUUGUUUGAAAGACUGAAGAAUGUCAGUCGUUUGCAACUGAUACAGUCAAAGUAUGUCAAUCCCAACUCCCGAUUUUAUCAUCCUGAUCAAAAUUAUGCCUAUCAUUCAGGAGUAGCAGUGCACAGUAUCGAGGAGUGUAUUACCUUGAAACAUAAGAUCCAAGAUCUGAUUGAUCAAAAGGUCAUCACGCUUCAGUCACCAAUGCCAAAUGUCAACAGUAACCCAUUGCCUAACAUGGGGGACCUACAGUUAACAUGAUUGAGAUAAAAGAAGAAUGGACGUCUUGCAAGACUAUUACUAAGGUGAAUUCAGAAAAGUGCAAAAGGGUGGAAGAGGUAGAAAAGAUAGAGAGAGCUGUGGCUGCCUUAAGUGUCAAUGAGAAAGCCCCAUUUAUAGUGAUGACGACCCCGAUCCAAGUGUACACUCCCCCGCCAAGGAAGGAAUUUAUUAUACAGACUGCUACUGCCCAAAGGAUGACACGAUCGGGACGAUGAUACAUUCCUGAAGAAUUGAUCAACAAAAAAGAUUCACAGAAAAGAAGGGGAGGCUGAGGAAUUUUGGAGGCGUAUGCAACCAAAAGACAAUUCAAUUGUCAAACAUUUAGAGAAGACUCCAGCCUAAAUUUCCAUUUUGGCAUUAUUAAUGAAUUCGCAAUACCACCGACAAGAUCUAUCAAAGGUCUUGGAUGAAGCGUAUGUUCCCGCAGGAAUGAGUGUUAAGAACUUGGCUGCAAUGAUAGAAAAUAUUGUGGGGAAUCAUCGCAUAUCAUUCAGUGAUGAAGAGUUGUCGUUUGAGGGAGCGAUGCACAACAAAGCCUUGUAUGUCACUGUCAUUUGCCAAGACUAUACGAUUAAUCAGGUAUUGAUAGAUGACGGAUCUGGUAUGAACAUUUAUACUCUCUCCAUGUUGGUUAAAAUGGGCAAUGAUUUGGGAAAAAAUCAUCAAAGCCACGUAAAUGUGAGAGCAUUUGAUGGAGGGCAGAGAGAUACCAUAGGAGAAAUUGAUUUGUACAUCCAAAUGGGACAUGCUGAGUUCAAAAUUAAGUUUCAUGUUAUGGAUAUUUAUCCUAGCUACAACCUGCUGUUGGGAAGACCAUGGAUACAUGGUGCAAAGGCCAUUUCAUUACCCCUUCAUCAACUAUUGAAUUUCAUUUAGGAGGAUCAUAAAGUAGUCAUCCAAGGGGAAAGAAGCCGAGCGGAUCAUCCCAAUGAUUAUGUGUCGGUGAUUGGAGAUAUUCCAUAGGGUAGUAGUUUCUAUACGAUGGAAAUUGUAAAUACUGUGGAGAAGAAUCUAAUGCUCAAAGCGCCAAUGCCUUCUCUCUACAAAAUGAUUGCGACGGUGAUGAUAAAAAAUGGAUUCGAGCCUGGUCGGAGUUUGGGUAAGAGUCUACAAGGAAUUAUUGAGCCUAUUAUGAUCCCAGAGAAGGCCUCUAAGUAUGGGUUAGGAUAUCGGCCUACAAAGGAGGAUGAGAUUGAGAAUGAGUCAGAGGCGAGUCUGUUUAGGCCCUUACCGCUCCUGUACCAGUCAUUUCCCGUACGUGAGAUGUCAAAUGAUGAUGGUCUUGGGGAUGGGAUAGGAAAUCUGUUCGAGGAAUGCAGUGCUAUACCAAAAGAUUUCCUAAUGUCCAGUGGGGUGAAUAAGAUUGCACCAGGGGAGUCCUUGCAAAACUGGACCUCCACUCCAUUCAUAACUCGUCACCCAUCGUGGUAGAUGAAAGGGCAAUUACUAAUAGUUUUUUAAAAUCAGUGAUGAUCUGGAUGAGGCCCUGCAAUCCAUCCUUUACAUCUCAAAUUUCCUUUUUGUAUUUUACUGCUUUCAAAAGGCAUGAGCUUGUGUUUGCACGAGUCAUGAGCCAUAUUUUAUAAUUAUCUCUCAAAUUUUAAUAAAAAGGCCUUCCCUUAUUUUGAAUAAAAUAAAAUAAAUAAAUAAUAAUAAAAAAUUAUUUUUCUAAACACCACUAUUUGUACAUUUUAUUUUUAUCUUGUUAUCAUCUAACUUGAUUUGUUUGUUUAUUACAAUAACCGUAACUUAAAACCUGCCAACGUCAUGUCAUGUCAAAUCUUAGACGAACAAAAUAAGGGGAAGGAUAAUGAUUGGAAGGGAGGCGAUGAGAAAUGAUUAGUUGAAGAUGAGGAAGAGUUUGAGAACCGGGAGAAGCCCAACCUAGAGGAAAUUGAAACAGUCAACCUCGAAGAUCCUGAUAAAAUCAAAGAAACAAAUGUCAGUGUCCACCUUAUGGAAGCAUAAAAGAGAGAGAUCAUUCACCUAUUGUGGGAAAAUAUUGACGUGUUUGCUUGGUCCUAUGAUGAUAUGCCGGGAUUGAGCACCAGUAUUGUAUCACAUAAGUUACCGAUAAAUCCAGAGUUUGAUCCAGUCAAGUAAAAAAUACGGAAAUUCAAGCCAGAUUUAAGUCUAAAGAUCAAGGAAGAAGUGACAAAAGAAAUCCAGUCUAAGGUUGUAGAGGUCACAAAAUAUCCGACGUGGCUAGCUAACAUCGUCCCAGUGCCGAAGAAAGAUGGCAAGAUUCGAAUUUGUGUUGACUAUAGAGACUUGAAUAGAGCCAGUCCUAAAGAUAAUUUUCCGUUGCCCAACAUCCACAUCCUCAUCGAUAACUGCGCAAAGCAUGAAAUGUAGUCAUUCAUUGAUUGUUUCAUCGGGUAUCAUCUGAUAUUGAUGGAUGAUGAAGAUGUAGAAAAGACGGUUUUUAUUACGCCCUGGGGUGUUUAUCAUUACAGGGUAAUUUCGUUUGGUCUAAUAAAUGCGGGUGCAACAUUUAUGAGGGCUAUGAAGACAAUUUUCCAAGAUAUGAUCCAUAAAGAGAUUGAGGUGUACGUGGAUGAUAUAAUUAUCAAAUCCCGUGAGAGUUCGGAUCAUCUGACUCAUCUGGAGAAAUUCUUCAAUAGAUUAAGAAAGUACAGUUUGAAGUUAAAUCCUGCUAAGUGUGCUUUUGGUGUGCUAUCAGGGAAGUUGUUAGGGUUUAUAGUCAACAGAAGAGGCAUUGAGCUAUACCCAUCAAAAAUUAAGACAAUUCAGGACUUACCAUUGCAGAGGACCAAGAAGGAAGUUAUGAGUUUCAUGGGUCGUUUGAAUUACAUUAGCAGGUUCAUCGCUCAGUCAACGGUCAUAUGCGAGCCAAUUCUCAAGAUGUUGAAGAAAAAUGCAUUGAAUGAGUGGACAGAAGAAUGACAGAGGACUUUUGACCGUAUCAAAGAAUAUUUGUCUGCACCGCCGGUUUUGGUUCCGCCAAGAGAAGGAAUUCUGUUAUUGCUUUACCUGUCAGUCUCAGAAAAUGCAUUUGGAUGUGCCCUCAGGAAACAUGAUGAGACCGGUAGGAAAGAGAAAGCCAUUUACUACUUGAGUAAAAAGUUUACACCAUAUGAAGCCCGUUACACUCUUGUAGAAAGGACAUGUUAUGCUUUGACUUGGGCCGCACAAAAGUUGAGGCAUUAUCUAUCUUCGUACACGAAAUACCUCAUCUCGAGAAUGGAUCCAUUGAAGUAUAUAUUCCUGAAGGCCAUGCCCACAGGAAAGCUAGACAAGUGGCAAAUGUUGCUGAGCAAGUUUGACAUCCUGUAUGUAACUCAAAAAGUAAUCAAGGGGCAAGCUUUGGCAGAUCAUUUGGCAGAGAAUCCAGUUGAUGAUGAAUAUGAACCACUUCGAACUUACUUCCCAGAUGAGGAAAUUCUAUUCGUGAGAGAAGACAUUACAGAAAUUUACCCUGGAUGGAGGUUAUUAUUUGAUGGAGCGGUCAACUUCAAAGGUUCAGGAAUCAGAGCAGUGUUGGUCUCAGAAAUGAGUCAACAUUAUCCAAUAACUGCUAAGUCAUGUUUCCCAUACACCAAUAACAUGGAAGAAUAUGAAGCUUGCAUCCUGGGUCUAAAAUUGGCACUUGAUAUGGGUGUUCGUAAAUUGCUAGUCGUCGGGGAUUCAAAUUUGCUGAUUCACCAAGAACGGGGAGAAUGGGCAGUAAAAAAUUCCAAGAUUACUCCUUAUGUUGAGCUGGUACAGGAAUUAUGUGGAAAAUUCAAAGAAGUUGAUUUCAGACAUAUCCUAAGGAUACAAAAUAAGUUUGUUGAUGCUUUGGAUACUAUAUCCUCCAUGAUUCGGCACUCAGAUCAGAGUUACAUUGAUCCUUUAGAAAUAAGCUUGAAGGAGCAACCUGCGCAUUGUGCACGUGUUGAAGAAGAGCCCGAUUGAAAGCAAUGGUACUAUGACAUUAAAAGGUAUUUAGAAUCUGGAAUAUAUCCUGAAGAGGCCAGCAACAACCAAAAGAAAACAAUCCGGCGUUUGGCAAAAAACUACUUUCCAAGUGGGGAAUUUCUUUUUAGGAGGAUGCCUGAUUUAGGAUUUUUAAGAUGCGUCGAUGCUGCGAAAACCAAUAAAUUGAUAAAAAAAAGUACACGCAGGAGUUUGCGGACCCCACAUAAAUGGGUUUGUCCUUACCAAAAAGAUCCUGAGAACCGGCUACUUCUGGAUGACUAUGGAGAAUGAUUGUAGUAAGUAUGUGCAGAGAUGUCCAAAAUGUCAGACACACGGAGAUUUGAUUCGAAUGCCUCCACACGAGCUUCAUGCAAUGAAUUCACCUUGGCCUUUCGUAGCUUGGGGCAUGGAUGUUAUCGGACCGAUAGAGCCAUCAUCAUCGAAUGGGCAUAGAUUUAUUUUGGUUGCCGUUGACUACUUCACUAAGUGGGUCGAAGCUACGUCAUACAGAGCUGUCACUAAGAAAGUGGUUGCAGAUUUCAUCAGGAAUAACUUGAUUUGGUGAUUUGGAGUGCUGGAAUCAAUCAUUACUGAUAAUGGGGUAAACUUGAACAGUCACUUGAUGAAAGAAAUUUGUGAUCAGUUCAAAAUCGUGCAUCGUAACUCAACUGUAUAUCGUCCACAGAUGAAUAGAGCCAUAGAAGCUGCCAAUAAGAACAUCAAGAAGAUCUUGAGAAAGAUAGUCAAAAAUGAUAGUUCAUGGCAUGAGAUGUUACCUUAUGCUUUACUAGGAUAUCGCACAACAGUUUGAACCUUCAUCGGGGCAACUCCUUAUUUUCUGGUUUAUGGGAAUGAAGCUGUGGUACCUGCUGAGGUUGAAAUACCUUACCUGAGGAUUAUUCAAUAAGUCGAACUAAGUAACGAAGAGUGGGUUCACGUUCGUUGUGAACAACUCAUAUUGAUUGAUGAAAAGAGAAUGGUUGCCAUGUGUCAUGGUCAGUUAUAUCAGCACAGGAUGAUUCGUUCUUUCAACAAAAAAGUGAGGGCUCGAACAUUUGAAGUUGGGCAAUUAGUUCUCAAACGCAUACUCCCUCACCAAGAAGAGUACAAGGGCAAGUUUGCUCCAAAUUGGCAAGGUCCAUACAUAGUUCGUAAGGUACUAUCUGGAGGUGCUCUAAUUUUGUCUGAGAUAGAUGGCCAUGAGUAGACCAAACCAAUCAAUUCUGAUGCGGUGAAAAGAUACUAUGUUUGAAGGGCAUUCUAGUUUUGUGGUUCUUAGUUUAUCUGUAAUCUCCGUGUAAUUAUGUGUUUUAUGAUAUGUAAUUACCUAGAACACCUUUCCCUUUAUGUACGAACAACGUUUGACCUGAAUUCCCAAAAAAGGGAUACAUAGGCGGCCUAUAUCGGCUUCGGUCAACCCCUUAGAAAAUUUAUCCUUUCCCUUUAUGUAUGAACUACGUGAUGACCUGAAUUCCCAAGAAAGGGAUACGUAGGCGGCCUAUGUCAGCUUUGGUCAACCCAUUAAUUUCUUUUGUAUAUCCCUAGCAUAGUCCUGAACUACGUUUGACCUGAUUUCUGCUUCAACGAGAUACGUAGGCGCCCCAACGGCUAGGUCAUAUAACCCCAGGAAAUGAAAACUGGGGUAGAAUUUUUGAGAAGGAAUCUCAAAAAUUAAUAAGAGAAGAUCAACAUCUAACAAAGAGAAUGAAGAUCAGCAAAGACUUCAGAUCUACUCAAGAUGAUAUCAUCUCAGACUACUUUAAACUGGGGCAGAAAUUUUGAAGGAGGCCUCAAAAUUUCAAUCAAAUACUGGAAUAUAUUUCAGAUUCCCUAGCACUAGAGGUCGAAUUUGAGAUUUAAGAAUAACCACCUGUGAUAAAGUCUAGGAAGACUGAAUCUCCAUCUUUGAUAAAACCUCUGGUAGAGAGCCUCGACAAUGCUGAAUCCCUAGCUAUCCUCCGUUAAACAUCAGACAUUAUCAGAAUCAAGAGAAAGAAGGUCGUUGAGCUAGCACAUGAAAUGACUAGCAGACAUUAAUUGGGAGGGAGAGUCAUGGGUAAAAGUACCAACAUGACGAAGUACCUGAAAGAUGGCAAGGGAAAAAUCAAGGAUCGAAGGAGGUCAACAUAGAGUAGUUUCAUUCAAACUAAUCAUUUUUUGUGGAUACAGGAAUUGAUACACAAAAAUGAGCGUUUCUCUCGAAAAAUCCCCAAGCAAUCCGGGAGCCAUGACAGAGCAUAUAAUGCUUAAUAACGGUACUUUUGAUAGCCCAAAAAUGGGCUCAACACCCAUUUAUCGAUGACCUUUCGAAUUGUCCAUCUCAUUUCUUAAGAUCUUAGAGGAAAAACAAAAGUGUCUUGUCUUCUUUGCAAAUAUUUUAUUCAGAAUUUUUCUAAAAAAUGGUCGCUAGAAAAAGUGACUUUGUGUCUAAUAAUCGUCUACCUUGAGUACAGGUACAUGUAGAAAUCAAGACAUUGACAAACGAAUUCAGGUGAAACUAUUUUUAAACAACCGGAAGGACCAUUGCAUAUCAUUGCCGAGAGGGUCAUUGUAUAUCAAUGCCUAGAGGGCCAUUGCAUGUCAUUACCAAGAGGGCCAUUGCAUAUCAUUGCCGAGAGGGCCAUUGCAUAUCAUUGCCAAGAGGGCCAUUGCAUAUCAUUGCCAAGAGGGCCAUUGCAUAUCAUCAUCAUUUAAUAUCUGUUGACGCGCUAGACAGAAACACUGGCGUCGAGGGUAUCAUCAUCAUUCAAUAUCUGUUGACAUGUUAGACAGAAACAUUGGCUUUGAGGAUAUCAUCAUCAUUCAAUAUCUGUUGACGCACUAGACACAACACUGGCAUCACGGAUAUCAUCAGCAUUCAAUAUAUCUGUUGACAUGCAAGACACAACGCCGGCAUUGAGGAUAUCAUCAUCAUUCAAUAUCUGUUGAUGCGCUAGACAUAAUGCUGGUGUCGAGGAUAUCAUCAACAUUCAAUAUAUUUGUUGACACGCAAGACACAACGUUCGCGUCGAGGAUAUCAUCAUCAUCAUCAUUUUAUAUCUGUUGACACACAAGACAUAAAUGCUAGCGCCAAGGAUAUCUCAUUAUUUUAUGAAUCAGUAUUUGAAUACAUCGAGAGCACACGAUUUGAAGGAACGCCUUUAAAUCGCUAUCUAAGGAUGAAUGAUAUAUAAGAUUUCCUAGAAAUUGACAAUUUGAGGGUCAUCUAUAAGUCAUAUUAUUUUAAAUAGGAUAGUGUCCAAGAUCAACUAUGAGUUCAUAGCCUAUAGGUCAUCCGUAAGCCACAACAACAUCCUAACCGGAUAGUGUGCAAGAUCGCCCAAAAAUUGAUAGUUCAAAGGUUAUCCAUAAGUUGCAACUAAAUCCCUACCGGAGAAUAUGCAAGAUUAUCAAAUUGAUACGUCCAAGGGUUCUCUAUAAGCCGCGUCAUAUCAAAGAUCGAUUAUGUGCAGGAUUACCCAAAGACUAACAAUUUGAGAGAUUAUCUAUAAAUCAUAUUGUAUCUAAGGUCGGAUGAUGUGCAGGAACCCCUGAAAGCUAGCGAUUGGAGGGAUAUCUGUAAGCCAUCUCUUAUCCAAAGUCGGAUAAUGUGCAGGAUUACCUAAAAGCUAGAAAUUCAAAGGAUAUCUGUAAGUCUCCUCGUAUCCAAUAUCAAAUAAUGUGCAAGAUUAUCCAAAGAUUGAUAAUUUAAAGGAAAUUUAUAAAUCGAUCAUCGUCAAUAACCAAAAAAGUUAUCCUUCCACAUAUAACAAGAAUUAUAGGUGACCGAAGAAGUUACCACAUCUACACAAUAUUACACGGUUGCAAGGACCGUUCUUCAUAAAAUAUCAUCGAUGUCUGAAGGGCCACCCCGCUUUGAAGAUAUAUUGAACCGACAAAUAUCAUAAUUAUACAAUAACCAAGAAUGUUGUUGUGCCUAUUAUUGCAAGUUAUUUCCUUCCAAAUAGGUAUAAGAAAGGAUGACUUCUCUUUUUAGACAACAACUCAUGCGGAGAUAUGAUAAAAUACUAUUUACCUCUUUCGUGAGUUAUGCUUAUCACUAAUGAUUUUUGUUUGAGAUAUUGUCGAGAGCAUCCGAGAGGAUAAAAAUAUCAAACCAAAACCAUAGGUGCGGAUAACUCCAAAAAGGACGCAGCACAACGUGGAACUCUUUCUUUGCAGUAAAACGGGACAUAGUUUAGAGAAGGACGUCAAACUCUCUCGACGCAAGCUAAAGGAUGAUCACCACCACCAUCUAACCACACCCAUUUUAGAAGGCAUGUGGGUAUUUUGGGAUAUUCUGGUUUCAGCUUCACCUCCGGGAUAUUUUCUUCACUCAUACCGAGGGUAACCUUCUCUUUCUUUUAAAUUCGGGUGACAACAUACUUAGAGUUUUGGAAAUUAUUUCCAGGUAAGUUCUUAUCUAUGGGUGUGAAGGAUCCCACAUUCAUGAUUAAGAGGUUACAAGCCUCUUUUCCGCAACUCAGUCAACUUGUCACUCAUCCUGAUCCAAAGAUUGUCUGAAAAUAGAAGACUAUCUUUUCUACCGAUAAAGUCGAACUACAAGCAGUCUGAUUCCUUGAGUCUCAGGGAUAUGCAGGCUGGACUCUAUGUAGAAAACUCGACUGUAUUCCAACCUCCCUCCAAAUCCCUCUAUUCCCCAGCUUUUUGGUUUUAUCAAAAACUUUAAAACCGAGAUAGCUUGUGAAAUUUUCUUGAAAAUCGUGCUUGCAAUCAAGCUUUAUGAACUACAAGUGGCCUGAAUUCUCAUAUAACCUGAGAUAUGUAGGAAACCUGAAACCGAGGCCCUGGCAUAACUCCAUGAAACUCAUAUGAAAAUCAACCUCUUUCAGAAACGAAUUUAUGGUCGUAAGAAAUUAGGAACGUCAACCUCCCUUUGCUAAGGGUUACUUGCAUCCACUCUACCCAAAGGGAGGGGGCAGUUGUUGACACCUAAUUUUUGCCCUCUGCAAUCCAAUUUAACUUCGAGUUUCUUUAAUUUUAAAACAAAAUCACAAUAAUUAUUUUGCUCAAAUAAAUGCUGAUUGAAGUAUUUAUUCAAGGUAAUUUUAUCAUUUAAUUAACUAUUAUAUAUUUUUCGUAUUUUUUAUAUGAGUGUGUAUAAAUUUUGUUAUUUGAAUGAACAUUUUAUCAAAAUUAAAUUUUUUAUUGAUUAAACUUGAAAAUGAAUUCAAAUAGAUAAAAUCUUGGUUUUAAAUAUGAUUUACUCUCAAAAUAUUUUAUUUGGAGGAAUAUUUAUUGAAUUUUUUUAUCAAAUUAAGAAACUCGAGGUUAAUUUGUUAGUUGAUUCAUGCCAGAUUGCGAUUCAAUUUAGCGAACGAAUUAAAUGCGACCUCAAUUGAAAUCAAAUUGGCCCCAAUUGUAAUGUAAUUGAUCAAUAGAUAUUCAAUUUGGUUAUAAUUUAAAUAGGUCGUUUAAAUUGUAAUUCAAUCUUAAUCCCCAAAGUUACCAUUUCUUAAUUGAGAUUUUUUUAAUUCGAUUAAAUUUAAUUAGAGUUAUUUUUAAUCCAAUUAAAUUUAAUUAGGGUUAUUUAAUAACCCAAUUAAAUUUAAUUGGGGUUAUUAAAUAACACCAAUUUCAGCCCUUUUCUUAUCUUUAAUCACAAAAACCCAACAAUAAUCAACCCAACAGCCCAUUUAAUUUUAGUUUUUCUAGCCCACUACCCCUUUGCCUGACUCGGGCCCAAUUCAGCUUCUUCUCUAAAUCAGUAAGAACAAUCCUCCACCAAGUACAACCUCAGCCAAAUCACGACAACCUCCUCCAUCGAUAAUCAACUCCAAAUGACCCUAACCCGUAUUCCUCGAAAUCCGAUGAGUCAUCUUCUCAACGUAGACCCGAGCUCCAACCUGCCUAUUUCUUUUGCGUCACAUGGCUCUCACGCGAGGAGGUGUGAAGAAAACUUGAGAACCCUUUAGAAACAUGCUUAGGUGUCCCCCUCUAAUGGAUACCUCCGUGAAUCGCGUCUUACUUGUACAAAUUCGUACAUAUUUGGCGAUUUUUCAUUGGGUAUGGGGGAGAAUUCAUUUCUCCCCAAUUCUAUUGGUCCAUCAUAUCCAAAAAUUGGUAUGAAUUGAGACGAAAAUGGGAUAUGGGGGGAUAUUUUCAGAUUUAAAAUUCAAAAUAACUUUUUUCAAAGCCGAAAAAGGACCCUUAAUUUGUCUUCUAUAUAUAGACCCCUUGGGUCACUAUUUUGGGGGAUUUUUUUGGGGGAUUCUUGGCUCAAAGGUUCUAAGUUUGGGGCUAGAAAUUUUGCAGAAGUUUUUUUUGUGGGUUCGAAUGAUUCGAAAAUUGGGAGACGGGGGAUUCAGAAAAAGCUAAGGGAGAGAAAACUUUCUUUGAGGAAAAACUCAGUAAAACCUUUAAUUUUCUAGUAGGUUUUUGAAGUCGUCGAUUGAUCGAAACUCUAGAGAGGUCGAUUUUCAGUGGUGUUAGAAUCCGAUAUUAGCUCGAAAGUCUCAUUUUGCUGCCACGAAAUAGGUGACACUCCGUUUCUUUUAUCUUUUGAAUGUUUUUUACUUUAUCUCCACUUCUGUAGUCGUAUGAAUGCUUUGUUAUGAGUAUUGUGUGCUGGUAUUGUGUGCUGUAGAGGUCUUGUAAGACCAUAGGAUACGUUGGAUGAAGAUAAUGUUUGUCGUAUGAUUAUGUUUGACGAUUAAACUCUUAGUUUAGUUUUUAAAACUUUCGAUUUCAGUCUCACUUGCUUGCCUCGAUUUUAUAAUGGGUUAGCUGAUUUUGACAUAGCCAAUUAGCUUCCAAUUUGCUGCUUUGUAUUGUAUAUUGCUUCUAAGUGUGACUUAUAAGUUCGAUAGAGAUUCCUAUUUCAAUUUCUUGCUUCACCGGCUUGCUGAAUGUUUGUUUUGUUGGAGUAGCCGCCCUUCUGUUUAGCUGGUGAUAUCACUAGCAAGACCACUUUUGUGAGUUUCUUUGGCUUCUCAAAUGUCAAAGAGAAUGACCAAAAUGUGUCCAACAAUGAAAGGUCGCCAAGAGAUCCUAGAAUCUCCUCGACGGCCAUUUCAUUUGAGUCUAUCGAAAUAAGGAGGAGAACAAAAGAUACCGUAUCUCAUUAGCUCCUUUCUUUAGUUUAUUGAUUGUGUUUCCUUUUUUUAGUAAAAUUUUGAAGAUUGAUUCUUUUCUUUGGAUUCAUUUCAAGCCAAUAGUCCUGUUUGUUUGAAGUCCAUGAAAGAAUAAAAUGGCUUUGUUGAAGAAUAUUAUACAUGACAAUGGAUUUGGUCUUGUCGAUGUCCAAAAUCAUUGCUAUGUGUGUAUUCUCCCUCAAGGAUGGCUCGAUAUUUCUUUUAGUUAUUAAUUUCAAGGUCUAAAACUCUUGAGGUUUUGUAAGACCAUAGUUGGAGAAUAGCCGUAUUCGACUCUCAAGACUGCUGUUUUGAAUAAUGGAAAUUCGGGAGACUGCUUUGCACUAUCGCGACUUUAAGUAGUUUGAGGUUUAUUUGGAGUAAAAGAGGAACUUCUGGGGGUUUUGUUUUUCUUGAAUUUUUUAUUAUCUAUUUUGAGGCAUUUGUUGUAUAAUUUAACGCGACUCACGAGGUAUUUUUAAUUCGAUGAUAUUAAAAGAGACCUAGGAGUUUGCCAUAGAGCUGUGAUAACAAUCCAGGGAAUCUCUAAUAAACCUUGGUUUACAUUCUUGCACUAUUUGGCAAGGAGAGGAGGAUCUGUUUAAGGUUGUUAGCCUAAUUGAAUGAUAUUUGGAUCAGUGCAUGGAUUGUUUCCCGCCACUUGGCUAGGUUUAAAGGACUUAUUCAACUGACCAUGGUUUUCAGAUUGCGUUGCCCCCCCCUUCUUUGACUCUAUUUGUUUUCCUUUAGAGUGUGUCAUUAUUUCUGCCUCCAUAUUUCAUUCUCGCUUUUCCUUGCUUUCUUUUCUGGUUGGGGUUUUCUACAAUAUGUGUGGAAGUAGGCUUCGGGUAGGGUAAAGUUUCUGCAUGACUUAAUGAAUCUAUGUGAACAUAAAAGCUCGAUACGACUAAUAGAAUUAUCAUUUACGUUUGAAUUAAUCUGAAUAAUUAUACAUUACUUUACUGAACAAUUAUGAUGGGUACAGUAUGCUAUAACUUAGAGUUGAGUAGUUUAUGCUUCGUGUACAAUCCCGCAUUUUAAGAUUAACCUGUAUUCCAUCUGUCUAUUCGUAACUUCGAUGAUCGUUGAUGAUAUCUCUGAAAAAGGAUAGAUAGAACACUCUCAGAAUUUAAACCCCGAAACCCUUUCCCAGUGCUUUUUCCUGAAUAUGAUAAUGGGUGCUAAAUCCUCUUAUGUAUUCUGUGGGACCACCUUGAGCAUGAAGUAUAAUCCUUCUGAUUGCUAUUUGUGGUUUAUUAUGAUGAAUGAUCAGUUACACUAAGUUUAAAGGUCUAAUGUAGUGCCUUAACCCUUUUCUCUUUAUUUUGAUGCAUGGGGAUUCGUUGGAGUCCAAACGGACUCUUUGCAUUCCCUAAUGGGCCAAUAAGAACCAUCCAUUAAGUUGAGCUCGGAAGAGAGUAUAAGAUAGCAUAGCAUAUAGCAUACGAAUGCGAGUUGUUGAAGGAAGAAGAAAGUAGAUCAGAGUUUCAUCUUUGAAGCAGCUAUGAGAUUCGAAAGUCUCAUUUAUUAUUUUGUCCAUUUACUUAUUGUUGUAUUUAUUUAUUUAUUGAUUGAUUUUCUUAUUUACUUAUUUGGGCCUCGAAGCCAAAGUUGUACUUAAUACAGGUGAAGCAGGACUCGAGCUAAAGGCUCGAAAACAUAGAAUUAGGACAGGUGAAAAUGGGUCGACAACCUAACUAGAUUAGGACAGGGUCGACGGUUUGAGCUUAAAAGCCUAAAUCACUACUUCUCCAUUUUUCCCCUUUUCCUUUUAUUUACUUGUUUGCUUGUCUCUUUGCGAACCUAGUUAAAUCCCUAACUAAGUCGCUAAAAAACUGAUUUUGCGAAAACCUUUUCCUUAACCAAUUACUUUUUCAACAAAUCAAUCUUCCAAAGUUAGUCAAAAGAUGUUUUCAAACAGUCCGGAUAACUGCAAGUUAGCGGACGUUUUAGGUGCCUUACACCUUCCUAAAACGUUAAUAGAAAUCACUUACUCGGAAUCUUCAAAAUUUAAAACGAUUUUUCUAUUUUGAAUCGUUUGAAAUCUCUCUCUAAAGGUUUCUUAAUUCCUUUUCAAAAUUAAGUGGUGACUCUCAAAAAUCAAAAUUUUCGCAAAACAACCAGUACAGUUGAAACAAAGAUAAUCCUCGAUUUGAUAGUCACCAAUACAAGCUUCUAAAUAUAAAAAUGAAAGAAGUUUUGAGUAUUUCAAAAUGCGAAAAGCUUAUAAAAUAAGGGUGAAGGAGAUUUCAGUAGUCUCUGAAAUCAAUAGCAGCUACCUCGAAUUUCUAAAGAUGCUAACACAGAAGAAACCAUAGGAAUCAAUAACAGAGGUCGUCGGAUUUGUAUCUGCACAUAAAAUAUAGAAAAGUAAGGGUGAGUACGAAAUCACAUGUACUCAACAAGCAUCGUUGACCGACUCUAACUCAAAGUGGUGACGAGUAACACCACGUCAACCCUCAAAAACAACGAGACAACCUGCACUCAUGAACUUGUUAAAACGAUAUUUAUAAACUUGAGAUCAUGAUUAAUAAUUAUGUUUACCGCAAUAAAACAGAUAUCAAUAGCCUACUGGAUUAUCUGUGUGAAAAUGAUACAUGUUCAUAGAUCGAGAGUUUAGAAGAAAUUGUGGAUAUAAUCAGAGAAAACGAUGUUGAUGAUGAAGCUGAAGACGAUACAAUAUUUUUGGAACUAGUUACUCGUAAGGAAGCACUUAUCGCAUCUAGAACUCUUCGCAAUUUUUUUGUGCAAUUUGAAAAGACAUCACCAAAAUAUUUGGAUGCAAUAAGAAAAGUUAGAGAGGAGCUUCAAGUAGAUUUAAAUUUUAACCAAAAAAAAUUACUAGAAUCAUAUUUCACUAAAUUGUCUUAGAUAUUUUUGUAAUUUUAAAGAAUUAUUAAUUUAUAAUAAUAAUAAUAAUGAAACCAUAUAUUUAUAUAGGGGUCUUUCAAAAAUAUAUUAACUAAAUAUCUUAUCGAAAUUGAUGAUUUUUCUCAUUGGCCCAAAUCGGGAUCAAAGAAAAAUAUUAUCUUAAAGUUUAUUAAUUUACUGAGUAUGUUUUACUAUAUUCAGAUCAAUUAAGUAACAAAGGACUACAACUGUUAGUAUGAGCUUGAUGCUUUGGACCAAUUCAGUCCAUCCUGUAAUCUGAUGGGAUUGAAUUACAAAUAUUUAGAGUCCAAUUAAUUACAAGUUUUUUUAACUCGAUCCAAGUAAAUUCGCUGAUACAUGAGGCUUGGGCAAGUGAUAGGUACAGAAAUGGUGUUGAACAGUAAAGGUUUUUUUUGUCUGUUAAACAUUAAAAAAAAAUCAGCUAGAAAGGGUAAAUGAAAAAGUGCAGGCUGAUCUCUCAAUGAUAUUUCAUAGGCAAUUCAAUGAGAAUUCUUUCAAGCAGAGAUUUAUCGAAAAUAGUCCCUCUAUUGUAAAGCAUUUUUAACAUGUUGGGUUUACAAAUGAUACACAAAUUCUAAAUUCAAAGGUCCAAUGUGCAAAUGACCCCAACAAUAACCUUCGUUGCAGUAAUCCACGGUUUAUUGACUGAUGAUUUUAUUAGCAUUUUAAUAUUAAUUUAUUAUGUUUUAAUGCUUUGAAAUCAUGGCAGCAACUUCCUUUCUAUUACUAUUCUUUCUUCUAAUGAUUUUUGUGACAUUGUAUGCCAAAUAAUGAGUUCGGAAUCAAAAUAUGCCACAAAAGUAAAAGAAGUACUAAUCUAUGUCAUAUAAAAAAAGUAUCAAAAUAGGUUUUGUGCACUUAAUAAGUGCACAAUAUCUUUAGAUUUUAACGGAAGGCGUCUGGACGACGUUAAAAAAGGUGAAGUUCAGAUUGUGCACUUAAUAAGUGCACAAUCCAUUUUUUUUAUGGGUUGUGGCUAAAUAAGUGCACAAUCUAUUCAUAUAUACUUUUUUAUGGGUUGUGACUAAAUAAGUAUCAAAAUAGGUUUUGUGCACUUUUUAGUGCAUAAUCCAUUUAUUUAUAUUGUCCACUUUUUUGCACAAUUGUACACUUUUUUGUGCAUAAUCUAUAAAUAAAUGGAUUGUGAGUUUAAAAAGUGCACAAUCUUUUUAAAAAUGAAUUGUGCACUAACAAAGUGCACAAUCUAUAAAUAAAUGAAUUGUGCACUAAAAAAAGUGCACUCUGUACUAUUCAUCUUAUUCAGACAUAUCAACAUCAAUCUACUAUUGAUAUGAAAUUUGAAUAUGUGCACAUUAUCCUGUUCAAUUUUUUCAACAGUUCUUUAAAAUUUCUCUAUAAAGGGAAAACAUCGUCUUCUUCACUGCAACAACUUCAAAUUUUUUUAUAGUUCAGAUAAAUUCUUAUUCAUUUGAGUCUUAGAAAAUGAAUAGUGAACGUAUCAAAGUUGCACUUUUUUGAGACGGUGAAAUUGUUCAUGAGGGUAAUACAAUAUAUUAUAGUAUUUCUCUCAAGUGCAACGUCAUGUAUCCAAUUUCAAUUGGUUAUUAAGAAUUUGUUGAUUCAAUUUUUAGAAGGAUGAAAAUUAAAAGUGACGAUUAUAAUUUACUUAUAAUCGGACAAUAUUCAAAUUCAUUCUCAUCAAAUGGUUUGGUAAAUUAUGGAUCAAUGACGAUGAAUCAUUGACUGGAUUUUUAAGGGCUCCUUUUGAUUAUGCCAGUCAAAUAAUGUUAAAUAUUCUUCAAGUUUAUGUUAAAAAGGAACGGACGAGUCGCCGUGCGCACUCUCCUGCACAGACAAAUGUGUAUACACAACUUGAUAAUCCAACUAGUAUUGGUGAUGCCCGGUUAAGUCAAUAUAGUAAUUUUUUUGACAUGAACGUUUCUCAAUACUUCAUGUCGUGUAGCAUACCGACACAAUCUUCAAUACCUGAUUUGAACGAAACUUUGUAUCAAAGUGACUGAUAAUAUUGAUGAAUUCAUUUUAUUAUUAGUAAUAUUUAUUUUGAUUGCUUUGUGUUUAUUUGUUGUCAUAUUGUUGUUAUAUUUUUUUCAGGGGAUUAACUCUUGGUGAGAUGAAUAAUGAUGAAUUUUUGGGACAAGAUUAUAAUUAUGGUCAAUCAUCACAACUUGAUUGGGUGGACAAUGUUGGAACAUCUUCAAAUGUUUCUCUUUCGUUGAAUCUUGAUGUUGCCGAGUAUUAUCGGAAGGUUAAAUAUAGUUGUUAUAAUAUUUAUUUAUAUUUUUAACAGAUAUUAAAAAACUUCCAUGCCGCGUCACAUAUUUUUGGUUGAAUAGUCUCAUUACAAUCAAUAAUUUCAUCCUACAAUCUUUGUGAUCUGUGACUCGCUUGUAAUGUAAGUAAUGACCCAUCAUGGGCCCAGGAUGCAAGAUCUGCUUCAUUAUAUAGACCUAUACACCAAAUUUCACUAAUGUCAGAAAACAUGUCUUUAUAUUAUAUUAUAAUUUCAUUACCACUAGGAUCAAUCAAGAAAAAUGAAGAAAGGUGACAAAAAUAAUGAUGUUAAUGUUGAAUUCAUUAGUAUUUCCAUCUUUGAAAGUUGAAACAUAAUGGACUGAUUGUUAUUCUUGAAUUCAUUUGCAUUUUUCACGAAAAUUCUUUAACAUAUAAAAACAGAAGUAUAAAAACAGGCAAAAUAAUAGUCAACACUGAUUGUCAAUUCUUUCUUCAUUUAAUACUAUUUUCAAAACUCUAGUCACCCUUUUGGACAAACAUGACAUUCCUUUUCUAUUUCUUGGUUAUACCUUAAUAUGAACUCAUGAUAAGUAUGUCAACAUGUUUAACUUAAUUCAAACAAGAAUGGUCCAAAACAUUAGUAUUCUUUAAUCAACCUAGCAAAUUGUUGAAGAAGACUAAAUUAAUAAUGUAUUAUUAUCAAUUAGUUAUCCCAGGCUUGUUAUCAUACCCUUAAUAAGGGAUAAAAAUAACACUACAAUCUUGGAAUAACUAAUUCCAAGAUAAGUUAUACAGUGAUUUUAUCCCAACCAAAUAUGAAAUAAACUAAGAUUGUGGGAUGAAAUUAUUGAUUGUAAUGAGACUGUGCAACCAAAAAUAUGCGACGUGGCAUGAAUGCUUUUUAAUAUAUGUUAAAAAUAUAACAACUAUAUUUAACCUACCGAUAAUACUCGGCAACAUCAAGAUUCAACGAAAGAGGAACAUUUGAAGAUGUUCCAACAUUGUCCACCCUGCCAAGCUGUGAUGAUUGACCAUAAUUAUAAUCUUGCUCCAAAAAUUCAUCAUUAUUCGUCUCACCAAGAGUUAAUCCCUUGAAAAAAAUAUAUCAGCAAUAUGACAUAACAAAUAAACACAAAGCAAUCAAAAUAAAUAUUACUAAUAAUAAAAUGAAUUCAUCGACAUUAUCAGUCACUUUGAUUCAAAAUUUCGUUCAAAUUAGGUAUUGAAGAUUGUGUCGGUACGUUAUCCGACAUGAAGUAUUGAGAAAUGUUCAUGUCAAAAAAAUUGCUAUAAUGACUUAACCGGGCAUCAUCAAUACUAAAUGGAUUAUCAAGUUGUGUAUAGACAUUUGCCUGUGCCAGAGAGUGCGUACGACAACUCGUCCGUUCCUUUUUAACAUAAACUUGAAGAAUAUUUAACUUUAUUUGACUGACAUAAUUAGAAGGAAUCCUUAAAAAUUCAGUCAACGACUCAUCGUCAUUGAUAAUCCAUUCUCCAUAAUUUACUAGACCGUUUGAUGAGAAUGAAUUUGGAUAUUGUCCGAUUAUAAGUAAAUUAUAACUGUUACUUCUAAUUUUCAUCCUUCUAAAAAUUGAAUCAACAAAUUCUUGAUAACCAGUUGAAAUUGGAUACUUGACGUUGCACUUGAGAGAAAUACUAUAAUAUAUUGUAUUAUCCUCAUGAACAAUUUCACCGUCCAAAAAAAGUACAAUUUUGAUACGUUCACUAUUCAUUCUCUAAGACUCAAAUGAAUAAAAAUAUAUCUGAACUAUACAAAAAAAUUAAAGUUGUUGCAGUGAAGAAGACGAUGUUUUCCCUUUACACAGAAAUUUUAAAGAACUGUUGAAGAAAUUGAACAGGAUGAUGUGCACAUUUUAUGUGCACAUAUUCAAAUUUCAUAUCAAUGGCAGAUUGAUGUUGAUAUGUCUGAAUAAGAUGAAUAGUGCAGAGUGCACUUUUUUAGUGAACAAUUCAUUUAUUUAUAGAUUGUGCACUUUUUUAGUGCACAAUUUAUUUAUUUAUAGACUGUGCACUUUUUAAGUGCACAAUUCAUUUAUUUAUAGAUUGUGCACUUUUUUAAUGCACAAUUCAUUUAUUUAUAGAUUGUGCACAAAAAAGUGCACAAUUGUGCAAAAAAAUGGACAAUAUAAACAAAUUGAUUGUGCACUAAAAAAGUGCACAAUCGAGAAAUAACAUAUUGUGCAUUUUUUUAGUGCACAAUCUAUAAAUAAAUGGAUUGUGCAUGACUGUUUCUUUCAGCCUCUACUCCCAUUCAUUUGUGUUUUUAAACACCAUAGUUAGUGAUGGUAGAAUGUGAACAUAAAUUUCAUGUAACUCUUGUAAAUUUUAUCUUUAUCCUCUUCAUUAAUCUCGUAACUCUUAUAACCUAUAUCCCAUUGAUCUUCCCUCUUUACUAUUCAUUUAUUUUUUUAUUCAUUGCAUGAAAGUGAAGAUUCUUAGGAAGAGGAGGAUCAACCUUGCGUGUGUCCAAGAGACCAAGUGGGUAGGGUCUAAGGCUAGGGAUGUGGAUGGUUACAAGCUGUGGUACUCUGGGAGCGAGAGACGUAGGAAUGGAGUUGGCAUCUUAGUAGAUGAAGAGCUUAGAGGUCAGGUAGUGGAGGUGAAGAGGAUUAACGAUAGGUUGAUGACUAUUAAGUUGGUCAUUCGGGGGUUUACCCUGAACGUGUGUAGUGCUUAUGCGCCGCAAGUGGGAGCAGAGGGGGAGGAGAAGAUGCGGUUCUAGGAGGCUUUGGAGGAGGUGGUGAGAGGCGUGCCCAGUUCGGAGAAGAUUGUUGUAGCAGGGGAUUUCAACGGGCACAUCGGGGCGCUACCGGGAGGCUUUGGGGAUGUAAAUGGUGGUUUUGGUUUUGGAGAGAGAAAUGAAGAGGGGGCGACCCUAUUGGAGUUUGCGAGGGCCUUUGGGCUGGUGGUGGUGAACUCGGGCUUCCCGAAGAAGGACGAGCACCUGAUCACUUUUCGGAGCGCGAUAGCCAGGACCCAGAUUGACUUUUUGUUGCUUAGGAAAGGGGAUAGGGCGUUGUGUAAGGACUGUAAAGUCAUCCCGAGUGAGAAUCUCUCGACCCAACAUAGGCUUUUGAUUAUGGAUUUGGGUAUAAAGAAGAAUAGAAAGAGGAGGAGUAAGGAGUGUAGACCGAGAAUUAAGUGGGGCGGCUUGACGCCAGUGAAUGCGUGGGAGAUAGGGGAGAGGUUGGCGGGCAAGGGGGUGUGGGAGUGUAGGGGGGACGUGGAUAGUAUGUGGGACAGGGCGGCAAGGUGCAUCAGGGAGAAUGCAAGGGAGGUGUUGGGUGUUUCUAGGGGCCGGGCCGGUCACCAUCGGGGGGAUUGGUGGUGGAAUGAAGAGGUGGAGAAGAAAGUGGAGACCAAGAAAGAGGCGUAUGCUAAGUUGGUGGAAAGUAAGGACGAAGAAGAGAAGCGGGUAAACAGGAAAGAGUACAAGCUAGCGAGGAAGGAGGCGAAGUCAGCGGUCACGGCAGCUAAGACGGCCGCUUUUGAGAGCUUGUAUGCAGGGUUACAGGGGAAAGGAGGGGAGAAAAAGUUGUUUAGACUCGCUAAGGCUAGGGAGAGGAAGGGUCGUGACCUCGAUCAGGUGAGGUGCAUUAAGGGGGAGGACGGUAGAGUGUUGGUGGAGGACGGCCACAUAAAGAAGAGAUGGCAGUCGUACUUUCAUAGGCUCUUGAAUGACGAGGGGGACAGAGCUAUUGUGUUAGGGGAACUGGAGCACUCAGGGGAGUGUCGGGAUUUUAGCUAUUGUAGACGUUUUAAGGUAGACGAGGUUAGACAGGCAGUCCGCAGGAUGCGAAGGGGUAGGGCGACGGGGCCGGAUGAGAUACCGGUGGAGUUUUGGAAGUUCGUUGGAGAGGCUGGUGUAAGGUGGUUGACUGCAUUGUUCAAUGAAAUUUUCAGGACGGCAAAGAUGCCCGAGGCGUGGAGGUGGAGUACCAUGAUCCCCCUCUAUAAGAAUAAGGGGGACAUUCAGUGUUGCAAUAACUAUAGGGGGAUUAAGUUACUGAGUCACUCUAUGAAGAUCUGGGAGAGAGUGGUCGAGGUGAGGCUGAGACGGAUAGUGUCUAUCUCGGAAAACCAGUUCGGAUUUAUGCCCGGCCGCUCGACGACGGAGGCAAUUCACCUGGUACGGCGGUUGGUGGAGCAAUAUAGGGAAAGGAAGAAGGAUUUGCACAUGGUGUUCAUCGACCUAGAAAAGGCGUACGACAAAGUCCCCAGGGAGGUGCUUUGGAGAUGCUUGGAGGUGAGUGGAGUACCGCAGGCAUAUAGCAGAGUAAUUAAGGAUAUGUAUGAGGGAGCGAAAACCCAGGUGAGGACGGCGGGAGGAGACUCAGAGCAUUUCACUGUCCUGACAGGAUUGCAUCAGGGAUCUACUCUUAGUCCCUUUUUGUUUGCGCUAGUAAUGGAUGUGUUAACGCGGCGUAUCCAAGGGGAGGUGCCGUGGUGUAUGCUUUUUGCAGACGAUGUAGUCCUGAUAGAUGAGACGCGAGGGGGUGUGAACGACAAAUUAGAGCUGUGGAGGCAAACUCUGGAGUCUAAAGGGUUCAGGGUGAGCAGAACCAAGACAGAGUAUGUGGAAUGUAAGUUUAAUGACGUAAGGCGAGAGAAUGAGGUAGUGGUGAGGCUAGAAGCGCAGGAGGUAAAGAAAAGGGAUAAGUUCAAGUACCUCGGGUCCGUGAUCCAGAGUAACGGUGAGAUUGACGAGGAUGUCUCGCACCGUAUCGGGGCGGGAUGGAUGAAGUGGAAACUUGCAUCGGGGGUGCUGUGUGAUAAGAAGGUGCCGCCCAAGCUUAAAGGUAAAUUCUAUAGGGUGGUAGUCCGUCCGGCCUUGCUGUAUGGAGCGGAGUGUUGGCCAGUUAAGAACUCCCACACCCAAAGAAUGAAGGUGGCAGAAAUGCGGAUGUUGCGCUGGAUGUGUGGACUGACCCGAAGGGAUAGAGCUCGGAAUGAGACUAUCCGGGAGAAGGUUGGGGUGACUUCAGUGGAGUGUAAGAUGCGGGAAGCACGAUUGAGAUGGUUCGGACACGUGAAGAGGAGGGGCAUGGAUGCCCCGGUCCGUAGGUGUGAGAGGCUAGCGUUGGAUGGUUUUAGACGGGGUAGGGGUAGACCGAAGAAGUACUGGGGUGAGGUGAUUAGGCGGGACAUGGAACAGUUACAGCUUACCGAGGACAUGACCCUAGAUAGGAAGGUCUGGAAGACGCGAAUUACGGCAGAGGAUUAGGGCCUGUUCGGGUCGCUAAUGUAGGGAGGUAAUUGGUGGGGGUGUAUUCCUGGUAUGAUUCCGUAUUCAAUGUUCUGUUCCGUGUUCCGUGUUCUAUGUUUGUUACGAAUCUGUGUGCUUUCCUCUGCUUUAUAUUCCUGCAUCCCUGCUUUACUCUGUUUUAUAUUCCUUAUGGCUGCAGUAUCUAUGUUAUGUCAUCUGCUUCUGUGCUGUACUAUGUGUUUGUUUGAUAUCUCGUAACUUGAGCCGGGGGUCUUUUCGGAAACAGCUUUCUACUUCAUCAGAGGUAGAGGUAUGGACUGCGUACAUCUUACCCCCCCCAGACCCCACUAAGUGGGAAUACACUGGGUUUGUUGUUGUUGUUGUUGUUGCAUGAAAGAUUUUGCAUCUAUAAAUAGAGGUGGUCGUGCAUAUUUUUGAGUACACACAAGAUAAUAAAGUGUUCACAAAAGUUAUUAAAAAAGAGAGUUCAUUAGUUGAAGGGAGAUAUUCUUUUUGUAGAACUUUGAACUCAACUUUUGUCCAGGGUUGUUGAGUUAUUCAUUGUGAGAAGGCUGUUGUCCUGGAUGAGCCAAGUCAAAAAGAUUACUGCAAAAGCUGAACCGGUAAAACUAUUUGUUGCAAUGAGCUUGAAUCUCCUAAAAGAGAGCAAGAUACGCGCCUCAACCGAAGAAGAAGAUAUUCUUUUUAUUUUUAAUUGUAAUUUUAUUAUAUUUUCACCAAAACUUUUAAGGAGAUUCAAUGACAACAAUUGAAAAAUCUGCGGACAUCAAUUUUUCAAUUUCUUUUUAAUAAUAUUUUGAAUUGUUAGUUCAAUUACUUAGUGUAGUUUCAAGUAUAUUAAUUUUUAUUACCAAAAAAAAAAGUAUAUUAAUUUUAUUUUUUUUAAAAAUGCUGUAUAUUUUAAUUUACAACUAAAAUUAAGUGUUUUGCUUUGUUAUUUUAAAUUACUUCAGAUAAAUUAAAAUUAAGCUAGUUAAGCAUUUAUUGCAUCAACAAAUGAAAAGAAUGCAAUAAGAGUAGUGGAAAGGAAGAAAUUCAAUGCUAAUCCUUUAGUUUUAGUAUGGAUUUGACAUCUUAAACUCAUAUUAAUGCACAUAAUUUAGAUUUGUACCCUAAAGAUAUAAUGAAAGGCAAAACGUCUUAUCUCAAAUAUAUUUUUUUAUUUUUGGGAUAUCGAAACCAAAAUCAUGACGAAUUAAACGUGAAGAAAUUUCGACAAUUCAAUAUUAUAUUUUGAUGCAGUGGCGGAUGUAGAGUAGAAGGUGUCGGUUCCCGGGAACCUACUCCCGCCACCGUAAGGCUUAAAAUUACAUAGAAAAAUCGCCAAAAGUUAUAAAUAUUAAUAGGUGGGAACCCAUAACUAAACCAAGGAUAGCUUAGUGGCAGGAAAAGAGCUCUUGGGAAUCUACAAGUUUAAAAUUCUGAAUCCGUCUCUGUUUUGAUGAUGGUUAAUAAUGAAAGAUAUAUAAGUUCACUUGCACUUAUCGUCCUGGCUAUGUAUAUCGAUGAUGUCUCUAUUCAUAAACAAUUUAAGUUGUGUGUGUGACCAAGUUUAAUAUUUUAUAAAGCAAUUGUUGGUAAGUACACCUCUACAAAUAUUAAUGUUAGGAGUAAAAGUAGGCGUAUGAGGUGCUGAUAUGGAUUGCGUACAUUCUAUUCCUUUCAAAUCUCACUGUGUGGGAAUACUUGAGGAGUAUAGGUAGGUGUUUGACCAUGAAAAUAAAAAAAUAUAUUCACUUUAUUUUAAAAUUUUUGAAUUUGAAAAUGGAGUUAAAGUUCAAUUUGAUCAUAGUAUUUGGAGUUAAUAUUUAGAAUUCAAAUGUAUAUUUUUACAAAAAUAUAAAAUAUGAUCUGAAUAAUAUUGGAUAUAAUUGAAACAGAGUUAUUUAUGAAAAUUAUAAAAAAAAAAUGAAAAUUAUCAAAUUAAAUUUAAUAUUUUUAUGGCCAAAUAAAAUUUUUAAAAUAAAAAUGAAUAUAUAUUUCAAAAUAAAGUAAAUACAAUUCAUGGCGAACCAAAAAUGUUAUUUUCUUUUUUUCUUUUCUAGUGUCCCUUCUUGCAUUUUAUUAAGUGCACUUCUUUUUCCUCUUUAUUUGAUUUAUUCUUUAAAAUACUGAACAUCUAACAUGUUGAAAUUUAUAUAUUUAGUAGACAUGAAAUAUGUAGCAGAUAGUUGUAUUCAAAAGUACAUGUAAACCAUCUAAAUCGAAUCAUUACUCAAUCACUUAAUCAAUAUUAAAACGAUAUUAUUAUAAGACCACCUUAAUAACAAUAAUUCAAGCGAAUCAUUAUUAAUGCGAAAAUCAAAUAAACUACUUACUGAAAUUCCUAAGACCCGAAAGUCAUCGCACAAAAACUUCUAAACAAAGAUCAUGUCUAAAAAAGAUAUCCAAAAAUAAAGUAAAUAAAGAAUGUUUCAUUUCCCGAAAAAUGGACAAGAACAAAUAGGAUGAUCCAUGACAGUCUGAAGACGGAGUGCUCACCCUUGGAUUGAGAUCUACUAUCAAACUCUAGAGGUGAGGUCGUGUCUGACCCUCUAGAACACUUUCUGCACUCAACAAAAGAAGAAUAAGGGUAGUAUCAGUAUAAACAAUAAUGUACUGGUAGAUAUCAUAGGCUAACUCAAUUUAAUAGCAUGUACACAACAUAAAUCAAAUAACAAGUAGACAAGCAUCGUCACAUAACAAGCGUUUAAUGAAUCCACAAAUACAUCAAUAACGGGCCAAACAAUACUUACAAACAAGUCACAUAAUCAUCAAGAGUAUCAACCAUACUGUAAACAUCCACAGAAUCAACACUACCACCACAAUUAACAACUAUGUCCUUCUAAACCUCAAAAUUAGAACACCAUUAACUCGUUAUCUGCUUAAUGACCUAUACCACCUCUCAAAUUCAACACAAAUAUGUACACACAUGCUAAGGGACUUAUUUUUGCCCAACUAGUCAUGACCUGCAAGGAACAAUCUAUGUGCAUGUACAGUACCAGCAUGGUACCCGAUCCUCCAUAAACAAGUAAUAUCAAUAUCAUAUUCGUACCAGCAUGAUACCCGAUCCUCCAUAAUCAUAUUAGAUAUGUUUUAUCAAAUUUACCCUACCUCUUAGAAUAUAACAUGAUGUUCUAAGUUUACAAGUACACUUAAAGUCAUAAGACAAUUCCAUCAAGUAAAUUUCCAAUAAUUAUUUAUACAUGUCUCAGCAAUUCAAAUAUAAUCAAACUCAAACAUGUCCAAAUAUCAAUCAACAAACAUUCAAUUCAAGAACAUACAAACAAUUAAAUCGAGUCUAAACUUCAAUUAAACCACAACCUACCUCAACCGAAGAAUCUAAAUGUCAUUAGUCCACAAGUGCCUUGCCCUUCCUCACUAAUUCGGAACGUUCAAAAUCUAUUCAAAUAUAUAGUCCCCAUAAGAGUACGAAUCUAAUGACACUACUUUCUCAAUUCUUACUCCAAAUAUUCUUGACCUAAACCUCAAUUUCUUUAACCCCAAAAUAUUAAAUAAAUUAUGAAAAGAAAAGAAAAAUAAAUAAAUAAAUAAAUAAAUAACUAAAAUAUAAUAGCUGUCGGAUGCAGCGACUUUUUUUCAUUCAAAUGCCAAUAAUGACAUAUCAAAGUGCUGCCACCCAUGUUCCAAUUCUAUUGGUCAUUAUCUAAUAAUUGAUAUAAAUUUUCUUUCGGCCAUUCAAGUUUAUAUAGCUUAUUAAGUAUCAUUAAUAUUAAAGAAUACAAUCUGCAUAUGUUGAAAACUAUUGAAAAUUACUCCUUACUUGAAACGAUUCCUUUCGACGCCGUAACAGUGCAACGACUUAGUUUUCUAAUUAAUAAUUCAACCUUCUUUUUUUUUUUUUUUUUNNNNNNNNNNNNNNNNNNNNNNNNNNNNNNNNNNNNGGUGGGGGCGGGGGGGAGGGGGUUGUCAGUCGAAAAGGGUUAAACCCUAUAACUGAAAAUAGAAAUAUGAGAUGGUAAUAAUAUUGUGAUUUUGACCCAUUAAAUUAAUAAUUAAAUUAAUUAUCUAAAAUAUUCAAAAUUUCUAAUAAAUUUUUGAAAUUUAUUCGGAACUCUAUAGAAAUAAAUUAAAUAUAUAAAUUGAUUAAAAAGUAUAUUUCGAAUCUAUUGAAAAUACUAACACACUAAUCCGAGGUUAUCUUGAUCGAAGGUUGAUCGCGGUCGAAUUUAACUUUCUUCAACUCAAUAACUCAACUAAUGACUUAAAUCACUUUUGUACACCUCAAAAAUUUAUACUAUCCAUCCCCGUGAGUCAUAGAUCACAUAUACAAACUACGGGGAGAGUACAAAUGUAAAAAAAUCAUAAAAUUCAUGAAACGACUAGGAGGAUCACUACAAUGUUGAAGGCUCAUGUGUCCUAUAUGAUAAACGUGGUUUUUGUUGAAGUAAGCUGUUUUCAUUUAUUCAAAAAAGUAUGAUUCAAAAAACUAAAAUAGGGAAGAAUUCGAUGUAUGAUUUUUUCAAUAUCGUACGCGGGAUGUUUGUCAGGAUUUGUUAGACUUCUUGCUUUGAUUGGUAUCUCAAUGAUUAAAGUUAGAAAAAAUAAAACAAAAGUAUCAAGAACCAAAACUAGAUAUACAAUGGAUUAAGUCAUUUUUAAAAUAAAAUAAAAUUUGAGAUGAUAGAAAAUUCAAUUAGAGUUUAUCAUGUUUCAAUUGACAUAUUUGGGCGUCUUUCUUCCAUCUAUUACAAGUAUGCUAUUGAUCUUUUAUAUAAUUUUGAGUAAUUUUCACCUUAGUAAAAUAACUUUUCAAAAUUGAGUGGGUCAAAAUUCAUUUCAUUAUUUGGUCGUAGGUUUAAUUUUCUCAUGAUUCUUACUAGAUUAAAAAUGCACUAAUCACUUACAACUUCACAUUAUUUAAUUUUCACUUCAUCAGCGGAAUUUAGGAUUGGAUUUAAAACAAGGAUUAUGUAACAACUCAACAGGAUAUGUCAACUGCAUCCAGGCGUAGUACAAGAGAUAGGUAGUUACCGAAACACCUCAACCAGUAUGUGGUUUCCAAAUCAAGUGGAAUACUGUCUUAUCCAAAGCAGUUACAGAAUGGAUAAGAAUAAACUAGGAUAGAGAAGCAUACAUAUAGUAGAACACUAGUCUAAAAUAAACUGUCGAUAAUGUUGCUUUUAUUUGUUUCUUGUGUUUAACUCUUGGAACCUCUUUUUUUUUUUUUUUUUUGUUUAUCAGUGUAAUUCUUAAAUAGAGGAGUAGAUCCCUCCUUGUGAAUCUGCAAAUCAGUUUAUUUGAAUAUCAAUUAUCAUCAUUAUAUUUGGUGUUUUCAUUUGCCCUCCCCCUCAAAAUGGGUGUGGUACACACAAUACUCAUUUGAAAUACUUGGAUGAGGCUGUUAAACAACUCCAAGAGCAGUCCACCUCUCACACUAAAUCUGUGGAAUCCAUUAACAGUGCUCUUUAAGGCAUAUUUUUUAACUGAGUUCAUUGUGCGCCCAAUCUAAGGCACCACUGGUGUCGGCCGCAUACGACCCCUUUUUCUUCUAUUUUGGGUCGUUCUUCAAUACCAAUACCACAAACAUUUUAUCAACAACAACCUUCUUCAUCAUAUUCAGCCUUUACCCUUGUUCCACAACCUCACCACCAACUUCUUCCACUAACACAAAAUCCUUCUAAUCAAUUUCGCAGGGACAUAUCAAUUGAUUUACCUAAAUGCGAUGGUAGCAACUCCGAAAUUUGGAUAUUCCAGUCUCAACAAUAUUUUGACACCUAUAACGUGCCCGAUGAGCAUCGUAUAAAUCUUUCCUCCUUCUUUCUUGAAGACGGUGCCUGUAAUUGGUAUCAAUGGAUAUACCAAAAUCAUCAAUUGUGUGAUUAGGAUUACUUCCUAAAGGCCAUGGUGACUCGUUUUGUCUAAAAUCUACUGGAAUCCCCAAAGAGUUUGCUAGCAAAGUUACAAAUGUCGUCAUCUGUAUAGGAUUAUGUUUCUCAAUUUGAGAAAUUAGCUAAUCUGACAACAGAAGUAUCACCGCUCAGAUGCUAAAAUAGUAUUUCACAUCCGAGCUUCAUUCGGAUAUUAAAAAUUUGAUGUGUUAUCAUUUAGUCCAACAGACCUUAAUGAAGCCAUUGGACUUGCAUUCUUGUAAGAAUAAAAAUACUUGGCACAAUUCAAACCUUUAACCCGGUCUCUAUCAUUUACAAAAUCAACCCCAACACUCACUCACCACAUAAUAAUACAUGAAUUUCUAAAUCAUUUUCCCAUGUUUCUCCUUUAUCAAGUGCUUCGACUACAUCACUUUCAGGAGUUGGUCGAACUCCAUUCAAGAAAUUCACGCCUGAAGAAAUUCAACACAAACGUGAACUAAACUUGUAUUUUAAUUAUGAUGAGAAUAUCACAAGGGUCACUGUUGUUCAACCAAUCCUCAGUUGUUUAUUCUUCUACCCUAUGCUGAACCCGAUGAUGAUCAGGGCUUGGAACGGUCUACGGCACCUUCAGAUUCACCUCUUCCAAAUAUUAUUGAUGAUAGUUUCUCUCUUAUUACUCUUAGUCUUCAUGCUUUUUAUGAGGGUUCGCAUGCGACGACUCUCCAUUUAAAUGAUUUUAUCAAAGGCAUAUCAGUUCAAAUUCUAAUUGAUAGGGGAAUCACAUGCAACUUCAUUCAUCCUCGAGUUGCUCGAAAACUCAAAUUACCAAUAGACUCUCCUCAGGUUUUUCUGUUAUGGUUGGGAAUGGACAAUCUUUACAUUGUUUGGGGGUAAUUCAUGGAACUUUCAUUACCAUUCAGAGGUUUUUCUAUAGUACAACUAUUUUUGUUGUUGAUUUACAUGGGUGUGACUUGGUUUUGGGAGUAACGUGGCUAGCUACUUUGGGGCCUAGUGUGACAGAUUAUGUCAAACGUAUGUUUGAAUUUACUAUUUCAGGGCAACAUAUUUUUUGGAUGGCUGAUCCUGUUUCUUUUUCGGUUCAAACCAAUCUUUCUACCCUUCGACGUUUUUCUCAGACUAAUUUCAUUUAUUACCUUCUUCGUCUGGAUCUUCACCCCGCUGAAAAUUCCACCACUACCACAGAUCAUCAUCCUGCCUUAACUUCACUACUUGAGAAUUACGCUAAUAUUUUUCAAUCACCUGCAUCUCUUUCACCCCCUCGACCUCAAAACCAUCGUAUUCCCCUUUUGUUAGGAGCAAAUUCUGUUAAUCUGUGUCCAUAUCGCUAUCCCUAAUUUCAAAAAGCAUAAAUUGAGCGUCAGGUAUCAGAAAUGCUUAAAACUAUUGGGUAUGAAAUCGAGAGGGCAUCGUGUGGAAGCUUAUAGUUUGCAAACCAAGAUGAUGAUAAUUCAAAUGACAAAUAAAAAUAUACAAAAAAACAUAUUAUUAAUGUGAUUUGGCCAAGUGACCUACAUAUUAAAAACUAAUAAUAAAAAACAUAAAAAACUAUUAGGAGAAAAUCUCCCCCUAAACAAGAGUCUUUAAUGACUACAUUGUAGAUACUAUAUUGUUAUUAUAUGAGAAGAGGGGUCUUCUAUUUAUAGAGGUCCAAAACCUUUCCUCUUCAAAAGAGAUUAGCCAAAUAUGGAAGAGUUUUACAUUUUCGUUUUAGAAAAAGUAAAAGUAAUUAUGGUAUUACUUUUAUUUUUCUUUCAAAAAAAGUAAAACUUAAUUUUGGUAAGAAAAUCAAGGCAAAACCCCUACCAGAUCUCUCAUUUUUGGCUUAAUUUUCUUCACUUGAUCAUCCUUCUUCACAUCUUUGAUCUUUGUACUUCACAUAGUCUUCACCACUGCUGCUUGGUAUGCUUAAAAAUAGAGCUUCUGGGUUAAAAAUAUAUGAGCUCUUUUAGCUUAAAAAUAUUGAAUCCCUUUACAGGGUUAAAAGUGAGCUUUAUUUUUAAAUAUGUAACAACAGGAUUGUUGAAAAUCUAAUUAACAAUCGUCUCCACAUAUAGAUGUUGGACAUAUAUCUUCAUUAUCAUCAAAUUGGUUGCAACUUUGUUCAAUAAUUGGACCACUGAAUCAUUAAACUGUGAGCUCUGAUACCACUUGUUGGAUUCGAAAUAGAGAGAGCGUCAUAUGGAAGCUUAUAAUUUGUAAACCAAGACGGUAAUAAUUCGGAUUACAUAUAGAAAUAUAUUAAAAUAUAUUAUUGAUAUGAUUUGGUCAAGUUACCUACAUAUUGAAAACUAAUAAUGAAAAACAUAAAAAACUAUUAGGAGAAAAUCUCUCUCUAAAAAAGACUCUUUAAUGAUUACAUUAUGGAUACUAUUGUGUUAUUGUAUGAGAAGAGUGGUGUUCUAUUUAUAAAGGUCAAAAACUUUUCCUCUUCGAAAGAGGUUAGCCUUUUAUAUUUUCCUUUUAGGAAAAGUAAUUAUGGUAUUCUUAUUUUUCUUUCAAGAAAAGUAAAACUUAAUUUUGGUAAAAAAAUCAGGGCGAAAAAUCCUAACAAAAAACAGGUGUGAUUCGUUCUAGUUCAUGCCCAUAUUCAACCCCUAUUCUUUUGGUGCGUAAAAAGGAUGGGACUUGGCAUUUUAUUGUAGACUACCGAGCAUUGAAUCCAUUACUAUAAAAGAUCGCUUUUCGAUUUCAAUAGUGAUGAAUUAUUUGAUGAGCUGCAUAAUGCCAUUUUUUUCUCAAAAUUGGAUCUUCUUUAUCACCAAAUUCUCCUUCAUCCCCCUGAUAUUGAAAAGAUGGCUUUUCGCACACAUGCUGGUUAUUUUGAGUUCACAGUAAUGUCAUUCGGGCUUUCCAAUGCCCCUUCCACUUUUCAAUCCAUAAUGAAUUCUCUUUUGUAGCCUAUUAUUCGUCAAUUUAUCCUAGUUUUUUUUAAUGAUAUUCUUGUUUAUAGCAAAUCCUGGCCAGCUCAUUUGGAUCAUCUAAAAUUGUUGUUUGACAUUCUUCACCAGAACUCUUUGGUGGUUAAGCGUUCAAAAUGUCAUUUUUGGAGAAUUUUUAAUUUCUUAUUUCAGACAUAUUCUUUCAUUUGAUGGCCUCUAAGUAGAUCCAGAGAACAUCACUUUUAUACUUUCCUGUCCCUCACUGGAAUCAAUCAAGGAUGUUCAUGAAUUUUUAGAUCUAACGGGCUAUUAUCUUCGUUUUGUCAAAGGAUAUAUUCAGCUUGCCUAUCUCCUUACAGAUCUUUUGAAAAAGGAUUCAUUUCACUAUUCAGAAGUUAUUUCAACUGCUUUUUUUUAACUAAAAAAACUUUGAGUUUAGUUCCUGAUUUUUCUUUACCAGAUUGCUCCAAAGUGUUUAAGGUGGAAAAUAAUGCAUCAGGUCCAAGAUUGGUGCAGUUCUAGUGCAAGAAGGAUAUCUUAUUGCAUUCUUCAGUCAAAAGUUAUCUCCUAGAAUGCAAGCUUCUUUUACCUACAACAGGGAAGUAUUUUCCAUAACUGAAGCAAUCCAAAAAUAGCGACAAUAUUUGUUGGGUCAGCAUUUCAUUAUUAUCACUGUCAGCAACCCUUGAAGUCACUCACAAACCAGUUUAUCCAAACUCCGGAGCAACAACAUACGCUGAGUAAACUUAUUGGCUAUGAUAUUGACAUUCAUUAUCGUCUAGGAAAGCUUAACUCAGCUGUUGAUGCUUUAUCUCGCCUCCCUACACUUUAUGCUAUAAUAGUUGUUGCGACUAAAUUAGUCUUGAUUGAUCAGUUACACACUUUGAACAAAUGUAAUGAUAGUUUAUUGUCGUUACAGUAGAAAUUGUAGGACGAUCCAACUUCUGUGCCCAUUUUUUCUUUCAAGACAGACUGCUAUUAUUUCGCAAUCGUUUGGUUGUUUCUGCGGUUCUAACAUUGCGUUCUUUAUUGCUUGCUGACUUUCAUUCUUCAAAAAUUGGUGGUCAUGCUGGAGUAUCGCGUACGUUUCAUCUCUUGUCUUUUAAUUUUUAUUGGGCAGGGAUAAGAGCUGAUGUUCAAAAGUUUGUCUUGAAAUGUCAAACUUGUCAACAAAUGAAGGAUUCCACUUUGAAACCAGAAGGUUUACUCCCUCAUUUACCAAUCCUAGAGGUCAAAAAGUGGCAGCAAUAUUUGUUCAAGAAUUUAUUCGCCUUCAAGGAUUCCCUGCCACCACUGUUUCUGACCGGGAUCCCUUAUUUCUCUCUGAAUUUUGGAAUGAACUACACAAGUUACAGGAAACUCAACUUUCCAUGAGUUCAUCAUACCAUCCAAAAUCGGAUGGUCAGACAGAAAUCCUCAAUAAGUGCCUCAAGAUGUACCUCUAAUGCCUUGUUGCAGGUACACCUAUAACUUGGUGUUCUCUUUUACCUUAGGCUGAGUUUUGGUAUAACAUCGUGUACCAUCACAGUUUAAAAUUAACUCUAUUUGAAGCAGUUUAAUGUUGCCUUCCUCCAACUGUGUUGCGCUACGUAAAGGAUAGUUCCACUAAUACUGCAGUAGCUUCUUCCCUUAUCCAACGUAAUGAGACUUUGGCUAUCUUAAAAGCGAAUUUACUUCAUGCCCAAGAGCGUAUAAAAAUGAAUGUUGAUAAAGGGCGUCGUGAAGUUACUUUUGAGGUAGAUGAGUGAGUAUUUGUAUGCCUUCGGCCUUAUCAUUAGCUUUCUUUGCAUUUACAGAGACACACAAAAUUGAGGAGGCAUUUAUUUGGGCCCUUCCAGAUUGUUGAACGAAUUAGAAAUGUUGCUUACAAGUUAGAUCUUCCAGCAUCUUCUAAAAUUCACUAUGUGUUCCAUGUUUCGGUCCUUCUUCUUUGAUUGUUCAACUCGAAGAUGUGUUGUAAACAUGAUGUAUCAUUCGUGGUGCUCGUUGAAUUUCUCAGUGCCUCAUCAAAUGGUCAGGGCUUCCUACUUUUGAUGCAACAUGGGAGGAUAUUCACAUCAUCCGCUAGAGGUUUCCCAAUUUGAACCUUAAGGGCAAGGUUCCUCUUCACGGGGGCAGCAUUGUAACAACUCAACAGGAUACGUCAACUACUCCUAGGUGUAGUACAAGAGAUAGGCAGUUACUGAAACACCUCAACCAGUACGUGGUUCCUAAAUCAAGUGGAAUACUGCCUUAUCUAAAGCAGUUACAGAAUGGAUAAGAAUAAACUAAGAUAGAGAAGCAUAUAUAUAUAUAUAUAUAUAUAUAUAUAUAUAUAACACUAGUCUAAAAUAAACUGUCGAUGAUCUUGCUUUUAUUUGUUUCUUGUGUUUAACUCUGAAACCUCGCUUUUGUUGUUUUCUCUUUUGUUUAUCAGUGUAAUUCUUAAAUAAAAACAAAAGAACAGAUCCCUCUUUGUGAAUCUGCAAAUCAGUUUAUUUCAAUAUUAAUUAUCAUCAUUACAGAUUACCAAAUGAUACAGUAUUCACCACCACCAUCACCACUAUCACCACCACUAAUAAUAAUAACAUAUUCAGUAUAAUCUCAUAAGUGAGUCUAAGAAUGAUAGGGAUCACACAACUUUCUUCCUACCUUGUGAACGUAAAGACGUUAUUUCUGAUGAACCUUUGACUCAAGAGAAAUAUAUUAAAAUUAGCAUGAAAAAGAAAUGUUGUAUUGAAGAAGUCAUAUCGAAAAUAGUUGAAACAUAGUACGAUAAUUCAAACAAAGAAAACUACUUGUAAUGGUGGAAAAGAAUUAAUGGCAUAAAAUAAUACUAGUAAUAAUUAUUAGUGAAACUUAACAACAAAAGUGCAUUAUAUUCAUCACUAUUUACAGAAAAUAUUUUUUGGGUUAUGUCGGUUUAAUACGUAAUAUUUAAGAUUUAAAUAUUUAAUUUCAUAAAUUAAAAAAAUUACAUAAUCUUCAACGUCCGAAACCCAUGAUCUUACCCGAAAAUCCAAGAGAUUUUAUGAAAACUUUGAUUUGUUCAUUCGAUUAUAAAUUAAAGAUCAAUAAAUCAUCAAGAGAAAUAUAUCAACACAAACAAAAAGAAGUGUCAUAUUGGGCUUAAGAAAACAAUGGAUGAUUUCGAAUUGGACUUUGAUCAAUUAGAUCAACUAUUAAACAUUCUUUCUCCUCCUACUCUUCAAAAGCAAGAUUCAUCAAUUUCAUUACAAACACAAAUUUGUAAUGAUAUUGAUAGUCAUCAAAAGAAUAAACCAAUUAUCACCACCACCACCACUAUAAUCGAUGAUGAUCAAUUAUUGAACUUUCUUUCUUCUCCUCCUUCUCCUCGUCCUCCUCUGACUAGUACUCAUCACAAGGAUGAUGAUGAUUUAUCAAUAUUAUUACAAACACAUAGUUCUAAUGAUCUUGAUAGUCGUCAAAAUGAUGAACCAAUUAUCACCACCACCACUACUAUAUUCGAUGAUAAUCAAUUAUUGAACUUUCUUUCUUCUCCUCCUCCUUCUCCUCGUCCUCCUCUGACUAGUACUCGUCAAAAGGAUGAUGAUGAUUUAUCAAUAUUAUUACAAACACAUAGUUCUAAUGAUCUUGAUAGUCAACAAAAUGAUGAACCAAUUAUCACCACCACCACCACUACUAUAUUUGAUGAUGAUCAAUUAUUGAACUUGACUAGUACUCUUCAAAAGGAUGAUGAUUCAUCAAUAUUAUUACAAACACAUAGUUCUAAUGAUCUUGAUAGUCAUCAGAAUGAUGAACCAAUUAUCACCACCACCACUACUACUAUAUUCGAUGAUGAUCAAUUAUUCAACUUUCUUUCUUCUCCUCCUCCUUCUCCUCGUCCUCCUUUGACUAGUACUCUUCAAAAGGAUGAUUAUUCAUCAAUAUUAUUACAAACACAUAGUUCUAAUGAUCUUGAUAGUCAUCAGAAUGAUGAACCGAUUAUCACCACCACCACCACUACUAUAUUCGAUGAUGACCAAUUAUUUAACUUUCUUUCUACUCCUUCCCCUUCUCCUCAUCCUCCUCUAACUAGUACUCUUCAAAAGGAAGAUGAUUCAUCAAUAUCAUUACAAACACGUCAAAGCUCGAAUGAUCUUGAUAAUCAUCAGAAGGAUGAACCAAUUAACACCACCACUACUAUUGUCGAUGAUAAUCAAGUUCAAGAUCCCAUGAAAAAGAAGGAGGUGGAAGAGAAAAAGAAGAAGAAUAAGAAUGUCUUACGAAGAGAUGUUGAAAGGCAAAGAAGGCGCGAUAUGGCUAAGCUUUAUCAGCGUUUGCGCCUUCUUAUUCCUUCCAAGUAUCUCAUGGUUAGUAUAACAACAACAUUCACAUUUAGACGAGUGUGUUUGAUACGAGGAAAGACAUUUUUCUUAUAAAAUUAUUUUCACUAUUGUUAAAAAAUUCUUUUUUUUUUCGUAAAAAUGCUUUAGAUAUUUGAUUGAUGAAUGUUUAGAAAUCAAACACAAAAUUCCUAAAAUAUAGUUCUCUCUCAUAUCGAAUAGAUUUAGAUCUAUAUUGUAAGCUUGUUGUGCCUAUGAUGUUCCUAGUCAAAAAUGUUCAAGAGCAUCACAUUUGUGUGAGAUGCUGUAAUUUAUUUUCUUAAAUAACUUUAAAUAAUUCUCACCUCGAGAACAACCUUUAUGAUUGAGUGUGACCCUAUUUAUAUUUCUUUAUGAUAGCAGAUUUAGUUGGUCCAACCCUUUUUUUGUUUACCGAACAUUGGGCCCGGCUCUUAAUAUAUUGUUCAUGCUUCAAAUGUUCAAUUCUUGGUGUGCGGGGUAUUAGAGUCUCUAAUUGAUUCGGGAUGUGGUAAUUUAUUUUUUAUAUGAUCUUAAAGAUUCUCGUCUCAUGAUCUAACUUUUAUAAUAACUCUACAAAUCUAUUUUUUUUUUUUUUUUUUAAAUNNNNNNNNNNNNNNAGAGAGCUAUAUCUGACCAUCUAGAAGAGAUUGUGGAUUAUGUAAAAGACUUGAGGAAAGACAUAGAGGAGUUGGAAAGAAAAAGAGAAAGUUUGAAAGAAAAGAAAAAUAUGACACCAUCUUCUUCUUCUUCUAUGAAAUUAAGUGAUGAUGAAGACAGAAUAAUAGUGAAAUCAUGCAAUGAAGAAGUGGAAAUUUCAGUAAAAGGAGGGAUCUCUAUAUCAAAAGUUGUUAAAGUUGUUAUGAAAGAAGGGCUUAUUGUUAAUAGUUGUGUUUCCUCCACAGUUGAUCAAAGUCUUCAUCACAUUAUUCAAUCUGAGGUAAUUAAGUUGCUAAUUAAUCUUUUCUUUUCUCACACUACUACUAAAAGAGGUUUUUUCCACUGUGAAUCAAUGAUAAAUUCAUUUUUUUCCCUUUUUAUUGAUUUAAUUAAAAAAGUUAUGAGAAUAGCUACUAAAUGCUUUUCGGUGGAAAAUUUUAAUGGAAAAUAAUGAAACCUCAGUAUUAUUAAUUUCAAGCAACAUUUACAGGAAAGUCAAUUCGAUAGCUGAUAGCAUAAUUAACUAAUUUGACAUUAAGUAAUCAAGUGUUAUUUUAAAUAGUCAUGUGCUUUUACCUUCUAACUUUUAGCAGUGGUUUGAUGUGAGGUAUAAGAUAUAAUAAUUUCAAGAAAAAAUGUAAAAUUAUUGCUUGGUUGAAGGUAUUAAUUACUUGGGAAUAUUUAUUUCAUUUAUAUCUUAGUAAUGGGAUAAGUUAUCUAUAUACAUAUACGAUAACUUAUCCCAGGAUGACUAAUUUCGAGAUAAUUUACUUCCCUUAGACUUGUUUGGUCGGAAAUAAGUUAUCUCAGAAUAAUUAAUUUCGAAAUUAAUUAUUUCAAAAUUAAAUUUCUCACCAUAUACAUAAAAUAACUUAUUAAGGCAUAAAUAGUAAAAAUAAUUUCUUGACUGACUAAUACGUUCAAGUAAAAUAUAAAAUAAAUAAUCUUAUAUUAUUCCAAAAUACAUUAUGUGCACUUUUUUGUUUUUGUUUUUCUCAAACAGAAGGGGAGAUAUAGAUUGCUACACACUAUGUACGAAACAAAUAAAGGACAAAUAUAUAUAAUAAUAAAUAAAUGGUUUAUCAUAGGAUUCCUUAAUUACCUAAUAAGGAAACUUAUAGUUUUAUUUUAUGUGCAGGUAAAUACAAGAGCAGACAUUGAUUUUGCAAUGCUACAAACCAAGUUGAUAAGUUUAUAUGAGCCAUAACUUAUAGAGUACAUAGGAAAAAAAAACUAUAUGUAUUAAUUUUACGUAUUACUAAUAUUUUAUUUAAUAUAUUUUUUUAAUCUAUAUAUAACAUGCAUGCAUGCAACACGUUUAUUAUAUUUAUUAGCAUGAAUUAAGACAUGAUUGUCCCUCAAGACUUUUUCAGCUCCUUGCGACAAUAUCUGUGGUGGAUACUUUUGUAAACAAAUUUUUUCUUAAAAUUUAUAUAAUACAUAUUAUUUUUAAUACAAAAAAUCAAAUAUUACAUAAGAAAUUAAAAAAUCUCAAAAUAACUAAUACAAGCAUAAUCAAUAUAAACAUUACGAAUAUCAAUACUAAUACACCAUCUAUCUAGACAUUGAUUAUACUUUGUUUAGAUUAGAAAUUUUCUAGUCAACGAUUACAAGAAAAUUAAAUCUAUAGAACAAAAUAGGCAUUAUCAGAUAUCUGGAGAACUUUUAUUAUUUAUUAUGCAAGUAUAGUAGCUUCAAUCAAAUCUAUAUAUUACAUAGUUUCAACUAUAGCACUAUCAAUUAUUGCUUGUAUAAUUAUCCUUUCAAAAGUGAUCUUUCUAAAAUAAUUGAUAUAAAUGUGUGAUUGUUACGGAGGAAAAUAUUUUUAAAGUCUUAAUGUUUACAAGUGAAUAUGAUUGAGUUUUUUAAAAGAUACUCUUCACAAAAACUUUUUCAUAAGUGAUCACCCACGUUGAUUCUGUCGUCUUUGUCUUUCAACACACUUCAUUAUCAUGAAUUGUGACCCUCAUUCCCGUAGGCCACCGUAGCCCCCAAUCCCCAUCACCUACCCCACUCCACCUCAUUAAACAAUAGCAUAAAUUUUUUUGGCCAUAAAAAUUUAAUCUAAAUUUAACAACAAUGAUAAAAAAAGAUUCAUUCAUACUAUAAACUAGUUUUUUUUUUUUUGAACAUUUUUGUCAAUUUCAUCAUAAAUUUAAAACUCUAUCAUUACUUAUUUAUUACUAUUUCCCAAUACAUUGAAAAUUAUCCCAAUACAUGGGAGUGGACAAUUUAUAUAUAUUCUAAUUUUAAUUAUUUAAUUUUUUUAAUUAACAAUUACAUAAUUAAAUUAUUGUCAAAUGUAGUAGGAGAAGUAUUUAAUUAAGAAAAUAAAAAUUAAUUAGUACAAAUUUAUUUGUUAAUCAGUUGUUAUAAGUUAUACUUAUUAUUACGUUUGAAAUAGUUUAAUAUUAGUUCGAAUUUUAAUUAUGUAUAGUUUAUACUUUGCACAUCUUUUUAGAAAUUUAAUAAAUUGUUUUAAUUAUUUUUUUGAUGUUAGUUGGACUUUAUAAUUUUUUUUUAAAUGAAUAUGGAAACUAAUCUAUGAAUGUAGAGUUUUAAUAAUAACAUAUUUUGGCAUACUUAAAUUUUUAUUACUUUUAUUCUUCUAUGGAUAGAUAUAUUAAUAAAAUAAGUCGUAGUUAAAUGUAAAAAUUUAUUUUGCUAAAUAAUUUAAUCACAAUAUUUUUUUUUUGAUAACAUUUGUAAAAGAAGAUGUGACUAAAAUUUAUUUACAAAUUUUACAUGAUCCAUGACUAAGAAUUUAUACUUAUUGCUAUGAAAUUUUAUUGUGUUGUUGUCACAAUCCCAAUGGCCAUAAGUGGCACCCACACUAAUCCUUCUGUGGGAAAAUCAUCUAAACCGAAUCAUUACUCAUUCACUUAGUCAAUAUUAAGAUGUUAUUAUUAUAAAAUCAACAUAAUAACAAGAAUCCAGAACUAAUCAUUAUUAAUGCGGAAAUCAAACAAACUACUUACUAAAAUCCUCAAGACCCGAAAGUCAUCGUACAAGAACUAUUAACAAUGAUCAUGUCUAAAAAGAUAUCCAAAAAUAAAGUAAAUAAAGAAUGUUUCAUUGCACGAAAGAUGGACAAGAACAAAUAAGAUGACCCAUGGCAGCUUGGAGAUGGAGUGCUCACCCUUGGAUCAAAAUCUGCUAUCAAACUCUAGAAGUGAGGUCAUGUCUGAGCCUUUAGAACACUUUCUGUACUCAACACAAAAAGAGUAACAUAACAACCACUUUGUUCUUAUUAACCAAUGAUAUCCAUCAUUAAAUAUAAAACUAAUUAAUUAAUUAACUACUACUGAAUGCCCACAGAUACAAAACAUGGCUUCUGCCUAACUUUGCUACAUAUCCACUUCACUGCCACCAUUUUGACACAACACCAUUGCUAUAAUUAAGAUAACAUAUCACAUAACACGCUAGUUAACCAUCUAACAACCACGAAUUCUCUCUUAAUCUUUUUCUUUUUUAAUUCAUAUUACAUGACCACAAUUUCCAGUAGCACUAUUAAAACUCCCGUCAUCACCGUGCAAUUGUUGACCCUUCAAUUUAUGCAACACCCGUUUUAACACAGUGAAACUAAAUAACAAGAUUGCAAAUUCAGUUUAUAUGGUAGAAAGAAUAAUAUCACCUUAUACGACCAUUCACAUCAUUCCGCAACCACACCAUUAUAAUUACCCCAUUAAGAACAACCCCCAAAAACAUAUACCUGAAUUGGAGUUGUCGAGAACUUUUCCUUCUAUGCUUUGGUGUGAAGUCUGUAACUUCUGCGUUUAAGGCCUUUGAUAAAAAAUUUUAAUAUGUUAAACCCUUCCACUUAAGUUUUAUUCUAGUAUAUAAGUAAGAAAAUGCCAACUUGCCCAUUAACCACCAACUAAAAUAAUGUCUAAUAUAUCCAGAACUUCGAAAAAUUUCUCGAAAUUGGUUUGGAACCUCGAGGAAAUAGAUCAAAUAUGUACAUUGACUAAAAGUAUGUUCCGACCCUAUUGGAAAUAUUAAAACGCUAAUCUCGAGGUCGUCUUGAUCGAACGUUAACCAUGAUCAGAUAUAACUUUAUUAAAGCUCAAUAAUUUAACUAAUGACUUAAUUUAUUUUCGAACAUCUCAAGAAUUGUAGCUACUCAUUCUGUGAGUCAUAAUCCACGUAUACAAACUACGAAGAGAGCUAAAAUAGAGAAGAUGAGAAAAUUUCACAAACGACCGGGAGGAUCGUUACAGUUGUAAACAAUAGUUAUAAAAAAAUAUUUAUUUUACAAAAAAAGUUAUGUAGAGUAAGUGAUUUUAUCCAUAACAGAUAAUUUGUAUCUAUCUUCAUAUGUAUAGCGAGAAUUUGUAAAAUUUUCUUCAGAUUAAUUAUAUUUAUUAAUAAAAUAAUUAGAUAUAACAAUCUAUUUAUUCAAAUUAUAUAUGAAACUUACAAAUAAGAUCCUAUAAAUUUGAAUUGAAUCGAAUAAUAAUCACCUCUAAACAAAUGAUAAUUUUUAAAACACUUGAUUAGGAUAAAGCUUUAGUGAAACAUAUUUAAAUUUUGUUUUUAUAUAUUUAAUUAAUCAAAGUUAAUAUAAUUAUUUGUUUCUUAAAAUUAUGUUUGAAACUUCCAAGCUAUAAAAUUGAAUCACAUUAUUGAUAAUACUAAUUAUACUAGAUCAAUAAAGAUAUAUUUUUGAUGAAACAAGUCUAAAGUAAAAUUUAAUAAAGUUAAUUUGUUUAAAUUUGUUAUUAUUAGCUAAUAAGAAACAGCUAAAUUUAAUAACUUAUUGAUUGAUAUAUAAAUUAUUGUACAAAUACACUUCUUGGCUCAACUAAUUAUAACUACAUUUGUAAUAAUUAUUAAUUAAUUUAAUUUAACAGUAAAUUAUACAAGCAUUGUUUUGAUAAAUGAGGUUUAAAACUUUUAAUAAAAUAAGAACUGUCAUACUUGAUCAAGAUGAAUCUUGAGUGAGAUAUGAUAAAAUUUUAUUUAUAUUCGUUAUAAAUAGAAAAUAGAAAGUAAUCACAUUAUAAUUACUUAUUUAUUUUAAUGAUAUCUCAAAUUUACUAGUAAGACGUAUUAAGAUUGAAUCAAAUUAAAUCAAAUUACAUUAUAAUCACUUAUUUAUCUAAACUAUAUUCAAACGUACUAGUAAAAUUCGGUAAGAUCAAAUCAAAUGAUUAACAUAUCUAAUUAUCUUAGAUCGAUGGUGUUUGAUUUUAUAAUAUAUAUUGUCCAAUCACUAUAUAUAUAGAUAUGAUAUAAUAUAUUUGGAACGAUCCUGCAAUUUAUUUUGUAAAUUUGUUCUAUUUCAACCCAUCUCUUAAUUAUUAGACAUAAUUUAGGAUCUAUCGGGAUGGCUAGUGUCUAUUCUCGAGGUGUUCGGAGGCGACUUAAAUCAUUAUUUUGGGUUCUUGAUUGAUAAAGUUAAGUCAAAUCAUGACCGAUCUUUUAUCGAGACAACUUGGAUUAGUAUCGUAGUAUUUUUAAUAGGUCCAAGAUGUACUUUUUAUUAAAUUUACAUAUUUGGGUUGUUGUCGUGGAACUUCGAAUAAGUUUUGAGGAUCUAUCUGAAGUUUUAGGUUAUUUUAGACUAUUAAUUAAAUUAACGGGUAAUUACAAUAAAUUCACAGACUCAUAAACUACUCUAUAACACAUUCUGCAUCAAGUUAAUUAACUCCCUGGAUCAUAACAACACAAAAACAGGAGAGGGUUCAUCCGAGAAUUUAAGUAAUAGGGAGUCGACAUUUCGAGGACAAUUGAAAGUUGCAGGUGAGAGUGUUCCCAUGAUCACUGGUUCAUACAUCGUUAUCAUACAAUUGCUGCAACCAUAUGAUUUUAGAUUUGGUACAUGUGGGAAUUGAGAAACCCAUAAUGUAAUAUAAUAAUGUGAGAUUUAAGUUAUGCCAAGAAACAGUGCUAUGUAAUUCUUGAUUUAGGCUAAGAAGUAGUAGUACUUAAUUCUUGAUUUCUUGCUUAUGCUUGCAUAAUUAGGUACGUUAAUGGUCAAUUAUGAUUUACUGUGGUCUUAAAGAGGUUAAGGAUGGUUGAUGACUAGAUUAAAUUGAUGGUGCUUAAGUCGUGUGAAUUAAACAGGACAAGAUAGGUAAAUUAGGCUUUUAGGCAGUAUUUGAGAAUCAGGCAUGGCAUCACUGUUCAGUUGUUUUCUUAUUAAUUUAUAAGUACAUUCUAGUUAAAACUUUAGUAUGUAUUUGCACCACUAGUCCACCGUGUAUUUAAUAAUAAUCUUGCAUGUUAUUAUUCAAAUUUUAACUAUGGCCUUGAAAUUAGUAAUAUAAUUAUUUAUCAAUUAACAUUUCAAUUUUUGAAGCCUCAGGGUGACUCUUUGACCAGAUUUUUUUCUUUAUUUUUAUAGUAAUAUAAGUGUUAUUAUAUUCAUACUCUUAUGAGAAUUAUAUAUUUGAAUAGAUUUUGAUCAUUCUGAGACUUUACGAAAGGGCAAGUUUGUUAAUUGACGUUUGGGCUUUUCUUGAGGCAAGUUGAGACUUUUCUUAAACUCUUUUUUAAAGUGUUUAUUUAUUAGUUAUGUGUAAUGGGAGUAGUGGAAAUUAGGGUCCCGUAUAAGUGAUGGUGACGAGCAUCUAUGCAGGUAAAGGUGUUGUUUGAGGGGAUAAAAUAAAUUAAUUGUAUGUUUUGAACUGUUUUUUCCUAUUUGCUAGCCCGAUGAAUUGAAUUGAUAUGGUAGAUAAAUUAUUGAAAAAGUUAGCUAAUGAGAAUACUCUUACUUGAUAAGUUAAGUGACUUUGAAAUUGAUGUCUGAUCUGACUUGAAACACGAAAUAUUUUGCUUGACUUUAUUGUUAAUUUGGGAUUGGAGUUGCACGCAUACACAUCAUGCGUCGUAUUUCAUUGGGAUCAGAGUGCACUCCUGUAUAGUAUAUUUAUUGAGAUUGGAUUGCAUGCCGGCACAGUAUAUUUAUUGAGAUCGGAGUACAUGCCUGCACAGUAUAUUUAUUGGAAUCGGAGUGCAUGCCUGAAUAGUAUAUUUAUUGAAAUCGGAGUGCACGCCUGUACAAUAUAUUUAUUGGGAUCAGAGUGCGCACUUGCACAGUACAUAGACCUUGUGAGUCCCCCAUGGAUCCUGACCUUAAAGUCAUUGCUCGGUAGGUGUGUACACAGCAUAUGCAUUGCAUUACAUUGCAUUGAUUCAUUUGGUUCAGAUUGGUUAAGGUGUAUUUGUUGACCUUGUACUUAUUGUAUAUGUGUUACUUAUUUCACUAGAUUGAGAACUUCUUGGAGUGUAUUAUGAUAUUCUUAUGACUUUUAAACUUGACUAUUCAGUUAGAUUAGGGUGGCUUUCCUGAAUGCAGGUUGUGUGUUUAUUUUAGAUGAUUGAAGCGGUGUCACGCAUUACCACUUUGAAUUAGGGCUGGUCAACGAUGCUUACUGAGUACACAUGGUUCUGUACUCACCCUUACUUUUUUCUACACCUUACGUGCAGGUACAGAUCCGACGACCUCCGUACAUUGAUUCCUGUGAUUUCUUUUUAUGCUAGCAUCAUUGGAGAUUCGAGGUUGCUACUAUUGACUUUAGAGACUGCUGAAAUAUUCUUCAGCCUUAUCUUUAUGCAUUUUUCGCAUUUCAAGAUACUGAAACUUUCUUUGAUUCUGUAUUUAGUGGCUUAUAUAUUGGUGACUUAUAGACCUGGGAUUAUCUAAGAUUUGAAUUUAUGAGUCUAGUAAUCUACUCAUGAGACUAUUCGGGAUUAGUUAUGUUCUUAUUUUCUUCUGCUUCUAUGAGUUUGAGGUGUUGUUCUUGAAAUUGGGUAUUUGGCUUACCUAUCACGGGGGAUGGAAUAGGUGCCAUCACGGUCCCGAAUUUGGAUCGUGAUAAUAUCGCUAUCAAAUGUGACCUUUUAUAGUUUUUAGUGUUGCUACAAUAAAUUUUCGCUGAUGAUAAAAAAUAAUUAUUAGUUACAAAAUUCAAUCAAAAAUCAUUUCGCCAUGCCAAAUAGUUAUGAAACUUGAAGCAAAAAUUUAAUAUCUGCCACAAUUUUUUUAGAACUUGAAACAAAUAUAUUUAUUUAGUUAUAGUAUUUUGCUUGAGGUAAUUUAUUGUACCUAAAAAGUUAGUAUUAUUGCAGUAAUUAGUUAUACGAGAGUAUCAUUUUACUGACAAAAGGAUAACAGUAAAUUUCACAUGUCAAGCAAUUAACGAUUCAUGCAUAUAAUUUUGGAAAAAGGACAUCCUAUAACACUUUUUAAAACAAUAGCCCAAGUUUGAUAUCUUUCCAAAAAGUGGUCAGUCGGGUGUACUAUUUUCACUUUAUAGUCAUUUUCUUAUUUUGGUCAUUUUGGCCCACGUAGUUCAGAUACAAUCUAUAUACAAUACUGAUAUAGUCCUUAUACAAUACUGAUACAGUUUUCAACUUGGGUCAUUCAGCCUUUUUAAAAAUAUUUCAAUUUUUUUUUAUUAAUUUUUUAACUGGAAAAAUAUUUUACUUUUUUUUAAUUGUUUAGAAAUAAUAAUUAAAUAUAAUUAUAUAAAAAUGAUAUAAUUGUUAUAUAGAACAUGUAUGAAUGUAUCUAUAUAAGAUAUAUGUAUCAAAUAUGUAUAUGUAUAAAAUAUAUAUAUAAAAAGUGUAUAAAAAUUAUAUAAUUAUUAUAUAAAAUGUGUGAAAAAAUACAAAUAUUGUAUAAAUUGUAAAAAUUAUACAAUUUUUGUAUGGAAUAUUAUAUGUAUAAAAUAUGUAUAAAAACUUUAUAGAUUGUGUGUAGAAAGGUAUAGAACAUACCAACAAAUUGAAAUGGCUAGAAAGUGGAAUUUAAAUUCCAUGGUCAUUUUUAUGGAAAUUGUUUAAUUUGAAGUGUCGUUUCUGUCCUUUCACCUAUAGUUUUUCUCUACCACUUUUACUCUCUCUCUCUCUUCUUUUUAAAAUUAUUAUGAAACUGAACCAAUAUUUUUUAUGAGUAAUUAAUUCUAAUUUUUAUUUUCGUAAUUUAAAACAAAAAAUACUUGAGAUAUAUGAAAAUUAUUAAACUACACUAGACAUGUUGUAGGUGAAAAUUACAAGAGUUGAAAACUGAAUAACUGUAAUCGAAGAUAGAUAAAAUUUAUGGGUAAUCACCUAACAUUGAGUCUAUCACAUAAAAAAUUGAUUUCAAUUGUUUUUAACAUAAAAGUCAUUUAAUAUUCAAAAUUACUGUACAAUUUUUUUUUUUAUUUUGUGACAUAAAAGUAUCCUAACUUUAAAAUUUAGUACAUAAAAAUAUUUUAUUUAUUUUUUUCAAAAGAUGUUUAUAAAAUUUACCAUGCAAAUACAUAUAUUAGUGCGAAAAAUAGUCAGAUCAUAUUUUCUUCAAUAUUAAUAAUAUUAAAUUAAAAUUAUUAUAAAAAUAUCAAAUUAAGGAAGGUAAGUAUAAUGUUGUGUGCCCUCAAUAAGUUAUGUGUUAUGAAGUAAAACAUUAGAAAUGUUUCUAACAACAUCCCGAAUGUAAUUAAUUUUUUUUGGACCAUUGACAUAUUUUUGAUAUGAUAUAUCAAAAUUCAGAUGAAAUUUACUUUUUAGUUAAUUUGAUCAAAGUUGAACGAAUUUUAAGUGACAAAGAAUUAAGAAAAAAUUUCUUUUAUGUUACAAAUUUUUUAUCUUGAAUGGUGUUUAAGUAAAACAAAUUAAAAUAAUAAUAAUAGUAAAAAUUGAACAAUAAAUUUUAUAAUUAAUGAAGUUUACAUAAUAAUUUAAAAAAUUCUAGAGUAAAUACAUAAAGACCUCCCUGAUCUUGUCCAAGUUUUGCAAAAAGACACUUAAAUUUUAACUUCGAUCUAUUACCCCACGAUUCUUCUUUAUUUCGUUGCAAAUACACCAUUUAAAUUUUCUGCGUGUGAAAAGGCUCAAAAUUGACUUUAUUGACCAAUUAAAAGCUGCCACGUGUAAAUAAUUUGAUAUAUAAUUAUCUUUUUUUUUACAUCAAUAUUUAUUUAAUUUUUAAAAUUAAACAACAUCAUCAUCACCAUAACUCUCUCUCCUCAAUUCUCUCAAUCAUCACCAUAACUCUACUCAUCUUUUACCAUCAACAUGUUUACUUUCUUCAAUUUCAAGUUCUUAUUUUCAAUUUUUUUUUUUACAUUUUGAAUAAUUUUAUAAAACCCAAUAUAUUUCAAGAUGAUUAGGAGUAUUUUUUUUAUUUACAUUUCAAUAAGAUAUUUAUGGGUUUUAGAAAAUUCACUAAUUCAUUUACAAAAAAUUUAAAUUUUGAUAUUAUUUUUCUCAAAAUCUUCAUUGCUUUAGAAUAUCAAAGUUUAUUUAGAUAAAAGGAUGAUUAAUUUCAUUUUAAUAACUUAAUCAAAGUUGAGAAAGUGCUAAAAAAAAUUGUAAGAAAAUGGUUCUAAUUGUUGUGUAAUGGUAGAAGGGAAUGGAGAUGUUUUGUGGAGAAGAAGGACACGUGGAGUAAAAUUAUUGGUGCAAAGGAAAAAAGAAAGUCAAAAAGUAAGAGAGAGAAAAAAGAAAGAAGAAAAAAAUAUAAAGAAAAUAAUUAAAAAUAAAAAAUAUGUAUUUUUUUAUUAAGUAGACGUGUCAAAUUUUAAUUGGUGCGUAUAAAACACCUACUUUUUGAAACUGGGUUUCGUCCAAAAAUGGUAUAAUAAUAUCGAUUUAAAAUUGUUUAGGGAGAUAUUAGGAUACUCAUAAAGUUUAAGUGUCUUUUUAAAAAAACGGUCCAACAUUAAAAAAGUAUUUAUGUAUUUUCUCAAAAUUCUAUUAUAAAUUCAAUAUUCACACCAUGAACUGGUUUCUUUUAAAUUUAAUACUCACGCCAUAAUUAAUGUGAUGCCAUUGAAUAUUCACACCAUGAACUGAUUUUUUUUUUUUUGGACUUUCUUACCCCUCCCUUUCCAAAUUAAUUAUAUAGUUAAUAGGUGUCAAUCUUAGUUAACGAUAUUCCAGGAGAGUCAUGCAAUGUUGUAACUUGUGGUCUAUUUCGAUCUAAUAAUUUGUGAAUCAUUACUUAUAUUUAUUAUUAAUAUGACCAUUAAAUGAGUAUUUUUUUAUUAAAUAUCACACUUAAAUAUUUUUUUUACGUAUAAAACAUUUAAACUAUAAUAGUCAAAAUUCAAAACACUUUAGCUAUAAUAAACAUUGAUACAUUAAAAGGUUAUUAAAAUCAUAUAAUUCACAAGCAUCGACCGUAGUUAACAUCCAUCUAUGCGAGUUACACAUUAAUGUUGUAAUUUUAUGUCCGUAUGUUACGCCGGUGUAAUAACUUGCGAAUCACUACUUAUAUUUGUUAUUAGUAUGACCUCUAAUUAAGUAAUUUUAUUGAUUAUUAUGUAAAAAUAAAUUUAUUCUAUAAUCUUAGAUAAUUUGCUAUAUAAUUUGAGAAUAUUUCAACAGUCAAAAUUCAAAAUACUUUAGAAUAAUAGAUAUCGACACAUUAUAAAAAUCAUAGAAUUCACAUAGUCCACAAGUGUCGGCCUAAUAAUUAACAACAACGCAAGAGAGUUACAUAUUAAUGCUAUAAUCUUGCGCGCUUAAUGUUAUGCCGAUUUGAUAACUUGAAAAUCAUUACUUAUAUUUCUCUUCUAUUAGUUAUUAUGUUUAAAUAAAUUCAAAUUACAUAAUUAAAUAAUUUUUAAUAUAUUGACGUUAGUCAAAACUCAAAAUGCUUUGAUAUGAUAGAUAUUGACGCGUGAUAGAAAUCAUAAACUUUACCAAAUUGUGUAUUAGACUAAGUAAUUAGAAUAAUUUUUAAUUAGAAAAAAUAUUUAUUUAUACUAUUACCAAACUUAAAGUUUAAUUGCCUCCUUCAACACUAUAUUAAAUGAAGAAUAAUGCUUAAAAAUAUAGAUCCUAAUUUUGUAUCAUACUUUAUUUUACAUACAUUAAAAACGACGUUAUUUAAAAUAGUAUACAAAAUAAAAUAUGUCUAUUUUUGAAUAUUUACUGAUAAUUAGAUACUCAGUGAUUUUAUUUUUUUUAAAACAUCCUCUUAACUAGUAUUGUCGAAAAAACUGAAAUUUUUUAGCCGUAGUUAAAAUGGUGAUAUAACAUUCUUGUUUGGAACUACAUAAUAUAAAAAAAUUUAAUUUGGUUUUCUAGGUAUAGUUAUAAACGCCCCAUUAUCGGUUAAUUUUUUAUUUAAAAUAUCUAAUCUCAAAAAUUACAUUGUAUUUUUUCUUGUAAAACAUUUAUUGUAUAUACAGUACACUAAUCAUUGAUAAACUGGACAUGAUUUUAUUUACUCAAUUAUUUUAAAAAAUAUAUAUAAUUAUAAACUUUCGAAUCCAUGCUUAAUUACUAUUCUAAUUUGUAUUGCUAAGUAAUUAAGUAAAAUUUUAAGCAACUAAAAUAUUCUUUUAUAGUUAUAUUAACGUGAAGUUCAAUUGUCUCCUUCAAUAUGAAAGUUAUUUUAAGCGAAAAAAUAAUUUUUUUAGAGGUACUCAUUCGUAUGUUCUUAACAUAAUUGGGUGGAGAGUUCAUGUAUACAUUCAGAAUAUAAUUUGUAUAGGCCUAUUAGAUAGUAAUGAAAAAUAAUAUUAAUUUGUAUAAAUUAAGUUACAAAAGUGUUUUUUACUAAAGAGCAUAAACUUUUUUUUAAUCAACUAAACUAUAAUUUUUAAAAACUAAAUUGUGUAAAAAAAAAAUUAAACGAGGACUGCCAAAGAUUUUUCAUUCGUCUCAAUAUAAAAUAUAAAAGAGAUACAUCAAAAGAUUUUUUAUUUUUCUUAAUUGCCAAAGAAUUUUUACUUUCGUAAUUCAAGGAGUUUGGGAAUAGGAAAGGUUAGUUUAACUUGGAGGGAAAAGUUUUGAGAAAACAACGCAAAAUUUAAUGUAAGGAUAUUAUGGACUUUUUAUAUUUAUGAUCAAAUUUGUCAAAAUUAUUAUGGCCAUUUAGCAGUGCACUUGUACUGUACUGUAGUGUUCUAGGGCUGGGCAUGGUAUGGUAUAUAUCGAAUACCGUAUCGAAAUCGAAAUUUUUUAUAAUGCGGUGUGGAUGUUAUGAUAUAUGGUAUGCUAUUUGGUAGGAGUUUCAAAUGAUUUUGGUAUUUGAUAUGAUAUUUGGUAUUUAUACAAUAAAUACUGAAAUACUGUAUACCGCAUCAAAGUUUUUUAGUAAUAUAUAAAAUUCAUAUAAUAUUAUAUUUAAGAUUAUUAAAUAUAUUUAUAUAUCAUCCAUUAGCCAAUUGAACGUAAAAACAUCUUUUAUUCAGAAAUAUAAUUUUUGAGAAACUUAUUAUUUAGAAGUACUAUGAUUAAGUUUAUGUAAUGUUGUUCAUAGUUUGCAUCUUGGACUACUCAAUAGCGAUUGAAAUGUUCUUUUUGUGUAAUUGAUCAACAAAUAUAGUUGUUAAUUUUAUAUGAUUGAUACGUUUUUAAAGUUUAAAGUUGUAGUUUUUUAUAUGAAUAUAUGUAAGUCGAAAUCAAAUAAAGUACGGUUAUCGAAUUAUGUUAUUGGAAAAUACCAAAACCGAAUUUAAAAAUACCGAAGCAUACCAAAAAAAUUUGGUAUGGUAAUGGUAUUGUUCUUUUAAAUACCAAAAAUCGAAGUUAUCAUAUCAAAGUUUAAAAUACGUUACUGUACCAUACCAUGCCCACCCUAUACUGUUGAAUUCAUCACAUUAAUUCCCACAUCUUUUUAUAUGCCUUCAGUUAAAUAGCGUCUCUCGAUUAUAGUACUAGUAGCAGUAUAUAUAAUAGGCCACUUUUGUUUGUCAAAAACAUAUUUAACUUUCCAUAAUCUGAAGAACUGUUAAGUAUUACUAUUAUGGAUUCCAUUGUAGGAAAAAUAUGGGAGUAUCUGUGCCAUCCUACUAACUCUGUUUUCCAAGGGCUACAGAUGGUGAAGAAUUGCUUUGUCGAUAAGCCACAGUGGCGUAAGGAUUUUGUUUGUCAAGUGCUGGACAUGCUAGAGAACAGUGAUGUCAAGUUGCUGGAGAAACUAAAAGUUCCUGCUGGCAAAGUGGUGUUAAGGCAAACGAAAUUUGGUGGCAAAGUGUUGCUUGCGCUGACGAAUGUUGGUUGAUAAAUUGUAGGGAACCUAGAGAGUAAUGUUGGUGGGUGGUUCAAUGAUAAGCUUCCGAGUACUGAAGAUAGAAAUGAGCUGCUUCAAAUUGCUUCUCUUAUCAUAGAGUUGAUGCUGGCAAAAAGUGAUGGAAGUACUUUUGAUCGCAUAGUGAUAUUGCUGAAGAAGCUCACUGUUAGUUUUGAUAAUUAGAAGAAGGAAAAUGAAGUUGAUAUAUUUGGUGGUUUGCUUUUAUAAUUAGUCUAAAGAUCAGUUAAAAAUGCAAGUACUAAUAAUAUAGCAGAGGUACUAUCGAUGUCUAUGUUUAAAGUUCAGUUGAAAUGCAAGUACAAUAUAGUAGACGUACUGUCAAUGUCUAUGUUUAAAGAUCAGUAAGAAUGCAACUGCUAAUAUAGUACACGUACUGCCAAUAUCUAUGUUUAAAGAUCAGUAAGAAUGCACUGCUAAUAUAGUAGACGUACUGCCAAUAUCUAUGUUUAAAAAUCAGUAAGAUUGCAACUGCUAAUAUAUAUAGUAGACGUACUAUUGAUAUCUAUGUUUAGAUGUCAUGGAUUUGCUAUUGUAGAACAUGGAUUUCAGUUUUUCAUGAUUCCGUUUCAUUAUGGUGCUGUCUCAACUUUACUAUUUGUUAAGAUUUUGAUAUGUUUUGAGUAGUGGCGGAGUUAGGAUUUUUAUUGAGGGAAUUUAGUCGUAAAUAUAUGAACUAAUCUAAGGGGUUGAACACUACUACAUAAAAGAUCAUAUUUUUAACCAUGUAAAGUUAGUACAAAAAUAUUAUAAUUUUUUGUCGAAGGUAUUUCGGAUGAACCCUUGGUGCAAAGAUGGCUCCGCCACUUGUUUUGAGAGUUGAUUAGACAAGAUAUGAUAUAGUUGCAGCUUAAUGAAGACAUGAACUUAGCAAGGAGGUGUGAUGGACGUAUACGAAUUUUGGAUAGAAGGUUAGGAGGUAGUUAGGAGGAUUGUCCUUGUUAGUAAUAGUUUCUUGUUCGUAGUUUUUUGUUGAUAGAUGGUUUAGAUAGAUGAUUUGAAGUAUUAUUUUGGUCUCUCUACUAUUUGCUAUGUUAUUUCCUAUUGUAUUUUUUUUUAUUUUUUACCUUUAUUACAUCUUUUUCUAAUCUUGGGUCUAUCAGAAACAAUGUAAUUCUCUUUCUCAUCUUUAAGGUAAUGAUACGAAUUGGGUACACUCUAUCCUUUCUGGACUUCACUUUAUAAAAAUACACUGUAUAUAUUGUUGUUGUUUGGACUUGAACUCUAAGUGGCUGCACCACCCUAACCUCUCCGGUCCCUGCAAUUAUGUUCUUUAUUUUUGAGUUUGGGUGGCUGUAUUUUAUUUUAUUUUGAUGAAUUUAUAUCACUAGACGGAGAGUCUAGCAGCUUUUGUUAAAAAAAACAAAAACAAAGGUUCCCAAUAGAGGUAAGUACAUUUAAAGGGGACUAGGCAUUACCUUAUCAAACUUACUGAGAUAACAAAUAUUUAUUGAUUAACAAGCAUGAACAAAAAAUGAGCUAAGGAAAAUUAAAUAUUAUGUGAUCAUUAUAGAAUUUAUAAUAUUCUCUAUGAUGAAAUUAUAAAUGAGAAGGCUCGUGUAAUACAAUAAUAUGAAAGCCAAGAAGUUUGAGUUAUCAACCUCAAACUUCCUUUUAACAUAUAUAUGAAUUUAAAAAAAAUAGUUUGGUGUCUACAGUAACUUGAAACAUCAUCUUGUCUUCUUCAAAUCUGUCCAAUAUCCUUUGAUAAUUCUAUCACUUUUUGGAUGUAUUGGGUUUUUUUGAAACUUUUGACGAUGUCAUAUCGUUUUAUUUUGCCAGUCGCAUUAAUAGAGAUGUAAGCGCUUAAACUAAUAUUCUCUUCGUUUGUAGAUUUGACACACUAAUUAAAAAAUUAAUAAACAAAAAUAUAUUUAUAUAUUUAUAUAUUUAUUUUUGUAUGUCUUUUUAAAGUUCAAUAAUUAAUAUAAUGAUUAAACAUUCAAAUUUAAUACAUAUUACUUCAUUCGAUGCAUUAUGUUUAAAAUAUUGAGUAUUUAUAAUUAAAACUAGUAAUAAGAAUUUAAUUUUGAUUUUAAGAACUGAAAUUAUUUAUGCACCAUUCAAUAAUUUUCAACUAAGGGUAAAAUGAAAAAGAAUUUAAUGUCGCAUGUUAUUAACAAAAUUUCGUUAAGCAUUUUAAUGGACCACACACAUUGUCUUGCUUAAUACACUUCCUUUGUGGCUACAAGUCCAGAUGUAGUACUUCCUCCAUUUUAAAAUAGUUGAUCUUUUUUUAUUUGAUACUUUCUUUAAAAAAAUAUUUAUUAAAGGAUUAUUUUAUUAAAGUAGCCAAAUUAAUUAUGCUUUGAAAAUAUAAAUUUGAGUAAAUAUACCUUGUUUGGUCACUUAAUGUUGAGGGAAGUAUUGAAAGAACAUAAUAAAAUACUCUUGAUUUCAUCAAAAGAGACAACUAGAUUGAAACAAAUAUUUUUAGAAAGAGGAUCAAUUAAAACGAAACAGAAGAGUACUAGUCAACCAACUACAAAGACAAUAAAUUACAAUAGACAACACACAUAUUGACACACUACCGGGUCCUUUAGUAGAGUAUGAUAUAAAAAACAACUAAUGCAUGCAUUAGAUUUAUGCAUUGUUAAUAUUUUGUUUGAUAUAUUUUUUUCACUUUAUAUAUAAUUAAUACAAGUAUUAGUUAUAUACUCUAUUGUGUAUUAUGCUAAGCAUAACUAAUACCAUCAUUUUUGUAUGUAUUAGUAAUACAAAGCUUUUAACACAUGCAUUAACUUCUUAAAUGACUAAUUUAACUCUUAAUUUUUUCUCAAUUUCUCUUUCGUUCUUGUUCCUCCUCUAUACUCAUUUCACUGGAACAAUCUGAGAACUCAAAAUUGUUGCAAAGUAUCACAUGAGCUCUUACGUUCCGUUCUUGUUUCUCUUUUUUUCGGCAAAAAGUUUGUUCCGUUCUUGUUUUUCUUUUCUUUUUUUCGGUAAAAUGUUCACCGAUAUCGUUGCCAGAAUUUUGGUUUAGACGAAGUGAACAUUAGGGUAGAAUGCUAAUUUCACAUUUCACUGAAAAAAUUAAAUUUUUUAUGGAAUGUUACCUCCUCCAGAUAAGUGAAGAUGAGUAUUCAUUUUUGGCACAAGAUUGAAAAAGAGAGUGUAGAAUGUUUAAUAAAGAGUAUUUUAAUAAAUUAAUAUUAUUUGAUAAAAACUAUAUUUUGUAUUUUAUUUUUAAUACAUCAAAUCAAACAGUGUGUAAGAAAUAUUGUCCGUGCUAAAUUCUCUACUGUAAGCUCAAGUUCAAGGCAAGUCUACAAUGAUGAUAUACAAUAUUCAUAUAAUAUUGAAGAGAAGAAGAAGAGAAGAUAUUUUGAUUUGGGGAUUUUUCUCUGUGUGUCUCCUCAAAUGUGCAAUCUGCGAUACAUAUAUAGACAAUUGCAACCGACUUCACUAAUUGAUAUGCCAGCUGUACUCCAACUGAACUAACUGCUAAGACAUUGUGCUAACUAACUAACUGAGCACAAUUAGUAACUACUAAUCAGUAAUUAAUAUGGCUAAUUACAUGACUGCCAUGUGCUUAUCAUAUGACUCAAUACUCCCCCUUAAGCUAGAGGGUGAAGCACAUUGAACACUCCCAGCUUGGUCAUCAAAUGAGAAUGUUGAACUUUGUUUAACCCCUUGGUCUAUAAGUAUGCUUGUUGGUCUUCAGUGCCCACAAUUGUUGUCUUGAUGAUUUCUUCCUUGAUCUUAUCUCGAUAUAUUUUGUUCUUUCAUGAAAUAUGGGAUUAGAUGCAAUCUGCAUUACACCCUUACUGUCACUUAAGAUUGUUACUGGUUUCAUCACUUUCACUCCUAGCUCUUGAAACAAUCCCAGCAACCAUAUAAUCUCAGCCAAUGCUGAAGCCAUGCUCCUAUAGUCUGACUCUGCAGAACUUUUUGAGAGUGUCUAUUGUUUCUUUGAUUUCCAAGACACUAGGGAACAUCCAAAUUUAAUUAUAUACCCAGUCACAAAUCUUCUAGAAUUUGGGCAUGCUGCCUUGUCUGCAUCACACCAAUAUGUAAGUUCUUGGCUAGGAAAUGAACUCAUAAGAAUACUGUCACAAUUCAAAAUAGGAUCAUGACCGACGCUAAGGAGUUUAGGACUACAAAGCAAGCCUCGUUAGAAUUCUACAAAAAAUUGAGUAGAAUUUUUCCUGUUCUGGGGACUGUCAGGAAAAUUCUCUAUCUUAAAUCAACAACCCCGCAUCACAACCAAUAUAUCAAAACACCAACACAAUCCACCAAAACCCAUCAACACUCAUUCACCACAAAACAAUAAUACGAAAUUCAUCUCCAAACUAUGAGGAGAAGUCAAUAACUUCACCAAAUCAAAGUAAUAAAAGAAUACUCAAACUCUACAUAAGUGACUUUGGAGUGACUCUAAGAUUUUCAAGGAAAAGAAUCUAAAAAUAAAUAAACUAUUGCCCACGCGAACAAAUGCGGGGCUUACUAGUGUAGACACCUAAUUUUGUCCCUCUCGAAGUUGAAUGUUAUAUAUUUUUAGCUCAUCUUACCACAUAUCCUAACCCAUUCUACACUUUCCCCAUAAGAAAAUAAAUACAACAAAUCCUAACAAAUUAAAUUCACAAUCCCAAAAUAUUCCCUUAUCAUAACCAACCCAUCCAACUCACCAUCCCAUACUCCCCUAGCACCUACCUACCCACGUGACCCCUCCCCAAAAUGUUUUCUUCCACUUAAGAGAGAAUAAUAUACACACAGCUGGACAACUAUACACACACAAAUCAUUCUUCCAUUUAGGCCAAAUCCAUCGAUAGCCCCUCAAACUUGUCCCUAAAAUUCACUUAGGCCCCUAAACUAACACUUGUACCUAUUAAACUCCUAAAUCCCCCAAUUUGGUUCCAAUUGAGCAUUUUUUGCCCUAAUGGCACUACGCGUGCAGUGCACUUCGGGAAGCGGGUGAGGUACUUUUUUUUUAUUAAAUUAUGAAUAAAAAUGUGCCAAGUGGCACUAAGGGCCCCAAAAAAAUUAAUUAAAAAAUUUAUAUUUAAAUUAUUUUAUUAAUAUAAUUUUUAAUUAUUAUAAUUUUUUAUUUCUUUUUUAUAAAAAAAAGCACCCCCACCCCAUUCAUUGUCGUCUUUAUCACUCCUACCCCCAGAUCAUCGUCAACCCCCACCCCCCUUCCCGUCAUCGUCGUCUCCUUCUCCAAGUUUGAAACCCAAAUGUUGAAUCAAGGAUGUCCUUUUCUUUUUCGUCAUACCACCACAAUAAAAAUUACUCUUCUUUAUGUUUGCUAUGAUUCGUCAUCGUUUCAACCUCCCCCACUCCCGCGUCUUCGCCGUCGCCCCCUCCCCCCACCUCACAUCUUCAUAUGAACAAAUUCUUUUUAAUCAACCAUAAUUAUUUUCAUUUCUUGAAAAAUUUCAACAAGAGUCACUUUUUAUCCUCCAUUAGUAGCAUCAUUUCUUGAAAAAUUACAAUAAAUUUCAAUAAAGAUCACUUUUAUCACCAUUUUUUUCCUCCACAAGAAAGAUUACUUUUUUUCCAUUAAUAUCACCAUUUUAUGAAAAAUUUCAAUAAAAAUUAUUUUUUUUAUAAACCCCUUUUGGAUUCUUGAAAUAGAUUUAAACAAAAAUUUUAUGUGUGUAUUUUUUAGGAUCAUGGCGAAGCAAGAUUCACUUUAAUGGAGAAGAAGAGGAAGAAGGGUAUGAUUAAGCUGGGGAAUGUGGGGGCUGGGCUGGGGAAGGUGGGGGUUUCUAAAAGAUUUUAUAAUUUCUUUUUAAUAAUUAGUUUUUAAUUUUUAUUUAUAAAUAAUUUUAUAAUUAUUUUUUAAUAAUUUGGAUCCUCAAUGCCAUUUUUUAUUUUCAUUUUUAAAAAAAAUUUAUAAUAUCUUUUUAAUAAUCAGAUUUUUAUUUUUAUUUUAUAAAUAAUUUUAUAAUCUAUUUUUAAUAAUCAUUUUUUUAUUUUUAUCUUUUAAAUAAUUUUAUAAUUAUUUUUUAAUAAUUUAAAUCCUCAAUGCAAUUUUUUAUUUUUAUUUUUUUAAAAUUUCAUGAUUUCUUUUAAAUAAUAAGUUUUUUUUUAUUAAUCAGUUUUUUAUUUUUAUUUUUAAAAUAAUUUUAUAAUUAUUUUUUAAUAAUUGGAAUCCUCAAUGCUAUUUUUAUUUUUAUUUUUUAAAUAAUUUUAUAAUUAUUUUUGAAUAAUUUGGAUCCUCAAUGCUAUUUUUUAUUUUUAUUUUUUUAAAUCUUAUAAUUUCUUUUUAAUAAUCGCUUUGUUAUUUUAAUGUUUUAAAUAAUUUUAUAAUUAUUUUUUAAUAAUUUGGAUCCUCAAUGCCAUUUUUUAUUUUCAUUUUUUAAAAUUUUUUAUAAUUUCUUUUUAAUAAACAGUUUUUUAUUUUUUUUUUUUAUUUUUAUUUUUAAAUAAUUAUAUAUUUAAUUUUUAAUAAUUAUCGAACCCACAAUGCCACGUGACAGCUUUCAAUUAGCCCCUUUUGCCACAUCAGUGCGUGUAUAACACACACUUUGAGUUUUUAGCUGAUUGACAAAAAAAUGUCCAAUUGGAACCAAAUUAAGGGUUUCGAGGUUUAAUAGGCAUAAACCUUACUUUACAGGUCUAAGUGAAUUUUAGGGAUAAGUUUGUGGAACUAUGAUAGGUUUGACCUUCUAUUAUAUGCAAUAGACAUACAUAUUCUAGAGGGGCCCACGGGAUACAAAGCCACUCACAUAUAGAGACCCACUUCAUCAUCUUUAUCACAGACCUCACGAUACACUCAGCUCACCAUUUUUUUCUUUUCUCCAUACGCACACCCACACACUCUACAUACAAAUACACAACACACACAAUAAUCUCACAAUCACACUCCUCCAUCACUCACACAACAACAACAACACACAGUAAAAAAAUGCACACACACACAUGAUACACCCAAUCGACGGAAUACACACGCCGAGAGAGAAAUCGAGAGGGAGAUUGAGACAGAUCCAAAAAAGAGAGAGUGAAAAUAAGGAGAGAGAGAGAGAACUGAAGAGGUAGACCGUUCCGGCGAUUCGUCGCCGGAAAAACAUCAUCUUUUUUCCAAAAUUUGAUCUGACUUUUCUUCUGCUUUUCAUUCCUUCUGGGCUCGUCGGAGUUCCAUCAGCUCCGUCAUAUUCCGGCAAAAUCACUGAACCAGCCGCACUGCCAGUCCGAUUUUCUCUAAAUUCUGGCAAGCCAUUUCCUUCCCGUCACUGCCUGAUCUCACCGGAGCUCCGGUGAGUGGCGAAGCAUCGGAAGAAAACAGGGGGGUCGUCUUUGGAAUUUCGAGUUCGAGCUUCGUCCGUGAUUAAUUAAUUGGUGAUUAAUUAAUUGGUUUCAGGCUCCCGUCGUAGUUGAAAUCAGUUUAAUUAGUCGAAUAAAAUCCCCAAUUUAAGGUGCAUCUCUUUAUCUCAUUCUUAUCCUUAGUUAAUUUUUAUUGUUGUGUGUGGUUGAUUGCUAUUGUCUCAACUUUUUUUUUUAUCUUAUGCGUGAUGUGAAUGAUGAAUGUCGAAUGAUAUUGAUUGUGGAUUGCUGAAAUAUUUUGUUGAUUUGUUAUGUUGGAACAAUGGUUGAGAAUGAUUUGGGAUGGGAAUUGAAAGUUAAUGAAGUAAAUAAAAUCGAUUGUUUGAUUUGAAAUGGAUAUUAAUGUCGAUUGAAUUCGGGUUAAUUUUGAUCCAUUGGUGAUGUUAACGUGAUAGAAUCAUGAUAUGCCAAGUCGGGUAGGCAAAUAGUAGGUUCGGGUAGGCAAAUUUAAAACUUGUGGAUUGUUGAAUGUUGAAUGGUGUUAUUUUAUGAAUUUGAUUCAAGUGUAUUCAUUUGACUGGGGAAUGCCCCGAGGUUUCAUGUACUUAUUCACCUGGGAAUGCCCCAAUGUAUCAUGUACGCAAAGGAUGUUCGUGAUGAAGGCUCAAGGCAUCGGGUAAAGCAUUGGAGCCCAGUCUAGGAUUUGUUUAGAAUAGAGUAGGUUUACAUUUCCACAUUUUUUUAUUUUGGACUGUAUAAUUGGACUGGACACUACAUUUUUGGGAUUUGUUUUGUUUUGUUUGUUUGAUUGAUUGUUUGUUUGUUUUUGUGUGGUUUAUAUAUUUAUGGUGUCAAAUUAGCCGAUAUGCUCCACCAAGACAUCGUGGUAGAACCACGGGACCGAGGGGUGUCUAACACCUUCCCCUCGGUCAACAGAAUUCCUUAGUCGAAAUUUCUAUUCGUGGAUCAGUUUUAUAGAAUCAAAAUCAUUUUGAAAAAGGAUUUCCAAAGGUGACUUGCACACCCGAUUAUGCCAAGUCGAGACUCUGAGUUUUAAUGUAAAUAAUCCUUUUUGAAAUAAAUUUUCAUUUUUGUCACUUUAAUAAUAAAACCCUUUCAAACUUAAAAUCUAAUCUUUUUAGUUAGAAAAGGGUUGUGACAACCAGGAAUAUGCCACUUGAAUCCUCUAGCUAACAAAAUCCCCAUCGUCACGUGCAGUUUUUGUAAAAAUAAUAGCGAGGAGUGAGAUGAUAGCUCAGUGAGUAAUGACACUUAGCCAUAACCGUUUUAUUGGGACAAGUCAUAAAACAUCAUGCAAUAAAUGCUCUUUCAGAAAACAACAACAAUAAACAAUAUUAUUCGCUUCAUGUAAGCAAAAUGAAUCAGCAAUUCAAUAAUAAACUCAAUAAGCAUCAUAUCAUAUCAAUUAUUACAUAUUUGGGAGGUUUUCAAGAAUGAAUCAUGUAAUUAGUAUGGUAAUCUAAUUCAAGAAUUGUCAAUAAUAGUGGAUCCCUCAUAAAGUAAUAAAAUAUCAUAUCAGUAGGUCCCUACUCGAGGGAGAUCAGUAACAGUAUGCUAGUUCUACCUUUCCACUAGCGAAGGCUGUAAAAGUAAUCAAUGAAUACAAAGUGUAUCGGGUCUAAUGAUCCCGCCGUUAGUUACGGAAUUCAAAUCAAGGUCUACUCCCAUUUAUACUUGUAAACAAUAGAUUAGAUAUUCAUAUGAAGGCAUUUUUCAGAAUAAAAUAUAGCUUUAAAGUUUAUAUCAAAUCAUUUUAUAUGUAAAUUUGAAUGAACUCAUGCAAAAAAUAAUACUUAUUUUCUCAUGUAAGUGAAGAACUCUCGUAACAUAAGUGGUCAUAUCUCAAGUAACGAUAAAUAUGUCUUAUGAACAUCUCAAAUACUCAAUUUUAGUAUCAUAUUAAGUAAAAGACUUGCUCUACAUGCAAUUUCAAAGCAUUCAGUAAUUCUUGUUUCAUCAAAAUCAUGUGUAAAAUAUGUUCAUGUGUAAAAUAUGCUAAGUUAAGAAACACAAAUCAUGGGAAAAGUUACCACGUACAGUACAAUUGCCGAAAUACCGAACUCGUCACCUCGAGCAAUUAGCAUGACUUCCUUCGAUCAAUCUAUAAUCACAUCUUAUCAAUCUUGUGUCAAUUCUCUUAUUUAAGCAAAACUCAUAACUAAUUCAGGACACCCAUCACUCCGACUUAGUUUGAGUCUGGAUUAGUUAAAUUAUACUUAUCCACGCUCAUAGUAACUCAAUUAGUCCACAAUCCAUCAUUUUAGCUUAUUCUUCAAAUUAUUUACCAAAAAACAUAAUUUCGUACCUAAAAAACAUAUUAAAGUAACUUUACUGUUCAUCAUACUUUAAUUUUUGGUAGAUAUAAAAAUCAUUUAUGAAUAUGACUUUUUGAUAAAUUUAAAUAUAAGCAAAUAAUAACAACCACUGAGCAAUCCAUAGUUUUAAAUGCUAACGAGCAGACUAUAAAAUUACUGAAUAAAUGAGAUAUUGAUAUGUUUAAAAAUUAGUAUAAUUUUAUGCAUAUUAGUUUAGUGCAAAUUUCUUUUAAACCUUUAACUUUGAAGGGUCUUCCAGAAACAUUUCUAACUGCACUGCGCGAUGUUAGAAAUUUAAAUUUCAAAUAGUCUUUAAUGGGAUCUAUUGAAUCUACUCUUGCAUAUGGUCCUGUAUAUUUUAACACUCAGCCAAAUUUACAAUUAUCUUUGACUGAUGUGCUUUGACUUUAAAUGUAAAAAUCCAUGAUUAUAAUUAUGCGCCUGGAUCUGAACUAAUAUGUUUAUCCUAUCGCAUUUAUUAUAGAUUCUUAGCUACAAUGAAUCCUCGAUGUAAACUGAUUGAUAAUACUUUUGAUUAUACUAUGCUUAUUGAAACACUACCAGGAGACCUAUAAGAUGGGAUGAGAUUAAUUUCUCAACAACAUGGAUUUUAAACUCAGUCAUUUCUCCAAAAUAACUUACGGAGGAUGUGACAAACUCAGAGUUAACUCAUGUAACUCAAAAUACUGACGGAAGAAUCUGUCUUCAAUAUGAUGAUAAUUCUACCGUUUACAAUCGAAAUUCUUUUUCUAUGCCUAGAAUAUUGCCUGCUAUGCAUCACAUCUCUCCAGCUGAACCAGUAUAUGGUCCAGCUAGAAAUCGUGCUACAUCAUUACAUACUUUAAGUUCUGCAGAUUUGUAUACUCCACUUAGAAGUAUUGAAAAGAUUAAAAUCAAUCCUAAAACAAAUAUAGUUCAAGAUAAUGAUAAUGUCCCUGAUAAAGAUAACCUCACUCCUUUUGAAAUGGAGUUUGAUGUUAAUUCUUGUUAAACCGUGAUUCCACAUCUAAUUGAUUUUAGUCUUGGUUCACAGUCAAAAAAUUAUAUUUAAAAGGAAUUUUUUGGCGAAAAGUGAAAAAUGUUUAGGACAUGAUUUUUUGAAACUUAUGGUCCUGAUGAAAUGAAAAAUAUUUCUGAAGAAUUCUAUGAAAUGUGUGCAUUAAAUAAUCGAAUUAAUUGUUUUGUGCCAUUAUUUAUAUCUGUAUACCUGCCUUUAUAUGUAAAAAUUAUUGAAAGAUCAUACCAAAAUUCAAAUGGUACUAUUACUCAGACUAUUUACCCUCCUCAAUCAUCUUUUAUACUUUCUAAUAAUACUGGUAUAACUUUUUCUGCUUUUCAAAAAUUCGUUGAUAAUGAAGUUAGAAAAAUCACUAUUUUUAAAAUAAAUAGUUUAAUUGCUCAAAAUAAUUAUUUGAGUUUGUAUGUAAAAGUUCUUGGAGAACAUAUUUCUUCUCUUGAUAAAAAACUUAAUACUGACAACUUUGAUUAAGCAGCUAAGUGAUAGUCAAAAGGCAUCUGAUAUUGCUUCCACUUCGGAAAGCAAAAAAGAAGAUUUGACAGCUGAGCCUCAUAUUCAAAGAUCUCCUGAUAUUCAAGGAUUUGGAAAGCCCUCUGAUUUAGAAGAGCUUGAAAAAUUAUUUGAAAAGAAAUUUUCUAGUUUAAACAUAAAGCCCAUAGAUCUGUCUAAUACUUUUGCUGAUAACCUUGAGUCUACUCCGAUUACGGACAUAGGUACUGAAAUCCACUCAGGGUUAAAUAAACUCAGAGGUUUGGUAAGAAAACAACAGGGAGAAAAAAAUGUUGAUGUUCCUCGUAUGCAAACUACUUAUUAUCCAAGACUAACUCCUCAAGAUGUUCUGAUAGAGGAAAGAGAUUGGUACUUGACAAACACGUCUUAUAGUGGAGAUCAUAUUUAUGAAUGAAAUGUAGAUGGAUUAUCAGAAAGACAAUUAUCUAUUUUAGUCCAUCGUAUGUUAAUGUAUUCUACUUUUUCCAAAGUCACUAGCCCUAAAGAUAGUGAGGGCAAUCUUGUUCGAACAGAUGCCACCAUUUAUAAAAUGAUUGUUGCAGGUUUUACUGGCCAACUUCGUGGCUGGUGGGACAACUUUCUUUCCAACGACGAAAGAAACAAAAUUUUUAAGGCUAAGAAUAUGCUGCCUAGAAUUGAUAACCUAGGUAGACAACUACCAGAAGGUAGAGAAGAUGCUGUCUAUACCCUUAUGCUCACUAUUAUUCAAUAAUUUUGGGGUAGAUUUACCAACCAACAUGAAAAUACUCAUACCUUCUGAAAUGACCUUAGAUGUAAACAUUUAGGAGAAUUCAGAUGGUACAAGGAUACUUUCAUUAGUAGAGUUAUGGAUCUGCCCGAAUCCAGGCUAGAACAUUGGAAGGCUAGAUUCAAUGAUGGACAUCCUCCUCUUUUUGCAAAAAGGGUUAAAAAAAUCAAUUAAGGGACAAUAUGGUGCAAUCCCUUGGACAGACUUUACUUAUGGUCAGGUUAUUGCAGCCUGUUCUCAAGAAGGCCUCAAUCUUUGUAAUGAAUUGAAAUUGUCUAGACAAAUUAAGUUGGAUAGGCUUAAAGAAAAAACCCAAUUAGGGAAUUUUUGUGGAUAAUUUUGUAUGGAAAAUCCUGCUUCUACUUCUAAGAAAAAGAGCCAUAGAUAUGUUGUUGUUAGAACUAAUUACCCUGAUAAGACCUAUAGAAUAAAGAGAAAAUCUAGACAUAGAUCCAAAGAAGAGCGUGAAGCCAGAAAAAUCCAUCGUAGGUCUACUAGAUUUACAAAAAAUAGGUAUAAGAGAGAUUUAACAAAAAUCAAGUGUUAUAAUUGUGGUCAAUUUGGUCAAAAGCAAGAUCUUGUCAGGCAGGGGUAAGCCGCUGUGCCUGCCAAACUAACUUCCAAAUAUCAGAUUUAGCCAUAGUCGGAAGACCGAAUCAAAGCACCAACUGAAAUAUAAAAGAAUUUUCAAAUAGCUUAAUAACUGUAUGAAAGAAUUAAUCUUUUUACCCAAACAAGGGGCCUGUUAGAUUUUUAAUAUACUUAUGUUGAACCCAUGUGUCUAGAAGUUCUGACUGUGCAAAAGGUCGCCCUAUUUUUCUUCAUCUUUCACGGGCUAAAGAGGCACAACUUACUAGACGUAGUCACUAAGACAAAGCCAACAUAAGUCAUAUUAAACUCGACUGUACCACCAUUUCGGAACCAAGUUAAGAAACUAUAGAAAAUUCCUUCAUAUUUUGAUAGAGUCUGGAUCUUUCAUAGUAACCUAGUAAACGAAGUUAGAUCUUCAACAUAGGUAUGAGAAGCCUUUUAGCUGGACAUAGUCACGACUGAAAGGGAAGAAGUAGUAUUAAAAGUACGUCAGAAGAGAAAGAAUAAGUACCUUAAAUUUGGCCGGAUGCAAGGUCGAAAUAGUGAUUAACGACGACUAUUUGCGUUCUUUUAUUUCAACCUUCAAAUAAUAUACAAAUGAAAGAAGAGAUAAGGAGGAGCACUAGGCUUAGAGAGAGAAAAGAAAAAUAAAUUUUCUAACUUGUACCUCCCUAACAAAUGAGGUACCUAUAUAUAGAAAAGAAAACAUCUGCACAUAGUACUUAUGAAUCCCACAUCCGAGUCCCUGUGCAUAGUAUUUUCACUGUUCUAAAAGGUCCCACAUAGUAAAUAUAGUUUUUGGGUCCUUUAGGUCAUAUCUUGUCUUUUCCUCUUUUGAGUUGGCGAAGCAAUUCUUUCAUUUUUUCAAUUUCUUCUUUAUCUAGAACAUUUUCAGGAGUAAGUGGCUGGGAAUCUGGAAUAUCUUCGAUCAUUUCUUCACUUGUAAUGCUUUUCAUGGAAACAUCUGAGUGUUGUUCGACUGUUUUAAUUAAAUUUCUGCGAACCUCUUCCAAAUAUUGUUCAAUCAUUUCUAUUUUAUCUACUUCAUGAAUAGAAAUUCGUCUGGAAAUGUAGCUGAGAUUUUUAUCCUCAAUGACUUUAUUUUGAGGAGUAGAGUAUUCAUGUAUAUUUUUAUUAAUGAACUCUAUUAGAUCUUGCCCAUGCGGUAAUUUAGUGAAAGGGUCUUUUCUUGUCAGUUUUUCCAAGAAAUUGUUAUAAAAUACCCUAUAGAUCCCAGGUAUUUGUUCUUUUGAGUAUCCAAAUUCAAAACUCCAUUUAUGUAUCCAUGGGAUGGAGAAUUCUAUAAAGAAAUACAUCUGAUCAAUUUUGUCAAGCUUACAGACAUGAUCUGAAUGAUGUAAUUCCCUUAAAAAUGGUGAUACCUUGAUCCAUUUUUUAUAGAGUUGUAAAUAUUCUUUUGGUAGAAUUUGAAUUGUAGGGUCAUGAUAUGACCACCAUUGUAUAAACCAAUUAGGAAUGGUUCUUCAAAUACUUUAGAACAAAUUUUCAAGAACCAAGUAUGCUUAUGCUUGAUAUUGUUAUAAUAUAAGGUCUGGGUAAAAGCCUUAAUAUAGUCCCAAUAUGUAAAAGAGAUUUUUGAUCCUUUCAUCAUCAUAGCCUUUUCGGUCAUAGUAGUUGUGCCCCAGUCAUAUAUUGAAAUUAAUUUUUUAAUAACAAUCUUUGAAUAUCCGUGUACAUCUGGGGUUGAAUCACCUAUUUGGUGAUGUUCCAAUUCUACACUCCCAGUGGACUGCAAUAUCAUUUCAUAAAAUGCUCUUUUUUGUAUGACUCCCCUGCAAAAUAAAGGUUAGCCAAUAAAUAUUUAUGGAGGAGUUUCCAGGGAUCAUUUUGUUUGCAUAUUUCAGAGUUUUCUACGAGAACUAUAAGCUCUCGAUUGUCUAGCUUUUCAUAUUGUUGCCUAUCAGCAGAAUUUUCUUUAGCAAUUGAAGCAAACGAAUCGACUUGCUUUGCAUUUAUAAAAGACUGUAAUUGCUCAUAUCAAGGAUGAUCCUUCGGAAUGUCGUCUAGAUAGAUUAAAUGCUUAUAUGUUGAGUUUUUUCAUUUUGUGAAGAAGAUUAUGCAAUCUGCGAAAUCCUUGCAUUUAUUAAGCUCAUAUUUUUCCUUUGUAAUAUUAGAAAAUUAGAUGAAGAUGAGGCAUAAGAUGAUGAAGGGGAGAAUUUCCCCCCUAGGAGGAGCAUCUUCCUCCUUGGAUUCUGUCUCUGCCUCGGUCUAUGGCUAUCUGCCAGGGUGGAUCCGUAGUCAUACUGCAUAAAAAGAUUAGUUACAUAAAUCAAUAUCAUACCAAUCAAUUUCAUCGCGUAUAUUUUUAAAAUUAGGAAGAAAUAAGUCUUCCUCUAUUAUGUCAUGAAUGAUUUUUUCUAAUAUAAUAAAAUACAUAUCUUCAUUUAGAGGAAUGCAUUUGAUAAUAGUAAUUAUUAUUUUUCAGAAAGAAAGUAUGUGUAAAAAUUCAUUUAAUCAUUUAAAUAUUCUCUAGACAAGAAAUCAGGUAAAGAGUUUUCACUCCCUUCCUUGUACUGUAUUUCAAAAUCAAAAGGGGCUAAUUGAGUUUGCAAUUAACUUAGAAGCAUCAUGUUUAAAAUCUUUAUCAAACAUAUAUUUAACUGAUUGAGCAUUAGUCCUAACUAUAAAUUUCUGAUUAUAUAAAUCAUCAUGGAAUUCUGUAAAUCAGCAUCGAAGUGCUUAUAUAUUGAGUUUUUCAUCUUUUGAAGAAGAUUCUGCAAUCUGCGGAAUCCUUGCAUUUAUCAAGCUCAUAUUCCCCCUUUGUAAUACUGAAAAAUUAGAUGAAGAUGAGGCGUAAGAUGAUGAAGAGGAGUAUCUUCCCCAGAGAAAGAGCUUUCUCCUUAGUUUCUGCCUCUGCCUCGACCUCUGGCUAUUUGCCAGGAUGGAUUCGUAGUCAUACUGCAUAAAAAGAUUAGUCAUAUAAAUCAAUAUCAUAUCAAUCAAUUUCAACGUGUAUAUCUUCAAAAUUAGGAAGAAAUAAGUCUUCUUUUAUCAUGUCAUGAAUGAUUUUUUCUAAUAUAAUAAAUUGAAUACCUUAAUUUAGAGAAAUGCAUUUGAUAAUAGUAAUUAUUAUUUUUUCAGAAAGAAAGUAUGUAUAAAAAUUAAUUUAAUCAUUUAAAUAUUCUCUAGACAAGAAAUCAGGUAAAGAAUUUUCACUCCCUUUCUUAUACUGUCUUAGAAAAUCAAAAGGGGCUAAAUGGGUUUUCCACCUUGCAAAGAUUAAUUUAGAAGCAUCAUGUUUAAAAUCUUUAUCAAACAUAUAUUUAUCUGAUUGAGCAUCAGUCCUAGCUAUAAAUUUCUGAUUAUAUAAAUCAUUUUGGAAUUUUGAAAUACACUUAACAAUAGUCAACGUUUCAUGAGCCACAAUGGCGUAUUUUUCUGACUUUCAGAUCAUUUUUCAGAAUGAAACCUAAUGAGACAUUCAAUAUUAUUAUGGGAAUUUACUUGUUUAACUAUUCCACCAUAACCAACAUUCGAAGCCUCAGUCUCAACUAUUUUUAACCAAGCAGGAUUAGCUAAGGUUAAACAAGGUAAAGACUCAACACAUUUUUUAAUCAUGUUUACCAGAUAAGUGUGAGUAUUAGUCCAAGGUCCUUUGUAAUUCUUUUUUAGCCUAUCAUAUAAAGGGGCUAAAUAACGAGAUAUAUUUCGAUAAAAAGGAGAAAUGUAAUUAAGACUGCCUAAGAACCUUUGCAAUUGAGUUUUAUUAGUCAUCGGGAAAUUUUUUAGCAAAGUCCAUAGCCCUUUGUAUGGGUACGAUUUUUCCUUUGCAAAUAUUAUGUCCUAAAAAUCGAACAUUAGUUUGAAAUAAGCACAUUUUUUAUUUAGAAAUGACCAAACUAUUUUGUAACACAAUUUGCUUGAAUAUAUUCAGAUGUUAAAAUGCAAUUCUAAUGUUUUUGAAAAUACAAGAAUGUCAUCAAUAUAAACAAUUAUAAAAUUCAUAUAUAGAUUGAAUAUAUCAUUCAUGAUAUUUUGAAAUUCAGAAGGAGCAUUUUUCAGACCAAACGGCAUUACAUUCCACUCAUAUUAUUCAAAAGGAACAUUAAAAGCAGUUCUAUAUGUGUGCUCUUUAAAAGUCUGAAUUUGCCCAUUACCAGAUUUUAAAUCAAAAUUUGAAAAUAUAUUAGUAUCAUAUAAUCUAGAUAUCAAAUCCCUUUUAUUAGGUAUUGGAUACCUAAUCCAUUUCAAAACUUUAUUAAGAGGUUUAUAAUUAAUUACAAGUCUAGGCAUACCACGUUGUUUUUCAGCAUCAUUAUUAACAUAAAAUGCAGUAAAUGACCGAAAUUUUGAAGGUUUUAUACACUACUAAAAAUAAGAGAAAAAGCGACCACAAAAACCGACCACAAGUGGUCGGUUUUUUCCUAUUUUCGACUAAAAAAUUGACCAAAAUUUUUGGUUGGAAAAGUAGUGGUAGCUUUUUAAAAAUCGACCACAAGUGGUCGUUUUUUUUCAUUUUUAAAAUUCAUUAUUAUUUUAUUUAAAUUGAAAAAAUAAUUUUAGGGAAAAAAAUCGACCACAGGUGGUUGGUUUUCUAUUAAAUUAAUUUAAUCAAAAACUGACCACUUGUGGUUGGUUUUUAAUUAAAUUAAUAAAUUAAUUUAAUAGAAAAUCGACCACAUGAGGUCGGAUUUUUAUUAAAUUAAUUAAUUAAUAUAAUUAAAAACCAACCACAAGUGGUCAUUUUUGAAUAAAUUAUUUAAUUAAAUUAAUAAAUUAAUUUAAUAGAAAACCGACCACCUGUGGUCGGAUUUUUAUUAAAUUAAUUAAUUAAUAUAAUUAAAAACCGACCACAAGUGGUCAGUUUUUGAAUAAAUUAAUUAAUUAAUUUAAUUUAAAACCGACCACCUGUGGUCGGUUUUUAUUAAAUUUAAUAAAUUAAUUUUAAUAAAAAUCGACCACUUGUGAUUGAUUUUCUGGAAAUAGUCCAAAAACUGACCACGUGUGGUCGGUUUUCUUAUUAUGUCCAAAAAUCAACCACUUGUGGUCGGUUUUCUGCAAAAUAAGUCCAAAAAUCGACCACAACAACAACAACAAUAACAAUAUACAACAAUAUCCAAAAUGAAAAUACAACAACAACAACAAAAAUCUAAAUGAGUACGAAAAAACUACAACCAUAGUUUCAAACAACAAAAUGUCAAAAACAUACAAAAAUCCAAACUAACAGUCAACAUCAUCGAAUUCGUGCUCCUCUUCCAUGUCCUCAUCCGUGCUGAAAUCAUCGAGGGGGCGUAGAUCUUUUGCAGCCCGAACUGCAUCACCAGGACACGGAGGAAUAACCCCUGCAGUCUAAAUGAAAGAACUGAACUGCUGCUGCAGCUUCCCGAAUUGUGAUGUUGUUGCCUUCUCCGCCUUUUCUUCCUCUCUCUCUAUUCAGCAAGCUCUUCAUGAGUUGAGAAAUCAUAUUUUGUAGUCUUUCAAUGGUUUCUGUAUCAACCGAAGAGCUAGAGUAUGCAGGGCUAGACGAACUCCUAAUACUAUCGCCAAAAUAUUUUAUGGGGCAUCUGUAGAAAUUGCCUCUAUUUGCAGGACCCGAAGCUUGUUUCAAUAACUCAUUCCGUACAUGAUCGGGUAUUGGGUCACCUUGACUUUCAGGAGGAUGACUACUACGAUACUCACCAACAAGACGCCUAAAUUCGUCCUAUAUUCAAAAUAAAGUUAAUACUAACAGACAAAAAAAAUACUAAAGUAGUUAUAAUUGAAUAAUACCAACUUUGAGAAAAAUAUUUAUAAAUUCAAAAUUUGUUUCUUACGUGGAUAACUUUUGCACGAGGUUCAACCCAGACAUCUUCAUCAGUCGGGUUCUUUUUCUUUUUCAGAUGAGUCUCCUCGAAAAUCUCAUCAUUUGGUAGUUCUCUACCCCUUUUUUUUCCUGUAUAUGAAAAAAAUAACAGUGUUCAAAUAAUUAAAAAAUUCAAAUAGAAAGGAAGAAUUAAAACUGUAAAAGUUACAUACCAAUUCUUCCUUCACAGCAAAAGUACUUUUGACACCCGCAGUAUGCAGGGAGCCACCCUUGGAUGAUGCCCGAUCUCUCUUUCCUUUUUCCCUCAACAAUUGGUAUUCUGGGCUAUUCCAGUGGCGUUGAUACAACGACCAUAAAGGGAAUCCACUUAGGUUUUACCAAUUUCUUUUGGGCAUAGUCCAACAGAUCGUUAAAUCUGGUUCUACAUCUUCUGAAAAAGUUCUUCUUUACAAGAAAUUGAUUUGCAUCAUCCCAGAAGUAAAAUUUCUACAACCAAAAUAUAAUAUUCAAUCUUGUGUUCUAACAAAUUGUUAAUAAGUAGUCGAUAAGUUAAAUCCUUACCUUAAAUUCUUCAAACAUUCUCUCCCUGACAAGUUAUGGAACUAUUUGCCAGCUAGUCCAGUAGCCGUUGAAGUGCCGACUAAUACAUAUUCGUGCAAUUUGUCCAACUCCAGCAUCCGGCCUAAACCUACAACACAAAAUCAAACAGUAAUUUCAUAGAGAACAAUAAAAUAGUAUUGAAAAAAUGAGUAACGCUAUUAUAUUUAGAAAUGUUACCCUCUAGCAACUGGAACAAUAUAAAUCCUCCCAGAAUCUAUGUCUCCUGGCUGCCUAGUAAGUGACGGUGGAUGCACUGGCAUCGGCGGAUCUGAAGCACCAGAUGGAGGGCCUCCAAGCUGAAGAUCCGACAACCCAAUAGAUCCAGCAGAAUCACUAUGCGAAACUGCGUGACUGCUUUAGGAGGGUAUCAAUGAUGGUAGAUGUCUGGAGGGGGCAGCGGCUGUCCGAUAGUACUGGGCUGGCGGUGGCACGGUCAUAGGAGCAGAAUGGGUUGGUGUAGACCCAUGUAGUGGCCCCACAUGCAUAGGAUUCGGUAUCGAAUCCCCGGACUACCUAGAAUAUGAGGGUCGUGAUGGCCCAUCAGCACACUGACCCUCAGAUAUGUGAAUACCGGUCGGUCGUCUAUAAGGAGGAGGUUGUUUUUUCUUUUUUGGUUGUGUAGUAUCAACCCUUCCCUUACCUCUGUCAUCUCUAUCCGACAUCUAAAUUAUGUUAAGUUAACAAGUAGUUAGUUGGUACAACAUGAAUAUAUAUAUAAGAAAACAUUCUAAGUAAGUACUUUCAAGUUACUAAUUCACAUUUCAAAUCGCUCCAACAACACGAGAUAUAGACAAGAAUAUUUUUAGGAGUAUAUAAAUCAUGGAAAAUAAAAAAAACAAACUUAAACAGUAUAUUACAUAUCAAUCUUAAACAAUAAACAUAAAGGUAAAGAUAUAGUACAAAGCAUAAAGACAUCAAUACAUAAUAAAUAUAGCCUACACAACUAAUCCUCCUCUUCUGAAGACUCUCCACUAAACCAUUUACCCUCUUCAGAGGUUUCCUCAUCUCUUAACCACUCAGCCUCUUCUUCUCCAAUAUUAACUUCUUCAAAAAUAUUUUCGGGGUGAUUCAAACCGUCCACUAAUUCAAUGUCCACUAGCUGGUGAUUAAUCUGCAUUUCAUUUUGAUACGUAGUCUCCAGCACAUUCUCAACUUCCACCCGGCCUAUAGGCUUUGUUUUGAUUACUGUCACACCCCUUUUUUACUUCCAAAAGAAUAGAUUUUUAAGUUUGAAAAGGGUUUUUAUUAUCAAGUGACAAAAGAAGAAUUUGUUCCAAAAAGGACUUUUAACAAUAAAAAUCAGAGUCGCCACUUGGCGUAAUUCGGUGUGCCAAGUCACUUUUGGAAAAUCCUUUUCAAAAUGAUUUGACUCUUUAAAAUUGGUUUGGAAACAGAGGUUUCGGCUAAGGAAUUCUGUUGACCAAGGGGAAGGUGUUAGGCACCCAUCGAUCCCGUGGUUCGACCAUGGUCUCUUGGUAGAGCGUAUCGGCUAAUCUUGAAACUAUAAAAUGUACAAACCACAUAAACAUACAAAACAAGCAAACAAACAAAUCACACAAAAUUAAAAAAAAACAAAAUAAUGUUCAGUCCAAAUUAUACAGUCCAAAAUAAAAGAGGUGCUAAAAAUAUAAAACCUAUUCUAUUCUAAACUAAUCCUAAGCAAAACUCCACUGAAUGUUCCGAGCCUUGAUUACGAGCCUCCUUAGCAUACAUGCUACUUCGGGGCAUUCCCCGGAUAAAUCGAUAAAAAUCCUUCGGGGCAUUUUACGAUCAAAUGAGUACAAUUUAAACUUUUUGUGCGAUAAAGUAGAACGAACCAUUCACGCGCAUAUUCAAACAUUCCAACAAAUCGUUAUUCCUAAAUUUUCCUACCCAAGUUCAACAUAUCACAAUUCCAUCACGUUCAACAUUAUCAAUACAUCAAAAUUAAUCAAUAUUUAUUUUUGCAUUUCUAAUUCUCACCCCGAUUUCAUUUACCCCAAAACAAACUCAAGUUGUUCUCAACAGAACCAUUAAUUAAUUUCAAUAUAAAGUCAACGAAUCAAGUCACGCCGAUUGCAAGGAUUCACAUACAUUCAAAACACCACGAAAUCACAUCAUCAACUUUGGAAAUAUAACAAAAGAAAAGAGUUGAGAAUUGGACCUCAAGAGAUUCGGAUACUGAUUGAUAAUAACGAAUGAAUGAAGCUGAAACCCAAACUCUCAGAUGAGAAAAACCUCAACAACGUCUGAACCAACUCGUAAUUGAGCACCCACAACCCGAACGGAUACGAAUUCCAAACUAGUAAGAAACAACAAAAUAUCCGAAACAAGAAUUUUAAUGGACAUCUAAACUCGAACAUGAAACUCUAGAAAUCUGAACCAAAUAAGAAAUCGUCGACAACAGGGAAUCAACAAAACCUGAAUCAAAAUUGAUUAGACCCUUUUUAGGAGUAGCCAAAUCCAGUUGUAGUUUUCACUGGAAUUAAUGAAGAAAGUGAUUGUUUUCCAAUGGGUCAUUUUCGGAGAGAGACGGUGGAUUCCGGUGAGUCGUUCGCCGGAAAAGUUGAACCAGUCAGCUGGGGUAUCUUCAUUCUAAGUUUUCACACUUCUCACUCGAUUUCAGCUCACUCUUUCUCGUUGUUACAUCUUCCGCUCCGUUCCUCACCGUUUGUGAUCUCCGGUCACCCUCGAUCACUGUCCCUCAUGUCAUUCUGCUGAUAGCUCUCUCUCUAUUUCUCUUCUCUCCCUCAUGAUCUCUCUCUCAAUCUCUUUACUGUGUGUAUUUCCAGUGGUUGUGAGUGAGUGCGUGAAGACGAAAAUUAGUGAGGUUUGAGUAAUGUAAUGUGUAGUGAGGUCAGUGCUUGUGAGUUGAGUGUUUUUCUUGCUGGAAUGGAAAUUAUGUGUGUGUAAUUUAUUUUGUGAGGGAAAAGGUAAAGAGACAUGAUGAGUGUGUGCAGGGGUCCUUUUUGUUAAUUACGUGAGGUGUGUAUAUGAAGAAGAAGCCAAUAUGUCUUGUGUAAUGGUCAGAUUAUGAGUGAGAAUCCAUCCUCCCCUUUACAAAAAUGGCCUCUAUGUUUUUUUCAAUUGGAAAGAGAAAAAUGGAAUCUCGAAAUGGGACUCUUUCACGUGUUGCAUAUGGUAUGUGCCUCUUCUCUUUUUUUGUUGGAAUUCUGUAUAUAUGGAAUUGGCAAAAACAUGUAAAGAAAGCUAGGUAGGGGGAGGGGGUCGCAGGUAAUGGUAAGAGGGUGUGGGGGUGAUGAUGUGUUGUCAAAUUUUAAUAGGGAGGGUUGUUAAUUUGUUAUUCAGAGAAUCAUGAGGAUUAGGUUGGUUAGGCAUUUGUUAUUUUUUGUAUUUUUGUGGGGUAUAAUCACAUGGAUGAGGGUGUGUGGCAAGGUGAGUUAAAAUAAAUAAAAUUGGACUUGGGAGGGACAAAAUUAGGUGUCUACGACAAGUCCCCUUUGAAUGUAAACAUGAAGUGUUUUUGGACAAAGAAGUAGACAAUGAGAGAGAAUUUUGUCCCGACCAUUAUUAAAAGAAUGAAAUAGAAGGAAGGAGGGACACCUAGUCUUGACUUAGUACAUCCUACCUACCCAACUUAUAAGGGAAUCAAGUGACAGGUAUCUUAAAGAAUUGGAAGGAGAUGGACUAUACCGAGUUGGAGAGUUGAGUGAGGCCCCAUCGAGGUUUCGGUCGCGGCUUUGUCAUUACAUCAAAAAAUGAAAAAUUACAAGAGUUAAAAAGAAAAAUAAAAUUAUAAAAUUCCUAUCUAUGCAGCUUUUUUUGAACUCUUGACUUGAGUUUCAUCACCCUAUUCUUCAGGAGGGCUCCUGACUUGUAAUUUUUUAAUUUGUUACUUGACUUUCAAUUGUUUCACCUUGUUGAUUGACUUUCUAUUUAUUAGCCUUGUGCUUCGGCGGGCUCCAAUGUUGCUUGAGUUAUCAAAACAAGAAAGUGCAUCUCCUUACAAAUGCCGCUUGAAUUAUCCAAACAAGAAAGUACAUCUCCUUACAGAUGUUGCUUGAAUUACCAAAACAAAGAAAUGCAUCUCCUUACAAAUUCCGAUUGAAUUACCCAAACAAGGAAGUGCGUCUCCUUACAAAAUGCUGCUUGAAUUACCAAAACAAAGAAAUGCGUCUCCUUACAAAUGUUGCUAUAAAUACCCAAACAGGAAAGCGCGUCUCCUUACCAAUGCCUCUUGAAUUACCAAAACAAGGAAGUACAUCUCCUUACCAAUGCUGCUUGAAUUACCCGAACAAGGAAGUGCGUCUCCUUACAAAUGUUUCUUAAAUUGUCCAAACAAGGAAAUGCAUCUCCUAACAAAUGUCUCUUGAAUUACCCAAAUAAGGAAGUGCAUCUCCUUACUAUUAUCGCUUGAAUUACCCAAACAAGGAAGUGUGUCUCCUUACAAAUAUUACUUGGAUUACCCAAACAAGGAAGUGUAUCUCCUUACAAAUGUUGCUUGAAUUUCCUAAACAAGGAAGUGUGUCUCCUUACCAAUGUUGCUUGAAUUAACCAAACAAGAAAGUGCGUCUCCUUACAAAUGUUGCUUGAAUUAUCCAGACAAGGAAGUGCGUCUCCUCCCAAAUGUCACUUGAAUUUCCCAAACAAGGAGGUGCAUCUCCUCACAAAUACUGCUUGAAUUACCCAAACAAGGAAAUGCGUCUCCUUGAGAUAUUGGAUUAUGGGUUUUACCAUGGUUUUGAUUACUAAAUUUGUGAAGCAAUAUUGCAUCUUGAAUUUGCGGAAGUGAGGCAUUUCAACCUUUGAUAUUUAGACCCUGAAUUCCUUGAUUUGAAGAUAACAAGUAUUCCUGUUUCAUACAAAGAAAACUUAUGAGUUUUAAAAACAUGGUGGCUAGUUUGUGGCUUUGGCUUUUGUGGCAAUUGUUGUUGCCCUUGUCACAUUUAAUCUUACUUUCAACCAUUAGCAUAUGUCAUUGAAUCGCUGCAUCAUUGAUCAAAACUCAGAUUAUUAAGAGUGACUCUGAAACAAACACAGUAUUUCUGCUUUGCCAUGCUUCUCAGAUAAACCCUUUGAACAUUGAUAUUUCCAUAAGUUUCCAAACUUUUCUGUUGACAAAACUUUUAGCAUGCCUUAUUUUGGCUCACAAUCAUGUCUCUUUCAUGUGUUGGCCUUUUGUCUUGCUUUGUGCAAUUGAAGAAGCUGGUAGCUAGUUUUGAAAUCUUUUCUCACUUGUUUUGAUAUGGACUUGACUCAAAGACGAGAAAAAUGACAAUGACUUUUAUUUGAACAACUAACUUAAGAAAACAAAAUAAAAGUAAAGAGAAGAAAGAAAAGACAAUGAAUGUCCCUAUUUGAAAUAAAGAAAUGAAAAAUUUAUCUUGAAAUGACAGUCAACUCUAAUGAUUAUGCCAUGCUCUGAUCUUUCCAUCCAAACUUUCUACCAAUUUUUGUUGAGUUAAUGGCCUUAAAACUGAGUUGCUUCCUUAGGUCAAUUGCAUUUAAGACCUCAUUCGGCUAGUGACACCUUGAAGGGCUUUCGCCAACAAGCCUUUCUCAUUUUUCUCUCAGCUCACCAUUGCCUUAUGGUGUCCGUGAGGGCUUUUCACCAAUGAGACUCUCUUAUUUUCAAUCUCUCAGCUCACCAUUUUCUUAUGGUAUCCGUGAGGGUUUUUCGCCAAUGAGACUCUUAUUUUAAUUUUUCUUAACUCACAGUGGUCUUACAGUGCCCGUGAGGGUUUUCACCGAUAAGACUCUCUCAUUUUUAUCUUUCUUGACUUACCAUCAUCUUAUGGCGCCCGUGAGGGUUUUCACCAAUAAGACUCUCUCAUUUUUACUUCUCUCCUGGUUCCUUAUGCUGAGGAAGACAAGUAGUUUCCAAAAUGCGUCAUUAUAUCCCUUGCAUGCUUAGCCUUAACAUUCUCAAAGAUUGAUCUGAAGGUUUUUCUUUGGUUGUAACUUGAUUUUUGGAUAGGGUUAGGAAAAAAGGAUGGCAUGAGGCCCAAAUGAAACUUGAAGUAGGGAAGGACUUACAACUUUUAGAAUCGACUCAAACAUUGAGGAUUAACCGAUGCCCCAGUUCUUUGGCUAGGUGACUCUAAAUUAUUUAUUUGGUUGGACCGAGCUCAGAGUAAGGCAGCCUACGUAUCUCACUUCUGAAAGAGGAAAAUCAAGUCGCACGUAGUUCCAGCAGCUUAUUCUUAUGAUUGAUUUUUUAUUUUGUUGUCUCUUUUUCUCUUUGGGACUUUUCUGACUUUAUUUUUCUUGACACUCUUCCUUUUGGACACAUUUUUUUCUCUUAUUUUUUUUGAAACUUUUCUGACUCUACUGUUUUGCUCGACAUCUUUUCUUUUGAGCUUUGUUGACUCUAUCUUGAUUCCAAAAUAGGGGUAUGAAAUAAAAUAGAACUAAAGCUCAAAUAGGGUAAACAAAGAAUGACACGAUGUUUGGAUAGUAGAAUAAAAUGCCUUCAUCAUAUCAAUCCUUAAAAAUGCAAGUACACAUCAUGCAAUGUGAAAAUGAAAGAUGGAGAUCAUUUGUGACACUUUCACAAUACUAACUUUAAAUGAGCAUGUGUGCCACUACUUCUUCUGGGCUUGUCAAACAUAAAACUCUACCUGUGUUAUAGAUCCCUCACAUCAACUGACCCAUGCUUUCAUGGAGCUGAUUUUUCUGUUCCUCAAAAUCACACAUCCGCUAUUUGACCUAAUUGAGCUAUGUUUUUCAAUUGAUGACCAAGUUAUUCUUGCGAUUCUCAAAAUAAUUGCUUUAAUUUUCAAAGAAGGCUUGAACUUGUCAGUUCCCUUGUGUUGUAGGAAUUUGAUGAUGUUUUUCCACAAAAAUUACCGUAAGGAUUACCCCCAAUCUGGGGAAUUGAGCACCAAAAUGAUUUUAUGUCGGGUUCACAACAACCCAACAAACCUGCUUAUAGAAGUAAUCCUAUGGACACUAAAGAUAUUAAGUGGCAAGUUGAGGAUCUCCUCAACAAAGUCUACAUCAAAGAAAACAUGAUCCCAUGUGUAGUUCCAGUGCUCUUGGUACCAAAGAAGGAUGGAACUUAGCGCAUGUGUGUGAAUUGUAGAGCCAUCAACAAAAUAACGAUAAAAUAUCGUCACCCUAUCCCUAGGUUAGAUGAUAUGAUAGAUGAGCUAAAUGGCUCUAGUGUGUUUUCUAAAGUUGAUCUUAGGAGUGGAUAUCACCAAAUUCAAAUGCAACCUGGUGAUGAGUGGAAGACCGCAUUCAAGACCAAGUUUGGUCUAUAUGAGUGGUUGGUCAUAAAAGAGCGACAAUCUUCAAUACUGUAACCCUGAACAUCAGAAUGAUAUGUACAUCGUACAUUAGCAUCAAAACUUCUUGAAUACGGGUCAGGAUAUACCCAAGGAGAGGAGUAAUCAUGCCUCGCUGUACCAAUUUUUGAAAUAUGUUGGCAUACGACUCUUCAAUUGGUGUGAAGCUAGCCCUCAAUUUCUUCCUCCUUUCAUUGUUUGGAUUGGAUCCAAAAUUUAGCCUAAAAAGGCUUUGAUAGAUUUGUAGAGUUGAAGGGUAACUUUGAGGAGUUCGUGCGUGCCAUUAUGAGUAAGAAGGGAGUUGAACAUAUGGUUGUGCACAGUAUACUAGAUAUGGAGGUAGGGAAAUGGAGUAUAAUGGAUUUUUGGAGGUAUUAUAGAGAGCUUGGGGAUGAACUUAGGCCUGAGAUUGACGGCAAUGACGACAUCGUCUUCUUGGAUGUGCCCAUUCUCCAACUACAAUAGCAACUGUAUCUUUCUCAUUCUUCUUUCCUCCAGUUUCCUUUAAUUGAUUGCAAUAUUGUCCCAAAUGUUUCAUGGAUUCCUCCUGUUCAUCUUGCUCCUUGAAUUUUGAUAUCUCAAGGCUUAUAGGAGGGUUAACACUUGAAGACAUACCCUAGUUUUUGUAUGAAACAUCUUCUUUACUCGCAAGUCUUAGGGAACUUUUCAUGGCAUUUCCUGCACUCUUUAUUUUUCCAACCAUUUUCUCUAGCUCUUCUGGCACACUAGGCUUCUUGUUAAGAAAUUUUGGUGGUCCAGUUAGCAUAAAAGUAGGAUCAAAAGUAUCGCAAUGAUCACCAAAAGUAUUAAACAAGGGUCCAUUAGCAGCAUGAGAAAGCACAACUGUUGGGUGGUUGGCCAAUGUAGAAACCUCAGUAGGGGAUUGAGCAACAAGAUCACAGAUAGCAUGUGGUAUUGUGAAUGUAGCAGGCUUAUACUGAGGAGCUCGAGGAAAAAUGGUGGAAGUAUUGUGAUACUUUUGGCUUGGAAUGAAUUAUGAGUCAUGUUGUGGUGCAUCAACAAUAGUAGGACACUAACUUUGUGAUUUUGGUGGAAAAAUUGAGGUAUUUUUAGGAUCAAUGGCAAAAAAUGAAGGAGGAGGCAACCCACUGGCCCAAACUUGGUGCAUUUCUGUCAUUUGUUUCCUUAGUUUCCUAAUCUCUUGCUUUAAACUCUCAUUUUCAUAACUCUUUGUUUGAUCAUGAUGUCACUCUCUAUAUCUUUGUUGGACACAACUAACCCUUUGAAUUUGGCGUGAUGUGGAGCACCAGCCAGAAUGCCACAAACCAACCACCUUAAACUGACUCACCAAAAAACAACAAAUGUGUUAGAGUUUAACACUUUUUCAAAACUCUUUUUCCUUUUUUUAUAUUUUAAAAAGAUCACCGAACCCAAGAAGGGUUCCUACGUAUCUCACUCCCGAAAGAGGAGAAUCAGGUGUGCGUAGUUCGUGAAGUCUUGCCAAAAUGGCCAAUUAAUUCUUUUUCCUUUCUUCAUUCUUUUUCUUGAAACUUUAAAAAGAAAAGGAAAUAACAAAUUGUCAAAAGAAUUGACGAAUUUUUUUUUUUAGCAUUUUUCAAGUUUAACUCCCUAUACAAAAUAAAAGCUAUGAUUACCAAAGAAAAAUCUUUUUGGGUUUUUGAUUUUGAAUUUCAUAUGGAAAUGAAACUAAAACCUAUUAAAGGAAAAAACUUUUUUGUAGUUUUCUUUUAAAGGUGUAUAUGAAACACCUACUCUAAUAAAGAGUGAAGAAAAUUUUUGAUUUUUUAAUUUUUCAAAUAAGAUCCCCGAACCAACAAUAGGCUACCUACGUAUCUCACUCCCGAAAGAGGAGAAUCAGGGGUGCGUAGUUCGUCCAGAUUGGACAAUUAAAGAUUAUAGAACAAACAAAACAUUGACUUGAGAGACACGACUACAUGAUGAAAAUAAAAUCUUUUUGGAUUUUUAAUUUGACACUUCAUACAAAAAUGACACCAACAACUAUGAAAGAAAAAUCUUUUUUGAAAAUUUUGAAUUAUGGAUACAUGGUAAAGGAAUAAAAGGAAAAUCUUUUUGAUGUUUUUGAGAAAAUGAGUGUGAAAGGUAAAAUUUUUUUUUGGAAUUUUUGGAUUGUGAAAAAAAACUCAAAAGCCAUAAAGAACUCUAAAAACUUAUGAAACACUCUUUUUUUAUUUUUGACUCACUUUUUUUCUAUUUUUUUCAACAAUUCUUGCCUAUGCACUUUACUUCUAACAUAUACUUUUCCCAAAUCAAUCCGUCAAAUGAUCAUGUUACCCUCAAAGAUGCAACAUUUAGCACGUAGGGAUGCUUUAGAGGUGAGUCUCCUACAAAGGACCAAGUGGGCCCCGCUAAGUCUCAAUAUGAUGCACAUAAGCAUGACCUAAAGGCUGACCUACGUUGGGGUUCACUAACAAGGAUGAUUGGGGGAGCGUAUGGUCGAUAGUGGUUGCUUUGCUUUCCACCUACUCCAUAACACCGAUGGCUCCCCCCCCAAAAUAAGGGUGACUCAAAUAGAGGCCAUGUACAACACGUGUACUAUAGACUUGUUGUAGAAAGAAUGACUCGGAUUAUGCACAUGAUGCCAGAUAUAAAGCGGUAACACAUAAGAUAAAAACUGUAAACAAAGAGCAUGUAGGCACUCAACAGUGAUAAUACAUAACAUAAAACAACACAAAUAAAAUGUCCAUACACCUAUAGUGCCAAACUAAGCCGAUACAACUCCAAAAUAAGCUCGAAUUCUGAAAUAGUCCCCAGCAGAGUCGCCAGAGCUGUCACACCCUUUUUUUUUACUUCUAAAAGAAUAGAUUUUUAAGUUUGAAAAGGGUUUUCAUUAUCAAAUGACAAAAGAAUAAUUUGUUCUGAAAAGGACCUUUAACAAUAAAAAUCAGAGUCGCCACUUGGCAUAAUUUGGUGUGCCAAGUCACCUUUGGAAAAUCAUUUUCAAAAUAAUUUGACUCUUUAAAACUGGUUUGCAAACAGAGAUUCUGGCUAAGGAAUUCUGUUGACCGAGCGGACGGUGUUAGGAACCCCUCGAUCCCGUGGUUCAAGCACGGUCGCUUGGUAGAGCGUAUCGGUACAAACCACAUAAACAUACAAAACAAGCAAACAAACAAAUCACACAAAAUUCAAAAUAAAAUAAAAUAACGUUCAGUCCAAAUUAUACAGUCCAAAAUAAAAGAGGUGCUAAAAAUAUAAAACCUAUUCUAUAAUAUUCUAAACUAAUCCUAAGCUAAACUCCACCAGAAAUUCCGAGCCUUUAUCACGAGCCUUCUUUGCAUACAUCCUACUUCGGGGCAUUCCCCGGACAAAUCGAUACAAAUCCUUCAGGGCAUUUCCCGGCCAAAUGAGUACAAUUUAAACUUUUCAUGCGAUAAAGUAGAACGAACCAUUCACGUGCAUAAUCAAACAUUCCAACAAAUCAUUAUUCCUAAAUUUGCCUACCCAAGUUCAACAUAUCACAAUUCCAUCAUGUUCAAAAUUAUCAAUACAUCAAAAUUAAUCAAUAUUAAUUUUUCCAUUUCUAAUUCUCACCCCGAUUUCAUUUACCCCAAAACAAACUCAAGUUGUUCUCAACAAAACCAUUAAUCAAUUUCAAUAUAAAGUCAACGAAUCAAAUCAUGCCAAUUGCGAGAAUUCACAUACAUUCAAAACACCACGAAAUCACAUCAUCAACUUCGAAAACACAACAAAAGAAAAGAGUUGAGAAUUGGACCUCAAGAGAUUCGAAUACUGAUUAAUAAUAACGAAUGAAUAAAGCUGAAACCCAAACUCUCGGGCGAGAAAAACCUCAACAACGUCUGAACCAACUCAAAAUUGAGCACCCACAACCCGAACGGAUCUAAAUUCCAAACCAAUAAGAAACAACAGAAUAUUUGGAACAAUAAUUUCAAUGGAAACCUAAACCCGAAUGUAAAACUCUUGAAAUCCGAACCAAACAAGAAAUCAUCAAGAACAGGGAAUCAACAAAACCCAAAUCAAAACUGAUUUGAUCCUUUUUAGGAGUAACCAAAUACGGUUGUGGUUUUUACCGAAAUUAAUGAAGGAAGCGGCUGUUUUCUAAUGGGUUGUUUUCAGAGAGAGACGGUGGAUUCCGGAGAGCCGUUCACCGAAAAACUCAAACCAGUCAGUUGGGGUAUCUCCGUUCUGCAUUUUCACACUUCUCACUCGAUUUCAGCUCACUCUCUCUCGUUGUUGCAUUUUACUCUCCGUGCCUUACCGUUUUCAAUUUCCGAUCACCCUCGAUCUCUGUCUCUCACGUCAUUUUGAUGCCAGUUCUCUCUCUGUUUCUCUUCUCUCUCUCACGAUCUUCCUCUUAAUCUCUUUAGUGUGUGUAUUUUCGAUGGCUGUGCGUGAGUGCGCGAAGAUGGAAAUUAGUGAGGUAUGAGUGAUGUAAUAUGUAGUGAGGUCAGUGCUUGUGAUUUGAGUGUUUUUCUUGCUGGAAUGGAAAUUAUGUGUGCGUAAUUUGUUUUGUGAGGGAAAAGGAAAAAAGAUGUGAUGAGUGUGUGCAGGGGUCCUUUCUGUUAAUGACGUAAGGUGUGUAUAUGAAGAAGAAACCAAUAUGGCUUGUGUAAUGGUCAGAUUAUAAGUGAGAAUCCAUCCUUCCCUUUACAAAAAUAGCCUCUAUGUUUUUUUCAAUUGGAAAGAGAAAAAUGGAAUCUUGAAAUGGGCCUCUUUCACGUGUUGCAUAUGGUAUGUGCCUCUUUUCUUUUUCUUUUUUUUUUUGGAAUUUUGUAUAUAUGGAAUUUUCAAAAACAUGUAAAGAAAGCUAGGUAGGGGGAGGGGGUCGCAGGUAAUGGUAAGGGGGAGUGGGAGUGAUGAUGUGUUGUCAACUUUUAUUAGGGAGGGUUGUUAAUUUGUUACUAAGAGAAUCAUGAGGAUUAGGUUGGUUAGGCAUUUGUUAUUUUUUGUAUUUUUGUAGAGUAUAAUCACAUGGAUGAGAGUGUGUGGUAAGGUGAACUAAAAUGAAUAAAAUUAGACUUAGGAGGGACAAAAUUAGGUGUUUACAAUUACAGCCCACCAAUCAGACUUGUCAUUGCGUAACAAAAAAGGAGCAUAAUACAAUUUUUUAGCAUUUUGCGCUAGAACAAAUGGAUCGUAAAUAGGAUACGACCUAUUGUGCUUCACUUCAAUGAUGUUGUGCUCCUUAUGUACUCUUGUGCCUACUGUGCUUGGAUCAAACCUUUUAUAACGAAAGAGGACAAUUUUUUUAUUGGGAAACUGGCAUACUCCAGUUCUAAGAUCUCCUGUAUGAUGCCAAAGUAAUCAACAUCAUCAUCACCCUUAACCCAAACACCACUAUUGUUUGUUUUCCUUGACCUGAAGUGUUGUUCGGUGGAAAAACUAAACCCAUUUACUUUGUAUUGCGACAUUGCAUUAGCUUCAAAUGGACCCAAAGAAAUAUAUCUCAAGAGAUUAUCGUAUGCGGCUGCAUUUGGUGAAUGGUGUACCUAAAAUUAUCAUACAUAUAUAUUUUAGUUGAGGAAUGUGUAAAUGUUUAAAAUUUGAAGCAACAUUAAUACACUAACGAACCUCAUUUUUAAACUAUGUUGCAAAGGAUGCAUACACUUGAUUUUUGUGGAAUUGAGUCUUAAAUGAAAUGAACAUCCAACAUGGGAAACACAAUUAUUUUCUUUAAGGGAAUGAGUAAACAAACAGGAUAUGUUAUAAUUUGAAUCUCCUUACUCCAGAAAGGGCUCAAUUUCCAGGCAAUUCAACAAGACAUACAAAGUUGCUGAUUUGCGCUCCAUGGGAUUGAGCCGGCGAGGUAUGAUCUUUUUAGCCUUACAACUAUAUUGAUUGAAAAUUGAUAUCGGUUGCAAAUGAGGCUCAUUCACAUCGUCCUGAUGACUAUUCGGGUGAUUUCUUGAACAAGCAACUUCAUCACGAAAGUAGAACGAACAAAAUUGAGAAGUUUCUCUUGUAAGAUAUGCCUCAACAAUAGAGCCUUCCACCCUGUGUUUGUUUUUGGGACCUCUUUUCAGUUUUCCAAUUGCCCUGUACAAUAAUGUCAAGCUUAGAUGUUUACUAUAUUUUAAAAAAAUAAGUAUGCAUUUAAAUAUGUUGCAAAUGCUUACCGUUCGAACUGGACCACCUAGCCGAGCUUCGUGUACAAGGUGAAUGGAAAGAUGUUCCAUCACAUCGAAGAACACUGGCUGGAAAAUCUUCUCCAGCUUGUUGGUGAUAACAACAAUAUUACUUUCCAUUCGCGCCAGAUUUUCUUCUUUUAAUCUGGUCGCACAUAAGUCUAUGAAGAACAAACUGAUCUCUGCUAUUGCUUUCCAUAUGUUUUCAGGUAAACUAAUAAAAGCAAUUGGAAGUAACUGUUCCAUGAGAACAUGAAAAUCAUGGCUUUUCAUUCCAUGUAAUAUUCCUUGUGUCAUAUCAACUCUCAUUCCCAAAUUUGAGGCACAACCAACGGGCAUCUUCAAACUCUGAACCCACUCACAUAUUUGCCGCUUUUGAUCCAACUUGAAUGUAAAACUAGCCUUGGGAUUAAGAACAUUACCAUUGGGCCCCUGCUGUAAGUGUAAUUCUCUGCGGUUGUAAUAUUCUGGUAAGUCAAGUCUAGUCUUAGGAUUAUCCUUUGUUUUGCCAGUGACAUCCAUAACUGUGUUGAACAAGUUGUCAAAGUAGUUCUUCUCAGUAUGCAUGGCAUCAAUAUUAUGUCUAAGCAAAUUAUCUGGCCAAUAUUCUAACUCCUAAAAUAUACUUUGCUUAGUCCAGUUAUGCAAAACACCAUAUCCAUCAAGCCUGUCCUCGCUGGCUUUAGGCAAAGCCUGAACUAUUUCCCAGACGUCAUGACCAGAAAGCAUUGGAGGUGGACCACCAUGUUCCCUUCUAUUCCUUCUGAAGGCAUUCUUGAGUCUCCUAAAUUCAUGAUCAGGUGGCAAGAAACAAUGAUGACAAUCAAACCAUGAGUUUUUCCUGCCAUUUCUCAUUGUGAAAGAUUUUGUUUUUUCCAUGUAGCAUGGACAAGCCAGCUUUCCAGCGGUCAUCCAACCCGAUAACAUUCCAUAAGUAGGAAAAUCAUUAACAGUCCACAUUAGAUAUGCACAGAUUGAAAUUCUAUUUAAGAGAGAUGUCCUAAUUUUCAACCCCCUCAUGCCAUAAAAUUUGAAGUUCAUCUAUCAAAGGUUGCAAGUAUAUAUCUAUUCCGCUUUUUAGAUUAUGCGGGCCAGGAAUAACACUAUUCAAAAAUAUAUAGGGACUAGUCAUCAACAUUUCAGGAGCAAGAUUGUAAGGAGUGAUAAAUACAGGCCAACAUAAAUAUGGCGCACCACCAACUGAAAAAGGGGAGAACCCAUCCGCACAUAAUCCCAAUCAAAUAUUUCAUGGCUCAACUGCAAAAUUUCGAUAAGUUGCAUUAAAAUGCUUCCAAGCCUCUCCAUCAGAUGGAUGACACAUAAUACCAGUGAGCCUUCUAUUUUCACUAUGCCAUCUCAUAUGAGGAGCUGAGCUGUUUGAAGCAUACAACCUCUUCAACCUUGGUAUAAGAGGUAAAUAAUGCAUCGCCUUAAUAGCUAUUUGAUUUCCAGUAGAACCAUACUUAUAUAGAGGGUACUGACAAAACUUACAGAACUCUAGGUUAGCAUCUCCCUCUAAGUAUAACAUGCAGCCAUUUUCACAACAAUCAAUUCUAACCGAAGAGAGACCUAACUUUGACACUAAUCUUUUUGCCUUAUAGAAAGAAUCAGGAACCUCCAAGCUGGGGUCAACUAACUCUUUAAUAAAGUCUAUAAUUGAGUCCAUUCCGCCUUCCGCAAUAUUCCAGUCAAAUUUAAUGCUUAAUAAUCUAACAGGAACAGACAAACGAGAGUGCGAACACCCGCCAAAAAAAGGAUGACUAGCAGCAUGCAAUUCGUCGUAGAAAUUUCCCGUUUCGCUAUUAGGAACAUCUUCAAUAUUUUCCCUAAAGUCAACCCCGUGUUGGAUCCCAAAAGCAUCAUGCACUAUUUUUGUCAUCCUAGUAUCUUGAUAUUCAUUAUGCCCUGCAGACCUACGACUUUCUCCAACAACAGAGUUAUUUUGCACAACAUCACCAAGAAUACCAAUCAUUCUUAAAAAGUCUUCGUGAAACCCCUUUCCAUAAAGAUGUUCAUUUACAUCUUCUUCACUUACAAUAUUUAUACCAUCACAUCUAACAUAAGGACAACGAACUACCCAAAAACGUGUCCAAAGAUCAAGUGUCUUAGCAUGUUUAAAAAUUCUUUUAACACCGUCAACAAAUUCCUCCCAAAUACCCAUUCUAUUCUCAUUGUUCUGGUGAUAUAUCCAGCUAUAAUCAUGUUCUAUCUAUGCAAUCAAUCAGAUUCAAGUAAUUAGAUCAAGCAUUUUCAACUAAAAAAGGCACCAACAAAUAAAGUAACCAACCACAUCACCUCCUAAACAAAAUUUCACUUUUAAAGACCAAAACUUAAACUUUAUCAACUAAUAAAGUCACCAACAGCAUCACCUCCUAAACACUAAUUCAUUAUUAAAGUCAUCGGCACUUAAGCAUUUUCAACUAACAAAGGCACCAACAGAACUAAUUUACUAUUAAAGUCACCGGCACUUAAGCAUUUUCAAUAAAAAAGUAACUAACAACAUCACCUUCUAAACAAAAGUUCACUUUUAAAGUCACCAAAACUUAAGCAUUUUCAAGUAACAAAGGCACCAACGAGACUAAUUCACUAUUAAAGUCACCGGCACUUAAGCAUUUUCAACAAAUAAAGUAACCAACCACAUUAACUCCUAAAAAAAAUUUCACUUUUAAAGACCAAAACUUAAACUUUAUCAACUAAUAAAGUCACCAACAGCAUCACCUGCUAAACACUAAUUCAUUAUUAAAGUCAUCGGCACUUAAGCAUUUUCAACUAACAAAGGCACCAACAGAACUAAUUUACUAUUAAAGUCACCGGCACUUAAGCAUUUUCAACAAAAAAGUAACUAACAACAUCACCUUCUAAACAAAAGUUCACUUUUAAAUUCACCAAAACUUAAGCAUUUUCAAGUAACAAAGGCACCAACGAGACUAAUUCACUAUUAAAGUCACCGGCACUUAAGUAUUUUCAACAAAUAAAGUAACCAACCACAUUAACUCCUAAACAAAAUUUUACUUUUAAAGUUACCAAAACUUAAGCAUUUUCAACUAAUAAAGUCACCAACAACAUCACCUCCUAAACACUAAUUCACUAUUAAAGUCACCGGCACUUAAGCAUUUUCAACAAAUAAAGUAACCAACAACAUCACCUUCUAAACUAAUUCACUAUUAAAGUCACCAAUACUUAAGUAUUUUUAACUAAUAAAUUCACCUAAGAAACCACAUUCAACAAACAAUCAACAACAAUGAUAGUGAAUCGUAAAAGGCCACACACGAUUUUACUAGACUUCAAUAUGGAGCAAUAAAAAGAAGAUAACAACAAUGCUAUUGAAUCACACAAGGCCACACAUGGCUUCACUAGACUUUAAUAUGAACAAUAAAAAGAAGAUAACAAAAAUGCUAGUGAAUCAAACAAGGCCUGUAAUGACCCUUCAGGUCAUUAGCCGUAUUCUCACUUAUUUUGCCGAUAGAGCUCCUCCAUAGACAUCCCAAGUCAUUAGUGACUUGCUAGAAUUGAUAGUUUAGUUACAUGACAGUUCGUUUGAUUUUUAGAACCACUUUUAUAAUUGGAAGUCUUCGUCAAUUCCAAACGGCCGCCAAACGAAAUUUCAGUAAAAUAAUUUUGCAUGCAACUAUCAACUGUGCCAACAUCUAAGUAAGAUUGAUUUUAGGAUAGAUAGACCCUUGGUUCAGAUCUCAUAGCACCCAAGCUCAUUCCGACCAAUUAGUCGAAAAGUCAAAUAUCAAAAUAUAGGGGUGUGGGACCCACAAGUAGUAUAAAUGACCUAGUAUAAAAAAUAUGACUUCACCAAUGCAUCCGGAAUGUCAAAUUUAGUGGGGUUACAUAGUUUGUUUGCAAAAAAUGGAGUCCAAAUAAGUUUGGAAGGUCAAGGCCCAUCUAAAACCAAAUAAAAGGGGGCUUUUGGUAGAUUUUGAGCAUUCUUCACCUCUAUUAAAACCCUAGCAGUCCUAAAAGAGUGGUGACUCAAAAAUUGGUCUUGUGGGUUGAUUGGAAACUAAAGCAAGUUGUGUAAUCCAUCUUUUUACUACAAAUCCAAGGUAAGAAUUCCUCUAAUUUGAUAUUAAUUUCAUUAUUUUUUUGACUCAAAACCCUAAAUCAUUGUGGGUCAAUUGUAUCCCCAAAAUUGAGUGUUUGAUUUAAAUUAAUUAAGGGUUUUAACUCCCUAAAUAUAAUUAGUCUAUGGUUGGUCUUGGAAACUCCUUUCCAAGGGUGAAACCUAAUUGGGAUUUUGGUGUCUAUUUGAAACCCUUGGCACAGUGAUGCUAUAAUGGGUAUUUUCAUUCUUUUUGUAAUUCUUAGAUUAUAUUGUUGAUAGCAUUGCUUGUGGAAGAGGAAGCUUCUCAAAAAUAAAAGGAAAGCUCGUUGGUUCAUGAGUUGCUUGUAUUCAAGGUAGGUUAGGCUUACCCGUAGUAUAGAUUGAGCUUGUUUGUAAAGUAAUCAUUGAUAUCUUGUGAGAUUGGGCAGGGAAUUUAGACAAUAGUUGAUUAAAUAGUAAAUUUAGGAUUUAUUAAUUUCUAUAGGCCAUGGAUUUGUAAGGUAUUAUACUUGACCCUUAGCCUAGGACCUUGGUUAGAUUAAUUGUGGUCUCAUGACUAGUGUGUGAACAUUAUAGUUGUUCUAAGUAGACAUGAAUAGUAUACUUCUCUAUCCUUAGGAGUGUAUUGACCUAUAUAAAAUACCUAGAUAGGAGAUAAACUUGGUGUUGGGUUGACUUAGGAAGAAUACUUGAAGAAGAUUUCUCUAAUAUGCUUAGUAAGGAUUGAUAAGCCCUUAUGGUGUGACCUAGAUAACCUAGCCUAAAUUCGGGUAGAAGUUUGUCUUUUAGAAGUGACUUUAGUAUUAGUGGGAGUAAGAAGUGGGACUUGACCCACCUUAAGCUUGAACUAUGUAACUUCUUGGUGACCUAGAUACUUGAUGAGUGUCAAAAUUAUGUUAUUGGAUUAUAAGGGUUAAACCUGGUUAUCAGUUUAUGAAUAAGGUUGAUGGUUGAAAAAUGUGUAUUCUUGAUUGUUGUCUAAUUACAGUGUUAUGGAUAGCCAAGGAAAUAUGGUAAUUGUGUAUGUCAUCUAGAUACUCAUGCCUAUGCUUCUACUCACAUGUCAUGAUGAUGACUAGUAAUAAAGUGUGAUGGUUUAUGCAUCCUACAUCUCUAUUACUCGAUUAUUGUGAACUUGUGUAUGUUUAUUGAUUUGGGUCAUUUAUGUGUGUGUGUAUGUUGUUGGCUUGAAAAAUAUUGAUACAAUAAUGAUGUCCGGUAAAUCUGGAAGAAUUAUUGAUACUAUGAUGAUGCCCGGUUAGUCCGGAGGAAUAUGUGACAUUAUGAUGAUGCCCAGUUCGAGUCCGGAGGAAUAUGUGAUAUUAUGAUGAUGCCCGAUUUGAGUCCGGAGGAAUAUGUGAUAUUAUGAUGAUACCCGUUUAGAGUCCUGAGGAAUAUGUAAUAUUAUGAUGAUGCCGGGUUUGAGUCCGGAGGAAUGUGUGAUAUUAUGAUGAUGCCCGGUUUGAAUCCGGAGGAAUAUGUGAUAUUAUGAUGAUGCUCAAUGAAUUCGGCGGAAUAUGUUGAUAUUGUGAUGAUGCCCGGUCAAUUAGGAAGAGGUAAGAAUAUUUUGAUGCCAUGUGGGGCAAAUUUACUUAUCUGUAUUGAUAUUUGUAAGGUUAGGCUGUGUGGGGCCAAUCGCCUAUGUGCUAGAAUUAUGAGGUCUCUAUUGGUAAAUUAUUAUUUAUUUCUUGUUCCAAAUCACUAUAUAAGAGGUGUGACCCUUUUUUAUGUUAAACUAGCUACCAGAGGAAAUUUAUGCCUAAUAUUGAGUUAAGACUUAGUGUUACAUGUAAAUUUACAUAAAAAUUCAAGGGCUAACCUAAUAUAUAAACUUGACUUGAAUAAGAGGUUAUAUUAUGAAAUAUUGCCUAGUAAGGUGGCUUAUGUUAUAAUUAGCUACUUCUAAAAUAUAUGAUUAUUAUUUGGAACCUAGAAACCUAGUAAACUAGUUGAUGGACUUUACUCGAUUAAAAUAUGGAAACAAGUCCUUAAGGUUGUGACAUGCUUGGUGAUGAUAGAUCUAGUAAUGCAUAAUGGAUGGUUAAAUUAUCUCCUAAUAUGUGAAGUUGAAAUGCCUUAAUUGAUAACUCAUGUCAUGAUGAUGCUAAUUAAAGAAUGGCCUUAUGAUAGUUGAAUAACCUAUACUAUGGGUGGCUUGUAGCUUUUCCCCAAUUUGAUGACUACUGAUUUUAAGACUUGUAAUUUUUUGACUUUUGGAAAAAUAAGGUUAAUUAGUAUGGACUUUGCGGUAUUUAUCAAUAAAUUAUAGAACUAAUGUUACAUACCUAUGCUAUGAGAAUUGUUCUUUCUUUAUGUUGAAUUAUGGUACGGGUACUUGGAAGUGGAUUUCAGUAAUGAGUCAUGGCGGGGUUGUGCUACCCGCGGUUUUUGAUAAAUUGAUGGAGUAGUUGUGUUUUAUGGUAUUAUUGGUUGUAUUCUUUUGUGUACUCUCCGGUGGUAUGGGACGCCGUGAUGAUUUCUUUGUUUUGCUCUCUUUCGUGUACUUCCCGACGGUAUGGGACGUCGUGGUAAGUUCUUGUGUGUAUGUUCUAAAGAUUGUUGAUGAUGAUUAUGGCAAGUAGAUGUUUUGCUAUUAUGUAUAUGGUUGUACGCUUUCAAAAUGAUACUCAGUUGAUAUGGUUAUUAUGGAGUAUAUUGUAAUAAUAUGUCAUGUUAUUGCUUAAGUAGUAUAGAUGUUGUUACAGUGGUACCAAAGUAGAUUCAAGUACAAUCCUGUCCCUUGACUUUAAGAUCAUUGUCUUUCUUUAUAUCGUCUUUACAUUAUAUUUGAGCUCAGUAGGCCGAUGAUGCCUACUGAGUACUAGUGUUUUAGUACUCAUACUACACUUCUGUACCUUUUUGGUGCAGACCCAGGUUUUAGUUGCCGUCGUUGAGCUAGUUCGUACGAGUUGACUAUUCGGAGACAGGGUGAACUCUUGGAGAUCGAGUUACCCUCUAUACCUUCUAUCCUUAUUUGUCUUUUGCUUUCGAUACAAAUGUAUGAGAUUGUUUAAGACAUUUUAGAUUCUGAGAUUGUAAAUUCCUCUUGUUAAGUUAAAAAGCUCUUGUAUUAAUACUAUCAGGUCGUGGCAUUUGUGUUUGAAUAUCGUUUCUCCUUAGUUGUGAAAUGUUGUUAUAGGUUGUGUUCACAUAUAGGGUCCAAUUUGGACGUUCUUACCUAGGUAACCCAUUCAAUAGCUCCAGGUUACGGUAUUGGUUUACCUAUUGAUGGGAUGUGAUAGGUACCAUCAUGACUCAAAAAUUAGGUCGUGACAAAUUGGUAUCAAAGCCUAGGUUUCACCGAUAUUAUUGACACAAGAGCAAGUGCCUAAUAGAGUCCUACGGAUCGAAACGUUGACAUUCGUUUCCUAUCUUCGCGAGGCUAUUUGACAUUCUUAGGAAUCCUUCAUUUUUUUCAUUCAUAUCGUGCUUAGAGUUUGAGUUGGUGUGUAGUAUCUUUUCAAUAACUCAAAAUUGGUCAUGGGGGAUGACUUGGGAGCUUAGUUAUCAUCUUGUAUCACGAUUAUCUUCAAGAUUAAGGUAAGAAUUUCUUGAAUUCAUGUUUGAAUUUCUUCGUUUGGACCCAAAUCCCAAUUUAACUUUGGGCUUGAUUUUAGCCCAAAGUAUGCUUAAUUUUUACCCAUUAUUUGAGGAUUAUGAUUCCUUUUUCACAUGUGAACAUUGGGUUGGCUUCGGAAACUCAUUUUCCAUAUGUUGGAUCCACUUGGGCUUUUGGUGUCGUUUUUGGACUCGGAGCACGAUAGUAUAAUAUGGGUAUCAUUAGACUCAUAUUAAUGGGUAGAUUAUUAUUUUGAUAGUGUGAUGACAUUUUGAGUAUUGUAGAGUGAAGAUGAGCAUGUGGUGCAUAAAGUGAGGUUUUGCAGUUUGGCCGUGAGGUAGGCUUCUGUCUACUUUUCUACAUAGAUAAUAUGUGAUAUAUGUUGCAUGUGAAUAUGGAUGUUAGGAUUGAUUAUGAGUAAGAUAGCUUAGCCUUGAUUAUUGAUGUUUUGGGAAGUUAGAUGAGGGUCUUGGACUCGUAAGAUAGUAUGUUUAUAACCUUGUAGACUCAUACUGCCUUCUCCCUAGUUUAGAUUAAAUUGUAGCAUAGAUUUGAUACAUUGCUAGAUUAUAGAUAUGGUUUUAGUGUUGGUCCAACAUGAUUUGAAUAUUUGAUCUUAUUGGGAUAGUGUGGUAGCUUUGAAAUCGUAAGUUGGGUAGAGUUAACUUGAGUGCCCUUAUUUCUAGUCAAAGUUGCUAUCUUAGGUUUAAAUAUGGCUUACUUGACAUCUAGAAGAUGAACUAGAUACCUUAGCCUAGUUUGGGGUAUAGUAUGCCUAAUUAUGGAAAUUGUGGAUUAGAAGUGGGAUCGUUCGGCCCACUUAGGCCUAAGCUUGUGUUAAGUCCUGUGGACUUAGUUGUGGAUGUUAGACAUAGAUGAGGCUACUACAUCUUAGAAUAAGGUUACUUGGUAACUUGUAUUGAUUACAAGUUCCCGAAUUGUAGCUUUUGAGUAAUGGUUAUGAUACUCCUUGUGGAAGUGAUUGGACUAUAGAGAUGCUAUUUCCUCUUAGACUUGAUGAUUGUCCUAUAGAGUUAUUAUUUUCUCUUAGACUUGAUGAUUGGCCUACAGAGAUGUUAUCUCCUCUUAGACUUUAUGAUUGGCCUAUAGAGUUGUUAUUUCCUUAGUCAUGAUUGUUGGUCCUAUAAAGACGAUGUUCCUCUUGAAUAUGUAAAUUGGCCUAGAGAAGUGAUAUUCCUCAUUGUCAUGAUGUAUGAGCUAUUGAUAUAUGAUAUCCUGUAGACAAUUACAUAUCUAUCUGUAUUAUGGCUCCUAUAUGUGAGAUUUCUCCUAUAUAUAAGAUGAUUAGGGAUAUGCUACGACUUAUAAAUAUGAUUAUUGAUAUGAGUUCUGGAUGUGUGUAUUGGCCUAAAGUCAUGAUUGUGAUGUUGUCAUUAUUUUGGAUAGAUUAAUGGGCCAAGGGUCGUGUUAUGAUAUUGAUUGUAUAGUCGAGAAGUGUUUAUCAUUAUAAACAAUGUGAUUACAGUUUAUGAAUAUAAAUAUAUAUAUGUGGGUGUCCUCAUCUCUUCGGUAUGGGAUGGAGGAAGAUGCAGUAUGAUGUUUUUUUUAUUCCACUGAUUGAAUAUGUAACACCUCGAUAAUUCUUAAUAUAUAUUUUAAUAUUUUAGGUGAGUAUAACUCUUAAUCUAUGAAGCCUUGCAUGACAGAAUACUGGUAAUGGCAUGCAUAGAUUCGGCACGUUCAUGAUUAUAUACUAUUAUAAGUGAUGUGAUUAUAGCUGAAAUAUGAUCUUAUGACUGCUCUUCUUUUUAGACGGUUAAGCUAGUGAUGAACCUUGAAUAAAUAUUAGAUGUUGACUGUUAAAUAAAUAGUGGUUAGUAGUUAUCCCGUGAAUUAAGGAUUAUGUGAAGGAUAAGGUUUGGGCUAAUAACUAGAGGUUAUGUGAUGACUAGAAAACUAGUGAUUCUAUUAUAAUAAGUGUUGGUUAACUAAUAACAAGCGAUUGGGAAGUAUUGACUAGAUAGAUAUUCUAUGGUGAUAUGAUUAUGUUUAUGAGUAUUUUAGCGUAUGUUAUUCGGUAAUGACUAUUGUGAUGCUCAUACUCGGCAAGGCCAGAGGAUAUAUGGAUGAUGCGUUGAUACUCGGCAAGGCCGGUGGUUGAUUACAAUGAUGAUGGUCCUAAUGUAGACAGUUAUGAUGAGUUAUGAUAUUAAUCAUCUACCCUGCAUUCAUUCCUUCAUGCACGUUGCCUAUCACCAAUAUAUGUCUAUGUCUAUCAGCCGGUAUGGGGUGGUUGUAUUGAUAUAGGUGAAGAAUAUGUCUUAUGCUGUUAUGUGUUGAUUGAACCUUUCGAGUUUGGGGCGGUGAGGGUACGCAUAGGCUCGGCUAGGUAUUUGGUUGUCCGGAGUAGCUGGUUAUUCAUGUUGUUAUUGAUAUUGUUGUUAUCAUUGUUAUGAUCAUUAUUAUGGCUACCUUAUGACAAAUUGGUCAUUGAUCCAGUAUCAAAAUUUAAGGUACAUUUUUGGCCUCUCCUAUUUUAUGAUUGCAUUAUUAUGUACGAUUAUUUCACGUCUAGCCAUGCGGAUUAGAGACCCUGAGAUGAUAGUAUUUAAAUUCUGAUAAGUGUUAUAAUGAGGUCUUAAAUGAGAAUAUAAUGAUAUAGGUUAUGCUUCGAGACGACCUCAUGUUUAUAUGUAUAUAUAUAUACAUAUACAUAUAUGAAGAUAUGGCACUGCCGUAUAUCCCUUCCUUCGUUGUUCAUUUUGUAUAGUCAUUACUUCGCCUUGUAUAUUAUUAUAUAUCUUUCUUUCGCGCCUUAUUCGUAUAUAUACCUAGGAUAUAUGGUAUAGCAUUGAUGUAUAUUGAAUGUAGCUGGAAUAAGAUAGUUUACCCUGAUACUUCCUUAGUCUUAUUAUGUUAGACUCUUGGACAUGAACAGGAUAGUUUUCCCUUAUUAUUCUUAUUAACUCAUUAUAUGAUUUCGGGACUCUUGGGUGUAGUUUUCAUUCUAUUUAUAUGUUGUGUAUAUCUGUUUUAUCCCUUUUGAGAUUCUAUGAGUAGUCAGCAAGGUGGCCUAUGAGUUAGCUUUACCUCCAUACUUUGCUGUUGUUCACCAAGUUUUCCAUGUCUCCAUGCUGCAGAAGUAUAUUCCUAACCCAUCUCAUGUGCUUAGGUAGGAAUCAGUCUAGUUAAAUGGGCAAUUUACCUUUGUAGAGGAGCCCACACUUAUUUUACUGAAAUUUCGUUCGGCGGCCGUUUGGAAUCGACGAAGACUUCCAAUUAUAAAAGUGGUUCUAAAAAUCAAACGAACCGUCAGGUAACUGAGCUAUCAAUUCUAGCAAGUCACUAAUGACUUGGGAUGGCUAUGGAGGAGCUCUAUCGGCAAAAUAAGCAAGAAUACGGCUAAUGACCUGAAGGGUCAUUACAAUAUCCACUACUAAAGAACUUUCGUCCUCGAAAGUUAAAGAUGAGGAAAUACUUGAAGUCUCGAAUAGUUGAGGAUACUAGGCUCGCAUGUCGCCCGCUAACCACUAAGUGGCCUCCUUCACUGGGCGGUGCUUCCAUUGAACCUUAACUACAGGAAUCUCUCUAUACACAACCGCCUCACAUUACUAGGAAAAAUAAGUGCGGGCUCCUCUACAAAGGUCAACUACCCAUCUAACUAGACUGAGUCCCACCUAAGCACAUAAGGCGGGUUAGGAAUAUACUUCUGCAGCAUGGAGACAUGGAAAACUGGGUGAACAACAGCAAAGUAUGGAGGUAAAGCUAACUCAUAGGCCACCUUGCUAACUAUUCGGAGAAUCUCAAAAGGGACAAAACAGAUAUACACAACAUAUAAAUAGAAUGAAAACUACACCCAAGAGUCCAUAAAUCAUAUAAUGAGUUAAUAAGAAUAAUAAGGGAAAACUAUCCUGUUCAUGUCCAAGAGUCUAACAUAAUAAGACUAAGGAAGUAUUAGGGUGAACUAUCUUAUUCCAGCUAAAUUCAAUAUACGUCAAUGCUAUACCAUAUAUCCUAGGUAUAUAUACGAAUAAGGCGCGAAAGAAAGAUAUAUAAUAAUAUACAAGGUGAAGUAACGACUUUACAAAAUGAACAAUGAAGGAAGGGAUAUACGGCAGUGCCAUAUCUUCAUAUAGCUAGAUAUAUGUAUAUAUAUAUAUAUACAUAUAAACAUGAGGUCAUCUUGAAGCAUAACCUAUAUCAUUAUAUUCUCAUUAAGACCUCAUUAUAACACUUAUCAGAAUUUAAAUACUAUCAUCUUAGGGUCUCUAAUCCGCAUGGCUAGACGUGAAAUAAUCGUACAUAAUAAUGCAAUCAUAAAAUAGGAGAGGCCAAAAACGUACCUUAAAUUUUGAUACUGGAUCAAUGACCAAUUUGUCAUAAGGUAGCCAUAAUAAUGAUCAUAACAAUGAUAACAAUAAUAUCAAUAACAACAUGAAUAACCAGGUACUCCGGACAACCAAAUACCUAGCCGAGCCUAUGCGUAGCCUCACCGCCCCAGACUCGAAAGGUUCAAUCAACACACAACAGCAUAAGGCAUAUUCUUCACCUAUAUCAAUGCAACUACCCUAUACCGGCUGAUAGACAUAGGCACAUAUUGGUGAUAGACGACGCGCAUGAAGGAAUGAAUGCAAGGUAGACGAUUAAUAUCACAACUCAUCAUAACUGUCCACAUCAGGACCAUCAUCAUCGUAAUCAACCACCGGCCUUGCCGGGUAUCAAUUCAUCAUCCAUAUAUCCUCUGGUCUUGUCGAGUAUGAGCAUCACAAUAGUCAUUACCGAAUAACAUACGCUAAAAUACUCAUAAACAUAAUCAUAUCACCAUAGAAAAUCUAUCUAGUCAAUACUUCCUAACCACUCGUUAUUAGUUAACCAACACUUAUUAUAAUAGAAUCACUAGUUCGCUAGUUAUCACAUAACCUUUAGUUAUUAGCCCAAACCUUAUCCUUCACAUAAUCCUUAAUUCACGGGAUAACAACUAACCACUAUUUAUUUAACAGUCAACAUCUAACAUCUAUUCAAGGUUCAUCACUAGACCAAAACUGUCAUUUAUCCAUCAUCCAUUAUUAUCAACUACUCAUCCUAUAUCCCUUAAUCAUUACUAGAUAACACAUUACUACUUGUCACCCAACCAUCUUUAUCAACAGACAUUAUUCCUUAACUAACCAUCGUUAGCUACUAUGUUUGAGCUAAGCAAAAUUCAUUAACUAAUACAUUGGAUUCCUAGCCAUCAAGUGCUAUAAUCCCCUAAUAGACAACUAGUUACCGCAUAGCUUAACCGUUUAACAAAAAGAUCAGUCAUAAGAUCACAUUUCAGCUAUAACCACAUCACUUAUAAUGGUAAAUAAUCAUGAAUGUGUUGAAUCUAUGCAAGUCAUUACCAGUAUUCUGUCACGCAAGGAUUCAUAGAUUAAGAUUUAUACUCACCUAAAAUAUUAAAAUAAAUAUUAAGAAUUAUCGACGUGUUACAUAUUCAAUUAGUGGAAUAAAAAAAACAUCAUACUGCAUCUUUCUCUACCCCAUACCGGAGAGAUGAGUACACACACAUAUAUAUAUUUAUAUUCAUAAACUGUAAUCACAUUGUUUAUAAUGAUAAACACUUCUCGACUAUACAAUCAAUAUCAUAACACGACCCUUGGCCCAUUAAUCUAUCCAAAAUAAUCACAUUAUCAUAAUCAUGGCUUUAGGCCAAUACACACAUCCAGAACUCAUAUCAAUAAUCAUAUUUAUAAGUCGUAGCAUAUCCCUAAUCAUCUCAUAUAUAGGAGAAAUCUCACAUAUAGGAGGCAUAAUACAAAUAGACAUGUAAUUGUCUACAGGAUAUCAUAUAUCAAUAGCUCAUACAUCAUGAUAAUGAGGAGUAUCACUUCUCUAGGCCAAUUUACAUAUUAAAAAAGAACAUCGUCUUUAUAGGACCAACAAUCAUGACUAAGGAAAUAGAAACUCUAUAGGCCAAUCAUAAAGUCUAAGAGGAGAUAACAUCUCUGUAGGCCAAUCAUCAAGUCUAAGAGGAAAUAACAACUCUAUAGGAAAAUCAUCAAGUCUAAGAGGAAAUAGCAUCUCUAUAGUCCAAUCACUUCCACAAGGAGUAUCAUAACCAUAACUCAAAAGCUACAAUUUGGGAACAUCAAUACAAGUUACCAAGUAACCUUAUUCUAAGGUGUACUAGCCUCAUUUAUGUCUAACAUCCACAACUAAGUCCACAAGACUUAACACAAGCUUAUACCUAAGUGGACCGAACGAUCCCACUUCUAAUCCACAAUUUCCAUAAAUAGGCAUACUAUACCCCAAACUAGGCUAAGGUAUCUAGUUCAUCUUCUAGAUGUCAAGUAAUCCAUAUUCAAGCCUAAGAUAGCAACUUUGACUAGAAAUAAGAGCACUCAAGUUAACUCUACCCAACUUACGAUUUUAAAACUACCACACUAGCCCAAUAAGAUCAAAUAUCCAAAUCAUGUUGGACCAACACUAAAAACAUAUCUAUAAUCUAGCAAUGUAUCAAAUCCAUUCUACAAUUUAAUCUAAACUAGGGAGAAGGCAAUAUGAGUCUACAAGGUUAUAAACAUACUAUCGUACGGGUCCAAAACCCUUACCUAACAUCCCAAAACAUCACUAAUCAAGGCUAAGCUAUCUUACUCAUAAUCAAUCCUAACAUACAUAUUCACACGCAACAUAUAUCUUACAUCAUCUAUGCAAAAAAGUAGACAGAAGCCUACCUCAAGAAAAAAUCGCAAAACCUCACUUUAUGCACCACAUGCUCAUCUUCACUUUACAAUACUCAAAAUUUCAUCACACUAUAAAAAUAAUAAUCUACCCAUUAAUAUGAGUCUAAUGAUACCCAUAUUACACUAUUGUGCUUCGAGUCCAAAAACGACACCAAAACCCCAAGUGGAUGUCUUCGUCGAUUCCAAAUGGCCAUCGAACGAAAUUUCAGUAAAAUAAUUUUGCAUGCAAAUCUCGAUUGUGCUAAAAUCUAUGUAAUAUCAAUUUUGGGAUAGAUGUAUACCCUUGGUUCAGAUCCCAUAGCACCCGAGCUCAUUUUGACCAAUUAGUCGAAAAGUUAAAUAUCAAAAUAUAGGGGUGUGGGACCCACAAAUAGUAUAAAUGAUCUCGUAUAAAAAUAUGACUUCACCAAUGCAUCCGGAAUGUUGAAUUUAGUGGGGUUAUAUAGUUCGUUUGCGAAAAACGGAGUCCGAAUGAGUUUGGAAGGUCAACAGUAAAUUUUGACCUUACGGGCCCAUCUAAAACUGUAUAAAAGGGGGAUUUUGGCAUAUUUUGAGCAUUAUUCACCUCUAUUAAAACCUUAGCAGCCCUAAAAGAGUGGUGACUCAAAAAUUGGUCUUGUGGGUUGAUUGGAAACUUAAACAAGUUGUGUAAUCCAUCGUUUUACUACAAAUCCAAGGUAAGAAUUCCUUUAAUUUGAUAUUAAUUUCAUUAUUUUUUUGACUCAAAACCCUAAAUCAUUGUGGGUCAAUUGUAUCCCCGAAUUUGAUUGUUUGACUCAAAUUAAUUAAGGGUUUUAACUCCCUAAAUAUAAUUAGUCUAUGGUUGGUCUUGGAAACUCCUUUCUAAGGGUGAAACCUAAUUGGGAUUUUGGUGUCUAUUUGAAACCCAUGGCACAGUGAUGCUAUAAUGGGUAUUUUAAUUCUUUUUGUAAUGCGUAGAUUAUAUUGUUGAUAGCAUUGCUUGUGGAAGAGAAAGCUUCUUGAAAAGAAAAGAAAAGCUCGUUGGUUCAUGAGUUGCUUGGAUUCAAGGUAGGUUAGGCUUACCCGUAGUAUAGAUUGAGCUUGUUUGUAAUGUAAUCAUUAAUAUCUUCUGAGAUUUGGCAGGGAAUUUAGACAAUAGUUGAUUAAAUGGUAAAUUUAGGAUUUAUUAAUUCCUAUAGGCCAUAGAUUUGUAAGGUAUGAUAUUUGACCCUUAGACUAGGACCUUGGUUAGCUUAAUUAUGGUCUCAUGACUAGUGUGUGAACAUUAUAGUUGUUCUAAGUAGACAUGAAUAGUAUAUUUCUCUAUCCUUAGGAGUGUAUUGACCUAUAUAAAAUGCCUAGAUAGGAGAUGACCAUGGUGUUGGGUUGACUUAGGAAGAAUACUUGAAGAAGAUUUCUCAUAUAUGCUUAGUAAGGAUUGAUAAGCCCUUAUGGUGUGACUUAGAUAACUUAGCCUAAAUUCUGGUAGAAGUUUGUUUUGUAGAAGUAACUUUAGUAUUAGUGGGAGUUAGAAGUGGGACUUAACCCACCUUAAACUUGAACUAUGUAACUUCUUGGUAACCUAGAUACUUGAUGAGCAUCUAAAUUAUGUUAUUGAGAUUAUAAGGGUUAAACACAGUUUUCGAUUUAUGACUAAGGUUGAUGGUUGAACAAUUUUUAUUCUUGAUUGUUGUCUUAUUACCGUGUUAUGUAUAGCCAAGGAAAUAUAGUAAUUGUGUAUGUCAUCUAGAUACUCAUGCCUAUGCUUCUACUCAUAUGUCAUGAUGAUGACUAGUAAUAAAGUGUGAUGGUUUAUGCAUCUUACAUCUCUAUUACUCGAUUAUUGUGAACUUGUGUAUGUUUAUUGAUUUGGGGCCAUUUAUGUGUGUAUGUUGUUGUCUUGAAAAAUAUUGAUACAAUAAUGAUGCCCGAUAAAUUCGAAAAAAUUAUUGAUACUAUGAUGAUUCCCGAUUAGUUCGGAGGAAUAUGUGAUAUUAUGAUGAUGCCCGAUUCGAGUCCGGAGGAAUAUGUGAUAUUAUGAUGAUGCCCGAUUCGAGUCCGGAGGAAUGUGUGAUAUUAUGAUGAUGCCCGGUUCGACUCCGGAGGAAUGUGUGAUAUUAUGAUGAAACUCAAUGAAUUCGGCGGAAUAUGUUGAUAUUGUGAUGAUGCCCGGUGAAUCCGGAAGAGAAAAGAACAUUUUGAUGCCAUGUGGGGCAAAUUUACUUAUCUACUUUGAUAUUUGUAAGGUUAGGCUGUGUGGGGCCAAUCGCCUAAGUGCUAGAAUUAUGAGGUCUCUAUUGGUAAAUUAUUAUUUGUUUCUUGUUCCAAAUCACUAUAUAAGAGGUGUGACCCUUUUUUAUGCUAAACUAGCUACUAGAGGAAAUUUAAGCCUAAUAUUGAGUUAAGGCUUAGUGUUACAUGUAAAUUUAUAUAAAAAUUCAAGGGCUAACCUAAUAUAUAUACUUGACUUAAAUAAGAGGUUAUAUUACGAAAUAUUGCCUAGUAAGGUGGCUUAUGUUAUAAUUAGCUACUUCUAAAAUAUAUGAUUAUUAUUUGGAACCUAGAAACCUAGUAAACUAGUUGGUGGACUUUACUCGAUUAAAAUAUGGAAACUAGUCCUUAAGGUUGUGACAUGCUUGGUGAUGAUAGAUUUUGUAUUGCAUGAUGGAUAGUUAAAUUAUCUCCUGAUAUGUGAAGUUGAGAUGCCUUAAUUGAUAACUCAUGUCAUGAUGAUGCUAAUUAAAGAAUGGCCUUAUGAUAGUUGAAUAACCUAUACUAUGGGUGGCUUGUAGUUUUUCCCAAUUUGAUGACUAGUGAUUUUAAGACUUGUAAUUUUUUGACUUUUGGAAAAAUAAGGUUAAUUAGUAUGGACUUUGCGGUAUUUAUUAAUGAAUUAUAGAACUAAUGAUUACAUAUCUAUGCUAUGACAAUGUUGCUUUCUUUAUGUUGAAUUAUGGUAUGGUUACUUGGAAGUGGAUUUCGGUAAUGCGUCAUGGCAUGUUGUGCCACCCGCGGUUUUUGGCAAAUUGAUGGAGUAGUUGUGCUUUAUGGUAUAAUUGGUUAUAUUCUUUUGUGUACUCUCCGGUGGUAUGGGACACCGUGAUGAGUUCUUUGUUUUGCUCUCAUUCGUGUACUUCCUGGUGGUAUGGGACGUCGUGGUAAGUUCUUGUGUGUAUGUUCUAAAGAUUAUUGAUGAUUAUUAUUGCAAGUAGGUGUUUUGCUAUUGUGUAUAUGGUUGUACGCUUUCGAAAUUAUACUCAGUUGAUAUGGUGAUUAUGGAGUAUAUUGAAAUAGUAAGUCAUGUUAUUGCUUUAGUAGUAUAGAUGUUGUUACAGUGGUACCAAAGUAGAUUCAGGUACGAUCCUAUCCCUUGACUUUAAGAGCAUUGUCUUUCUUUAUAUUGUCUUUUCAUUAUAUUUGAGUUCAUUCGGCCGAUGAUGCCUACUGAGUACCAGUGUUUUGGUACUCAUAUCCCAGGUUCUAGUUGCCGUCGUUGACCUAGUUCGCACAAGUUGACUAUUCGGAGACUGGGUGAGCUCUUGGAGAUCGAGUUACUCUCUAUCCCUUCUAUCCUUAUUUGUCUUUUGAUUUCGAGACAAAUGUAUAAGAUUGUUUAAGAUAUUUUAGAUUCUGAGAUUAUAAAUUCCUCUUGUCAAGUUUAGAAGCUCUUGUAUUAAUACUAUCAGGUCGUGGGAUUUGUGUUUGAAUAUUGUUUGUCCUUAGUUGUGAAAUGUUUUUAUAUGUUGUGUUCACAUAUAGGGUCCAAGUUGGACGUUCUUACCUAGGUAACCCAUUGCAAUAGCUCCGAGUUACGGUAUCGGCUUACCUACCGGUGGGAUGUGGUAGGUGCCAUCAUGACUCAAAAAUCGGAUCGUGACAAGGCAACACACGGCUUCACUAGACUUCAAUAUGAAAAAAAACAACACUUCAUUAUAACAAAUUAGAGAGAAGUCAACUUACCUUUGCUUGGACUAAAUUAAAGUCAAACAUACAAGCGGUCACCGAAUAAAUAGCAAAGUAAUCCUUUUCCUGAAUUCAGAUUUUGUCAAACGGUAACAUCAAAUUCCAAGCAACACACUAGGCAAGUAGAAUUAAAAAAUCUUGACUAUUAUGCAAAAUAACAAAUGUCUUGCCAUCUUUAUUUUCUCGUAUCUUUAGUGUAAACAUAGAGAUUUUUGGAAGGGUAAACAAAUAUCUUGCCAUCCUUAAGUAUCAAUCAUAGGCACCGACUUAAUGACAACACAUUACAACAAUAAUAUGUAUAAUAAUGUUAUACAUGAAUCAACAAGAUGGGCAUUCAAGGAAAUGACAAAAAAUAUAAAGGAGGCCUUAACAUACCAUUAAGCUAUAUCACCUAACGUCGCAUUGUCAUCUUGACCGACACAUCGUAACAUAAUAAUUGCGAGAAUAAAAAAGGCUACGAUAAUGGGCAAUAGAUAAUUCAUAAGGAACGUCAUAGGCACCUAAAGUUUAUAUUAGCAAUUUGACAAAGUUUUCAAAGAAAAAAACUUUAUAAUUUUUUAAAUCCGACUUUGGGGUUUGAAUAUUUGCAAACAUCAACUAUAUUCAAACUUGGAGCUAGCUAAUGACAUGAAAUAAGGUAAAAUCAUAACAAUUAAGUCAAAAUUCACUUCUAAACUAACUAUAAUCCAACAAAAAAAGGUCUCAUACAGUUAGAACUAAAAGAAAAACAUAGCUAAAGGAAAUUUUUGGAACUUACCGGAGCUAGGGCGGCGGGAAACAGCGGCACAGGGCGGUAGACGUCGGUGAUUUGGAGAUUUGGAGCUAGGGGCCGUCUUGGAUUUGGAGAUCUUUUAUUUUUGGUUGAUGAAAUCGCGACUAUGGCUUAGGUUAAUCGUAUUGGAGUCGGGUCAGGUUGGGUUUUUAAUUGAACUUUUUUGUUUUAAUGUUUUAUGAAAACCGACCACUUAUGCUCAUUUUACAAAAUAUCUUUUGGAAAAGUGGUCGGUUUUCAUAAAAUAUUAAAAAAAAAUAUUCUAAUUAGUUAACAUAUAUCUUUUUUUUUAUAAAUUAUGUUUUAAAAAAUUUUUAAUCAAUUAAUUAAGUUAAAAUUAAUUAAAAUUUUACAAAGAUGAUAACAAAGAAAACUAAAUAUUUAUGUCAUGCCUACUUCAAUCGUGAUUUUACUAUAUUAUCCCUAAUUAAUUACUAUAAAUCAUUUAUGUAUUAAAAAUUAAAAAUAUUUAAUAAAAAAAAUUGAAAUAGACAUUUAUGUCAUGACAGUUUCAACUGCUUCAAUCGUAAUUUUACUAUAUCAUUCAUAAAUAAUUAUUAUAUAAGUCAUUUAAGUAUCAAAAAGUUAAUAAUAUUUAAUAAAAAAUAAAAUAGCCAUAAAAUAAUAAAUUAUUUUUUGAUGUUUUUUAUAAAUCAUUUAACUAUGAAAAAUUAAUAAUAUUUAAUAAAAAUAACAAAAUACCCAUGAAAUGAUAAAUUCUUUUUUGAUGUGUUCGCUUAAUUGAAGACUUAUAUGGGAUCACUUUAAAAAAAAAAAUCACAAAUAUUUUUUAAGAUAAUUUUAGUAUGUCACUUAUAAUUAGUACAAUAAAAAAAAUUAUAAAAUAAUUAGAAUUUAUCAACCAAAUAAACAAAGGUUUUAAUUUAAUGAUAGAAUUAUACAUGACGUAUAAUUUUUAAGCAUCUAUAUUGGGUCGUGUGUAGCACGACCUAAGCCCACGAGUAUAUAUAUAUAUAUAUAUAAAAUAUCGUACUUAAAAGUUAAUUAACCAAAAAAAUUAUCUGAAUNNNNNNNNNNNNNNNNNNNNNNNNNNNNNNNNNNNNNNNNNNNNNNNNNNNNNNNNNNNNNNNNNNNNNNNNNNNNNNNNNNNNNNNNNNNNNNNNNNNNNNNNNNNNNNNNNNNNNNNNNNNNNNNNNNNNNNNNNNNNNNNNNNNNNNNNNNNNNNNNNNNNNNNNNNNNNNNNNNNNNNNNNNNNNNNNNNNNNNNNNNNNNNNNNNNNNNNNNNNNNNNNNNNNNNNNNNNNNNNNNNNNNNNNNNNNNNNNNNNNNNNNNNNNNNNNNNNNNNNNNNNNNNGAUAUGCAUAUAUAUAAAUAUAUUCAAUUGGCUAUCAACAUUCAAAGACGUAAUAUAAACAUCACAUACCCGAUUUUGCUACCCCAUAAUAAUAUACAACAUUUCACAGAAACUCAGUUGAAUUAUCGGUUCAUUUAUCUUAUGUCAUUAAUAUACCUUCACUAUAUAAUAUGUGUAUACUAUAUAUAUAUAUAUACACACACACAGAGACACACACACAUAUAUAGAGACAUUAUCGACAAUACCAAUAGGUACUAUAUACAUCACAUACGUACACGAGUAUCUUAUCCAAUAAUAUAAUGCGACGUAUUUGAUCAUAUACAUACUAUAUACAUCACAUACCCGAUUUUACCACCCCAUUGUAUUUCACAUAUACUCAAAUAAGCAUUCCACUGAAGAAGUACGGCAUCGGUUCUUGCGAAUGAAUCUGUUGUUGGAAGAAAGCUAUAACUAAAAUAGUUGGGCUCGAUCCCAGACUUAAUAGCAUUCAACGGAAUAGAGGUUAGCGAAGAAAGAGGGAAGAGAGAAAGCAAAGGCUUCGGCUGAUGUAGAUUCGGCAAAUGAUUACUCUUCUUCAGGUGCAGAUGAGGCUUAUGGGGAAGAGGAGGCAAGGGCAAGAAAAUCAUAAAGAAAAUCCUUGUCCGGGAAAGGCGUAUUAGAAAGGAUGUCCCCUAUAAGAGCUUCAGAGGGAUUUUUCCUCGACUAGAAGAGGACCAAUCCUAAGGGCUCCUAACAAGGUCUAGUAGUUCUGUCCGUCUACUUUCUUAAUAUGGAACUGGGAUUGAGACUUUCACUUUCAUGCUAUGAGUUGAAGAUGGACUAAGCCCAAGAGCAGUCCAAUCUUAACGGGAAAGAAAGUUUUUUGCUCGACUUCCCGAGGCCGACCCGUAACACCUUCUUUGAUCUAAGUCGGAACUUUCAUACUUUGAUGCUGUCCUCCCCGCUGUAAAUGCCUUCCUUUCUGCUGACACUGGUAUUUCAUACCUCUUCGCCUACUGGGAUAGUAGAAAAAGGGUACUGCCCUUCUGUCUUCUGAGGAAAAACUUUGAGCUUUCGAGCGCCUUGAUAACAUACACACAUGCAUAUAUAUAGACACAUUAUCGACUAUAUCAAUACGUACUAUAUACAUCAUAUACGUACAAUAGUACCUUUUCCAAUAAUAUAAUGCGAUGUAUUUCAUAUAUAUACGUACUAUGUACAUCAUAUACGCGAUUUUACUAUCCCAUUAUAUUUCACAUAUACUCAAAUAAAUUAUCGAUUGAUUUAGCUUAUGUCAUUAAUAUACCAUCCCUAUAUAAUAUGCAUAUGUUAUAUAUAUAUAUAUAUAUACACAUAUACAUACACAUACAUAUACACACUAUCUACUAUAUCAAGUUCAAAAUACGUACUAUACAUAUCACAUAUAUAUAUACAAGUAUAUUAUCCAGUAAUAUAAUGCGAUGUGUUUCUUAUACAUACUUAGAUUAGUGAUCGAUAAAUUAUAUUGGAUUAACUUAAUAUAUUAGGUUUUGAUUAUAUUUAUAAUUAGGUGUUACUUAAAAUUAUUUAAUUUUUUUACUUCAAAAAUCUCCACAAGUGGUUGGUUUUGUAAAAGUAUUUUUUAAUUAUUUUUUAUAAAAACCGACCACAUGUGGUCGAUUUUUUAAAUUUAUUUUUUAUAAAAACCAACCACAUGUGGUCGGUGUUUUAAAAUUAUUUUUUAUAAAAACCGACCACGUGUGGUCGAUCUUUUAAAAUUAUUUUUUAAUUAUUUUUAUUAAAAACCGAUCAAUUAUGAUCCAUUUUUUUAAAAAUAAAUAAAUAAAUAAUUCUAAAAAACCGACCAAAGGUGGUCGAUUUUUAUAUAUAUUUUUAAACUAAUUUUUUUAAAUAAAACCGACCACUCGUGGUUGAUUUUAUUAUUUUUUUAAAAAUUUCAUUUGUUAAAUAAUUAAUAAUAAUUAUUAAAAUUAUUGUAAUAAUUAUUUUGAUUUUUUAAAAUAUAAAACCGCCCACUUGUGGUCGGUUUUUGUUUAAAAAGAAUUAAAAAAUUCAAAUACCGAUCACUUGUGGUCGGUUUUUCCGAUCACAAACUGUGGUCGGUUUUACCUUUUUUUUUAGUAGUGAUAAGACCCUUUUGUAAGAGAUUAUCAAUCUCCUUUUUACAGAAUUUAACUAAUUCUGUGCUCAUUUGGCAGGGUCGAGAUUUGGUUGGAAUUUUAUCUUCGCUGAAAUCAUCUUCAUAAGGAAGAGAAACAAUAUGCUGUUUGCGAUUCCAAAAAGCAUUUGGGUGAUCAACACAAAUAUCAACAAUCAUUUGUUCAGAUAUUAUUUUUAUUUUUUCCUGAAUUUUCACAGAAUUUAUUGUAUUAUGAAUAUUCAUACUCAUCAUUUCAAGUUGUAAGAAAUUUAUCUGUUAAUGUUUCAAUUCAAUUAAAGCAUUUAUGUCCCUUGUUACUGGAUCCGUAACAAAAGGGUAGGAAAUUUCUUGAUUUUUAUAAGUAGCCUUGAAAACAUUCGCAUCAAUAUGUGUGUAAGAAUAAAUAGCAUUUGUAAAAGGCGUUCCUAAAAUAAAAGGAGGAUAUAACUGAUUUUUUACUAAGAAAAGAAAAUACGGAAUGCAAAUCUUAUUUCUACAAAUAUGUGCAUGAGGUAGUUUAUAAUUAAUAUCAAGAGAAUGAUCAGAUGCAGAUUUGACUAUAUGCGUGAUUUUAUGAAAAUAUCUGGUUGGAAUUAAUCCUUCCUGGAUGCAACUACCAUCAGCACCACUAUCAAUCAUAGCUACAUUAGUUACAGAAAAUUUAUUAUUAAUCAAAAUAGUAUAGUUUAUAUACCAUUUAUGGGCCGUAACUAUUUACAUCAUACCCAAAAAAUAAUCAUUUGCUACAUCAAGAUUAGAAAUAUCUUUGUUGGAAUUUUCAGAAUUUUCCACAAUUUUUUCUUUCCCUUUGGAACUGAAGGCAAUAUCAUUUUGAGAAAUAUCCUUUUCAAUCUUUGAAAUUCUAAGAUCUAAAAUCAUUUGAUUUUGUUUCAAAUAAAUAAUUUAUGUUUUUAAAUCUUCAACUUCUAUUUUCAAAUCAGUGAAAGACAUGCCUUUACCAGUUGUUUGACUAAUGGCAAGACGUCUAUUAACUUCGAUUAAAGAAUAAGGCAUAAUAUCAAAAAUAGAAUCAGUAUUUUUCUUAACAUGUUUAUUAUCAACAGACUUUGAAGUACCGAUUUGGGAAGAAGUAAGAUCAAUGAUUUUUUGUCGAAGCUUUUCAUCAGUAACUUCUUUUAAUAAUUCUAAAGCGCUAUCAACAGUUAUUGUUUGAAUAUUUAAAUCUAAAUCUUCAAAUUGGGAUUGCAAUUUAUAGAAAGUAUCAUCAUAAUAACAAGUAUUGUUAUUACAAUUAGUGUAGACAUUAGUAUAGGGUUUUUUGUUGGCAUGGUUUUCAUUAUCAGUUAAGUCAAAUAAUUCAACCUCAGUAUCGGAUUCAGAUUCGUAAUUAUAAUCGGAUUCAGAACUUGAAGUAUAUAAUAAACCAUAAACCUUAUCAUGAACCUCAUCAAAAAGUCCUAAGGACUUAAGCUUUGAAGUUUAUAAUUUGGAGCAAUAUGACCAAAUUGACCUUAAUUAUAACAUUUAAUUUUUGCUAAAUCUCUCUUAGACCUAUUUUUCGUAAAUCUAGUAGACUUACGAUGGAUUUUUUUUGGCUUCACACUCUUCUUUGGAUCUAUGUCUGGAUUUUCUCUUUAUCCUAUAGGGCUUAUCUGGGUCAUUAGUUCUAACAACAACAUAUCUAUGGCUCCUUUUCUUAGAAGUAGAAGCAGAAUUUUUCAUACCAAAUUGUCCAUAAAAAUCACCUAAUUGGAUUUUUUCUUUAAGCCUGUCCAGGUUAAUUUGUCUAGACAAUUUCAAUUCAUUACAAAGAUUGAGACCUUCUUGAGUACAGGCCGCAAUAAGCUUAUCAUAAGUAAAAUCUGUCCAAGGGAUUGCACCAUAUUUGAAACGGAGUAUAUAAUAUGCCACUUCGGUUUGUCAAAAACAUAUUUAACUAUCCAUAAUCUGAAGAACUGUUAAGUAUUAUAAUGGAUUCCAUUGUAGGAAAAAUAUGGGAGUAUCUGUGCCGUCUUACUAAUAACUCUAUUCUGCAGGGGCUACAGAUGGUGAAGAAUUGUUUUGUCGAUGCGCUACAGUGGCUUAAGGAUUUUGUUUGUCAAGUGCUGGACAUGCUACAGAACAAUGGUGGCAAAUUGCUGGACAAACUAAAGGUUCUUGGUGGCAGAGUGGUGUUAAGGCAAAUGAAAUUUGGUGGCAAAGUGUUGCUUACGCUGAUGAAUGUUGGUGGUUGGUUCAAUGAUAAGGUUUCGAGUACUGAAGCUAGAACUGAAUUGCUUCAGUUUGCUUUACUUAGCAGAUGUACUAUCGAUAACUAUGUUUAAAUUUCAGUUAAAAUGCAAGUAUAAUAUAGUAGACUUACUAUUGAUAUCUAUGUUUAGAGAUCAGUUAGAAUGCAAGUACUGAUAUAGUAGACUUACUGUUGAUAUCUUUGUUUAAAGUUUAGUUAGAAUGCAACUGCUAAUAUAUAUAGUAGAUUUACUAUUGAUAUCUAUGUCUAAAGAUCAGUUAGAAUGCAACUGCUAAUAAUAAUAAUACAGUAGACUUACUAUUGAUAUCUAUGUUUAAAGUUUCGUUAGAAUGCAACUGCUAAUAAUAAUAUAGUAGACUUACUAUUGAUAUCUAUGUUUAAAGUUUCGUUAGAAUGCAACUGCUAAUAAUAAUAAUAAUAGACUUACUAUUGAUAUCUAUGUUUAAAGUUUAGUAAGAAUGCAACUGCUAAUAUAGUAGACUUACUAUUGAUAUCUAUGUUUAAAGUUUCGUUAGAAUGCAACUGCUAAUAAUAAUAUAGUAGACUUACUAUUGAUAUCUAUGUUUAAAGUUUCGUCAGAAUGCAACUGCUAAUAAUAAUAAUAAUAAUAGACUUACUAUUGAUAUCUAUGUUUAAAGUUUAGUAAGAAUGCAACUGCUAAUAUAGUAGACUUACUAUCAACAUCUAUGUUUAAAGUUUAGUUAGAAUGCAACUGCUAAUAAUAGUCAUAGAUAUACAUGAUGUAUACAUAGGAAGGGACGGAGUACUUUCUUCGUUUACUUUUAGUAAUCCGUGUAUACACACACACCUAAUAUAGCAUAGCAGUAUAUAUAAGCCACACAAUUCUCAUCAGAUAAAAAGCAAAAUAUUAUUAUCCUCCCUCAUUCCUUACUAUUCAUAAUCUCAAAAAAGUACUUGCUAGUAUUAUAAUGUCUUCCUCUGAUGAUGAAAGCAAUUCCUUUAUAGGACAGAUUAAGGAGUAUCUGGUCCGAUUUAAGGAUUUUGUUAUGGAAGGGUUACGUAAAAUGAAGGAUUUUUUUGUCGAAGCAUUGCAACAGCUUAAGAACAGUUUUAUGGAUAUGCUAGUGAAGCUGAAGAAAGAUGUUGUUGGCCAAUGUGCACAAUGUAUAAAGAACAUUGCAUCCGAAUUGCUGCAGGAGUUAAAGAAUUUCUUUGGUGAAGAUGAAAUGGACAAAGUUGUAGUGCAAAAUGAGGGUUUUGGCAAGAGAUCUGAAACUAUGUUUGCUCGGGUGCGUUGUGCAGAGGGUUUAAGCCAUGUGUUGCAGGAAUCAUUAAGCGACUUUGUGACUGCGUUGGAUGGAGUGAUCAAGGUCAAGAUAAAUUGAUCAUCAAACAUAUAGUAUUAUAUUAACCAUCGAUCUCCAGCCUCUACUUGUUUAUGUUGCUUUUCUUUCAUGCUUUUCUCUACUUUUAUUUUGAAUGAAACAUCUAGUAUUCGCUGAAUUAUUAUCAAAUUUGAUACGACAUACUUCAACUUCACAGGGGUUUUAUUACCUCUUGCUCUGAGCUAGAUUUUAGUUUAUUUUGUCAAUCUUUUUAACUGACAUGUGGUCUUUCUGGUAAUUUUAUUUUUUAAAAUAGCAGCUUAUAUGAUAUACUACAUUCCAUCAACCAGCAUAACAGUACAAACCCAGCAUAACAAUACGAACCCAGCAUAACAAUACAAACAUUUAAAAUCAAGUUAGUUUCAAAAUUUAUCAAGGUUUCAAAUCCAAACUACAAAAUAUGCAAAAGUCUAAAAACUACUCAUCAUCCUCUUCUUCAUCUGCAUUCUCAGCCUCACACACAGGAUUUGAUUCUUCAUUUGUGGUGUAAUAAUCAUUUAGUGGGUCUAGACCUUUUGCAGCCCGAACUGCAUCACUAAGAUAAGGAGGAAGAAUCCUUGCAGAUCGAAUAAAAAAGCUGAUCUACUCCUGCAUCAUUCUAAUUUGUGAUGUUGUUUCCUCCUUCUGCUUCGCCCUCUCAUUCUGUGCAGCAGAUUCUUUUGUGAGUUGAGAAAUCGUAUUUUUUAGUAAAUCAAUGGUUUCUCUAUCAACUGAUAAGGAAUAGGAUGUAUCACCGGACGAAGACCUAAUAUUCUGGCUAAAGCAUUUUCUGUUGUACUCGUAGUAUUGGCCUCUAACUGGAGAACCCACAGUUUGUUUUCAGAACUCCUCCUCUGCAUCUUCAAGUAUUGUUUCACCUUGACUUUCAGGAGGCUGAGUACUACGAUACUCAAUAAUGAACUGCAUAUAUUUGUCCUAUAUUCAAAGUAAGGUUAAAAUUAAUAGUAAAAAAAUAUUAAACUACUCAUACUUGAAUACUAUCAACUUUGAAAAAAAGAUUUAUAAAUACAAAAUUUGAUUCUUAUAUGUGUAGCUUUUACACGAGGCUCAACCCAGAAAUCUUCAUCAACUGAGUUUUUUUUCUUCUUUACAUGAGUCUCCUCGAAUAUCUCAUGUUGUUGUAUCUUCUUACCCAAUUUUUUUCAUGCAUAUGAUAAAAUUAUUAAUCUUCAAAUAAUUAAAAAUUUAAACAGAAACAAACAAUUAAAGCUGUAAAAGUUACACACCAUUUUUUGCUCCACAGUAAUCCGACUAAUUGCUCUCUCAGUAUGUAGAGAGCCACCCUUGAAUGAUGCUCUGAAUUUCUUUCCUUUUUCACUCAGCACUUGAUAUUCUUAGCUAUUCCAAUAACGAAGAUAAUCUUGCCCCAUAGGUUCGGUUAUAAAACUUGGUCGUACCCUGUUCAUUCUGGCAUAAUCCAACAGACCAUUCAUUCUGAGUCUCGCUCUUCUAUAAAAAUUCUUCCAUAUAUCAAAGUCAUAUUUUGAAUCCCACCAGAAAUAUUUCUACAACAAAAAUAAAAGUUUAAUAUUCAAUUUUUUGUUCUAAGAAUGUGUUAAAUAGUUGAUAAGUGAAAAUUUUACCUGAAAUUCUUUAAACAUUUCAUUUCUAUGUAAUUUUGGAACGUUUUGUCAACUGGUCCAAUAGCCGCUGAAGUGCCGACAAAUGCAUUUAGUCGUAAUUUUUUCAACUCCAUCAUCGGGCUUAAACCUACAACACAAGAUCAAAUAUUAAUUUCAUAGAGCAUAAUAAUAUAGUAAAUGAAAAAUGAAUAAUAUUGUUAUAUUUAGAAAUCUUACCCUACUCCAUAUAGAACAAUAUAAUGCCCCCGAUUAAUAUCUCUAUCUCCGAACUGCGGAACAAGUGCUGGUGCAUGCAUUGGUGUGGGUGGAUCUGAAGCACCAGAUGGUGUGCCUCCAAGAUGAAGAUCUAUCAAUCCAAUAGAUCCAGCAGAAUCACUGUGAGAGCAUGAAUGACUACUAGUAGAGGGUACUGCAGACGAUGGUAAAUGAUUGUAUGUGCCAGCGAUCGUCUGAUAGUACUGUGAAGGCGGUGGCAUGGCGAUGGGAGCAGAAUGAGUCGUUGUAGAGCCAUGAAGUGGACUCACAUGCGUAGGAGCAGGAACUAAAUAAUGCAACGACCUAGAAUAAGAGGGUCGUGCUGGCAUGUCCUCAAAUCGAUUCUCAGAUAUAUGAAUACCUGACAGUCGUCUAUAAGGCGGAGGCUGUUUUUUCUUUUUUGUCUUUGUAGGAUCAACUUUUUAUUUACCUUUGCCACCUUUACCUUUCAUCUAAAUUAUGUAAAGUUAACAAGUAGUUAGUCCUUACAAAAUGAAUAUAAGAAAACACUUGUGGUAAAAUAUUCCAAGUAACUAAUUUCAAGUUACUAAUUCACAUUUCAAAUCACUAAAUCAGUAUUAAAACACCAGUGAAAUAGUUACAUAACCAUUGCAAGUUUAGGCUUGCUCCAACAAUAUGAGAUAAACAAGAAUAUUUCUAUUACUACAUAGAUUAUGGAAAAGUGACAACAACAAUCUUACACAGGAUAUUACAUAUCAAUCUUAAACAAGAAACAUAAAGGAAAAUAGUACAAAGCAUAAAAACAUCAAUACAUAACAAAUACAACCUACACAAACUAAUCCUCCUCUCCCGAAGAUUCUCCACUAAACCAUUCAUCCUCUUUGAAAGUUUACUCAUCUCCUACCAACUCAACCUCUUUUUCUGCAAUAUUAACUUCUUCAAAUAUAUUUUUCGGGUGGUUCGAAGUAUCCACUAAAUCAAUGUCCACUAACUGGUGAUCAAUCUGCAUUUCAUUUUGAUAUGCAGUCUCCAACACAUUCUCAACUUUCACCCAUCCUAUAGACUUUGUUUUUAUUACAUCCCAUCAAUCAGACUUGUCACUGUGCAAUGGAUAAGGAGCAUAAUACACUUGUUUAGCAUUUUGCGCGAGAACAAAAGGACAGUAAACAAGAUAUGUCCUAUUGUGCUUCACUUCAAUGAUGUUAUGCUCCUUAUGUACUCUUGUGCCUCUUAUGUUUUGAUCAAACCACUUACAUCGAAAGAGGAUAAUUUUUUUUAUUGGCAAACCAGCAUACUCCAUUUCUAAGAUCUUUUGUAUGAUAUCAAAAUAAUAAAUAUCAUCAUCACCCUUAACCCAAACACCAUUAUUGUUUGUUUUUCUUGUUCUGGAGUGUUCUUUAAUGGAAAAUUUAAAUUUAUUUACUGUGUAAGUGGACAUUGUGCGAGCUUCAACAGGUCCCAAAGAAAUAUCUCUCAAGAACUGAUCGUAUGCGGCCACAUUUGGUGAAUGGUAUACCUAAAAAUAUUAUAUAUAUACAUACAUACAUAUAUAUAUACUAGUUUCGUGAGGCCCAUGCUAAGGCCAGGACCAACUCUGAUAUUAAAAAUAAUAAUUUAAUUUAAAAAAUAUAAUUUAUGUUAUAUGACGUAUUAAAUAUAUUUUGUUGAUACAAUUAUUAAAGUUUUUAAUCACAUAAUUGGAUAAUUUUUUUAAAAAUAAUAUUUGUGCGGAAGAAAGUAUUAUUGGAGAAUUAGAAUAUAUCAAAAGGCCACAAGUAAUUCGGUAUUUUAUAAAAUAACAUCAUGUUAUUUUAAUAAUGGCAAUUCAAUGAUGAUCAAAAAUAGAAAAUAUUGAUAUUUUAAUGAUUUUGUGGGUAUGUAAUUUCUCUGUUAUAGAUAGAAAUAAAUUUCAUUUGAUAUUUAUUAUUUUAUUUUCACCUAUAAUUUCAUGACAAGAGUAUUUGCAAAAUUUAUUUUUUCAAUCUAAUACAAUAAAAUAUUUCAAUGACUUCAAGUUUAUAAAACAAUGGUAACAACCUUAAUUUAGAAGAUUUACAUAAACUAACUUAAUAGAGAUCUAUAAGAAUAUUAAAUAAUAAUUAAAUUAAUAAAUUAUUUCAUUCGGCCCAUUUACUUGUCAUGUUUAUUAUUUACGUGCCCUUUAAAAAAUAUUUUAUUCAUCCUAUUUUAAUUAUUAAUUUAUCUUUUCAUGCCGGUUAAAAAAAUAUAAAGUAAUUGUACUAUUUAUUAUUGAUUAAAUUAUCCUAUUUAUUAUAUAUUUUUUAAAGAAUUGAACAAUAUUUACUAUAAUGGUGUAGUUGGAAAUUAUUACUACUUUGAUUUUAUAUGAAAGUUAUUUUUGAAUAAUUUUUUUGAGAAAAAACGAUUAUUAUUAAUUUAAAAUGAAGGAAAAUUUAAUCAAAAUAUAAUUUAUUAAGUGAUAAGAAGAGAUCAAUUACAAAUACACAAGUGGGAAUGACCUUAACAAAAAGAAUAAGGGUAAAAAUGAAAUUAUUUAACAAAAGAACACCAUCAAUUGCCAUAUGUACUCUCUUAAUUCACUUAGCCAAGGAAGUAAAAUACCUAAAAUGCCUUUAUGAGGACUACCAAAAUUUGAGAUUCUCCCUUAUAUAUAAUAGUAAUAUAUAUAUAUACUUAUACACCUCAUCUCUAAACCAUAUUGCAAAGGACGCAUACACUUGAUUUUUGUGAAAUUGAGUCAUAAAUGAACUGAAAAUCCAACAUGUGAAACACAAUUAGUUUCCUUAAGGUGAUGAGUAAAUAAAUAUGAUAUGUUAAUAUUUAAUAUCCUUACUUCAGAGAGGGCUCAACUUUCGGGCAAUUCAACAAGACAUAAAAAGUUGUUGAUUUGUGUUCCAUGGUAGUGAGCCGACGAAAUAUGGUCUUUUAGCCUUACUAUCAGAUCGAUUGAAAAUUGAUAUCGAUUGCAAAUGAGGCUCAUUCUCAUCGUCCUGAUGACGAUUCGGUCUGUUUCUUAAACAAGAAACUUCAUCACCAAAGUAGUAUGAACAAAAUUGAGACGUUUCUCUUGCAAGAUAUGCCUCAACUAUAGAGCCUUCCACCCUAUAUUUAUUUUUGGGACCCCUUUUCAAUUUUCUAAUUGUCCUACAUAAUCUUAAGAUUAAAUGUUUACUAUAUAAAAUAGAUAGGUAUGAAUUUAAAUAUAUUGUAAUUGUUUACCGUUCGCAUAGAUACAUCCACCUAGUUUGAAUUGGACCAUCUAAUCGAGCUUCGUGGACAAGGUGAAUGGAAAGAUGUUCCAUCACAUCGAAGAACCCAGGCGAAAAAAUCUUCUCCAACUUGUUGGUGAUAACAACAAUAUUACUUUUCAUUCGAACCAGAUUUUCUUCUUUUAAUGUGGUGGCACAUAAGUCCUUGAAAAACAAACUAAUCUGUACUAUAGGUUUUCAUAUGUUUUCAGGCAAACCAAUAAAAGCAAUUGGAAGUAAUUGUUCCAUGAAAAUAUGGCAAUUAUGACUUUUCAUUCCAUGUAAGAUUUCCUGUGUCAUAUCAACCCUCUUUUCCAGAUUUGAGGCAUAUCCAUUGGGCAUCUUUAAACUUUGAACCAACUUACAAAUUUUUUGCUUUUGGUCCAAUUUGAAUGUAUAACUAGCCAAUUAUAAUAAAAUAGUUCUUCUCAAUAUGAAUGACAUCAAUAUUAUUUCUAAGUAAAUUAUCUAGUCAAUAUUCUAACUCCCAAAAUAUAUUUUGCUUAGUCUAAUUAUGUGAAACGUCAUAUCCAUCAAGCCUAUACAAUGAUUCCUCCAGCUAUCAGAAGUACCUGCAUUUCUCCAACCAUCAUAGAUACCAGUAUGAUUAGUAUUUCUCUUCCAAAUAUCAUUAUAUCCUCUCCCUCCAUAGGGUCGUCGGGAUUGAAAACUAGGUAGAUAUCCUAUAAGUUUGUAGCAUUAUUCUUUUGAGUAUCCUUUUAUCCUACAAUGAUCACAUUGCUCGGACUGUUUCCUUCCUCUGAAUCCCUUACCUCGACCUACACUUUCUUGUAUGGCCAUUAUUUUUUUCAACUGUUUUGGCUGCCAAAUUGGUUGCAGCUACAUGUUGACUUUCAUCUUGAAUAAUCAUAGCAUACGUUUGCCCUAAAGUUGAUGCAAUUGAUUUUAUUAGGAUUUGUCUCCUAGCCUGAUCAUACAAGUCAUUGAGACCACUUUAAAACUGAAGUAACCUCUGUUGAUUCAGAUGCUCGAUGUAGUCUUUAGACUUUGUACAUUUACAGCUUGGUGAUAGGACUAAUACAUCAUAUUCAUGCUAUAACUCCUUCAAUUUUGAAAAAUAACUAGUGACAGAGCUUGUACCCUGCUGUAAGAUUGUAAUUUCUUUGUGUAACUGCCAUAUGCAAACUCGAUUAACCUUGUCAAAAUUUUCUUUGAGAUCUUCCCAAACAAGAUGUGCAUAGAUGCGUAAACAAUUUCACUAAGAAACUCUUCAGAAAUCGUGUUCGUUAUCUGUGAGAGAACAAUGGCAUUGUAAGUUUCCCAUUGCUCAAGCAAACCAUCCUUAUACAAAUUUUUCUCACAUGUGCCAAUGACGAAACCCAGCUUCCUCUUACCUAGCAGUGCGAUCCGCAUCGAUCUGCUUCAUAAGCCAUAGUUUUCAUAUCCAGUGAAUUUAAUUGAAAUUAAAACUUAACCUGAUGUAUCCGAAAGUCCCAAGUAAAGUGGGUGAGUAGCAUCAAUUUUAGUUUCCGCCAUUGAUGCCCUAAGAAAUCAAUAAGGUGCACACAAAUUGAAAUUUGAUCUUAUCGAUAUCUACAUAGAUUAAUAGCACUCAAAGCCCGACGAUCUACGACUUUGAUACCAUUCUAAAUUCUCUGCUGUAAGCUCAAGAUCAAGGCAAGUAUACAAUGGUUAGGGGUGGGCAUAAAAUACCAAAAACCAAAUUACCGAAUCGAACCAAAAAAUUUGAUAAUUGGUAUUCGGUAAUUUGGUAUUUGGGAUGGUAUUUAGAAGUAAAAUUUUAAAACUACGAUAUUUGGGUUCGGGAUUGGUAAAAAAUAUUACUACCAUUUGAUAUUUGGUAUUGCCCGAAAUUCUAAUUAUAGUUAAGUGACCCAUAGGCCACAUACCUAGUCCACACUCCAAAGGUCACAUACUUGUGUGAAUAUUACCCAAGUAAACUUUGAACUGUUAAACACAGUCAUAAAGUAGACUUUUAAUUUUACACAAUAGACUUCAUUGUAACCAACAUAUGACAACUUUUGAAGAAAAUAUCACGCUAAGACUGAAAAUCGGGGCGUGGAAGGGAACAACAUAAAAAGAAGUCUUCAUGAUAUGAUACAUAACACCAUUGGUGGCUGCACUUGCCCAAAUCUAAUGUUCCUAACGUAGGUCGGAAUAUGGAUUUAACCAAGGGUACUUGGUCAAGAUUUCUUAAUCCUUGUGUUCAUAUGUCAACAGCGGAUAGAAGCAAAACUCAGCAUUUGGCAGACAACAUAACAUAUAUUACUCUCCAUCACAUUUAUAAAAAGUAAUAUUAUGACUUUACAUCACAUUUACAUCCAGUUCGUGUUGCAUCCAGUUUGAUGUAAAUGUUAUUCGUGUUACAUCCAAUUCUCCCCUUCUUGGAGCUGGAUCAAACUACAAUAACAUAGGUUUUAAGAUGUUUCAUUAAUUGAGUCACACGUAUCAACGUGUAACAACAGACCAAAUAAAAUUGAUUUUUUCUGGUGUAAAACUAUGUAUUCAGAGGUGUCAAACUACCAAACAAAAUUGAAUUUUUCUGAAAACGUUGGUUGGAAAUCACCACUAUUAUCACCAAAUAGGAUCACUACAAGCAUGUCCAACUUUAAUAUGGUAAUACCGAAUUCCGUACCGAACCAAAAUUUAAUUUACCAAUUACCGAAUUACCAAACUGAAGUUUAAUGGUAUGGUAUUGUUAGGUGACAUACAAUAUUCAUAUAAUAUUGAAGAGAAGAAGGAGAAGAGAAGUUAUUUUGAUUUGGGGAAUUUUCUUUGUGUAUCUCCUCAAAUGUGCAAUCUACAAUACAUAUAUAGACAAUUACAACCGACUUCACUAAUUGAUGUGCCAGCUGUACUCCAGCUAAACUAAUUGCUAAGACACUGUGCUAAUUAACUAACUGAGCACAAUUAGUAACUACUAAUCAGCUAAUCAAUAUGGCUAAUUACAUGACUGUCAUGUGUUUAUCACAUGACUCAAUAGUCUGCAUAACUAAUACCAGCAUAUCUAAUACAAAUAUUAUUAAUGCAAGCAUUAUCAAUACACUCUAUUCAACAUUAUUCUUGUACACUCUACCAAACGAUCCCUACAUAUAACUGGGUAGGAAGAUGAAAAGUAAAUAUAAUGUAAUUAAUGAUGAAGAAUUUGUAAUUAAUGCUUAAAUAGUACACCCUUCAAAUCUAAAUAAUUCCUCUAUUUUGUGUUAGUUGACUUCUAUGGACUUGACACAUCUAUUAAGAAAAUCAACAAAUUGAAUUGCAUUUUAUGUAUUUAUUCUUGUAUGUCUUUUAAAUGCAAUGAUUAGACAUUGAAUACACAUUCUUUAUUCCAUGCAUUACGUAUAGAACAUUGAGUAUUUACAAUUGAAACUAGUAACAAUUAUUUAAUUUUGGUUUUGGGGAUUCAGAUCAUUUAUGCACCAUUCAAUAAUUUUGAAAACAGUAAAUAUAUUUGGUGUUUCUAUCAAGGUCAAAAUGAGAAACAUAUGUAUAAAACAUUUUUAAUUUUAGAACUUAGAUAACUAAAUUAAAACAUAUACUUAUAAAAAGAAGAUCAACUAAUACGAAACGGAGAGAGUAUUUAGAUGUGGAAAAAAUGCAAGUACAUGUUUGAAUGUAUUUUUUGUGGAGUAAUCCUUCCACACUUGCAAGUAAGUAGUGACCAUUGAUAUCACCUAAAUAGUAAUUAGAUCACAUUAAUUCCCACAUCUUUUUAUGCUUCAAUUUUCCAAUCGACAACUAGGGAAGCUCAAUGGACAGCCAACAACAUUAAGUAUAUGCUCUCUGAUUAUGCAAGCAUUUUAUUAGUACUAUUAGUAGCUAGUACUAUAUAUAAUAGGGGCUAAAGUUAACUAUCCUCAUUAUACAUUAUCUGAAAAAACUUACUAUAAUGUGCUCCUCUGAUGAGAACAGUGCAAAUAACACUUCCUUCUUAGGAAAGAUUAUGGAAUAUCUGGUUCGUAUUAAGAAUUUUGUGGUAGAAGGGAUAUGGACAAUUAAGACUUGUUGUGUCCAAGCGUUGCAAGGGCUUAAGAACUGUUUUGUGCAAAUGCUAUCGACGCUGAAGAGUUGUGUUGUUCAAUCAUUACAGUGGCUUAAGAAUUUUGCUUGUGAAUUGUGGGACAAAGUAAAAGAAUUUCUUUUGUGUGGCCUGGGAAAUGAUGGUGGCAAUGGAAGUGAUUUUGGUGGCAAGCAAAAUGAAUAUGGUUUGUUGGAUGAGGUGCGUUGUGUAGAUGUUAUAAGCCAAAUGUUCGUGGAUGAGUUAAAAAAGUUGGUGUUUCUGCUGGAUGGUGUGAUUGAGGCCUAGUUUAUAAAUAUGAUGAAAGAUAUUUAGGGAGGAAAAAGAUGAGGGAUGAGUAACCAUUUCAGUUUUUUGUGUUAGGUUUUGUUACCUUUUUAUGUCUAAAGGGUUAGCAGGCUCUAGUUGUUUAUGUUAUGCUUUGUGUUCAAUUUAUGGUCUUAAACCGUAACGUUUGUGCUGAUCAAUCGUCGAGCAAAUUAAAAGGAAAAUAUAGUAACUGUGUUAUUUGAGUCAAUCUUAUGUGUUCCUUUUUGAAUUCUCCUCACGCUUUUCCAUCACAUUUUUCUCUUCAAAAACACUCGUCCCUUGGAUUUUUAUCCUUGUUCCUUUUAUUUUGAACAUUGAGAUGGUUCAUGCAUAACAUUCUUUUCUACACUAUUUAGGCGACACAUGCUACGGAGUUGUAGACUUGAGACAUAGCACCAAAGAAUUUUCUUUGACUUGUUUUGCUAGUUUGUUAUUGUAUGUUCAAUAUAUAGUCUUAAGCAUGUUGCUUUACUAUAGUUCCAAACAUGAUUGGCAACAAAGUACUUGCAAUGUUUUUUUUGUUUGUUUAAAAGGAUCGGAAAAAUUAGGUCAUGUAGGUAUAGGCAUACUUAUAUGGCGUAAUUAAUGUUUAAAAUAAUAAUUUGUAGUUUAAGUUUAGGUGAAAUUGCUAAGUCUGCACUUUUGUAGUUCAUAAUAUUUUAGUGAAUUUCAGGGUUUGAAUAUAUUUCCUAUCUAAAGUAUUUGUAUAUUUAAGCUAAUUUCGGAGAUUAUAUACCGUAUUAAACCUAGUUGUUGCUAUGUUUUGUAGUUACACAAACAUUUUAUAGUGUGUACAAGAAAAACUACUUCUAUCUACUUCCAAAAUAACUUAACAUUUUCCAAAGAAGAGUUGUGGUAUCUGCAUAUUGAUGGACAUUGAAUUAAUCAACGACUACACAAAUCGCUGUCAACAAAGAAAAUACAAGAGAUGUGUUGUAUUCCAUGUUAAUGUUACAACUCGGAACCAAAAUAAGUCUAGUCAUAAAUAAAAUGAUCAAAAUAAGUCAUCUAUUUAAUAAGUUAUCAAAAUAGUUUAAACGUAAUAAAUUAUUAUGUUUUUUACUUUUUUUUAAUGGUCAAUUAACGGGGUUGACUUUUUAUGAAAUAUAAUAAAUUAUUACGUUUAAUUAUUUUUUUGGUAAAACAUAAUAAUUUUUUACGUUUUAUAAAAAAAAUAUAUAUAAAACAUAAUAAAUUCUUACGAUUUACAUUAAAAUUGAAAUAAAAAAGUCGAUUUGUCAUAUCACAAAAAAUUGAAAAAUAAAAAAGAGAGAAGUAUUAGUUGCCUCAUGAACUUGGCACUAACCUUAUAUUUAUUCUAUAUCAAAAUAUAACCACUUCUACCCUUAAUUAUUUGAUUUUUCUCUAAAAUAAUUAUACUUUUGAGUUUUCCUCUACUCUAAAAUAGUGAAAUGUUGAAUUUUCGUCGAUCAAAUAUGUUAUUAUCUAAAAGAAUUAUAUUUUUUAUGUGUUAAAAAUAUGAAAUUAUUAUUUCUGAUUAGUGUUUCGAUUAAAAUUUUAAGGAGACUCAUAUGCACAAAUAAGUUUCUUAUUAUAAUUAAUGGAAUAAGAAAUCACAAUUUAAUUUAGGAAUAUACAAAAAUUGAACCGAUAAAAUGUUACAAGUAUUAAUUUAUCGUUAUUGGGUUAAUGGAGGUUGUCCGAUAUUUAAUUGGGUUAAUAGAAAAAAAAAAAAAAGUCAAAACACAUGACAAGUUGUCCGAUGAAUUAAUGACACAUGACUUUUAAUCAAAUAAUUAUAUUAUACUAUACUAUACAAUAUUAUAUCAUACUGUACCGUAUAUUAUGAAAUCAUGACAAACCAUCCUCCAAUCAGAGUUUAAGUGACCUUUUCCUGCUUUAAUGAUUUCUGCUUCUCACCCUUUCCUCAGGGGCGGAUAGCUUUCCAAGCUCUUUUCACUAGAGAAGUGUUCCCUCAAAGUUUUUCUCCUUCACUUGAACUGAAAAAUAAGGGUAAGAUCAUUCUUAAAAAAUUAAAGCAAAAGUCAGACGAGAAAAUUCAAUGUGAAUCGUAGUUAGACCUUAAUGAUCGCAGUUCAAAGAAAUCUUAAAUGGUUAGGACAGGGAGGAGGGAGAGGACCAGCAAGAACAGGGUGCAUUGGGUGUAUAUUUGUUUAUGGGUCAGGUCGGGUUAGUCUAGGGUUGGUGUUUUUUAAAAAAAAAAUUGGGUCAUUUUAAUUGAUUUGGAUUUUUCGUCUAUUUUAGGGGUAUGAAUGACAAAUUUAUUAACAACAACAAUAUAUAUGAUCAAAAAAUUUAGCGGAGCGUAAAACUAACCAAUUUUUAAAAGUUAAGGGAUAUAUUUGACCUUUUUUCCUUUUUUGUUUUGUUAUUCACAAAAUUUCGUCAAGCAAUUUAAUGGACCACACGGACAUUCUUGCUUAAUAUACUUUCUCAGUGGCGAAGUACUUUUUUUUUUUUGGUUCUAAUUUAUAUGAUUCCUUUUUUUUAAUUGAUUUAAAAAAGAAGGAUAAAUUUUUACUUUUAGUAGUAUUUUAGCUUUAAAAUGUUUAUUUUACUCCUAAUUAAUUAUUCCCUCUAUUUUAUUUUACUUGUUUUAAAUUUUCUAAUUUAAUUUCUCAUUUUACUCAUCAUUUUUCACAAAUCAAGAAGAGAUAAUUUUUUUUCUCCAUGAAGCCCUUUGCAUUAAUUGUUUUUUCUUAAAUUAAAAUAUAAACAUCAUUUAAAAGGGAUACUAUGAUAAAUUAAUCAUGCUAUUAAUUAUUAUUUUUAAUCAAUUUGUCAAGCUAAAUUCAGACAAAUAAAAUGAAAUGAAGAAAAUAAUUUAUAGCCACCCAAAUACAUUUAUUUUAGAUCACAAAUUUUCAAAAAAGAAAAAUUCUUUCUUAAAUUGCUUACUGAAUUAACCUACCUCGCAUUAAAUGAGACAGAUGAAGUAAUAGUCCACCAAGUAGGGCAACAAGGACAAUAAAUUAGAAUUCACAACACAUAUACCGGCACAUAUACAUAUGCUUGGGAAAGAAGAAAAGUAAUAUAAUGUCAUUUAAUACUUAUUUCAUUUGUUUUUACUAUUUUGAGUUGUCAUAUUUAUUAAAAAAAUAAUUAUUGAUAUGAUUAUUGCUAUAACACUCUUAUUAAAUGAUGUAUGUCUUGAAAUUAAUUUGGAAUAAAAAUAAUUAAUGUUAAGUAUAUAAUAGGAAAAGGAAAUUAUUUUUUUCUUGAUUUGUCAAAAAUAACAAGUAAAAAUAAAAAAUUAAAUUAAAAAAUAGUGACAAGUAAAAAAAAAUGAAGAAUGUACUAAAGAAUUAAUAAUUAAUAUUUUUUUAAUAAACAAUAAUUAAUGUGUUAACAGUACUACUUUUUUUUUUUUCUAAAUGAGUGAUUGUUUAGCUUUUCAUUUUGUUUCUAAAUAAGAGGUUGCUUUAAAUAACCAAGAAGUCAUUAAUAAUAUUUUUUUCAAAUUUUUAUCCUUCUUUAAAUAAAAAAAAAUUAUAAAAUCAAAAAACUACUAAAGAGUUGCAUUCUUUUCAAGAUACUAGUUUAGAAUAGUCUUAUCGUCAUCAAUAAAACUAUAUAAAAGAAUUAAAUGUUAUAUCAAUUUAAAUGAUAUAGAUAAAUAUUGUAGGUAAAAUGUUUAUCACUUUUAUAUUUAGAAAUAUUAAAUUUUCAUAUAUUUGAAAUAAGGAAGAGUUUAAUACUAAAAUUUAGUUAAUUUUUAAAAUCAUAAAUAUUACUCCCUCCGUCGAACUUUAUUAGUCCACUUUCCUAUUUCGAGAUGUCCAACAAUAUUCCUACAUUUCAAAAUACUUGAUCUUCUGUGGAGUAUUUAUUUAAUAAGGUCAAACAUAUGGCAAGGUCCCUCAAUUUAACUCGAACUUUCACUUCACCUAAAGCGGACGUUGUUCAUUUUAAACACGUAAACCAACUAUCAACUGUGUCAUUUUGACACAUUUCGACACCAACUUUGACGCUUGGAUUGAACUCGUUUCCAACGGGAAUUAAAUGGCCAAUUGAUUUGUGCCAACUCAUUUUAAUCGCCACAUCAUUAUAUACACUCACAAUUUAAUUUUAUUUUUGUAAAAAGGGCCAAAACACAUGACAAGGUGUCCAAUGAAUUAAUGCGUGAUUUUUUUACUAUAUAAUUACAUAAAUGCCCCCACAAUAUUUUUCCCACGUAAUCUUCUUUGAGCUUAAUUAAUCUCCAUUAAUGGAGGUUGAAUUUUUCAAGAAUGAUAAAUUCAACGAUGUUCUCCCACAACGCCAUCCUCAUUCUCUAAGGAUAAUAAAUGCGCAUUAAUAGCUUCACAAUUUCAGACAUACGUCUAAGAAAAAAUAUAAAGGAGGAGGUCAAUGUUAAGUUAGAAAAUUAAUUAACGGAAGAAAGCCUAAAUAUGAUUGGGAGUUUCUUGGAAGAAAACAUAAUACUUUACAAGAUGGGUGCUUGGAAGUGAAUCUUCUCCGACCAAAUUGUAUUUUAAUAAUAUUUUUUGAAAGUUAAUUAUCAUAUUGAUACAAUAUUUUAUUCUUCGUUUUUGAAUUAAAAACUCAAUUUUAAUAUUCUUUUUAUUUUCUCAUACACAUUAUUUUUAGACAAAAUAUUGUUAGAAGUGAUAUGAAAAAAAAAUAUUUUAAAAAAUUAUUGUCUAAGAGAUAGAGAGGGUUUGAAAGUAUCAUUAAAAGAGUUUGAGCUUGAAAAAAUCGUGGAAGAAAAUGGAAUGAAAAAAAGGGUAAGAAGAUGAUAAAAUUAAAUAAAAAUGGACUAAAAUAAGGUUGUCACACGUCAAAAUUCAAGUGUAGAACACUUACUUGCCAUGUCAACGAAGGUGUCAAAAUGACAUAAUUUAUAGCUGAUUUAAAUGCUUAAAAUAAAGGGGAAAGGACACCCACUGGCCAUUUUGAAAACAAAUGGUCAGCAUAUGGUAAGUUUCCCACAUGGUAGCCAGUCGGCCAAAAUAAUACCCCGUAAUAGCCAUUGGGAUAUUUUGGCCUUUUUCUUCAUAUACAGUUUUUAUACCAAAUUGAGACAAUGCUUAUACCAUAUUGAUACACUUUUUCAAAGGAGACAAAACCUAUGCAUGCAUAUACAAUCUCUAUGCUAAAUUAAUACAACGUUGUACCAAAAUUGCUACAACGCUUAUACCAUAUUGAUACACUUUUUCAAAGGAGACAAAAUCUAUGCAUGCAUAUACAAUCUCUAUACUAAAUUGAUACAAUGUUAUACCAAAUUGAUACAACGUUUAACGUCAUUUAGUAGCCUUCGGGCUACUUUGGCACUUUCCUAUAUAUACAAUUUUUAUACCAAAUUGAUACAAUGUUAUUUAAAAUUGAUACACUUUUUCAAAAGUGACGAAACCUAUGCAUGCAUACACAAUCUCUAUACUAAAUUGAUACAACGAUUAUACCACAUUGAUAUACUUUUUUAAAAGAGAGGGAACUCACACAUACAUAUACAGUCCCUAUAUUAAAUUGAUACAACGUUUAUACCACUUUGAUACAAAUUUUUGUAAAAAAAAAUAUAGUAGUGAAAUAAACAAAUAGAAAAGUUGAAUUCGUUUUUUCAUAAGAAAAUGGACAACAUUUUUUCUAAAUGAAACAAUAAUUUUUUUUUAAAAAAAAAAUAGAGAAGGAGACGAAGUCUACAUUGAAAUGGCUAAAAGUAGGAAUUACUUUAGUGACUAAUUAUAGGUAAUUAGUUUUGGGUGGCUAUGGUGGAAUUAUUUUCGAAUAAAGAUUUAAAAUAAAAGAUAGUGUGAAGUUGAAGAUCCGUGGAUGUGUGGGGAAAGUUAAUAACAAGGAAGUAGCUCAAUGUCAUGCAUUUAAGUGGAUGGCCCCAGCUUUUAGUCCUUUCAGUUUCACAAGGAGACUUUUGAAGUAAGGACCAAAUCUCUCUACAUGAUGUAUAUUGUAUAUAUACAUAGGAAGGGAAGGAGUAUUUUCUUCGUUUACUUUUAGUAAUCUGGACACACACACAUACACACACCUAAUAAAGCAUAGCAGUAUAUAUAUCCAACAAAAUUCAUCAGAUAAAAAGCAAAAUAUUACUAUCCUUCCUUAUUCCUUACCAUUCAUAAUCUGAAAAAGUUGUGCUAGUAUUACUAUAAUGUCUUCCUCUGAUGAUGAAAGCAAUUCCUUUAUAGGACAGAUUAAGGAGUAUCUGGUCCGAUUUAAGGAUUUUGUUAUGGAAGGGUUACGUAAAAUGAAGGAUUUUUUUGUCGAAGCAUUACAACAGCUUAAGAACAGUUUUAUGGAUAUGCUAGUGAAGCUGAAGAAAGAUGUUGUUGGCCAAUGUGUACAAUGUAUAAAGAACAUUGCAUCCGAAUUGCUGCAGGAGUUAAAGAAUUUCUUUGGUGAAGAUGAAAUGGACAAAGUUGUAGUGCAAAAUGAGGGUUUUGGCAACAGAUCGGAAAUUAUGUUUGCUCGGGUGCAUUGUGCAGAGGGUUUAAGCCAUGUGUUGCAGGAAGCAUUAAGCCACUUUGUGACUGUGUUGGAUGGAGUGAUCAAGGCCAAGAUAAAUUGAUCAUCAAACAUACAUUAUAUUAACCAUCUCCAGGCUCUAUUUGUUUAUGUUGCUUUUCUUUCGUGCUUUUCUCUACUCUUAUUUUGAGUAAAACAUCUAGUAUCCGCUGAACUAUUAUCAAAUUCGCUAUGACACACUUCAACUUCAUAGGGGUUCUAUUAACUCUAGCUCUGAGCUAGAUUUUAGCUUAUUUUGUUAAUCUUUUUAGCUGACAUGACACGUUUAAUGUUGGCCCCAUUUUAUGCAAUAAAACUGUCACGUCAGCAUAAAAAGAUGACAAAAAUAUACUAAAACUAAGAUUCAAGAGGUAAUAGAACCCUUGUAAAGUUGAAGUAUGUCGUAGCAACUUGACUAUAGUUUCAGGGUACUGCUUAUUACUUUUAUUUUCUCUAUUGUUGUGAAAAGAAACGUCUAGUUUCAGUUUUACUGAAAAUCUUGAUAGGCGUCCAUGAAAAUCAAGUAUAAAUUGGAGUUGUAGUUGCAGUCCCAAUUGUAUUUGCUCAUGAAUAAAAGUUGUUGUUUUGUUUCAUCAAAAAUAAAAGUUGAAGUUGUAAUUGAAUUUUUUUGAGUAAUUUGAAGCAAAAACACAAGUUUUACUGUCUUUUUUUAUUUCGAAAAGUCAACUCUAAAAACAAAAAAAAUUCAUGUCCAAACGUCUAUUUUAUAUGUUAUUAUGUUUAAUCGUCUUGGUUAUGCUAUUUGUUUUCAAUUUUCCACUGGUCCCUACCUUAUUUUGCUGCCAUUGUUGAUUGUUCCAACUAGGGGUGUAGAAAUUAAAUCGUCAAGUAAAACUCAAUUAACGAUCCAAAUCGACUUGUGAUUUGGGUUGGCGGUUUGGAGUUAGAAAAAAAAUCUAGCUUUUGGUUUGGAUUGAUUGGUUGACAUUAAAAAAAAAAAAUCUAUCAUUCUUGAUUUGAUUUGAUAUUUUAAAGAAAAAGUAUCUUGUUCUAAGAAAAACUUUGUUGCUUUCAAGAGAAUUUCAAAUCUGAAAUAUCUUGUUCUUAUUCAUUUCACUCUACACAAGUGUUAUUUUAAUCAAGUUUGCAUUGAAAAUAGUUAGACAAUAAAAUCGCACGCUCAUGCCUUUUCUACUAGCUCGUGCCUUAAAUGUAAUUACAUCUUCUGCGCUCAAUUUAAAAAUUCAUAGAAUUUAGUCAUUAUAGUACAAACAAGGUAUCUUUCGAACUUUUUCUGAAAAAAAUAAAAUUUACAAAAAAUUGGAUUGGGAUUUAUUUGGCGGGGUGUGGGGUGGGGUNNNNNNNNNNNNNNNNNNNNNNNNNNNNNNNNNNNNNNNNNNNNNNGGGGAACGGGGGGGGGGAGAGCGGGGGUGAAGGGGGGGGGGGGGGGGGUGCAGUUGGCUGGUGUGUGGUGGUGGUAGAUGGGGGAGGCUAAAAGAAGAAAUGUUUAGGAUUUUAUUUUAUUUUAGUUUUUAUUAUUUUUUCUAAAUCGAUUAUUGAUUUUUAAAAUAUUUUAAUACUUUUAAAUGCAAAAUAUUGCUUUCACAUGCUUUAAAAUGCAUGUAAAUAUGUAUUUUUACAACUCAGCAAUAUUAAUGUCACAUAUGCUUGAUUAAUGUUCAAAAGAGUUUAAAAUAUUAUGUUUUAUUAAGUUUAAGGAUUUAGAUAAUAAAUAGUUAAAGAGAUAUGUCCACUUUAUAAAAUCGGAUAAGUACAAGGGUCCAUCUGACUAUUUUCCCUAUUGUUAGAUGUACUAAAUUAUCUUAAUGUGUACUUUUUAGUUGACUUUUUUCCUUAAGUGAGAUUUAAUAAGAAUAAAAUAGGAAUUGUAUAAUUAAGUAACUGUCACAUGAAAAAAAGAUAACAUUUCUUUUGAGAGGGACUAAAAGGUAAAUGGUGUCAAAUAAAUUGGGAUAGACAGAGUAGUAACUUUCUCUUAUUAUCUUUAAUAUUAAAUAACUAAAUAAAAUAAUAAUAACAAAUUUAAAGUUAAAAAGUACAAGUAUCAUUAAUAAGAUUAACUUAAUAAAAUACUUCUUUAAUUAGUUUUCCUCAAAACUUUUAACAAAUCAGCAUUUGUUAAGUAAAAUACAAUAGAGAAAUACUUCAUACACGAAACUAUUCUUUUUUUUUAAUAACUUUCAUAAUUUUGUUGUUGCCUUUUCAUUUGAACUCCCUAAAAAGACAAUAGAUUUUCGGAGAAAGAGUAUGUGCACAUUGCUUGACUUUGACUUCACAAAUCACAUUAUCAUUAUGAAAUCUGAAAUUUUAUCAUGUUCUUCAAAUAUUAUUUUUAUUAUUUAAUAAUUAUUUUUAAAAUUAUUAGUCCAAUUUACCUUUUUUAAAGCAUAAUGUAAGAUUAGUUUAGUAAAAUAACCUUCUAAUAUUUUUUUAAGAAGAAUAUUAAGUUAUAAAACUAAAUUCAAUAAGUAAUUGGGUCAUUAAAUACGUUCCAAAUGGAAACGUGUUGCAUUCAACUAUUUAAAUAUUCUUUGGAAAUUAAAACAUUUCGGAGUUUGGUUGGUAUAAGUAGGAAUAUCUCACUCUUCAUAUGAGAUAUUAAUUUUAUCAUUUUAGUAUUUUCUUUGUUAUUUUUUUUGUUCAUUAUUGACUUGAUAUACAUCUUAAGAAAUACUCCCUCCGUCUCAAAUUAUGUGUCGCCAUUUCCUUUAGAUCGUUCCAAAAAGAAUGUCGCAUUUUCUUAUUUGGUAAGUUUUUAAAGACACAAUUACAAUUUUACCCUUAGUGGUCUCACUUGAUUUAAAUACUAUUACUUCUUUUUUAUUUGUCUUUUUAAUUAGAAGUGGUCCCACUUAAUUUUAAAUACUAUUACUCCUUUUUUUAAGACGGGAAAUUUUGUAACUUUAACAAAGUCAAUACUUAUUUCUUAAAUAUCGUGUCUGGUCAAAUGACAACACAUAAUUUGUUAGGGAGGGAGUAUAUGAUAAAUAAAGGUAAUUUUACUACUCCUUCUAUUCCAUUUUACUUUUCACAAUUUGAAUUGGCACAUUGAUUAAGAGAUGAUAUAAUAUGGUAUCUAAGAAGGCUCAAAACAGUCCACAAAUACGCAUAAACAAUCUGCACGGACAAGACAUCAAACGAUGACAACAACAAACACAAACUAACUUAAGAGAUAAUGGAUAAAUAACUUGACAUAGAGAGAACAUGUAAGAUAAGAACUAAAGAGUAUAUUAAACUUAAAAACCCCUACAAACAUGUAAACUAAUACCAAGUUCUUAUGUUGAACCCAAGAGGAACUCGGUUCACUCAAGAACUCACGUUUCUAGCCAAUACACAACCCAAGUGGAACCUUCACUUGUGAAGUCAAGCUUCGGUUUGCCUCAAGUAGGGAGAGGACUUUGGUGAUUCAAAGUGUUUCAAGAACUUACAACAAUAAUCAACUAAGUAAAAAUAAGACUAAAGGGCCAAUUUAUAAUCUAUUAUAACAUAAAGUGUCCAAAAUGUCCUUAAUGAGGGUGGGGUGGCCAUGGAGUGUAUUUUUAGCAUGUGAAAUCCCUCAAACACCCCUUAGUGAGAAAAAGGCACCUUUCACUAAGUCCUAUACUCCAAGACCAUGGUCCUUCAAGCUUCACAACUUCCGCAAGCCAAGCCACCUUCCACACACGGCUCUACCUCAUGGAAUGUCCAAAAUGGUCUUCCCAUGCAUGCUCUCUUCUCCUCAAUGUGACCACAAUUGGGUUCUUCAUGAGUUGACCUCGCAUGAUGUCAUCAAUGGCUAUGAUGGCUAUUUGGCUCGUAUCAUCCUCCCCUUCUUGAAAAGAAUUCGACCUCGAAUUCAUGGCCUGUAAAUCAAAUAGCAUAUUCAUGUUAAGGUGGAACACACUUGAAGUAUAGCCAAGGAUCCUCUAUGAAAAAAGGCACAAAGGAGCCGGCUAUGGAAUCAUCAUCUCUACACAAAUAUAGAAAAAGGGUGUAAACAACUAAUUUUUGACCAAACCUAACGUUUUUAUGUCAUUUUAAUGUUCAAUUUUUUUUUUAGGUCUAAAUUAGAUAUUUUAAGUUUAUCUUAUUUUACAAGGUUUGUUUAAAAGUUUUGAAAAUUACAAAAAUAGAGUCACAUUUUAAAUAAACUUUUAUUUUUAUUAUUAUUUAUUUAUUUAUAAAAAAAAUCUAAAUUAUAUUUGUCUUUUUUUUUUAACUUUUAAAAAAGAAUCUAGUGAUAUUAAUAUUUCUUGAUCAUAUUUCUAAGACUAGCUAUUUAACUUAUUUAUAUUUUAUUAGUUUUAAAUAGAUUUUAUUAUUUUUUAUUUUAUUUAAAAUAUUGAAAAAGAAAAAGAAAAAAAAAUCCGAAAGCUACCCUAAUUCCCAUGUUCCCCCACUUUUUCCAUAACCAACACCCAUUACCCCAUUUUCCUCCUACACAUGCACACACUAUUCUAUAUAUAUGCAUGGACACCAACACAAUUACCAGGACAAUACAUAUACACGGACAGUGAGAAAAUCUACAAGAGAACACAACAACAUUGAAAACACACACAAUUACAGAAAAACAAGAAAAAGAAACAGAGAAAAAACAAAGAGGAAAAAGUGAGGAAACAAGAAAGAAAGCAGAGAGUUCUUUGAGUUUGGAAAAUUCAGUUCAGGUCUCCAUUUUGAAUUUUCGAUUCGAGUUUGUCACUUCAAAAGUUAGUUAUUAUUAACUUUGUGAAUUACAAGAUUGUAGCAAAUUUCGUUAGAAUUUAUUUUCACAAGAGGUAACCCUCGAACCUUCUCUUGUAGCAUAAUAAUGCGUCAAAUGAAAAUAUGAUAUUCGUGUCCCAGCGAUGAUUCCACUUUUUUUCCUUUCCUUUCAGUUUUGGUUUGUUUAAAUCUAGAAUUAGUUCAAUAUUUGUGUUUCUUCUUGAAUACCUUUAGUUAAUGGUAGAUUAAUUUAUUUAUUUCUCUUGGCUCUUGCUUACUGAAAAAGGGACUUAACAAUUUGCUCAUUGUGUCACUAGUUUUGUUAGUUUUGUUUUCUUGAGUUCGUCACUACUAUAAUUUUAAUUGAUGAAAGUUUGAAACAUGCAUGAAGAGUGCGUUUUUUUUUCUUUUUUUUUUUUAAAAAAAAAGAAGUAAUAUAUAGAGGAGAAGUUGAAGUUUACAUAGCGGUGAUAAAGAUAUAAAUAUGAUCAUGUAUUUUUUUUUAUCAGACUAUUAAUUUAUAAAGAUGCAAUGUUAAUACAAAGUUUGGUUACUGUAAGUAAUUUCUUGUUUUUCGUAAAAAAUCAAACUGCAUGCAUUAUGUAGUACACUUUGCAUAUCAAUGUUUUGCAUUGUAUUUUUUUUAAUUUUUAUCACUGUUAAUGUCUUUCUACAAAGAAGUAUAUAACACCAUUUUGAAAUAAUAUAUUUUUAAAAAAAAGGAGUCCGUGAUUUAUUUUGGGCCUCGUAAUGAUUCAGGUUGACAAAUCAUAAUAUUAUUUUGAAUAAUUGAAUAUGAGAAAUGGACGACAUUUGAAGAAAUCUAGUAAUGUAAUUUGUUGAAGUGUUGACUGUUGCAAUAUUAUUGUUUACUAUUUAAUUCACUUCAUCAUUUUAAAAUAAGUUUUAUUGUUACACAAUACUCAAUCAUUUGGUAUAUGAAUUUGACUAUAUCUAGGAUUCUAGAUAUUUAAUAAUAGAAAUAGUGAUACAAGAAUCAAAUAUUUGAUAAGUUGGAAAUUGACAUGAAAAUAUUGAAAACAUAUUUAACAGUGUAGCCUUUGAUUCGCUUUGUCACUUCUUGUUUUUGCGUCUUGAUUUCUUAUUAUUGUAAUGUUUGGAUACCUGUAAAAUUACUUUGCUCGCCAGGCCUAAUUCUAUGUCUGUGGCUUAAGGAAUUAAUAAGCGUGAGAAUGAAUAAAAUGGGUUACAAAUUUAUUCAAGACUCAUCGUGAAUGAAUAAAAAAAAAAUCAUACUCAUCGAUAAGAAAAGAGAGGAAAAACUCAUUUGUAAGGAAGUGAACUCGAAAAAGAAUGACUUAGGUUCUUAACCUGAAAGAAAUUAAGAUUUAACAUACAAGAAUGAAAAUUAAAGAUGAAGUUGGAAAGCCCUGCUACCGACCAUUCGUUAUAAUAAAAUAAACAUACCAUUUGAAGCCGAUCUAAUCGAGUUGGGUAGAUUCUAAACCCGUUAGGUGCUUAUCUAGAUUUGAAAAAAUGGGACUAUCCAUAAAGGCGUGAGAAAUAUAUCCAAACCCGUGGCAUGAUCAGAAAGUACUGCUACCGGCAAGCCACACAUUAAUAUAAUUAAAUAAUUCAAAAAUAAAUAAAAGCGAGAUAGAAGUCACUUUUAGGCUAACAAAUACUAUAUAUUCAAGAGAUUAAUUUAAGCCAGACGUAAGUCAUUAAAGCGACCGUUCUAGAACACGGGACUCGAGGGGUGUCUUACACCUUUAUCUCGGUCAAUAGAAUUCCUUAUCCAAAUUUCUAGAUCGCAGAAAAAAAUAAAGAGUUAUUUUCUUUUGAUUAGGGAUUUAAUAAGGUGACUUGGAACACCCAAACUCAAUUCCAAGUUGUGACUCUGUAAAUAAAAUAAUCUCUAUUCAAAAUGUCACUUCAAUUGGAAAAACUCAUUUUCUCUAAAACCAGCUCCCUAGCGGGGUUGGGGCGGUAAAAAAUAGGGGUGUGACAAAGGGUAUCACAAAAAUGGAGUUUAUCCAAAGUAGUUUCAAGAGAAGACUCUCUUCUUGACCUACAAGUGAUAAACCCUUGGUCAAGAAUGUAAAUACACAAUGGUGAACUCUCUUGGAGCCGUUCUUGGCUCCCUUCUUUAAAGACCCUUUAUCUUGGUUGAAGUUCUUCACCUUGCAUAAUGUUGGUUACGUUCCUCAAGUGGAUUAUGAAUCCCCAAGAAAAAGGCUCCAUUAUAGGGUAGGAUGCCAACACCCUCAUUCACACCUUGCUUGUCGUUUUGAACAAGCAUCAAGUCGGACGCACUACUAGAAAACAGUAAAUUUCCGACGGCCAGUGUAGUCGGAAUGUGGACGGAAAAUAAGGUAGUUCCGACUACUUGAUGGUAGUCAGAAUAUAGCUUGUUGAAAAUCUUUUCCGACUAAAGUAGUCGAAAAUUUCCAACUACUUUAGUCGGAAAUGUAGUCGGAUAUUUAAUAAAUAUUUAUUUAAUAAUUAUAAAUAUUCCGACUACUGUAGUCAGAAAUUUAAUAAAAAAUUAUUUAAUAAUCUUAAUUCGAAUACUGUAGUCGAAAAAUUAAUAAAGAAUUAUUUAAUAAUUUUAAUUAUUCCGACUACUAUAGUCAGAAAUUUAAUAAAUAAAUAUUUAAUAAUUAUAAUUAUUUCAACUACUGUGGUUGAAAAUUUAAUAAUUAAUUAUUUAAUAAUGUAAUUAUUCCGACUACUGUAGUAAAAAAUUUAGUAAAGAAAUAUUUUAUAAUUAUAAUUAUUCCGACUACUGUGGUUGAAAAAUUAAUAAAUAAUUAUUUAAUAAUGUAAUUAUUUCGACUACUGUAGUCAAAAAUUUAAUAAAUAAAUAUUUUAUAAUUAUAAUAAUUCCGACUACUGUGGUUGAAAAAUUAAUAAAGAAUUAUUUAAUAAUGUAAUUAUUCCGACUACUGUAGUUAGAAAUUUAAUAAAUAAGUAUUUAAUAAUUAUAAUUAUUCCGACCAUAAACAACAUAACUAAUGUAUUUUUCACAAUUGGAUCAAACACGACAAAAAUUUAUAAAUACAACCACUUUAAACCAUUCAAAACAAAUAUCAAAUCAAAUAGUUUAAACAUCUAAAUGUCACAACAAAAAAAUAAGAACAAUAACUACAAUCUAAUUAUCAUCAGAUUCAAUAUCUUUCUCAUCCUGAAAUACUUGUGGCAUGUGCUUCUUAACCAACUCCUCCAAUUUAUCAAAUUUAGCAAACUUAGCAUCGUUAGCUGCAAAUUUCUGCGUCAAUUCCACAAUUUGCUUUUUCAUCACUUUCAUUUCUUCCAUAGUUUGUAAAGUAGAAGAGGAACUGGAAAACAAUGAAGGACUACUCGAGGAUUGCAGAACCCCUAUCCUGUAGGUUCUACCUUUCUUUGGACCACCUACCACAGUUGUCCACAUAUUAUUCAGCUCUUCAGGUGAUGGGUGGACCAUGGUACCAUUCUUUGAAGUAGGUUGGGUUUGACGCCACUCUUCAAUGCUUUUUUGAAAUUCUUCCUAAAAGAAAAAUUAUUUGUCAGUAUGUAAACAAGCAAAGUUGAGUAAUAAUAAAACAAUGUAUGUAAAAGUUAUUAUCUUACAUAUGCAUUCUUAGCACGCGGUUCGACCCAAUCUCCUCUUGUACCGUCCUUGUUUUUCUUCCUAUGUGUAGUUUCGUAGACAUCAAUAAAAGGGUGCUCUUUUCCCCCAUUUUCAUAUUCCUGCAAAAUUUUAGAAAAAGAGAUAGUGCAAGUAUGUAGACAAGUUCGGCCAGCAUAGACCAAAACAUCUUAAGACUAAUAAUAGAUCAUGGAGUUCAUGAUUCGAAAAUACUCAAAUCCAACAGAAGUAGUAGUUUAGGUGGAUUCUUUUCAGUUAUUUAAGCUAUAAAUAGAUAGUUUGGAAGGGGUCUACAGCUAUAUAGGGAGCCAAUGCCCCAAAGGUUCUAAUACAUUCAACAGAAAUGUGCCAAAGAUACUAUACACUAUAUAAGAAGCUAUAAGUUAAAUUGGAACUGCUGCAUCAAUUUUCAAGUCUUUAUACACUAUAUAAGAACCUAUAAGUUAGAAACUCUAAUUAUUUUCCAAUAGGAGGUGGCAUUCACUGGAGUUUCCAACCAGUACUUCCUUUAUAAAGUAUUACUAUCAUUUAUACAAUCCACUUCCCAUGAAGACUUAUCACCACUUACCUAGAACUUAAACAUAUGAAAUUUGCUAGUUCUAGCUCCAAGAUAAGUUAAAAAGUAAACAUUCACAAGCUACAAACGUCAUCUUGAGACAUCCUAUCAAUUGUUUACCUUGUUAAGACUUAGGAUAUCACAAAAGAUGCCUUUUUUUUCUUAUUUUGUAUCUUUACCUUAACUAAGCUUAAGAAAUAUAAAAGACUUUGGUCCUUUCUUAUUCCUUUUUCCUAUCGUUUCAAUCCCCAGGAUGUGCAUAUCUGAGACCUCAGUUUAAUAAAGAGGAAGAAAUUAAAGGCUUAUAUCUUUUGGUCAAUAACUUAUGUAGGACACUAACGUGUAUUUUCCACGUACUACAUGUCAGAACUUCUAUUGUAUGUUGUACAAAUUCAGUACUUAAGAUCAAACCAAGAUAAAAUAUCCAUUAUUUCUAUGUAUAUACAAUGCAGACACUUCUUUACGCGAAUGACAAGGUUUGAUCAGAGAUAAGGAAAUAAAGUACUUAAAAGGUUCUGCAAUAUUUGAGUUGGCUGAAUAUACUUCUAAAAUGUUAGCAUUCGUUGAUAUUCAAACACAUGGAAAUAAGAUAAAUUGCGAUGUAAUUUCACAAAGGGUUCCAUAUCCCAACAUAUACAAAUGACCCGACAAAUGCUCCUUGUUUUUCCAUCUUUACCAAUGGCUUCCUAUCAGAGUCAAUUCCUUAUAUUGUCACUCAACUUAUCAAAAUGUCUCGCUAAAGUCAUUUAUCUUUUUUCUUUAUUCCAAUAAUAUCAUUCAAGUUUGUGCAUUUUCCUUACAAACUAACAAUUGUUAAAAGUGACUCAAAAAUGAUCAAAAUAGUCCAUCAAGUUUGAAAUUUGAAUUUAAAUAGUCCUUAUUUUUACAUGAAAUAUUAAUAGGCCUCCAAUUAUUUUUACUUUUGUACUUCUUAAAUUAAUUUUUAAUAUAUUUUAUCAAUAAGUGCAUAAUAUAAUUUAAAAUGACACAAAUCAUAAUAUUAAAAAUGAAUUAAAAAACAAAGAAUGUUAAAUUAAAGCUUAAAAUAGGUAGUUAUAUUUUGAAUGAAAUAAACAAGAAGUACAGUUAUUGUCCAAAUUGGUAAAUGUAUUUAGUUUUUACAGCCAACUUGACGAGGCGAUAUAAUUUUCUCUAAAAUAAUAUCACAAGAUUGAUAAAAAUAAUAUUAAAACCUUAAAACAUUUUUAAGUUACAAAAUGGUUAUACAAAAUCACCUAAUUUUAUUUGAUAGUGAAUGAUUGAUGUUAUUAUCAUGGUAUCCGUUAAUAUGAAUUAUUUUUUAAAAUAAAAAUCCUUUAACAUAUUUAUAUAUGGUUCUUCUACUAGCUAGAGACCUUAAUUUUUUUUAUUUGCAGGAAUUCAUCGUCUUCUUUAUGAAUUAUAAUUUUUUCGACAAUAAUUUGGAGUAGAAGAAACUAAAAACUAACUUGAACUAUUUUAUCAAAAAUAAAUAUUAAUUCUAAAAUGAAUAAAUAUAGAAUAUUCUUUUAUUAUUGAACUCCUAAGUUUCCAAAUAAAUACAUUAAUAUUAUUUUAUUAUUGAACUCCUAAGUUUCCAAAUAAAUACAUUAAUAUUAUUUUAUUAUUGAACUCCUAAGUUUCCAAAUAAAUACAGUACAUAUAAGCUUAUUUCUAACAAUUUUAAUUACAACUUUUGGUGGACGUCAUUAGAUUUAAUAUCGCAGUUUGAAGUUGAAAGAAGAUUGUACUCACUAAGUUUUAUAGUUGAAAGUUUAUUGAUAUUUCGUAUUGUUAACUAAUAAGAAUCAUUUAAAUUCAAAGUUCAAACUUAAGGGAAUUUUUUGAUCAUUUUUUUCUCAUCUUUUGAGUCACUUUUAGCAAUUAUUGAUUUUAAAGAAAAAUGAAUAAAGUUCGAUGAUAUUAUUGGAACAAAAAAAAAGAUAAAGGACUUUAUUGAGAUAUUUCCCUAAGUUGAGUGACAAUAUAAGGAAUUUACUUCUUCUUAUCACUAUAGCAUUACAGUAACAGCCAGCAAACGUUCCAACAAAUGAAUAAGCUCAGACCACCAAAAUCGAAAACAUAAUUUGUUAAAAACUUUCGAUAAACUAACACGAUGGAGCUUCAAAAAACUCAGUUUGCAUACGAGUUAUUGUAAGAAUUUGUUUGACCAGGCAAGAUACCUCAACUUGGUCUUAGCUGACAACUAAACACUCUAGAUCCUUACCACUAUAUCUCAUGAACAUAUGACACUGACGUGGCACAUUAAUUUGUAAGAUGGAAGUGUUCAACUGGCACAGUUGACAUAAGCUGAAGUAUCUAGAUGUGGAAAUCGGAGUAUUUACCAUGUUUAUUUAUCAUUAUGCCCAAAAAGAUAAAAAAGUUAGUUUCUCUUUCUUUUUUUUUUUAAAGAAGAUUUCUAUGAUCAGAUCCUUCAAAAGCUAGCUCUUAGAAACAUUAAAACAAACAGCUUAAACUUGAUACAUGAACAUAACCUAUCUAAAUUGUUUUCCCUAGCUCAAAAGUCAAUUUAUUUCUCUCAAAGUCACAAGUGAUGGAAGUCCACAAAACACUACGCUAGCUUUUGGCCAUUAUUUCGAUGUGUACAUUGUUUAAGACACGAAUGACCAGGUUUAAUCAGAGAUAAGAAAAGAAAGUACUUAGAAGGUUCUGCAAUAUUUGAGUCGGCUGAAUAUACUUCUAAAAUGAUUGUUAAAAGGUGUAAGGAAAGGUUCAUUUAACAUCAUAAUUAGGAAGACCUGAGCAGGGAAAGAAGUAGCCGAACUUAAACUGAUUUGGAGAAAUAUUUGUACUGAGGGUGCAAAUGAGUCUAUUUACAAACUUAGAAUGAGUAUUGCAUACUGAUAGGGGUGUUGAUGGUUUGGUUUAGAUCGGUUUUUUAUUAAAACCAAAACCAAACCACCACCACCACCACCAACAAACCUAGUGUAUUCCCACCAAGUGGUAAUACAAGAUGAACAAGAUCAAGUUCAUAACAAAAGAAACAAGUAACAACAAGAGCAAUAAGAUGUCAACAAUGCUAGUGAAUCGAAAUAGGCUACACACGGCUUCACUAGACUUCAAUAUGAACAACAAAAAGAUGUCAACAAUGCUAGUGAAUCAAAAUAGGCCACACACGGCUUCACUAGACUUCAAGAUGAACAACAACAAGAGCAACAAGUUGUCAACAAUGCUAGUGAAUUGAAAUAGGCCACACAUGGCUUCACUAGACUUCAAGAGGAACAACAACAAGAAGAUAACAACAUUAGUGAAUCAAAAUAGCCCCACACGACUUUACUGUGUCACGGUAUAGAACAGUGAACUAAAUCAAACAAAUCAGAAAUUUAAGCUAUUAUUACCAAUUUUCGUCGGUGUGUAGAGAAACUCAUCGAACCUCCAGUGUGCAACGAGCCACCCGUUUGAGAUGCUCUGUUUGCCUUUGCUCGUUUCCUCCUUUCCCUAUAUUUAGGAGUAUCCCAUUUUUCCAAAAACUGAUCCUACACAUUAGCAUUCAGCCAUCCAGUUUUUUCCAAGUGCCUCUAGGCCUCAUACAAGUGUUCUUUGAUACGUUAGUUGCUUUCAACUUGAAAAUGCGUUGUAUUUCAUUAUCAUGACACGAAUAUAAAGGUAAAUUCAUCAUUGAUAGCAUACUGAAAUGGUAAAUUCUUUGAUUUGAUUAUACCACAAACUGAUUCCACAUAAGCACUCUGAUGUAGAGUAGAAUCUCGUUCCAACUACCCCACGACUCCGUGUAAAAUGGUUUAAUUGUUUCUAUAACCAUAUAUCCACCGGCAUAAGCGGGAAUGAACCUGCAAUAAAAUUACAUUAAAUUAUCUUAGCUUUCAAAACUUUUAAAAAUUACAAAAAAACAUAAUAUUUACUUACCCAUUAUCAUCAGAGGAGAUAAUUAGCCUCCCGUUGCCGUCAUAUUCUACUACCUCUUUAAAUUUAGGAAUCUAGGAAGCAGCUACUAUAGCAUUAGAUGCUGUAGCACUAUCAAUGUAGGUCAAUAUUGAUGUAUUGGGACCUUUAAUUCUCAAUCCAGAAAGGCUAGGUAUGGAUGAUGUUGAAGGUACAGAUGAAGAGUUACUAUGCAGACUAUUAUGGGAAGAAUAGGGCUGGAACUGGUGGGGCGGUGGGGGAAUGAAAAAUGUAUUUGGUAGUGAAAUAGUUACCCUUGGAGGAGGAAUAAUAUUUGUAGUAGCCGGUUGAAGAGUUGGGGUAACAGGUUGUGGUGGUGGUGGUGUAUAUUAACCUUUGGAAAGAUUAUCAAGUCCUUUCUUACGCCGUCCAUUACCAUGAACUUUUGAGGCCAUUGAUUUUCUUUAUUAACCACCUGGAAAAAAAUAACACAAAAAGGAGUUAGUCUGUGUUAUGCUGCCCAUAUAUGUUUCUUAGAUUAAACCAAAACUAAAUUUUGCAUUCCCUGUAGUACUGAGUGAAAGAAAGUCGCAUCUACCAGAUGUAUUGCUAAAAAGUAGUCUCUGCACAUGUGAUUGGAGUAACCAGAACAUCACCUCUUUUAUUUUCAUAGUGCCAUCUCAUAUGAGAGGCAAAGCUUAUUGAUGCAUACAACCUCUUUAACCGUGGUAUAAGGGGUAAGUAAUGCAUCGACUUCACAGGAACCUUCUUCCCUUUACCAUGUCUGACUUUCUUAUAACGAGGCUGAUUACAAAAUUUGCAAUGUCCUAGAUUUGAAUCUUCCUUAUAGAAUAACAUGCAACCUUUCUCGCAACAGUGAAUCCUCUCUGAUGAAAGUCCUAACUUAGAAACCAACUUCUUUGUUGUGUAGAAAUCUUUGGGUAAGUCACGUUUAUUUAGGUUAAGUUCAUUCAUAAGUCCAAUGAUAAAGUUCAUGCCCUCUUGAGAAAUUGAAUAAUCUGACUUAAUACUUAGUAACUGAACGACAAUAGAUAACUUAGAAUGCACUGAUCCUUCAUAUAAUAGAUGACUAGCUUCCUUUAACUGUUCAUAAAAGUGUUUAGCCUCACCAUUUGGUUCAUUUUGAGCCCCUGAGUGUGUCCCAAAACCAUCCCUGACCAUCUCACUAUAUCGUGAACUUUCAACAUUAUUCUCUCUUAUUGGACUUUUAACAUAAUUUUGAAAAGCAAAAUUAUUAGCAGCACUACUCUUUCCAUGAGCUGUCCACACAGUAUAAUUCAACAUAAAAUCCUUCCUAUAAAGAUGUAACGUAACGACAUCUAGACUCAAUAACUUGCAACACUUACAAUUCCAGCAAGGAUACCUAAUUGUCCUUUCAAUAAGAAAAUCAUUAAGUGUCAUUGCUUUAGCAAUAAAUUCAGCUAUCCCAGCUUUAUAUACUUCUCUCAACCCCGCACGGUUAGGAUAAAGUCUUAUAUACAUCCAUGUACGAUCUUUAUUUUCCAUCUACAUAAGAAUGGAAACAAUAAUAGAAAAGAAAACAAUAACAGGGUUGUUUAGAGAUGCUACUACACAGUGGACAUAAGCAGAAAACUAAGAGAUUCAAUACAACAUAGUAAAGAAGCCAGCAACAAUAGAAUAUUUUAAUUAAAAGAAGAAUUUUUUUAUCAGUGAAAGGUAUCCAAUCCAUGUGAUAGCUAUUUACUUGUUUAAUAUCUUAGAAUUUUUCUAUCAGCAACAAUAACUAUUUACUUGUUUAAUAUAUAUGUAUGACAUUUUUUGUGGCCAGGAGCAAUACUUGGAGAGGGAACAAGUGCUACAAUGUCUGAUGAUGAAGAUGAGAUAUAGAUGGAUUUUUCAUUAGACCAAUCUGGAGGUGAUGCACAUGACUUGAUAGGUAUGGGAUUUGGUCUUCCUACUGAAUCUGAAAGGUCUCUAAUGGAGAGGGUCAUACAUGAACUCAAAAUUGAGCUCAAACAGGUAACCUCAAAAACCAUGCAUAUGAGCAAGUUUUUUAAGAUAAGUAUAAAAAGAAAUAUCCAAACAGAGAGCUGAAGGAGGCAUGUAGACCUGCUGCCUUACCAACUCAAAAACUAACCAUUUCACCUCUUUUUUAGUUUGACAAGAACUUUGUUGUUGAUACUUAUCAAGUGCUAAUUUGUAGCUUCGGAUAUCAUAGCUAUCGUUUGGUUGUUGCAGGGAUUUAGAUCAAGAAUUGAAGAUAUGAAGGAAACUGAGAAAGAAAAGAGCAGGGAAGAUACCUGGUGAUACCACUAUUGUUUUAAAGAAUUGAUCGCAGCAACACUCUAAAUGUACUUAUCCUACUGUAAGUCACUCACCUAAUAUAUAGUAAUUAUUUCUUGUGAAACCUUAAAAUUCCUUAGUUCCUGAUUAAGUUGUACGGACUCUUCACUUUUUAUGUACCCGUUGAUAUCUUUGAAUGAAGAGUCCCAGCAACACAGGUUCCUGAAACACUCUCUUGGCAUGGAUUAACUAACUCUAGUAAUAUAAUGUCAUAAUAUAUAUUCAAUUUAGUUUCAAACAUAGCAUUAAAAAGCAGAGAAUAAAUAGACAACAAUCUGGCACCAGAUAUUGGUGUUGCCAAUGCAGCAGCUACAGUUGAAAGAGAUAUGAGGGAGAGGAAAUAGAUAAAAGUUUCAGAUGCAAGGGUUCAUUAUUAAGUUUUUUGCUCUCUUAAAUAUGAUCAUCUAAUUAAGUGGGUCAGAUUAGAUAGUCCACACCAAUGUAUUGUAUUCCUUCUUUAAACUACCUUAGGUCCCCCCGUAGAGGAAUCCAUUUGUACAAUACCAAAGUGGAUAUGCAUGCAACAUGGAUAAUUCAAGAAAGUGUCUUGACAAAUCCCAUAUUAAACCCUGAUGUUUUCCUAUCUGGUUGCUUUCUAGCUGGCAAAUAUAGAACUCAGAUGAGAUUUUUCUCGUACUUGGUUUCUGAGUCGAACGUUGUUAGAUUCAUAUUGACUUGAUCAACCUGCAAUUGAAUCAUAGAUAGAGGGUCUGAAGACUAGGGCUUGCUGAUUAGUUUGCUCUAUUCUAUUAUUGUAACUACGCAAACAAAUCACAUAGGCAUAAGGUGACUAAAUUACCCUCAUCAAUAAGAAAUUCCAAGGGCAAAAAAAGACAAAUAACUCGUAAAAGCCACACAUCUAGAAGACCAAGAAGGCAGAAACCUCAGCUUAGCCUAAAGGUGAAAAAGGCAAGCUCUGUAUGCAACAAGCUUUACACAUUGUUGGACAUUGAAAAUUUACUAAUAAUAGAAAAAAAAAAGAUUCACCAAGUAGGUUUAUUUUUUACCUCGAAUCAGUGAAAUUGACUAUCGUCGUUACCACUUUUUGCGAGAGACGCAACCUUUACGGCCAACUUUUGAGAGAGACGCAGAGAGAAGAGAGCCGAGAGAGAGAAGAAAGACGAGAGAGAAGAGAGAAGCAUGCCCUAGAAAGAGGAAGUGAGAGAGAGAGAGAGAAUUGAGAAAGUUGUGUGUUUAGGGUAUAUUAAAAGUAAAUUUCUGACUACUUCAGUCGGAAAUAAAUUUAAUAUGUUUAAUUAUUUAAAGUUUCUGACUACUUCGGUCGGUUAAGUAUUUAAUAUAAUAAAUUAUGUAUUGAAAUUAAUUUUUUAUAAGAUUUCCGACUACAGUAGUCGGAAAGAAUUUUAUUUCAUUUAAUUAUUUAAUUUUUCUGACUACAUCAGUCGAUUAUAUAUAUUUGAUAUUUGAUACUUACAAUUUAAUUAUUUAUUUAAAUUAAUUAAUCAACUUAAUUAAAUAUUUAAAUUAAUUAAUACAAUGUGAAAGACUACCGUGUAACUUAUAUUUUACAUAUAAUUAUUUAUUUAAUAAUUUAAUAUAAUAUUUUGACCACUACAGUCAAUACAAAUUAAAUAUAUUUAAUUAUUUAAUUAUUUAAUUAAUUAUAUUUUUUACUACAGUAGUCGAAAAUACAUAUUUAAUUAUUUAUUUAAAUAAUUAUUUAAUUUUGGUGUAAGGUACGAUUAUAUAUUUACUAAUAUAUUUAAUUAAUUAUUUUUAUUUUCGACUGCAACGGUUAGAAAUAUAUAUUUGAUAAUUUAUUUUACUUAUUUUUUAAAUUUCGCAUAAGGAACUGCUUAUACAUUUAGUAAUAUAUUUAUUUAAUUAUUUAUAUUUACGACUACGGUGGUCGUAUAUAUACUUAAUUAUUAUUAAUUUUAUUUAGUUAUUAGUAUUUUCGACAACAGUAGUCGAAAAUAUAAAUUUAAUAAUUUAUUUAAAUAAUUAUUUAAUUUUUCAUAUAAGGGACUGAUUAGAUAUUUAGAAUUAUAUUUAUUUAAUUAUUUAUAUUUCCGAUAAUGGUAGUCAGAUAUAUAUUAAAUUAAUUAUUAAUUUUAUUUAUUUAUUACUGUUUUCGACUACUAUAGUCGGAAUAUAUAUUUUUCGAAAUUUGGCGCCAAACAUUCUAAUUGUUUUUGUCACAAAAAGUAUUGAAAUUCUUUUUUAUAAAAAAUAAAAAUAAAAAAAUAAUACUUUUGAUCAAAGUAGUCGAAAAUUUUCGACUACGUUUUUCAGUCGGAAAAUAGCAAAUUUCUGGUAGUGACGUAUAACAAUCUCUACAUCCCAAAAGGUUAUCGGGGUCAAAUGGGUGAAAUAGCCAAGGACAUAGGUUUCGGCUAUUCCCAUUUGUCCCUAUGGUGCCAUCCCAAAACUUAGGCAUACCCUCUUUAUCUCCAUUAGAAUUAUCAUGAGCAAAAAGAGGAUUGAGAAACGUACUCCACAAGUCAACUUCAAAUAUAGGGUUCUCAUGUAUGCACUUACUACUAGUUUCAAGAUCUUCACUAAGAGUAUGCCCAAUAUAAUAAACACGUAACGAAGAAGUAGAUGGAAUUUCUAGACAUGCACCAAUUUCUCUUUCAAGAGAGUAAUCCCCACCUAGAUAUAAAUCACCACGGGAAGCAAAGGGAUCACACACAAAAACAUUAUCACAAGAACAAUCACAACUAGGGUUCCCAAGCAAUACAAGGUUACCUUCACCCGAUCGUUCCCUUUCUCGGCUUCCUUGAGCAAGACUAUCAAUAAGGCCUUCAUCAUACAACAUGCUCAAAGAAUCAUAUCCAACCCCAUGAUCAAAUCGAUCAACACCAAGAGUAUCACUACGGGAAGGCUCAUGCAACUCCUUAGGCAAACCACCAACCACACCCACUUGGCUACUACUAGCCACAUCAUGAUAUUCUAAGUUCAUAGGAGUGUAGGGGAGAUCAUUUUUACCUUGUAGCUCAUAUGAUCUACGGCCUUCAUAUUGACGUGGGUCCAGGCAGCCCAUUCCCUUGGAACACCCAUAUGAUCUAACAUUUAUCACUUCCCAUUGACAGGCCAUGGCUUCAAGUUUAGCCAAAAUAGCACUUGUGGUGUCAUUGCCCAAGGUUUGAGAGGUUGACGCCGCGGGUUUCAUUGCAAUUGUACCUAAAUAAAAAACAAACCUAGAAAAGAAAAGAAAACAAAACAAUUAGUUCACAAAAUCCUCACCACACUCUUACACACUUUGAUUAUCUCACACUUGGUCCAUCAAGUGUUGUAAACUAGCUAGCAAUUUGUGAGAGCUUGGGAGCGAUUCUACUCUUUGGGUCGAAAUGUAUUUUUGUUUUGAAGAAUCAAAAAAGUUUUGUACAUACUUGAACCAAGAACGACUACGAAUUAUAAAUGAAUAAAGCACCACAAGUAAAGCUAACACGAAAGAAGUACUCAAAAACUAGUUCACAACUUAGUAGAUACUUACUAGUUGCCAACUAGUGUAGGAGUCAACAAAAUGAAACUAAUGGAGACAAAGAAAGAAACUAGGAAUUCCAAGAAUUUGAGUCUUGUUGAUGACGUGGCCAAUAACUAUUGGAUGUAGGAUAUGUUGUUGAAGUUGAAGAAUUUUUUAUUCCAAAACUUUAGUUGUUCAAUCUCACUCCUUUGAUGAAGAAAAAUUCAGUUAUGGUCUAGUUGAACAAGAUUUUAGACUCUCUUUUCAAGAGUCAAAAAGUCUUCUAUCAACUUUUCACCAACUAACACUCUUUUAGCGAAACAUCUUUUUGGAGUAGCCUUGUCUCUUUCCUCCUUUGUCUAUUCUUGAAAAGUGUUGUUACUCCCUUUUGGUAACUAUAAUUUUUGAACACCUCUUUUUUUUUUCCACUUUGGUGUUGACUUGAAAGUGUUUCCAAGACAAACACAAAGCCUUAUCACUCUUUUCUCUUUAAAAAAUGAAACAACACCUUUUGUUGAACACCACUUCAAGAAAAAUAAGAACAACAACAACUUUCUAGCCGCCUAACCUUCAACAACAACUUGCCAAGAACUCAAAUCUUGGACUUAGACUCAAUAAGUGUUAGUGAACAAUAUUCUAACACAGGAAACUACUGUCACACCCUUUUUUACACAAAAAAAGAUCGAUUUUAAGCUUCGAAAGGGUUUUAUUAUUAAAGUGACAAGAGAUGAAAGUUUGUUUCGAAAAAAGGGCUUUUUACAUUUAAACUCAGAGUCGCCACUCGACAUAAUCUGGUGUGCCAAGUCACCUUUGAAAGAUCCUUUUCAAAAUGAUUUGACUCUUUAAAAUGGUUUGCAAACAGAGAUUCUGGCUAAGGAAUUCUGUUGACCGAGGGGAAAGUGUUAGGCACCCCUCGAUCCCGUGGUUCGACCACGGUCGCUUAGUGGAGCAUAUCGGCGAAUUUGACAUUAUAAAAUGUAUAAACCACAUAAACACACAAAACAAGCAAACAAACAAAUCAAACUAAAUUCAAAACCACAAUAAUGUCUAGUCCAAACUAUACAGCCACAAAAAAUAGAAAAAUACGAAAAUAUAAAUCCUAUUCUAGACUAAUCCUAAAUUAUGCUCCAAUGCUUUACCCGAUGCCUCGGGCCUUCAUCACGACUGCCUUCCGCCAACAUAAUAUGUUGGGGCAUUCCCCAGUGUAUAAAUACAAGUGAUCACGGGGUAUUUCCCGACUAAAUGAAUACAUUGUCCAAAUGCGAGAAAGACAAAUCAUUCCACAAACAUUCCAAAUACUCAAACAAUCCAUAAGUUCUAAAUUUGCCUACCUGAGCCUACUAUUGCCUACCCCGCUCAAACUAUCAAUCAAGGACAUCAAUGAAUCAAAAUGACAACAUUCACUUUAUCAACUUUCAAUUCCCGUCCCACUUAUUUCUAAUUAAGUUUAAAUCAUUCAAUUCAAACAAUCAAUAUGAUGAUCCAAACAUAUCAAAAUCAAUGAAAAUAAAAGCCACACAGCAUGAAUUCAACACAUAAAGCAUCAAAUGAUUAAGAUUAAUCGAGAAGGAGAUGAGAAAUGGACCUCGAUUUUAUUUCGAACAAUUAUCGACGGUUCAAAGCUCACGAACCAACGAACCUCGACCAACCUCAAGAUCAACCCAUCAACUCGAUUUGAGAAAUUACAAUCUGAAAUAAGACAGACGAACCAACGAAUAAUGAAGCCCAAAUCCCAAGUCCAAUAUGAACAAACGACACUGUUUAGGAUCAAUUUUUAACUGACGACGCCAUUUUCCGGCGGAUUCCACCAAAAAUAGUAUGGUCGGCAAUGCUAUUUUCUAUUGCUAAAUCAACAAGUUUCCGAUGAAAAAUCUUGCUGUUAACCAGUCAAAACAACUCUGUGCCAUCACCUUCACUAGUUUUUCCCUCAAUCUCCUCACUCGUUCUCUAUCUGCAUGCGUAUAUUGUUUGGUGUUGAUAGAGGAAUAUAUGUGGUAGUGUGUGUUCAUCAAUGAAAAUCAUGAAUCAGUGUGUGCUGGGGUGAUGUAGUGAGUUAAUGGACAAAGAAAAAAAUCGAGUUCUAUGAGUAGUCAUGAAGGAUAGAAGAUUAUUUUUGUAAGUUUUUUUCCCCCUAUGGUGCCUAUUACGUGAGUGGACCCCAUUGAUGAUGGGUUUUCUUUGUAUAUAUGGAGUGUAAUUUGGGGAAUCUUCUCUAGGUCCCCCAUGGUGGGUGGGUGUAGGUGUGCUGGGUGUAACUGUGUAGUGUAUAUAUAUUUUUUCUAUUUUUGAUGCCUUUUCCUAUAUCAAUGAAAUGGUGUGGUCCCCUCAAUUUGUUGUGAUAUGUUCCUUAUCCUCCUUUUCUGUUAUGGUGUAAAAAAAUGUAUAAAGGGCUAAGGGUAGGAUAUGGGCUGGGGGGUCACGUGGGGGGUAGGGUAGGUGAGGGUAGGGGUAUGGGUUAAUUAGGUGUCCGCUUUUCAUUGGAGAGGUUGUUAGGAUAGGAUUAAAAUUGGUUAAGAAAUUUGUUAUUUGGGAUAAAAAAAAUGAUGAGAUGGUUGUUAUUGAUUGAGAAUUUGGUUAUUAUUUUUUUUGUCCUUUUUGUGAAGAGAUUAUCACACGGGUGAAAGCAUAUCGUAAAACGAGGGUAAAAAUGGGUGAAACUUACUCUCAGGAGGGACAAAAUUAGGUGUAUACAUCAUGCCCCCUUUGAAUGUAAACACAAAGUGUUUUCAGACAAAGAAGUAGACAAUGAGACAAAAUUUUGUCCCGACCAUUAUUCAAAAAGAAUGAAAUAGAAAGAAGGAGGGAGACCAAAUCUUGAUUUAGGACAUCCUACCUACCCAAGUUAUGAGGGAAUCAAUUCAAGGGUAUCUCAAAGGAUUAGAAAGAGAAGGACUAUACCGAGUUGGAGAGUCGAGUGAGGUUCCAUCGAGGUUCUGGUCCGUGGCUCUGUCAUUACAUCAAAAAUGAAAAUUACAAGUUUAAAACAUAAAUGAAAUUACAAAAACUCUAUCCAUGCAGCUUUCCUUGACUCUUGACUUGCUACUUCAUCACCCUAUUUUUCAGGCGGACUCCUAACUUGUAAUUUUUUCACCCUAUUCUUCAAGCGGGCUUCUGACUUAUAAUUUUUUCACCCUAUUCUUCAGGCGAGCUCCUGACUUACAAUUUCAACACUCUGUUGCUUGGUUUUUAAUCGAUUCACCUUGUUGCUUGACUUUUAUUUGUUCGCCCUGUGCUUCGGGCGGGCUGUAAUGUUGCUUGAAUUAUCAAAACAAGGAAGUGCGUCUCCUUACAAAUGUUUCUUGAAUUAUCAAGACAAGGAAGUGCAUCUCCUUACAAAUGCCGGUUGAAUUACCCAAAUGAGGAAGUGCGUCUCCUUACAAAUGCUGCUUGAAUUACCUAAACAAAGAAAUGCGUCUCCUUACAAAUGUUAAUAGAAAUGCCCAAACAGGAAAGUGCGUCUCCUUACCAAUGCCGCUUAAAUUACCAAAACAAGAAAGUGUGUCUCCUUACGAAUGCUGCUUGAAUUACCCAAACAAAGAAGUGCGUCUCCUUACAAAUGUUGCUAGAAAUACCCAAAUAGGAAAGUGUGUUUCCUUACCAAUGCCUCUUGAAUUACCAAAAUAAGAAAGUGUGUCUCCUUACCAAUGCCGCUUAAAUUACAAAAGCAAGGAAGUGUGUCUCCUUACCAAUGCUGCUUGAAUUACCCAAACAAGAAAGUGCGUCUCCUUACAAAUGUUGCUUGAAUUGCCCAAACAAAGAAGUGUGUCUCCUUACAAAUACCGCUUGAAUUACCAAAUAAGGAAGUGCAUCUCCUUACAAAUACCGCUUGAAUUACCAAACAAGGAAGUGCGUUUCCUUACAAAUGUUUCUUGAAUUACCAAACAAGAAAGUGUAUCUCCUCACCAAUAUCGCUUGAAUUAUCAAAAUAAGGAAGUGCGUUUCCUUACAAAUAUUGCUUGAAUUACCCAGAUAAGGAAGUGCAUCUCCUUACAAAUGUUGCUUGAAUUACCAAACAAGAAAGUGUGUCUCCUCACAAAUGCUGCUUGAAUUGCCAAAACAAGAAAGUGCAUCUCCUUACCAAUGCCACUUGAAUUACCUAAACAAGAAAGUGUGUCUUCUUUGGAAGUGCAUCUCCUUAUGAUACCGCUUGAAUUACCAAACAAGGAAGUGCGUCUCUUUAUCAAUGCCGCUUGAAUUACCAAAACAAGGAAGUGUGUCUCCUUACAAUGUUGCUGGAAUUACCAAACAAGGAAGUGCGUCUCCUUAUAAAUAUCUCUUAAAUUACCCAAACAAGAAAGUGCAUCUCCUUAUAAAUACCGCUUGAAUUACCAAACAAGAAAGUGUCUCCUUACAAAUACCGCUUGAAUUACCAAACAAGAAAGUGUAUCUCCUUACAAAUGUUGGUUGAAUUGCCCAAACAAGGAAGUGUGUCUCCUUACAAAUACCGCUUGAAUUACCAAACAAGAAAGUGUGUCUCCUUACAAAUGUUGGUUGAAUUGCCCAAACAAGGAAGUGUGUCUCCUUAAAAAUACCACUUGAAUUACCAAACAAGGAAGUGCGUCUCCUUACAAAUACCGCUUGAAUUACCAAACAAGGAAGUGCGUCUCUUUACAAAUGUUGCUUGAAUUACCAAAUAAGAAAGUGCAUCUCCUUAUAAAUAUUGGUUGAAUUGCCCAAACAAGGAAAUGCGCCUCCUUACAAAUACCACUUGAAUUGCCAAAUAAGAAAAUGUGUCUCCUUACAAAUACCGCUUAAAUUACCAAACAAGGAAGUGCGUCUCCUUACAAACAUUUCUUGAAUUUUCCAAACAAGGAAGUGCAUCUCCUUACAAAUACCGCUUGAAUUACCAAAUAAGGAAGUGCGUUUCCUCACAAAUGUUGGAAUUACCCAAACAAGGAAGUACGUCUCCUUACAAAAUAUCUCUUGAAUUACCCAAACAAGGAAGUGCAUGUCCUUACAAAUGUCUCUCUAAUUAUCCAAAUAAAUAAGUGUGUCUCCUAGAGAUAUUGGAUGAUGAGUUUUACUAUGGUUUUGAUUACCAAGCUUGUGCAAUAAUAUUUUCUCCUGCAUUUUUGGAAGUGAGGCAUUGCAAAUUUUGAUGUUUAGGCUUUGAAAUUCUUGAUUCGAAGGUAACAUGUGUUCCUGUUUCAUACAAAGAAAACUUGUUAGCUUAAAAACAUGGUGGAUGGUUUGUGGCUUUGGCUUUCAUGGAAAUCGCUGUUGCCCCUGUCACAUUAAUCUUGCUUUCAACCAUUAGCAUAAGUCAUUGACUCACUGCAUCACUAAUUCGAACUCAGAUUAUUAAGAGUGACUCUGAAACAAAUAUAGUAUUUCUGUUUUGCCAUGCUUCUUAGAUAAACACUUUGAACCUUGAUAUUUCUAUAAGUUCCCAGACUUGUCUGUUGAUAAAACUUUCAGCAUGCCUUAUUUCGGCUCACAAUCAUGUCUCUUUCAUGUGUUGGCCUUUUGUCUUGCUUUGUGCAAUUGAAGAAGCUGGUAGCCAGUUUUGAGAUCUUUUCUCACUUGUUUUGACACAGACUUGACUCAAAGACAAGAAACGAAAAAAAUAAUGACAAUUUUUGUUUGGAUAAUUGACUCAAGAAAGAUAAAAUAAAAAUAAAGAUAAGAAAGAAAAGACAAUGAAUGUCCCCUUUUGAAACAAAGAAACGAAAAAUUCAUCUAAAAAUGACAGUCAACACUAAUGAUUAUGCCAUGCAUUUUGGAUUAAGCAGCUUGAUAUUUUCAUCCAAACUUUCUUUCCAUUGUUGUUGAGUUAAUGGCCUUGAAACUGAGUUGCUUCCUUAGGUCAAUUGCAUUUUAGUGGCGCCUUGAAGGGUUUUUCGCCAACAAGCUUCUCUCAUUUUCUUUUCCCCAUCUCACCAUUGCCUUAUGGUGUCUGUAAGGGUUUUUCACUAAUGAGACUCUCUUAUCUUUAUUUUUCUUAACUCACAGUCAUCUUACGGUGCCCGUGAGAGUUUUCACCGAUAAGACUCUCAUUUUUAUCUCUCUUCCAAUUUUUAUUACUGAGGUAGAAGAGUAGUUCCCAAAAUACGUCACCACCUUCAUUGCAUGCUUAGUUUUAACAUUCUCAAAGAUUGAUCUGAAGGUCUUUCUUUGGUUGUAGCUUGGCUUUUGGAUAAGGUUAGAAGAAAAGGAUAACAUGAGGCCCAAACGACACUUGAAGUGGGGUGGGAGUUACAAUUUUUGGAAUCGACUCAAACAAUGAGGAUUAAAUCAUGCCCCAAUUUAUUUUAAUUGGGCAAGUCUAAAUUGUUUAUUUGGUUGGACCGAGCCCUUAGUAGGGCAGCCUAUGUAUCUCAUCCCCAAGAGAGGAGAAUCAGGUCAUGCGUAGUUCUAGCAGCUUGUUCUUCCACUUGAUUCUAAAUUUUUUUCUUUUGUUGACUCUUUUUCUCUUUGAGACUUUUCUGAUUUUAUUUUUCUUGACAUUCUUCUUUUUUUCCUUUUGGACAUAUUUUCUUUUUCUUCUUUUUCUUUUUUUUUUUUGAAAUUUUUCUGACUCUAUUAUUUUGCUCAACACUUUUUUUUUAGCUUUGCUGACUCUAUCUUGAUUUCAAAAGAGGGGUAUGAAAGAAAAUAGAACUAAAGCUCAAAUGGGGUAAACAAAGGAUGACAUGAUGUUUGGAUAGCAGAAUGAAAUGCCUUCGUCAUAUCAAUCCUUGAAAAUGCAAGUACAUAUCAUGCAAUAUGAAUGGGAGACGAAGAUCAUUUGUGACAUCCUUUAAGCAUUAACUUUGACUGAGUCUGUGCGUCGUUACUUCUUCAGCAAACUCCACCUUUGUUGUACAUUCCUCACAUUGAAUGACUCAUGAUUUUAUGGAGAUGAUUUUCUUUCUGUUCACGCAGCCACUAUUUGACCUAAUUGAGUCAUGUCUUUGAAUUGAUGACCAAGUUAUUCUUGUGAUUCUCAAAAGAAGUUCCUUAAUUUUCAAAGAAGGCUUCAACUUGUCAUCAAACAUCUCAAUACUCUACCUAUUUUCUCGGAUGCUCUCUUUUUCUAACUUUAACCCUCUGAUUCAAUGUUCAUACUUAAACUGGAUUUCAAGAUCUGGCUAAAAAUUCCGCUAGCAUGUCAUAUCACUAGAAUCGACAUAAAAUGUGAUGUGUAAAGAAAACAAAAAUAUAUUUAAAACAUAAAGGGAAAGGGACACUUCAUUUAGUUGAAAUAAAAAAUAGAAAGAUUUGAACAUAAACGACACAGGGACAAAACAAGAUAAAUCCCAAACUACAACCUUGAAAUAAUUCAGAAAAUAGAAAAGAAAACAAAACAAACUACCAGACCUCUUCCUAGUAGGGAGAGUGGUGACUUCUCAAUUGCUCAGUCUGACAACUUAGCCACUGGUUUGCAUAUCAGCAUGACUAGAGCUUCCACCACGAUCAACGUUCUGCAUCAUAAUUAAUUUAUCUUGAAUCAUCUUUUCAAUUUCUCUAUUUAAAGCACGACAAUCUUCAAUACUAUGACCCUGAACAUCAGAAUGAUAUGCACAUCAUACAGCAGGAUCAAAACUUCUUCAAUUCGGGUCAGGAGUAUACCCAAAAAGAGGAGUGAUCAUGCCCCGCUGUACCAAUCUCUAUAAUAAAAUGACAUAUGACUCUCUAAUUGGUGUAAAGUUAUCCGUCGACUUCUACCUUAUUUCAUUAUUUUUCUUGGACUAAAAAUAUGGCCUAGAAGGGCUUCGGUAUGUUUGUGGAGUUUGAAGAUGACUUUGAGGAGUUAGUAUAUGCCAUUGUGGGUAAGAAGGGGAUUGAUCAUAGGGUUGUGCAUUGUAUAUUGGAUAUGUAGGUGGGGGAAUACAGUAUAAUGGAUUUUUAGAAAGAUUAUAUAGAGCUUGGGCAUAAGCUUGGGUUUGAGCCUGUGGGUAAUGAUGGUGUGGUCCUCUUGCCCGUGCCUGUCGUCCAACUACAAUAGCAGAUGCAUCUUCCUCAUACUUCUUUCCUCUCACACUUUCGGAACCUUUUUGAAUUGAUUGAGUAGUCACUUUCAAUGUUGCAAAAACUCACAAUACGGCCGGUCUUAAUUCCAUCCUCUAUCAUCUCCCCCAUUUUAAGGACCUCAAUAAAUGGCUUGCCUAAUGCAGGUAACAAGUGUUGAUAAUAUGUUUCAUUCUGCGCUUGAAUAAAUACCUCUAUUAUCUUACUCUCUGUUAUUAAUGGUUUCACCCUAACAGCUUGUUCACGUCAUCUAAUCGCAUACUCUCUAAAAGUCUCAGUACUUUCUUUCUUCAUGUUAGUUAGGGAUUUCUCAUCAGGAAUCAACUUUAUAUUGUAUUGGAAUUGUUACACAAAUUCAUUAGCUAGGUCAUCCCAACUAAUCCACUCGUUGAUGUCUUGGUCAACAAACCAUUCUGAAGCUAGGCCUGAAAGACUCUCACCGAAAUAUUCCAUGAGUAAUUCUUCCUCCCCCCAGUACCCCUUAGUUGGUUGCAAUAACGUCUCAAAUGUGCUUCAGGAUCUCCAUGUCCAUCAUACUUCUCAAACUUUGGCAUUUUAAAACCAAAAGAAAGAUGAACCCCUGGAAACAUGCACAGAUCUUUAUAUGAAACACUUUUGUACCCCCAAGUCCCUGGAGGUCUUUCAUAGCCAAUUCCAAACUUCUCACUUUUCUGGCCAUUUCCCUUGUUCUUCUGUUAUAACAGGCUUCUCAGUGUUGAGAGGAAAUUCAGGUGGGUGAGUAUAGCCAUAAGGAUUAAUCGACUUAAAUGUGGGCUCAAUAGCAUGAUAUUGAUCAGCAAAAAUAUUCAAUACAGUCUCUCUCGCAGAGUGGGGAGGCACAACUUAUGGAUAAACCUCAAAAGUAAGAGCUUCGGGUGGGGGUGGUGCUGCAAAAACAUGAAUAAUGGGUGGAGCCAAGCAUGUGGUAGCUUUGUGUUGAGGAGUGAGGAAAUGAAUAUUGGAAGUGUUUGGAUAGUGUUGCCCCGGAGCAGGUCCUAAUGCAUGUUGUGGUGUGUCAACAAAAAUAUGAAACUGUGUAUAUGACAUUGGAGGCAAGCUAGAAAGAUAUUCUAGAUUAUCAGCGGGAAAUGGAGAAGGUGGCAACCCAUUAGCCCAAACUCGAUGCAUUUCUAUCAUUUGUUGCCUUUAUUUUUGAAUCUCUUCAUUAGCUCCUAAAUUCUCAUUGCCCGAACUCCCUAUCUGAUCAGUGACAACAAACUCAAUAUCUUUGUUGGCCAUAACUUUCUUUGUGACUUGGUGCAAUAUAGAGGACCAUCCAAAAUGCCACAAACCAACUAAGUGUGGUGUGUUGGGUGUAACUGUGUAGUGUAUAUAUAUUUUUUCUAUUUUGGAUGCCUUUUCCUAUAUCAAUGGAAUGGUGUGGUCCCCCCAAGUUGUUGUAAUAUGUUCCUUAUCCCCCUUUUCUGUUAUGGUGUAAAAAAAUGUAUAAAGGGCUAAGGGUAGGAUAUGGGUUAGGGGGGUCACGUGGGGGGCAGGGUAGGUGAGGGUAGGGGUAUGGGGUAGUGAGGUGUCCGCUUUUAAUUGGAGAGGUUAUUAGGAUAGGAUUAAAAUUGGUUAAGAAAUUUGUUAUUUGGGAUAAAAAAAAUAAAAAUAAAAAUAAAAGAAAAAUUAUGAGAUGGUUGUUAUUGAUUGAGAAUUUGGUUAUUAUUUUUAUCCUUUUUGCGAAGAGAUUAUCACACGGGUGAAGGCACAUGGUAAAGCGAGGGUAAAAAUGGGUGAAACAUAUUCUCGGGAGGGACAACAUUAGGUGUCUACAACUACUAAGACAAACAAAAACACACCUAAAUCUAGACACUAUUCUCGGCCAAACACAACAACAACAACAAGAAGACACUUCGGCCAAGAACAAGAACACUUCAACUCUUUUUUCUUUUUUGUUUUUUCGACUAAGAUAGCCCAAGAUUGGUAGUGUAAGAACACAACCAUCCUUAGAUAUGAUACCAAAUGAUACCAUACGGUAUCUAAGAAGGCUCAAAUUAGUCCACAAACACACAUAAACAGUCCACACGGACAAGACACCAAACGGCAACAACAAACACAAACUAACUUAAGAGAUAAUGGAUAAAUAACUUGACAUAGAGAGAACAUGUAAGAUAAGAACUAAAGAGUAUAUUAAACUCAAAACCCCCUACAAACAUGUAAACUAACAUCAACAGGAACUCGGUUCACUCAAGAACUCACAUUUCUAGCCAAUACACAACACAAGUGGAACCUUCACUUGUGAAUUCAAAUUUUGAUUUGCCUCAAGUAGGGAGAGGACUUUGGUUUCAAAGUGUUUCAAGAACUUACAACAAUAAUCAACUAAGUAAAAAUAAGACUAAAGGGCCUAUUUAUAGUUUGUUAUAACAUAAAGUGUCCAAAAUGCCCUUAAUGAGGGUGGGGUAACCAUGGAGUGUAUUUUUAGCGUAUGAAAUCCCUCAAACACCCCCUAGUGAGAAAAGGAAACCUUUCACUAAGUCCUACACUCCAAGACCGUGGUCCUUCAAGCUUCACAACUUCCGCAAGUCAAGCCACCUUCCACACACGGCUCUGCCUCAUGGAAUGUCCAAAAUGGUCUCCCUAUGCAUGCUCUCUUCUCCUCAAUGUGACCACAAUUGGGUUCUUCAUGAGUUGGGCUCGCAUGAUGUCAUCGAAGGCUAUGAUGGCCAUUUGGCUCGUACCAAGAGAAAUAAUUAAUAACAUGACUAUUUUAUCAUAGUACUUCUAUUAAAUGAUAUUUACAUUUUAGUUUGAAGAAAAAAUAAUUAAUACUAAGGGUAAAAAGAAAAAAAAAUGUCUUUUCUUAAUAUGUAAAAAAUGACAAGUAAAAGUAGAAAUACAAUUAAAAAAUUUAUGCCAAGUAAAAUGAAACGGGGGGGAGUGAAUUAUCCUUUAAAUAUAAUAAAUUUAAUAUUUUGAGAAAUGAAUUAGUUAAUGAAUAAUAUUUAAUAUCGAGCUAACAUGAAUCCAAUGUGAUAAACUAUUCAUUGAUUUCAAACUGAGCAAGUAUUGUUCGACAUCUAUUUUUAACAACAUAAACAAGUACCGCUGAAUAGAGGGAAUAAGUUGCCCUUAAUAAAUAGUACCUUUAAAAAGAUGUAAUUAUUUUGCGCUUUCUCCGUUUUAAAAUAGUUGACAUGUAACGAAUGUGCUCUAUUUUAUUUGUUGAAUGACAAUGGUAUAUAACUAAUUUUUUAACAUGUAUAUGAACUAGUUUUUUUAACGUAUAUACGAACUGUAGAACUAGUUUAUUAACUGAUAUAUAUCAACUUUAAAUUGCUAAGUCUAGAAAAAUACAUGAACUUUAAAUUGCAAAGUCUAGAAAAAUGCAUGAUCUUUUUCCUUAGAUUUUUAAAGUGUGUGCACGUAAACAUGAAAAAGUUAAAAUGUGCAAGUGAGUACUUCGUUUCGUUUUAGUUAACUUAGGUUUUUAAAAAAAAAAAAAAAAUUAAAUGAUAUAAAUUUUGAUUAAUAUUUUAAAAUAUAUUUUUUAAUUUUAUUGAUAAAAGAAAAAUUAUAAUUCAUACUCCAUCAAUUCUAUUUUAUAUACCUCCUUUUGAUCGGAUAUAGAGUUUAAGAAAUAUACGAUGACUUUGUAAAGUUUAAAAAAUUGCUCCUUUUAAAAUUAUUUUAAUGCUUACUUUUUAGUUGUCUUUUCUUAUUAAGUGAGAUUGAUAAAAUGGAGAUGAUGCCAUUAAAUAGUUGCUAAAUUAGAAAAUAUAAUAACAUUUUUUUGAAACAAAUGAAAAAAGAAAAUAUGCCACAUAAAUUGAGACGAACGAAGUAUUAGUUUUCAUAUAAUUUGUGUAUCUAAACUUAUAAUCUAAUAUAGCAUUAAAAAUUAGUAAACAGACUCUUGAAAAACAAAACUUGCCAACUAAAAACAAAAGAGACUUGAGUGGAGAAACCACCAAAAGUGCAUUGCACUAUAUAGAAUAAUAAUACCCCAACGAAUUUCCAAAAAUCUAGACAUCGGAUUCUGAUGUACUAAUAUUCCAAGAGUGAGCUAGUUGUGAUUGUGAUACGUAUACUAUAUGAGAUUAUAUUAACAAAAAAUAUCAUUGUUUGAAUUGGUAGCUGAAUUACUCAUCAAUGCAUUCAAAUCAUAUACUUACUAUAGUUAGUAUGUAUUAAUACUGGCUAUAUGUGGUGGUGAACAAGUGCUACUGAUGAUGAUGAAUUUUGAUGAGCAACUGAUAUUGAACAUAGUAGAUUUUGUUGGGCAACAGCUACUGAACCUCGUAGAUUUUGUUGGACAACAACUACUGAACCUCGUAGAUUUUGUUGGACAAGCGAUAUUGUAUCUAGUAGAAGUGCUACCGAACCUAGUACAUUUUGAUCGGCAACUAAUAAAUUUUCACUGGGAACACCUACCGAAACUGGUAUAUUUUACUUGGCGAAUGCUACUUAACGUAGUAAAUUUUUGUGGGCAGCUACUGAAUUUUGUUGGGCAACUGAUACUGUACCUAGUAAAUUUUGGUGGGCAACUGCUACUGUACGUGGUAUAUUUUGUUGCGCAGCUGCUACUGUCUCCGGUAAUUUUUGUUGUGAAACAGCUACUGUGCCCGGUAUAUUUUGUUGCGCAAUUGCUAUUGUUUGCUGGGAAACUGUUACUGAAGCUGGUAAAUGUUGGUGGGCAGUUGCUACUCAGCUUGGUAAAUUUUGGAUGCCAAUUGCUACUAAAACUAGUAUAUAUUGGUGUGCAACUGUUGGAGAAGCUUGUAAAUUUUGGUGGGCAAGAGUUAUUGGGGCUCAAAAAUUUUGAUUGCCAAGUGCUAUUGUUGUUGCAGAAUUUUUCCGAUCAAGUGCCACUGACGCUUAAGAAUUUUGAUUGGCUAGUGAAGAAUUUAUGUGGCCAACUUGUGAAUCGGUUCAAAAGGAUCAAUCACUGGUUUCACUUAGCUUUACCCCAGCUCAUAACCAUCGCGCUGUUUCUAGCUCUCUUCAUAUAUUAUUGUUACCGCCAUAGUAGAUUGCUGCCCGAAGUAAUGGUUACUUUUUAGUUUUUUUUCCUUUUUUUGGUAAAUAAACAUUUUAUUCCCAAGUAUUGAUAUUUACAGCUGAAAGGAAUGGAACAAAAACAUGCACUGCCUCACCGGACAAACUCAGUCUGAGUGUGCAACAUCUGCAUCUUCUGGUCAUCUAAACAAACCGCUAGUCUUUGUCUGUGGCUACAAUCACAUAGUUGAUAAGGUUAGGAACUCGACCUANNNNNNNNNNNNNNNNNNNNNNNNNNNNNNNNNNNNNNNNNNNNNNNNNCGGAAGAGCACCUCUUGGAUAAUCAGUCAAACGAUGGUUUGUGGAGAUCUUCUCCUGUUCUGAAAGAUAACAUUGUUAAUUCUUCUCUAUUCACAAUUGGUAGACUGCAGCAGCUAAGACGAUCCUGUAUACUCCAGCCCCAGUACUAUGUCCGCAACAAAAUUUCAGAGCCCAUUCUAUUUCCUCUUGCCACGCUAAGCCAUUCUUUAGGAUAUCUUGCCGGGUGAGUAAUUUGCUCCAUAUUUCAAAAGAAUAGUUGUCUCAAAGAAUCAUCAACCUGCUUGCAUAGUGGACAUAAUGGAUCCACGUCAAGUCCUCACUUUGCUUAUUUCUCCUUAGAAGCUAACCUUUCCAGAAUAGCCUAUCGUAGGAUAAAAAUCCAUUUGGGACAGCCAUGGUUAUUGCAGAUGAGUUUCCUCCAAUGCACCUCUGGAAGAGACCCCUGUAAUUUCUUAUACACAUCCUUUCGUAUUGCAAAGUGUGAUGGUAACAUUUUAGUAAAAUCAUUAUUGUCAAUAGAAAAUAUUUCGAAGAUUAAGUUACCGUAAGGUAGUAUAAUUUAGUUGGAUGGCACUUCAUGAAGCAUGUAUAACACAUGGUAAUCUUUUGAAAAAGGGGUUCUAUUGGUAUCGUAGCUGUUUUUACUGUAUUAGAGCGGGUUAGAAUCUCACAUUGGUUGGGGGAGUGGACUAUAAGUCUUGACAAGGUACUGUAUGUGGACAAUGUCUAAAGAGAAGUGUAUGUAUGAAGAUGUACUGUUAUCUGAUGUGCUUGUCAACUAUUCAGGAAGACGUAGCCAAGAAGUUGAAAGAGUUUCUGAGAAGAAAGGAGGCUGAAAGUAUUCGUUUAUCGGAACUUGAGAAGAGGCAAAAGCAGCGUGUGGAGGAAAUGAGAAAAACUCAAAAGAAGGUAUGAGUACUUGACCUCUUUUGUUGUCUAUUUCGUGGCUUUGUGCAGCCUCUUUAUCUUUAUAAUUCUUAUGCUGCCUCUGUGUUAUUUUGUAAUUAUAGCCUCUUUGGAUUUUACCUAGUGUAUAAACCAUCUGAUGAAUCUUUUUAGGACCUAGAGAAUAUGAAGUUGAAGGAGCAGAUACGAGCCGAAGUUGGCAAGGAAAUCAGUAAGAUUGAAAUGACGUGCCGUGAUAUGGCAUCAGUGUUGCGCGGAUUGGGUAUCACUGUUGGUAAUGGCACUAGUCGUGAGGUUUGUUUACACUCAGUCUCUUGUUUUUAGCAAUCAUGUGGCCCUUUUGGUUCACAUUCUUGUAUUGUGUUGGCUGUUGUUAGUGUGUGUUGGGGCUUGGUUCUCAGGAUUUGCGCCAUAUUUCAAGAUGCCGCUUACUUAGGAUUAGCUAGUCUUUAGGAUAUGCAGCCACUUGUGUAAUGUCUUGUGUGUUUUACCUGGGAUUUUGGGAGUUGUACUUGUGUUUGUCUUGCAAUCUUAUCUGAAUGGUCGUGUCUUUCUAUUUUUGAAGUGUUAAGACGCAGUUAGAAUGAUAGCACGUGAGACAUUACUUAGAAUAAGUUCUUGUUUCAGGUGCGCGUUGCUUACAAAAAAGCCCUGAUGAAAUUUCAUCCGGAUAAAACUUCAAGAUCUGAUAUACGACAGCAAGUUGAAGCUGAGGAGAAGUUUAAGCUUAUUUCUCGAAUGAAGGACAAAUUCUUACCAAAUUUAUAGUAGUGUCUCUCUGGUUAUGCAAGUUUUUAGUACUAGUAGACGUAUGUAUAUACAAGGAAAAUAUUAACUCUCCUGACUAUAUUACAUAAUCUGAAAAUCUGCUAUCAUAAUGUGUUCUCUGAUGAAAACAGUGCAAAUAACAAUUCCUUUUUAGGAAUGAUUGAGGAACAUUUUAUCCGGUUUAAGAAUUUUGCUUUGCAAGGGCUACAGACAAUUAAGAAUUGUUGUGUCCAAGAGACGUUAUAAUGGCUGAAGGACCCUUUUUUUGCAAAUGUUAGUGACUGAAUCUUGCUUCCCAAGUGCUGCUGCAGAAGUUAAACAACUUCUUUGGUGGCAAGGAAAAGGAUUUUGGUGGCCAAGUUGUGGAGGCUGCAGCAGGAGAGUUUUGGUGGGAAAUGUAAAAUGUGUUAGACGAGGUGCGUUGUGCUGCUGCGAUGAGCCAAAUGACAAAUGACUUGGAGUCGCUGCAGGAUGCGGGUGAUACGAUGAAGGUCUAGUUGUUCAUGUUGCUUUAUGUUCAUGUUAUGAUCUAAACAUUGUUUUGAUUAGGGGUCGACGUUCGGUAUUCGGUUCGGUAUUUUUAAAGUUUGGGUUCGGUAAUUCAGUAAUCGGUAUUUGAAUAUAGAUAUCACACACCAUACUUAUAAACAUUAGUUCGGUAAUCGGUAAAUUAAACUUCGGUUCGGUUCGAUUUUUGGUAAUACCAUAUUAAAGUUGGAAAUGUGCAAAUGUACGUUUAAACAUCAAAGAUUAUAUUUAAUAAAAACCCUAUUAGUAUUCCUUUUGUUGUUUUUUACGAAUAUAUUACAAAGGUCUAAUAGAUUUUUUGGAAUGACUAAUUCUAUUGUCUAUUGGUUGGUUAGACAUAUCAUAUUAUAUAUAUAUACUCCCUCCGUUUAAAAAAGAAUGACCCUUUUUAAUCCGUUUAAAAAAGAAUGAUCCAUUUUCUUUUUUGGCAAUAAUUUAAUCACAGCUUUCCACAUGACAUGUUUAGGACCACAAGAUUAAAGGACAUUUUGGUACAUUUAAUACAACUUUAAUUUAAGGCCACAAAAUUCAAAAGCCUGAAAUGUAAUGACCUAUGAGAGAGGGGUUUUUAGAAAAGAAAGCGUACCAAUCCACCAAACAAAGCAAAAACAAUGUCUCCUACAUAAAUACAAUAGAAUAGAAAUGAUGUUUGUCACUAGAAUGGACCACACAAAUAACAUCUUUCUAGCCUCCUAAAGGAAGUAUUCAAAGAUAAGAUAAGGUUAUGCGCACACAAGCUAACUUCAGGUAUGCAGUUAGUUCUCAAGCGAUCCCUUCGGAUCCUAGGUGCGACCUUAGGGAGCUUGUUUUGGCAGCUACUUCUUUAUUUUCUUAAACUUUAUGUCAAAUGUCAUUCUAUUUUAAACGGAGGAAGUAUAUUAUAUAUGUAUAUAUAUAUAUAAAAUUCGAUAUUCGGUAAAUACUGAAUACCAAACGGUAUUAAUAUCUUGUACCAAACUCAAUUCCGAAUACCGAAAUGUUGAAAUCUUACUCCCAAAUACCAUACCAAAUACCAAAUUACCGAAUACCAAAUUUUUUGAUUUAGUUUGGUAAUUCGAUUUUUGAUAUUUUAUACUCAAACACAGUUUUGAUCAAUCGUUGAGGAAACGAAAAAUAUAGUCUGUACAACCGAAAUCUUAUUUUUCGAAUUUGUUUUCAAUUUUUCAUUGCUCCCACGACCUUAUUUUGCCGUUAUCACAACAAUAACUGUGUCUCAUUUCCAAGCUAAGCUAAGAGAAAGGUACGACGAACAAACUAAAGUAGAGGGUAAACUAAAAACUUUAUUAAUUAUGUUUUGAAAAUAUAAAUUUGAUUUUAUGCACUUUAUUUAAUCAUAAAAAUAGUAUUAAAAGAACAUAAUAAAACACCUUUAAUUUCAUAAAAGGGACAAUUAAAUUGAAACAAAUAUUUUUAAAAAGAUGAACAACUAUUUUGAAACAAAGGAAUUACUCCUUCCCUUAGCUUUUAUUUGUCACAUUUUUACUUGACACACUCAUUAAAACAAAAUAAUUAUUGACAUGAUUAUUUUAUCAUAGUAACCCUAUUAACUAUUAUUUUUUAUUAUUUUUUCUAAUUAAUUUUUUAAAAAAGUAAUUAAUACUACUGGUAAAAUAGAAAAACUAACUAUUUUUUUUUUGAUUUGUUAAAAAUGAAUCAAAUUAUAUAAACAGAGACAAAUAAAUCCGAACAUAGAGUAUAAAUAUAAAGCAAAAAUGAAAGUAAUUUCCAACAAUACUCUUGAAGAUUGAACCAUUAAGUUACCAUUAUGAAUAUUGAAAAAUGACUCAUAAAUUAAAUUAAUAUGGACUAAAGAAAAUACUAUAUAUCAUUUUUAAAUUACUCUGUCCAUUAUUUUUACUUAUUACAUUUUGAUUUAAUACAUCCAUUAAGAAAAUAAUUAUUAACUUGACUAUUUAAUCAUAUACUCCUAUAAUUGAUGGUUGUUAUUAUAGCAUGAAAUUAGUUUAGAGAAUAAAUAAUUAAUUUUAAGAAUAAAAAUAAAAUUCUUGAUCUGUCAAAAAUGAUCAACAAAAUAUAGAAAUUCAUUAAAAAAAAUUAGCGAUAACAAAAACAAACUAUGGAGUCGUUUGGUUGGAAAAUAGUUAUCCCGAAAUAAUUAAUUUCAAAAUCAGUUAUUCAAAGUUAUCCGGAAUAACUUAUCUCACCAUUCAUCUGAAUAUUAACUAAUAUCUCCAACCUAAAAGAAUCUUUUACUUUAUUCGGGUACUUAUUCCUUAUAGUUACACCAAACGAACACCUGUGUAAUAAAUAAAUCAAGUAUACGCGACCGCUUCCCUAGAUUCUAUACCCUAUUCUAUAGUUGCGUGCACGUACAUAUGGAAAAGUCAAAAUAUUGCAAAGUGAGUAUUACAAUAUGCCAUUUUCCAAACCAACAGAGUGUGAAAACUUGCAAAACUGCAUAGCACUAAAUAGAAAAUAUACAACAACUCCUUGACUCGAUACGUAAAGAGUGAAUAUUAGUGUAACUCAACUCAAAAGCUAGUUUAUGAAGGGAGCAUUGCACAAGAUUGGCCGAUCGAAUAAGUCAACUUCAAUGUGGAUUUAGAUUGAAAUCUCAAGUCCCAGGUAUGACAUAUCUCAAGUAAAUCUAUUGUUUGAAUGAGCUAUUCCUAGAGUUCUAUAUAAGAAAAUAUAUUCCCAAAUAUCUCUAAUGAUUGUGAUAUGUAUACUACAUGAAGGUGUAUCUAUAUACAUUAUGUAACGAAAAAUACUACUGUUUGAAUUGGUGGAAGAAUUACUCAUCAAUGAUGCAUUCAUAUCAUAUAUGCUCUCUGUUUCAAUUUGUUUGGUGGCGUAGGGUUAGAAAAUAAAGAAUACUUUUGAAUUUGAUGAUCUUAAAUUAAAGAUAUAUAUGUCAAAUCUAUCAAUAUGUCUUUUAAUCUUGUGAUUUUAAACAUGUCAGGUGAAAAUUUGAAAUUAAAAAAUUGCUAAAAAGGGAAGGAUCAUUCUUUUUAAAAUGGACUAGAAGAAAAGUAGUUCAAAUGAAUUGAAACAAGAGUACUAUAGUUAGUACUACUGACUAUAGUGGUGGACAAUUGCUCCUAGUGAUGAUGAAUUUUGAUGGGCAACUGCUGCUGAACUUGGUACAUUUUGUUGGGCAACUGCUAAAUUUUGCUAGGCAACUGCUAUUGAACAUAGUAGAUUUUGUUGGACAAGUGCUAUUGAAUCUAGUAGAUUUUGGUGGGCAGUUGCUACUGAAGCUAAUAGAUUUUGGUGGGCAAUUUCUAAAUUUUUGUUGGGAACUGCUACCGAUGCUGGUAAGUUUUGCUUGGCAACUGCUACUUAACCUAGUAAAUUUUGGUGGGCGACUACUAAAUUUUUCUUGGCAAUUGCUACUAUAUGUGGUAGAUUUUGUUGGGCAACUGCUAUUGAACAUAGUAGCUUAUGUUGGACCAGUGCUACUGAAUCUGUUAGAUUUUGGUGGGCAACAACUACAGAACCUAGUAGGUUUUGGGGGGCAACUACUAAAUUUUGGUUGGGAACUGCUACUGAAGCUUGUUAAUUUUGCUUGGCAACUUCUACUUAACCUAGUCGAUUAUGGUGGGCAAUUACUAAAUUUUGCUGGGCAACUGCUACUGUACCUAGUAAAUUUUGGUGGACGACUACUAAAUUUCGCUUGGCAACUGCUACUGUACCUGAUAGAAUUUUUUGGGCAACUGCUAUUGAACCUGAUCAACUUUGGUAAGGAACUGCUACCGAAGUUGGUAAAUUUUGGUGGGCAACUACUCAAUUUUGUUGGGCAACUGUUACUGAACUUAGUAAAUUUUGGAGGACGACUACUAAAUCAUGCUUCGCAACUGCUACUGUAUCUGGUAGAUUAUGUUACGCAAAUGCUAUUGAACAUAGUAGAUUAUGUUGGACAAGUGCUACUGAAUCUGGUAGAUUUUUGUGGGCAACUGCUACUGAACCUAGUAGAUUUUGGUGGGCAACUACUAAAUUUUGGUUGGGAACUACUACCGAAGCUGGUAAGUUUUGCUUGGCAACUGCUACUUAACCUAGUAAGUUAUGGUGGGCAACUACUAAAUUUUGUUGGGGAACUGCUACUGUACCUAGUAAAUUUUGGUGGGCGACAACUAAAUUUUGCUUGGAAACUGCUACUGUACCUGGUGGAUUUUGUUGGGCAACUGCUACUGCACCUGGUCAACUUUGGUGGGGAGCUGCUACUGAAGUUGGUAAAUUUUAGUGGGCAACUACUAAAGUUUGCUUGGGAAUUGUCACUAAAGUCGGUAAAUUUUGGUGGACAAUUACUAUUGAACUUGGUAAAUUUUGGUGGGCAACUGCUAUCGAAGCUGGUAAGUUUUGGUGAGCAUCUGCUAAAUUUGGGUGGGCAACUGCUAUCAAAGCUGGUACAUUUCGGUUGGCAACUGCUUCUGUACCUGGUAAAUUUUGGUUGGCAACUACUAAUUUUUGUUGGGGAACUGCUACAUAAGCUGGUAAAUUUUGGUUGGCAAUUUCUACUACGCCUGGUAUAUUUUGGUGGGUUACUGCUGCAAAACCUAGUAAAUUUUGGGGUGAAACUGCUGCAGAAGCUGGUGAAUUUUGGUGGGCAAGAGUUACCGGGGCUCAAAAAUUUCGAUUGCCAACUGCUUUUGUCGUUGCAGAAUUUUUUCGAGCAAGUGUCAUUAACACUUAAGAAUUUUGGUUGGCAACUUGUGAAUUGGUUCCAAAGGAUCAAUUACUGGCUUUACAUAGCCUUACCCUAUCUCAUAAUUAUCGCACCGAUUCUAGCUCUCUACAUAUAUUAUUGCUACCGCCUUAAUAGAUUGCUACUCGAGGUAAUGGUAACUUUUUACUCUUGCAAAGUGUGAUUGUCACUUUUUAGUAAAAUCAUUAUUGUUGAGAUUGUUGAAGGAAAAUUUAAGAGGUUGUGUCAUUGUCAAUAGAAAAUUCUUGGAAGAUUAGGUUACCCUAAGGUAGCAUAAUUUAGUUGGGUGGCACUUCAUGAAGCAUCUAUAACACUGUUUUUACUGUAUUAGAGUGCGUUAUUGGUUGGGGAGUGGACUACAAGUCUUGACAAGGUGUUAUGUGUGGACAAUGUCUAAAGAGAAAAGCUAGGACGCUCUCGACCUUAAUCCCAAAUUUAGACAUUUUUUUUCUUGUGUCUAUCUUAAUGUGAAAAUAUCAGGUGAGCGCUACGUUAUACGUUAUGGUUGUAGAAUUUCUGAUAUGUAAGAAGAAGAUGUACUGUUAUCUGAUGUGCUUGUUACCUAUUUAGGAAGAAGAAGCCAGGAAGUUGAAGGAGUUGCUGAAAAGAGAGGAGGCUGAAAGAAAGCGUUUAUCAGAAUUGGAGAAGAGACAAAAGCAUGAGGAGGAAAUGAGAGAAACUCAAAAGAAGGUGUGACUACUCGGCCUCUUCUGUUGUCUAUUUCGCGGCAUCGUGCAGCCUCUUCCAUGCCACUUAUGCUGCCUCUGUGCUAUUUUGUGAUUAUAAACUAUAAACUUUGAAGAUUAAGAGAAGUUCUAGAACUUUCUGAUAAACAAAAGUGCACCACAGAAGAGAAGUGUGUUUAAUUAGCCAAAAAAAAGUAAGAUUUUUUGUAUGUUAGAAGAUGUACUGAUGUCUGAUGUGCUUUUUACGUAUUCAGGAAGAAGAGGCCAAGAAGUUGAAAAGAGAGGAGGCUGAAAGAAAGCGUUUAUCAGAAAUCGAGAAGAGACAAGAGCAGCGUGUGGAGGAAAUGCGAGAAACUCAAAAGAAGGUAUGAUAACUUGGCCUCUUCUGUCGUCUAUUUCACAACAGUGUUUUUUGACGUUAACUCUAAAAACAACGAAGUUAAACUUCAAAAUUUUAUAUUCUCAAAAUCUCAACCUUAAUUCCAUAUGCAAAAAAUAUGGAUUGUGGAUUUGUGAUGAUCCAUUUAUCAAAAUAGAUAAACAAUAAUAACUAAUCCUCAAAGAGGACAAAAUAGCUUUAAUUUGUUAUAGCCAAAAAGUUGGUUACGUUGUAAUGUUUCGUGAUUAUAUUUCUUUGUAUCUCUCUUCCAUGCUACCUAUGAUGCCUGUGUUCUUUUCUGAUUAUUUGGAUUUUACCUAGUGUAUAAACCGUCUGAUGAAUCUUUUAAGGACCUAGAGAAUAUGAAGUUGAAGGAGCAGAUACGAGCCGAAGUUGGAAAGGAACUCAGUAAGCUUGAAAUGAUGUGCUGUGAUAUGGCUUCAGUGUUGCGUGGAUUGGGAAUAACUGUUGGUAAUGGCACUAACCGUCAGGUUUGUUAACACUCUGUCUCUAAAUAUCUUCCUGCUUAAUUUUAAAUUACUGAAUGCAAUUAAUUCCAGGGAACAUACUUUUAUGAAACAUUGUCAUUCUUAUUUUGCACUUGCCCUGAUUUGUGGUUGGUGGCCUUCUUGUUUUUAGCAAUCAUAUGAUGCUUAAGCUUCACAUUCUUAUUUUGUGUUGGCUGUUGUAAUUAUGUGUUGGGGCUUUGUUCUCAGGAUUCACGCCCAUAUUUCAAAAUGCCGCUUACUUAGGAUUAGCUAGUCUGCAGGAUAUGCAGCCACUUUUGUAAUGUCUUGUCUUUUUACCUGGGAUUUUGGGAGUUGUACUUGUGUUUGUCUUGCAAUCUUAUCUGCAUGAUCGCGUCUUUCUGUUUGUCAAGUGUAGCUACAGUUAGAAUGAUAGCACAUGAGGCAUUACUUAGAACAAAUUCUUGUUUCAGGUGCGCGUUGCUUACAAAAAAGCCUUGAUGAAAUUUCAUCCGGAUAAAACUUCAACAUCUGAUAUACGACAGCAAGUUGAAGCUGAGGAGAAAUUUAAGCUUAUUUCUCGAAUGAAGGACAAAUUCUUACCAAAUUUAUAACAGUGACAUAGGAUAUAAAUGUAGUUUAUUCUCUGGAAAUUUUGUGUAUAGGCCUUCGAUGGACAUUAAAAACAAUAUUAAAUAGUGUCUCUCGAUUAUGCAAGGUUUUAGUAGUAGUAGCUGUAUGUAUAUAAGCAAAAUAUUAACUAUCCUUACUAUAGUACAUAAUCUGAAAUUCUGCUAUCAUUUGUUCUCUGAUGAAAACAGUGCAAAUAACAAUUGGUCUGGCUUAUUGCAAGGGCUAUGGACAAUUAAGAAUUGUUGUGUCCCAGCGUUACAAUGGCUGAAGUACUGUUUUUUCCAAAUCAUAAUGACUCUGAAGAAUUGUGUUGUCCAAUGAUACAGUGGCUUACUAUAGUGCAGAUGCUAAUAGCGAAGUGCUUCAGGAUGCGAUAAAUAACUUAGAGUCGAUGCAGGUUGAUGUGACCAAGGUCGCGAUAAUAUGAUGAAAGAGGUUACGAUAGAUAAAAAGAAAAGAAAAGGUAACCAUUUCAGCUUUUCGAGGUAUAUUUUGAUUGUUACCUUUUAUUGUUUAAAGAGUUAGCAUGCUCUAGUUGUUUAUGUUAUACUUUGUGUUCAAGUUAUGAUUUAUACAUUUGUUCUGAAUCGUUGAGAAAAGAAAAAUAUAGUAGCAGUACUACUUGAAAUCUUAUUUGUCGAACUUGUUUUCAAUUUUUCAUUGCUCCCACGACCUUAUUUUGCCGUUUUAACAACAAUCACUGUGUCUCGGUUCCAAGCUAAGUUAAGAGUAAGCUAUGACGAACAAAUUGAAGUGGAGUGUAAAGUACUAAUAAUACUCCUUUAAAUAGCAAAAUGGGAUUUUGAAAACUGAUCUAAAAUGUGUGCUGAGUCCAUCAUUCAUCUUUUCUUGACUGUUGUAUUACAAGUGGUAUUUGGAAGAAGUUGUUGGCUAGGAAGGGCUUUCAUGCAGUGGCGGAACCAGGAUUUUUAUUGAGGGGUUCAAAAUAUGAAUAAAUAAACAUAGGAACUAGCCGCGGGGAGGGGUGGGUGUCAACAUCUACUUGUAUAAAUAAAAAGGUGAUUUAAACAUAUAUAAAUAGUGUAAUUUUCCAUUGUUGGAGUGUUCGGAUGAACCCCCUGAGCCCAGGUGAACAGAGCAAUGUUGUUUUUCAGGAAAAGAGAAGAUCCCCCAAGCCAUUAUCAAGCUGAUCAUCUAGGAGGUGUUAUUUAGAUCAAGCCUAUUUGUUGGUAGGGGUGUUCAUGGUUCAGUUUGAAUUGGUUUUUGAUUAAAAUCAAUAGCAAAUUAAUUUAGUCAGCGUUUAAAUUUCUAAAACCAUGCUAAACCAAUUAAAAUUGAAACGUCGGAAUUGAUUCUUGUCUAUUUGGUUUGUUUUUUCAGUUUAUAACUGGCUAACGAUAAAUUGAUGUAGUAAAUUACUGAGACAUGAGACAACCUUUUCAAAUGAACAUUGAGAAUCAACAAUUUUUUCUCACAAGAUGAUGUGAUCGAAUAUUCUAUUAUUUUUCAACAUUAUUCUCAAGUUUUAGCAUAUUUAAAUCGUAUAACUUUAGAGUUCACUUUGUUGGGUUCAUAGUAUAUGAAUGAAGUGUGAAUGGAAAAAAUGGAGAGAAAAAUGGUGGAAGGAAGGAGAUACCAAUGUAGAAGGUAUAUUCUGAAAUUGGAAAGUCCUCUAAUUCUCCCACAUUGGUGGGAGAAGGGAACUUUGUAGUAUUUAUAUUAAUGAACACUUACUCCACAUGAUAAGUGAGGCAAGAAAAUAGAGAUGCCUCGCGCCGUCGUCAUCAUCGUUCACUCGGUUCGGCUUCGGAUUUGGAUUUGGAUUUAGAUUUGGCAAAUGAUCGAUCGAUGAGAUCUGUCUUUUUGGACAAAUUUUAUUUGAUGAUCCGAAUUUACCAAACAGUAAAACACAACUGAUUCUCCAUUUAUACAUGCAUGUAGUGCCAAAACUGAACUGAUGCACUGUUCCAGUGAACAGAUGCACUUUUACAGCAAACAGAUGCACUGUUUCAGCAAACUGAUGCAAUGUUUCGAUGAAAGGACACAAUGUUUCACACGAACUGGUAUGUACUGUUUCAGCAAAAUGAUACACUGUUUUAAGUAAACAGACAUGCAUUUUCAGAAAAGACACACACCUUUAAAUUGAACCAAUGCCACCUUUCUGAAGAGGCAUCUUGUGGCUAAAUAAACCUGGUUUCAUCCACAGGUUUUGGUGCAGAAAUUUUCAGAUUACAAACAUUCUUCGUCUUCAAAUACUCUGUGUGAUCAUUAAAUCGUUCAGUGCGUCCGAAGAAUCUGCCUAUUUGAGGUACCGUUAUAGUCAAAUUGAAGGUCAUUUUAUCCUGGGAGGAAGAUUCCAUAACCUCGGGUACAGUGAGGGGAAUUAUUCCUUAAGGAAAGUCCGUGACUUCAGACGACUUGGUCUUAAUCAUUUCUGUUUCAUCUAUUUUUGUGAAAAAUAAAUACAGCUCUUGGAAAGGUCAUUUUGAUCUUGUGUUGAGGGUAUUUGAUAUACUUCAUUGUGUUCUUGGUUAUAUACUUGAACUUUAGUUGAAGUUGUUGUUGCAAUAUACAAAUUCUGCAUACCCGACCAUAUUGUGGAAUAUAACAAUCUUAAGGAAUAACCCUACAGAAUCUGUAUUGCUUGUUUUUGGAGAUUAAAGCUUAAGCUUUCUACUCUGCUUGAAUUUAAAUAGUGAUUAGAAGACAUAAAAUCAUCAUCACAAGUUAAGGUUUACUCGGUUGACGAUUCGAAGUAAUAAAAACUUCAUCGUUAACUAGAAACAAGAAGAAGAGUUUCAAGUUAUUAAACUUUAUAAAUAGUAUUCUGAAAAAUACUAAGUUUUCUGUCUUGUGGUGACAGAAAAAAUGACAACUGAAAGUCAAAUAAUGGAUGCAACAACUUCUGUGGGGGCAAAUAACAUUGUCACAUCAAGUCGCAUAAAUGCUCCGCCAACGAUGGCACCGGCGGAGAAGCCCGAAAAAUUUUCGGGCAUUGACUUCAAGCGGUGGCAACAAAAGAUGUUCUUUUAUCUCGCCACUUUAUGUCUACAACGGUUCACUAGGGAAGACGCUCCUGAGGUGCCCGAGAGAACCUCGGACAAAGACCGCUUCGUUAUUGUAGAAGCUUGGAAACAUUCGGAUUUCCUUUGCAGGAACUAUAUUCUGAGUGGUCUCCAAGAUGACCUCUAUAAUGUCUAUAGUGGAACCAAGACAUCAAANNNNNNNNNNNNNNNNNNNNNNNNNNNNNNNNNNNNNNNNNNNNNNNNNNNNNNNNNNNNNNNNNNNNNNNNNNNNNNNNNNNNNNNNNNNNNNNNNNNNNNNNNNNNNNNNNNNNNNNNNNNNNNNNNNNNNNNNNNNNNNNNNNNNNNNNNNNNNNNNNNNNNNNNNNNNNNNNNNNNNNNNNNNNNNNNNNNNNNNNNNNNNNNNNNNNNNNNNNNNNNNNNNNNNNNNNNNNNNNNNNNNNNNNNNNNNNNNNNNNNNNNNNNNNNNNNNNNNAUUUCCUUUGCAGGAACUAUAUUCUGAGUGGUCUCCAAGAUGACCUCUAUAAUGUCUAUAGUGGAACCAAAACAUCAAAGGAACUGUGGGGGCACUUGAACGGAAAUAUAAAACGAAGGAUGCGGGAAUUAAGAAAUUCCUUGUUGCACGGUUCCUGGACUUCAAAAUGAUUGAUAGCAAAUUUGUUGUCUCUCAAGUACCGG
rnacentral:lncRNA from 1 species